rnacentral:lncRNA from 1 species
AGUACUGUUGAUUGUCUGAAUGGAUUCUAAUUCUUUUAUGGAUAGGGUAAAACUAUCCAAAGAGUUGUUCAAAGAACGAGGGGAUACCGGAAGGUGGGAGAGUAGAUGGAGAGGAAGCAAAUGGCCAUGGAAAAAUAUAUCAUCUGCUGGAGAUAAAUCUACGGCGAAUGAAGAAGUGUUCUUAUUAUUUUCUGAGGUUUUUGCAGGGGCUGAAGGAUGAAGAGAAAUGGUGAAGGAGAAUUCAUGAGAAGGAGAUGAAGAAGCUGAAGGUGGCAAGGUUGCUGCAAUUGGUUGCAGCUGAUUACUCUCUCUCUCUCUGCUGAUUUUCUUCAUGCUUCUCUCUCAUCUUAUGAUGAUGUUUGUCUAUGCUUCAAUGCUAAAAGAUAUGUCGGAUCUGAAGUUUUUCUUGACUUGCUUUGAUAUGAUAUUCUCUGGUUAGAAAUGUGAGGAAAUAUUUUUGAAGGGAUAAAGAUGUUAGGAAGUAAUAUAGUUCGUGUGUGAGUAUCAAGAGGAUAUGUAGGGCUAACGGGUAGGCGUUGGAUGUGGGUAUGGGGUUACGGAGUGGGACAGGGUUUCAUUUGUUUUUUGAAGGGAAGGGGACUGUUCUCGGCAGGUUUGUUAAAUGAAAUCCGUAUUUAAUAGUGCGUUUCAUAUGGACUCGAUGGGACAUAAUAAUAAUAAUAAUAAUAAUAAUAAUAAUAAUAAUAAUAAUAAUAAUAAUAAUAAUAUUGAAAGUGCUUAUGAACAGUCUAAAUUAUAAAUUAAUUAAAAUAUUGAUAAAUAAGUGGAUAAUUUUUAUAAAUCUUAUAAAAUUGUAGAAUAAGGAGAAAUUUGACCAACUAUAAUCAUUAUCCAAGCAUGAGUUCAAAAAUUUACAGAUAAUUAAAAUUUUAUAUUGUCGUAAAAUAUCCGAUAAUAAUGACUGAUUAGUUGAUAUUAUUAUGCCCAUGUUUGGUUUCACUAAAAAUUUAGAUUAAAAUUAAAGUUAAAGUCAACAAUUAAUUUUAACUACACAUUUUAUAAGACUCAUAACUUUUCAUCCAAAAAUCCCAUUAUCUUUUACCAAAAUUUUCAAAAAAAUCUGAUUUUAUCUAAACUAAACAAGGGCCAGAAGGAUAGAUAACUUUCCUACCUUAGAAGAAUGUUUUCUAUUCAAAUUGUCACUCAUUGAAACCUUAUAUAUAACAGUCAGUGUUAUGAUGAAAUUCACACGAGUUUUGAUACCCUUAUUUUCUUCUAUUGUUCUUGCUUUUCUUCUUAAUUUAAUAGCAUGUUAUCAGCACGAGUUCUAGUGAAUUUAACUAGGAAAAAAAAAUUCCCCUGCAAAAGACAAGUUAAGAAUCCGGUAUGAUAAAUUUGAUUAUGCAAUCUUAAUAUGAAAAUUAGUUACGAAAAAUUUAAGAUAUGCAUUUUGUCAUUACUUGUGAAAAAGAAUGAUCUAAUAUUCAAUUAAAUUUUUUUUUUUAUUUUGUGGCCUAAUAUUCAAUUAGAAUUUGUGGGGGUGGAUAUUGCAUUGUUGCUCCUGUAGACCACAAACUUAAAUAUCAAUAUCUAUAAAAUAUAUUAUAUGGCUCAAAAAUAUAUACACAUAUAUUUCAAAAGAAUAUGGUGUCGUUCAUGAAAAACAUAAAACUUAUUUCAUUGUGUUUAUGGAGAAGUACAAACUAAACGAUUAAGUAUAGUGGUAUAGUGUUGUAAUUCUUGAAGAAAACACUUUAUUAUUUUAUAAUAUUUAUAUGGUACAUUAUGUUAAUACUUCGGAGGAAGUAUAGUUUUCCUGCAAUAUUGUGAAAUAAUAUUUUGUUUUUAAUCUUGAUGAAACAGGAGUUUAUAUUGUAUUAUUGCUCCAGAAGAAAAAUAGAUUUCUUAUUUAUCAAUAUUUUUUAAAAACAUAGUGAUAUUCUUGAAUAAUAAAUUUUAUACAAACUAAUAUCCUACAUAAUUUGAAAUUUUAAAAUUUUCAUAAAAAGCUCUAGAAGGGCCAAAAGUUUAUCAUAUGGGUGAACAAAAUGUAAUACUACAUUAAUUUUCUCCCCAUUUCAAAUGAAUAAUGAUAUUAAAAAUUCACAUAAAUAUUAAUUAAAGAACCAAAAAAUUCUUUCAAUGAAUUCCUUGUGUUUUUAUUCUCAUGAUAUAAUGUUGUAAUGUGACCCAAAUUCUUGUGGUUAUUGGUGUUUUAGUUGAAGUGGUCUUGUAGAAAUCAAAAUUAUAGACAAUGAAGAAAAGUUGUUGUAUUUUCGCUAGCCUAACACUAGUUGGCAGCUCGGGCUGCACCAACAUAUUUUGAAUAGAAAUUUUUCACCCUUUUGGUGCUCAAACGAUGGGGCUGUCACCAUCUUUCGCCCCCCGUAGCUUGAGCGAUGGGGUCAUUAGUGCAGCCCCUCUUUCCAAGUUUUAAUGUCUUUUGGACUCUUGUUUAUCUUCAACUCAGUUUCUAGGGUUUUAUAUAAAUAAGCCACUACUUAUAUUGUUCAGAUAACACUCAUACAACAUCUUGAGAGCUUUAGAUCUUAAUUGAGAGCAUUGAAAUUUUGUUGUAAACAAAUUGCUAUUGCCAAUAGUGGAUUUCUCCUCCUCAACCCAUGGUUUUUUGCCAUGUUAAGUUUUCACGUAAAUCUUGCUGUUAUUUAUUUUGUUCUUGUUUAUUUCAUUACUGUCAUAAACUUUCGAUCAAAUUCGCAACAAGUGGUAUCAAAGUGAUUUUGGUAACUUGUUUGUUCAUAUCAAGUGAUAUCAGAGCCAGGUUGAUUAUCUAGCAUGGCAAUGAUGAAGUAUGAUAUUCCAUAAUUGGAUCGAAACACAAGAUUUACUUUAUGGAAAGUGAAGACGCGAGCAAUUCUCACACGGAUGGACUUGAAAGAAGCCUUGGUUUUGAUAAGAUGCCUUCAACCUGGAUAUAGAAAAAAAGCAACGUAGGGAUCGAAAAGCCCAAUCCCAAAUUUAUCUACAUCUAUCAAAUUAAAUUCUUUAAGAUAUUCUCAAGGACAAGAGUGCCUCGUAUUAUGGUUAAAGUAAGAGCAGCUUUGUAUGAAAAAGACAUUGACCAGCAAGCUUCACUUGAAACAGUACUUGUAUUUUCACAGGAUGUUCGAAGAUACAUCAUUGGAUGAUCACUUAACUAUGUUCAAAGAAAUCAUGGCCAAUUUGGAGACAUUGGAGGUUAAGUAUGAUGAGGAGGACUUGGCAUAGAUGUUGUUCUGUUCACUGUCCCCAUCAUAUGUGACUUUUAGAGAUACUAUCUUCUAUAAUCGAGAUAUUCUCACCGUGGAAGAGAUCUAUGAUGAUUUGCUAUCUAAGAAGAAAAUGAGGCAUCUUGUUCGAGGAUCUUGGAGUCAAGCUGAAGGCCUGGUCAUUCGUGGAAGAAGUCAGGAUCAAAAUCUUGGUAAAAAUAUGAAGGCCAGAUCGAAAUCGAGACGUACAGAAAAGUUAUGUCAUUACUCUACGAAGAAGGGACGUAUCAUGGUUGAUUGCUAUUCUUUUGAAAAAUGGGAAUAAGGUUGUCGAUCCCAUUGAAAGGGAAAAAUAACAUGUUAACACAACGAAAGCUGAUGUUGUGGAAGACACACAAAGUGAAUGAGAGCUUCUUGUAAUGUUUAACAUAGAUUCUAAACCUUGUGAGGAAUGGAUUCUUGACUCAACUUCUACUUUCCACAUGUGUCCUAAUAGGAUUGGUUUACAACAUAUGAAAGAGCUUCGAGAGCUGCAAUGAUAAUGGGAAACAAUGCGCAUUGUAAGAUUGUCGGAGUUGGUAAAGUCAGAAUCAAAAUGUUAGAUGAUGUUAUCAGAACACUUUUAGAUGUCAUGCAUGUUCCAAAAUCAAAGUGAAAUCUAAUAAGUUCGAGUACAUCUGACUCAAAAGGUCAUAAAUACACUGGUGAAUGUGGAGUUUUGAAGGUGAGUUGGGGUGCUCUUACUGUCAUGAAGGGAUAAAAAACUCUACAUAACUAUAUGUUUUGCAAAGUUACAGGAGAUACAACAGUCUCUACUUCUUCUUUGACUGAUAAAGAAGUUCCAAAACUUUGGCAUAUGUGACUUGUCAUAUGAGUGAAAAUGGUAUAGCAGAGUUUAGUAGGAGGAGAGGGAAUACUUGAAUAUAUACAUUCAGCUCUUUGUGGACCGGUCAGGGUACCUUCAAAAGGAAGUACUUAUUAUCUAUUAAAAGUGUUUGAUGAUUUAUCCAAGAAAGUUUGGGUAUUUUUCCUAAAACAGAAGAUUGAUGUAUUUGGAACCUUCAAGGAAUGGAAAACAAUGAUAGAAAAGUAGAUUAAGUGUCUACGCACAGAUAAUGGGUUGGAGUUUUGUUAAAAUGAUUUCAUUAGCUUCUACAGAGCUGAAGGCAUAUUGAGACACUUGAUAGUGCCCAGAACUCCUCAACAGAAUGGUAGGCAGAACAAAUGAAUAGAACUUUGAUGGAAAGUAUUCAUUGUAUGUUUUCAAACUCUGUGUUGCCUAAGAUUUUUUAGGCUGAAGCUACUACCACAAAUUGUUUUCCGAUUAAUUGCUCACCCACAAUUGUCACUGAGAAAAAGGCACUAAAAGAGGUAUGGUCUGAGAAACCUUCUUGUUAUACUGAUUUAAAGAUUUUUGGGUAUCUCACUUAUGCUCUAUAUAUAAUGGGAAGUUGAAGCCUAAUUCAAGGAGAUAUGUCUUUCUUGGGUAUAAAUCAGGUAUGAAGGGAUAUAAAUUAUGGUGACCUGAGACAAGAAAGGUGGUGGUUAGUAGAGAUAUAGCAUUUGAUGAACUGACUAUGGUUCAUAAUUCAUCUCGUAUGGAUUCUGAUAAAAAUGAAGAACAGAAUCAUUCAACUCAGAUGGAAUUGAAAAUUGGUCCAAUGAAUAAUUAAAGGUUUUAGAAAAGUCUAGUUCAAAAUUGAUAGACAGUAAUACUUUGCCUACACCACCAGCAACACUACAGUAUUCAAUUGUUAAGGGCAAACCUCACAGAUAGAUUAGACUUCCACAGAACAAUGGAGAAGUAGACUUGGUAGCAUAUGCUUUGAAUGUGGCCGAAGAAAUUGAUUCCACUGAGGAACCUGUUACAUAUAUAGAUAUCAUCAGCAGUAGUGAUUCAUGCAAAUGGUUUAUUGCUAUGCGAGAGGAGAUUGAGCCAUUGAAUAAAAAUUGUACUUGAGACUUGGUGAAACUACCUAAGGAUAAAAAUGUUGUUCGCUACAAGUGGGUAUUCAAAAGGAAAUAAAGGACAUUAUGGAUUGAAGAUACUAGGUAUAAGGUCUGAUUGGUAACGAAGGUUUAUAAUCAAAUUCUAGGUGUUGACUUCACAGAUGUGUUCUCUUUGAUUAUAAAGCAUAGUUGAUUGUAAAACAUGGUUCAAUUCAAGCUUUACUUGAGAUAGUGGAAAAAAGAGUGACUUAGAACUUGAGCAAAUGGAUGUCAAUACAUCAUUUUUGCAUGAAAAACUUGAAUAAAACAUUUACUUGCAACAAUCAAAGGUUUUAAUGUUUCUGGGAAGGAAGACUCUAUGUGCUUGUUGAAGAAGUCCUUAUAUGGACAAAGCAGUCAUCGAGGUAGUGGAACAAAAUGUUCGAUUCAUUCAUGACUGCUCAUACUUUCAGCAGAAACAAUUACGAUAGUUUUGUGUACUUCAAAAAGGAAGAUGGUGGAGCGAUAAAAUAUUUGCUAUUAUAUAUUGAUGAUAUGUUCAUUGUACCCAAGGAUAAAGUAGAGGCCACAAAUUUGAAAUCUCAACUUAGUAAGCAGUUUGAGAUGAAGGAUUUGGAUGUAGCAAAGAAAAUUCUUAGUAGGAAAUCUUGAGGGAUGGAAAGUCUUUCAAAUUGUAUUUGAGUCAUAAUGGGUACAUUAAGAAGGUGUUUCAAAGGUUCAAUAUGUUGAAUGCUAAGGUUGUCAACACUCCCUUGGCUAUCCACUUCAAAUUAUCAUCUGGAUUGUGUCCUCAAUUAGAUGAAGACAUUGAUUAUAUGUCUCUGGUCCCUUAUUCAAGUGCAGUUGGUUCGUUAAUGUAUACUAUAGUUUGUACAAGACCGGAUUUGGUACAUGCAGACAAUACAAUUAGUAGAUACAUGGCAAAUAUUGGCAAAGAACAUGGGAAAACAAUGAAAUGGAUAUUCAGAUACUUGAAGGACUCAAUUAAUGCUUGCUUGUAUUUUGGUAAAAAUAAAGCUAGAUUUAUUGGAUAUGUCGAUUCAGAUUAUGCAGGAGAUCUUGAUAAAAGGAGAUCACUUAUAAGAUAUGUAAACACCCUUGGAGGUUGUGCUAUUAGCUGGAAAGCUAUUUUGCAAAAUAAAAUAGCUUUUUCUACAAUAGAGACAUAUAAGAAGGAUAUGCGGUUAAGUUGUUUGAUUGUUGAAAUCAGUGAUGGCUUGCAGAUUUCUACAGUAUAUGUGAUAAUUAGAGUGCUAUUUUCUGAUUAAGGAUCAAAUAUUCCAUGAGAAAACUAAGCACAUUGGUGUGAAGUAUCAUUUUGUACAUGAAGUGAUUGCUCAUGGUAAUAUUGUAGUGGACAAGGUUAAUACAAAAGAUAAUAAUGCUGAUAUGAUGACAAAUCUACUUUAUAUUGCUAAGUUUAAGCAUUACUUGAAUUUAGUUAGUGUUUAUCAUUAAUUUAGUCCAUUGGGUCUUGUUUAGAAGAGAAUGAAUGUUGUUUGCUUUAAAGAUGUGUUUUUGGAAUUUCUUGUAUUGAAAUUUGGUUCAAGGUGGAGAUUUGUUAUAAUGUGACCCAUGUUCUAGUGGGUAUAGAAGUCUUAGUUAAAGUAGUCUUGAAGAGCUCAAAAUUAUGGACCAAAAAGAAAACUUAUCACAUUUUUGCUAGCCUAACGCUAGUUGGCCGCUUGAGCGACACCAACAUGGCAGGGCCCUCUCUCCCUAUCACUCAAGUGACAGGAUUAUUCGGCCCAGUCUGUUUUAAUGCAUUUUGGACUCCUAUUUAUUUUCAACUUGAUUUCUAGGGUUUUAUAUAUAUGAGUUACAACUUCUAUUGUUUACAUAACAUUCAUACAAUAUCUUGGGAGCUCUAGAUCUUAGUUGAGAGCAUUGAGAUCUUAUUGUAAACACAACUAGUAUUGAUUAUAAUGUAUUUUGCCUCCUCUGCUAGUAGUUUUUUCCCAUCUUGGUUUCCACGUAAAUAUUGGUGUUCUUUAUUUUGUUCUUAUUUAUUUUAUUAUUGUCAUAAUCUUUCGAUCAAAUUCGCAACAGGUGGUAUCAAAGCGAUUCUGGCAUCUUGUCUAUUCAUAUCAAUAUAUACACUAGUUGGCUUUCACUAGCUAAAAUCGAGAUUGAAUUCCUUGUAUUUCUAAAAAUUAAUUAGGGUGAUUUAUGAGAUUCUUUCUAUUCACGUUGACUACCUAAAUAUUAUUUGUAUCUAACAAAUACAUCUCCUAUAUAAUUGUAUGUUAUUAUUUUGGCUAUGUUUGAGUCCCUUUUGUGUAAAAAGUGAGUUUUCUAAUAGUGAUUUUUAUGAAUAAUGUGUAAUUAAAAAGUAGAAAAAAAAUUUAAGUUUACGUGCAAAUUAUUCAUUUGAAGAAUAAUGGUUAAAAUUAAGCUUGAAGAAAAAUGAAUUUUUAGAAAAUGCAGCUCAAACAUGGGUUAUAUAUUCAUAACCUGACAUUUGCAAGAUUAAUUGCUCAAAAUUUUAAUUAUGAGAAUGAUUUUCAAGUUAUAUAAUAAGAAAGCUAGUGAGCAUAAAUUUCAAACUUUUAAUAAAUAUUAGUUAGGAUAAAAAAAAAAUGGUUUAACACUAUUAUUUAUUAAAUAUCUCCAAUUAAUUUUUGAACCAUUACUAUUUAAAAAAAGGGUUUUCCAUUUUAUGUCUAAUGAUACUAUUUUUCGUGGACAACGCUUCUACACAUUAUGUCAACAUCAAAGUUCUCCCUAUAUAGUUAGUUAGCUUAUGGUCAAAGCUUAAUAUUUCACAUCUACGAUUUUAAAAUAUUCAAUAUAUAUACAAUUGUUCCAACAUAGAGCACUAAGAUAGACAUUAAACCGUGAUACUAAUUAAAUUAUAAAGAUUUGUCGACUUCAUUUUGAUUACACAAUUUUCUUAGUAUUGGGAGGAGGUACUAAGAAGUUGAAAAUAAUAAACAUAAACAUAAGGAGGAGGUAUUAAGAAAUUAAAAAUUACAAACAUAAAGCAUCAUUUUAUUAUUUAGAUCAUUAUACAAGAUAAUGUGAAUUAAGAAUUUGAAAAGAUAAUUCAUUUAAGUGCAGUUACUCAUAAAAGAAUUUGACAAUAUAUUAAACAUUAUAUUUACAUGCUCCAACUCAAGUUGACGUCAUGGAGUAAGAAUCCAUUUACAUUAUACUUGAUAAAUCAAUGGCACGCUGAUGCGUGAUAAUAUUUGAUUCCAAGAUAAAAAUCUAAAAACAAAAUAAAAUAAAAAAAAUAGAGCGAAUAGUAAAGAUUUUCCCAUUAAGAUAUAUAUACUCUUGGUGAGUGUAUAACCACAUCAAUUUGUAAAACCGAAUAGAGGUUCAUGUAGAUGAGGUAUUGAAAAUUGAGAUAUCUCAAUAAAUUUUAUUAUUAUGAAUGGAAGAAACGAAAUUGAAAAGAAAAAGUUGCUAAAAACACUUUUGUAGAUGAUGCGGCAUGUUAUAUUAUGAACAAUAUAGAGAAUGUCAAAAAAAAAUUCAUCGAAAAAUACGGAAGUAGAAAUGAAUGGCUAAAAUAACAUGACAUAAUUCAGGCAAAAUUGAACGUAAUAGAGAUAUCUAAAGUUUUUGGACAUGCAGUUCAAACACCUAAACGUGUAAAGUUAAUUUUACAUAUGCGAAUAUCAAGUGAGAAACUGAAGUCACAAAAUAUAAUGCAUGACUCUUAACAUAAUAAAUUUUGGAAAAAAAUCGUAUAGAUAAAUUUUCAUGUGGAGGAUGAAAUCACAAAUAUAUAUCUUGUUAACCUAAUAUGCAUAAUAUCUAAUAAAUGUGGUUAUAAUUAACCCAUCGACAAGAUUAUUAAUACUAUUUUUUUAAAUAUGUUAAUUAUUCAAUAUGCUUAUAAUUCAAGUGAUAUUGUCAUAGGGAAGUAUAUAUAAUUUGUACACUUCUUAGUCUUCCCCUUUUUCUUUUUUUUUUUCUUUUACCAAGAUUGUAUCUCGUUGUUCUUCUCAAAAAUGCUCUUUUUUCCUCAUUAGAAUACUUUAGAAAGGUUCUUCCUAGUGAAAUUUUCACGAUGUAUAUUAUGUGUAAUGAAUAAUAAUAACAUACGUGACAUUUACUCUCAAUAUAACUUUAUGAUUUUACUCUCGUAUACUAUAAAUUGUAUAUUAGACUUCCGAAGGAAGAAUAAUAAAAUUUAUUUUUCAAUGGACCAUCAUACGGAAUGAAGUAAAAAAAUAAAUAAAUAAAUAUUAAUAUCUUUUAUGAAGACGAGUUUGCUUAAUACUAUAGCAAGACAAUAUUGAACAUAAUUCAUCAAAAUUAUAAUAUAAAUUUUUGGAAGAUGGUACAUUGAAACAUUGGCACAUAAUGAAAGACUCAAUAUAAGAAUUUUCAUUAGUACUUGUCACGAUACCGUACACUUACAGUUUAAGUGAACAAUAAUUCUAGGCAAUUUUUUUUAUAUAGAGGAACAAUUCUCUCAUUUAGUAGUCAGAGAAUUAAAGUCAUUCAUGAACUAUUUCUCUCCCAUUGAAAAGAGCGAUUGGCAUUUGCAAGAACUUUCAACAAAAAUAAAAAAAGAUGAGUACCCCCCCCCCUUCUUGCUACCACCAUCAACACCAUUUUUCGCUUUGAAUGGACCAAAACCAAAAAUAUUAUGAAUAGAAUGAAAGGAGAUAAGCUAGAAAGAAAGUUUAGUUGAAACUCAGAAAAAGAUACGUAGCUUGAACAAUAUUGAAAUUCAAUUUAGAAAAUAUAAAUAAUGAAAAUACACAAAAUCAAAGAUCACUCCAAAAACAAAAUCUCCACCCGUGAAUUAUUAUCAUGAUAAAUGAAUUCUUAAGUCCACAUAAACAAAGAUACGAUUUGAUGUUUUGUAUAAUUAAUGUGUAUAUAAAAUGCAAAUAAAAAUGAUUCUUUUUUCUUUUUUUGGUCUAGAAAAGAACAUAUUGUCCCUACCAUGAAUGAUUUUCAUUAAACAGAAACUUCAACUGUUUUUCGGCGGACUCUCACUUCACCAUUCAGUGUAAAAAAUAAAUUAGGAAUUCUUUAGUCAAUAAAUUUGCCAAAAAAUAAAAAAAGGAUUAUGAUGAAGGCAUCUUGACUAGUCAGCUGUUGAUUUGAUAGCUUAUAUUGAUGAAAUAGCUAUGUCGAUCUCUGUUUUAUAUUUUAGCUUAUAAAUUAUUAAGUCAUAUGAAUAUUUUAUAUGCAGUAAUAGAGAUGAUUGCUUAAAUGUGAAUUUAAGGGGGCAAAAAAAAAAUCAUCGAGAAAAUUGUAUUCAAUAAUUUAACAAUGGGAAUAAUGGUUGUAUGAAAAGGCGGAAAAGAUAUUAAGGCCUUGUUUGAGCUCCAUUUUGGGAGAAAAAAUAAAUUUUUGAAUAGUGUAUCAAUGGAAAAUGCAUAAUUAAAAAAUAAGGAAAAGUUUUGAAUUUGAGUGUAAUAUUAUUUUAUUAAAAAUGUGUGAUUGAUAUAAUAUCAAAAUACUGUUUAAGAAUGUAUCCCAAAAAAAAAAAGACUCAAACAAGGGUUAAAGUUUGAUAAAGAUGGGUAGGGACACACGAGUGUACUAAGUGCUCCAUUAGUCCAUUUCAGAGUUUGGUCGCUUAUUUAAGGUCAAAUUCUAAAUCUUGGAUGCAUUCUUUGGGUGGACAGGCUUAUCUUCCCCCACUUAGCACUCAAAAUUAUUGUGUGUGUGUGUAUAUAUAUUCGUUGCACUCAAACCCCAUAAAACAUUUAUUUAAAAAUGACGCGAGUAAUUAGAUGAGCAAAUUACAUUAGAAAAUAAAAUAAAUAAGAAACAUCUAUGAAAAUGUGCGUAACUUUCGAAUCGAGUUUCAGAUUUAUGCAAGCAAGUAAAAUUCAAAACACUUUUUUUCAAUUUUGCACAAUUUUUUGGGACAAUGUUGGCCGAAAGUCAAACUUUCGGGCUCAAAUUUUGUCGUUUAGAUGUCCAUUUUAGGAAUUUUCUAAUUUUAGUCCAUUAAAGGGCAUUUUCAUCACUUUACGCCUUAUUUUAGUUUUAUUUAGAUUUGUGUGUUGAAUUAGAAUUUCUCUUUGAUUAGGAUUUGUUUUGACUAGUUAAAUAUUUGUUAAGAGUUUGAAAAUUCUAUAUUCAUUUUUUAUUAAUAAUAAUUUAGUCUUCAGUUGCCUCGUUAUUUGAUGGAUUCUAAUAUAUCUCAAGUUUGUUCAAGUGCAAGUCGAACAAUAGUCGUUCAUGUGUGUUAGAUGGCAGUUCAGUCUCCAAAUAAAUAUUUCUCAUUAACUAGGACAUGGGUGCUGUUCAGGGACACCCAGUGAAAUUUAUCCUAUGAAUUGUAAAGUUGAUGUUUUGUACCAUGUUGAUUGACUUGUCAUUCUUUAGAGAAAAGAACAAGAUAUUGAAGCCGCUAAUGGGAAAAGUAGAAAAGAGAAUGUUUUCCCACUAAGUAUGUUUUGUGGGAUGACUUUGAAAUCACUGUUUCAUGCCAAAGAUAUUGGUCCCACAUCCAAGUAUCAAUAUUUUUAAACCAAUCUUUCUGAAUGUACAUAAUAAUUUAUAUUCUGAUUUACCGAAUUUAUACUUGGCAUAAUCUUACAACAUUUUUCACAUCUUACACAUUUAAUUCAACCAUCACAAUCUUACCACAUUACUCAUCUAUCAAUAAAGAUGUCAAUGUUAAUGUACAAAUAGCUAAUUGUCUUUCAACCUUACCCCUCAACACAAGUAUUGAGCAGAGAAAAAGAUAAAAGGAUAAAAAGAUUUAGCUCUUAUUUGGUCCUUAUUUCUGAGCAUUUAUUUUUUAAAAUUAUUUUUUAAUUAUAUAUUUUUUAUUAAAUUCAUUGUUAUCAAUUAAAAUGGAGAGAAUAAAAGCGAGUCCAUGUCCCAACUAGGUGAACCAUACCAAAGCAAGCUAAACCAUCUGCGAGCCAAAUCACAUACAAACUCGAAAUAACAUUAGCAAGCCUAUAUCGAUUUCACCAACUUUUCCACAUUAGCAAAAGUCAUUAUCAUAGUGCACGUGAACAAGCAUGGCAAGCAUGAUUUCACAUCCAAUGAAUAAAGAACAAGAAAGAUAACAUAUAACAAUUUCAUUUAUAAAUUAACUAAUCAAAGGUUGCGACAUGGCAUUAACCAAAAGAUGUAUUUACACCCCGCCCGAGGCUUUGAUAAGAAUCUAUAAGUAAGCGCCAAUUGAAAAAGAAAAGGAUAUGCAAAUUUGAAUAGCUUCCUCCCAAUUAAUCAUUUCUCCUCUUUCUCUUUAUUGAACAUAAGAUUAAUGAGUUUAGCAAGGAAAAACCUUGAUUAGGUAAGAGGAAUUUAUUAAUCAUCAUUUAGAGGUCAACAUCCACAAUUUUUAUUAACUAUUCAAGAAUACAUUUCAUCAACUUUUGUCAAUAUAUACUAAAAAUCUAAUUUUUAUUCAAAUGGUCAAGUGCUUAAUCAAAUUCGUAAAUCGGAGACUAAAAAUUAAGCCCCUAUACGGUCUGGCCAAAAAUCAAAUUUUUAAUUACUUUUGAUAAAAGUUAAUGGCAUAUAGAGUUAAAAAUUAAUAAAAGAUGUGAAACCAAUGAAAUGUAUGAUUAAAAAUAAAUUUGAAACAAAAAAUGAGUUAUAUAAAUUUGGAACAGCUAUAUUCAGAAUUCUAUACAUGUGUGUACCAUAAUUGUUUUCAACAAGUUUUAUCUUUUCCCAAUAUAAGACAAAGUUACAUCAAAACGAAAUGUUAAUGUUCCAUCAUGUUAAAAAUAUUCAUAGUAAAAUAUAUAUAUCAAGACUCAAUCGCACUUUGCAAGUGGAAAUACUGAUUAUAUUACUGCUCCAUCAUGUUAAAUUCGUGAUAUAGGCAACUAAAAAAGUAAGCUUGCUGCUCUUCAAUACCACCAACUAAAAAAAAAAGAAUCCAUUUCCGAUUGUUAGCUUCUAAAUUUUUUGGGCAUCCAUCUCAAUGUCAUUCCUGAUGCUCAUCAUGGUCCUAGCCAUUCAGACAAAGUGUAAAACUGAAGAUAAGUGGGCAGAAAUCGAAGAAGUUUUUGGAAUUUACUGUUAAAUGUGGCAUUAAUUUGUAAUCUUAGGAAAUAAGGUUACAUGCACUUGAAGAAAAUGUAUCAGGAAAAUACAUGAUGCACUUGAAGAAAAUGUAUCAGGAAAAUACAUGAUGCAAAUUCAUGAAUUAUUAGGUGUCCAUUUAUAUUCCCAUGUCUCUAGAGUUAUCCAUGUGGUCCUAUAAAUAGAGGUCAUUCUUGUAGUCUCAUUGUAAGAAAAAAAAAAAGAAAACAUUAUUGAGUGUGCUGUAGCAACUCAAAAACUAUCAAUAAAAAUUCAAGUUUUUCUUCAACACUUCGUUUCCGCACUAACAAAUUUGGUAUCAGAGCCAUAACUUGUAAUUGCAUUUUUUCAUGGCUUUAAUACAAACAGCUUCGUUGUUUACAUAUUCUUCCAGUCAAGUCCCAAUCUUCGAAGGCGAGCAUUAUGAAUACUGGAGCAUCCAAAUGCAAACUUUCUUCAUCUCCUUAGAUCUUUGGGAUGUCAUUGACGAUGAGGAGUACGAAGAACCAUCCGAAGACAAUGAAGAUUACGAAAAAUUGCAAAAAGAAUUUAAAAGAAAAGAUGCAAUGGCUCUCCGCUAUAUUCAACAAGGAGUCGGGAAAUCAAUUUUCCCUCGUAUCUUUGGUGUUAAUAAAGCCAAAGAUGCUUGGGAAAUAUUGAUGCAAGAAUUUCAAGGAACGGAGAAAACGAUCACCUUGAAACUUCAAUCCUUAUGGAGAGACUUUGAUAAUCUCCAAAUGGAAGAACGAGAAUCGGUUUGUGUUUUUUCUUCACGAGUAGCCGAGACAGUAAAUCAAAUCAAAAGCUGUGGUGACACAAUUACAGAUAAAAGAGUCGUGGAGAAAAUGUUAAGAUGCCUUCCUCCAAAGUUUGACCAUGUUGCAGCCGCAAUUGAAGAAUCGAAAGACUUGUCCAAAAUGACCAUUUAUGAGUUAACCGGGUCACUUCUUGCCCAUGAGCAAAGGAUCAAUCAUUCGAGUAACCAAUCUACUACCGAACAAGCUUUCCAAUCAAAGCAAACAUCAAAAAGAAGAAAAUAUUAUUGAGUGUGCUGUAGCAACUCAAAAACUAUCAAUAAAAAUUCAAGUUUUUCUUCNNNNNNNNNNNNNNNNNNNNNNNNNNNNNNNNNNNNNNNNNNNNNNNNNNNNNNNNNNNNNNNNNNNNNNNNNNNNNNNNNNNNNNNNNNNNNNNNNNNNNNNNNNNNNNNNNNNNNNNNNNNNNNNNNNNNNNNNNNNNNNNNNNNNNNNNNNNNNNNNNNNNNNNNNNNNNNNNNNNNNNNNNNNNNNNNNNNNNNNNNNNNNNNNNNNNNNNNNNNNNNNNNNNNNNNNNNNNNNNNNNNNNNNNNNNNNNNNNNNNNNNNNNNNNNNNNNNNNNNNNNNNNNNNNNNNNNNNNNNNNNNNNNNNNNNNNNNNNNNNNNNNNNNNNNNNNNNNNNNNNNNNNNNNNNNNNNNNNNNNNNNNNNNNNNNNNNNNNNNNNNNNNNNNNNNNNNNNNNNNNNNNNNNNNNNNNNNNNNNNNNNNNNNNNNNNNNNNNNNNNNNNNNNNNNNNNNNNNNNNNNNNNNNNNNNNNNNNNNNNNNNNNNNNNNNNNNNNNNNNNNNNNNNNNNNNNNNNNNNNNNNNNNNNNNNNNNNNNNNNNNNNNNNNNNNNNNNNNNNNNNNNNNNNNNNNNNNNNNNNNNNNNNNNNNNNNNNNNNNNNNNNNNNNNNNNNNNNNNNNNNNNNNNNNNNNNNNNNNNNNNNNNNNNNNNNNNNNNNNNNNNNNNNNNNNNNNNNNNNNNNNNNNNNNNNNNNNNNNNNNNNNNNNNNNNNNNNNNNNNNNNNNNNNNNNNNNNNNNNNNNNNNNNNNNNNNNNNNNNNNNNNNNNNNNNNNNNNNNNNNNNNNNNNNNNNNNNNNNNNNNNNNNNNNNNNNNNNNNNNNNNNNNNNNNNNNNNNNNNNNNNNNNNNNNNNNNNNNNNNNNNNNNNNNNNNNNNNNNNNNNNNNNNNNNNNNNNNAUGGAGAACGAAAGCACUACUUGAGCUUGUGCACUCGGAUAUUUGUGGGUUAAUGCAAACUCCCACUUUUGGAAACAAGAGAUAUUUUAUUCUCUUUGUUGAUGACUUCACAAGAAUGAUAUGGGUUUUCUUCUUCAGUCAAAAAUCUGAGGCAUAUUCCACAUUUCUUCAAUUCAAAGCUCAAGCAGAAAGGCAAAGUGGUUUUUUGAUAAAAACUUUAAGGAUAGAUCGUGGAGGUGAAUAUCUCUAUAAUCCUUUCAUGGAAUAUUGCAGAAAAAAUGGCAUCAAAAGACAAUUAACUGUGAGUCGAACUCCGCAACAAAACGGCGUGGCCGAAAGGAAAAAUCGCACAAUUGUUGAAAUGGCAAGAAGCAUGCUAAAAGGCAAAGGACUUCCAAAUCUGUAUUGGGCAGAAGCUGUAAACACGGCAGUAUACAUUCUCAAUCGGUCUCCAACAAAGGCUGUACGGAAUAAAACUCCAUACGAAGCUUGGAACAAAAAGAAGCCAAUGGUUGAUCACUUCAAAAUAUUUGGCAGCAUUUCUUAUGCUCUUAUCCCUUCUCAAAAUCGGGAGAAAUUUGACGAGAAAGGACAAAAACUUGUCUUUGUUGGAUACAAUGAUGAAUCUAAAGGAUAUCGGUUAUUAGAUCCAACUACAAACAAAAUUACAAUUUCACGAGACGUUGUUUUUGAUGAAGCUGCAUCUUGGGAUUGGAAAGGAAAAGAAGUUGUGGACCAGACACCAUACCAUUUUGUUGAUCCAUUAACAUUUAAAGCAGGUCCGUCACAAGUUGGAAAUUUAGAGCAUAAUCCAAACCCUACUCCAAGAAGUGAGGAAGAAUCUGAUCCAGAAAGCCCUCCAAGAAAGACACGUUCACUACAAGACAUAUAUGAGUCAUGUGAACUUGGGUUGUUCUCUAGGGAACCACAAUCAUUUGAAGAAGCCUCAAAAGAAGUAUGUUGGACAAAAGCCAUGAAUGAAGAAAUGUCCACAAUCGAGAAAAACAAAAUUUGGAAGCUUGUUGCCUUGCCAGAAGGGAAGAAAAUCAUUGGACUCAAGUGGGUCUAUAAAAUAAAAUACAAUGAAGAUGGGUCGAUCCAAAAGCACAUUGUUGCAAAAGGGUAUUCUCAACAGCCCGAAAUUGAUUACACUGAAACAUAUGCUCCGGUUGCAAGAAUGGAGACAAUUUGUACUGUUUUGGCACUGGCAGCUCAAUUGGAGGUAUGUGUUUAUCAACUUGAUGUAAAAUCGGCAUUCUUAAAUGGUGAAAUUCAAGAAGAAGUUUAUGUCGAGCAACCCGAAGGAUUUGAAAUCAAAGGACAAGAAGGAAAAGUCUAUCGUUUAUACAAGGCACUUUAUGGUUUAAAGCAAGCACCGCGAGCAUGGAAUAGCAAAAUCAAUAGCUAUUUCAUCCAAAAUGGAUUCAAUCGAAGCACNNNNNNNNNNNNNNNNNNNNNNNNNNNNNNNNNNNNNNNNNNNNNNNNNNNNNNNNNNNNNNNNNNNNNNNNNNNNNNNNNNNNNNNNNNNNNNNNNNNNNNNNNNNNNNNNNNNNNNNNNNNNNNNNNNNNNNNNNNNNNNNNNNNNNNNNNNNNNNNNNNNNNNNNNNNNNNNNNNNNNNNNNNNNNNNNNNNNNNNNNNNNNNNNNNNNNNNNNNNNNNNNNNNNNNNNNNNNNNNNNNNNNNNNNNNNNNNNNNNNNNNNNNNNNNNNNNNNNNNNNNNNNNNNNNNNNNNNNNNNNNNNNNNNNNNNNNNNNNNNNNNNNNNNNNNNNNNNNNNNNNNNNNNNNNNNNNNNNNNNNNNNNNNNNNNNNNNNNNNNNNNNNNNNNNNNNNNNNNNNNNNNNNNNNNNNNNNNNNNNNNNNNNNNNNNNNNNCAGUUUUUCAUGCCAGAUCGAAGCAUAUUGAACUACGUCAUCACUUCAUUCGAGAUUUGGUAAGUCGAGAAGAAAUUUGCAUGGAAUUUAUCAACACAAAUGAUCAGCCAGCAGACAUUUUAACAAAGACAGUCACAUUUGACAAGUUCGAAAAGAUCAAGAAAAAACUCAAGAUUACAAAUUAAGAGGGGGUGUUAAAUGUGGCAUUAAUUUGUAAUCUUAGGAAAUAAUGUUACAUGCACUUGAAGAAAAUGUAUCAGGAAAAUACAUGAUGCACUUGAAGAAAAUGUAUCAGGAAAAUACAUGAUGCAAAUUCAUGAAUUAUUAGGUGUCCAUUUAUAUUCCCAUGUCUCUAGAGUUAUCCAUGUGGUCCUAUAAAUAGAGGUCAUUCUUGUAGUCUCAUUGUAAGAAAAAAAAAAGAAAACAUUAUUGAGUGUGCUAUAGCAACUCAAAAACUAUCAAUAAAAAUUCAAGUUUUUCUUCAACACUUCGUUUCCGCACUAACAUUUACAAGGUCCAUUAGGUCCUUCUCAUCUAAAAUAGAUGACCAGGCAUUUUCUGCAGUAAUUUUGAACCAUGAUGAUAGAGAGCUCCUGCAAACAAGCUAGGUGGUACUAAAAUCUAGUCAAAAGAAGAAAAGAAAACUAGACUAGCGGUCGAGACCGGCAGGACCAUGCCAGGCCUUACUGCUUCAUCCUGCCUGGUUCAUCCUCUACCUGCCUCUAUCUGCAAAGACAUUACCAAAAAAUCUCUCCCAAGCAGCGUAUUACAACCCAUGAAUUAACAUGUUUGGACAAGGUUAAUUCCAAGGCCAAAAACAGGAGCGCCACAUGGCGGACAGCAGCCCUUUCAAUAGGGUGGCGCCCAUGUUGUUGGCCCUGGAAUUCACCCUGGCUGUCUAGCAGGGUUGAAAACCCAUUGAGGAGGGCCUUAGCCAAGGAAGGAGAGAGUGGCCAAGUGGUCAAAAGUGACAGACUCUAAAUCUGCCCAAGUCUACAGAACAAUCACCCAGAUACAUGAAAAACUCAUGUGCCUACAUUAUAGAGAUGUCAAACGGGCAAGGUCGCUGCCCUUCAAAGCAUGCUAAAAACACAAGGCCCAGUACAGCCCAUCUUGACACCUCUAUACGUGCAAUGUAAAAAAAUUUCCUUGGUACAGAAUUUUGAAAAACAAGUUCAUUGGGACCCAUCAAAAAAUGCAAUAUAUACAAUGAGAAAUGCUAUAACACAAUUGACAGAUUAACUAUAUCUUAUGAAUAAACAACCUUCACUUGGAAAUUUGUGCUUUUAUCAUGGUUACGUAACUAUUGCGUGCAAAUAUCACGGGGAAUUUCUGCGAGAUGCUUUUAGUUCUACAUUUAGUGCAAGGCUCAAGUAAGAAAAAAGAAGGAUUAGGUCAGAUUCUUAUUUGACAUCAGCUAUCUACAAUCAUAAGUUACAGUUGGCCGAUAAGAUACAUGUACAUUUGGCGUCAGUUGAAAGGCAAUAAGAUUCCAGAUAAUGUCGCUACCCCAGAAAACAUGUACAAAUCAUAGUGUCUACUUUCUGGUUAAUCUAGAGCAGUCUUCAUGAGAAAGUGAAGUCCUUGUGUCAUUUAUAAUCUUGAAUGACAAAUGCAUUUAGCGCCCGCUUGGUCCCCAUUUUAUUCUCAUUUUUCCAACUUUUGUCAACAAUAGUGGGCCCCCAAUCAAAAAAUCAAACGGCUCCCUGACAAAAAUUUGAGGCAGCAGCUUUUCAGACAUUUUGUUGAAUUUAGAAUUUUUGUCUUUCCACCUCUGCCCUCCAUCUGAAAUUUUAUUCCUUCAUUGUAGCACUUGUUGUCAACUGGAAUUUUAUUUUUUAAUUGAGGGCAAAAUGGUAAGAGAAAUUCAACGGCAUGGUACCUUGUUCUUUCAUUUCUGACGAUUUCUUCAAUGCUGUCGCCAUCAUCUACCACAAAAACUGUAGAAAAAUGAGAUAAGAUAGAAAAAUUGACAAGAACGAGCAUCAAACAGGGGCUUAAUAGGAUUCAACGGUGAAUUCCUUCGUGUAGAGACAGGCGGUACCCUUCUCAAGGACGGGGAUUAUUUUAGAUCCCAAUCUUCCACAUUCUUCGGUACAGAAACGUCAAAGAGGAAUUGACCAAGAACCCCACAAGCACUUAUGCUUGGUGGGCUAGAUAGACUUAUGUAAGGCUCUUUACGUUCAUCCUGCAAAGAUCCAAAAUCUCUACCCUCGUGAUAUUCUAUGGAAUUUGGAACAUAUAAGAAGUCAUUUAAGUCAAGGACAAUCCUCUGGAAACUCUGACUUGAUCUCUCUACGGCUUUUUUUAGAUUGGUCCAGAGAUCUCAUCAUGUGUGCCCUCGAAGCCUAUCUUCUCACCAUCAAGUUGCCGUAAUCUUCUAGAAUAAAUUACAGAAGCUUUUCCAAGCAGCUCAGUCACCGCAGCCUUUUAUUCGAUUGGAUAAUGCCGAAAAUGACCUGCACUACAAACAUAACAUGCAAAAUACAAUAUCAACAAAUAUGAAUUUUUCUAAGAUGCAAUAACAAAAACGUUACACGCCAAUGGUAGUUAGGAAAUCCUCCAAAGAAAAUCUUGCAUUACAGAUUUCAAAUUACUAGUGAUUUACUUAAAAGAAUUAUAUUCCAGUAAGUCAGCUGAUUGUCGGGGACCUAAUUUCGUUGCACCCAAUAAUUAGAACCAUGCAACCUUAACGUUCAAUAAUUUUCGCCCCUCACGAGAAAACGUUAAGUCAGUCUUACAACGCUCACAAAUAAUUUAACCAAUGAGGUUAAAUUAUAACUAUUUUGAGUAGAGAAUUUGUAGGAAAUAUAAGGAAAACAAGGUUGGGAGAACUCUCUUUAUAUAUAGCCCCCAUUUGGUUCUAAUUUUUCACCCAAAAAAAUCAAUUUUUUAACCGUUACUUUCCUAAGUCAACCGUUAUUUUAAAUUUCUUUACUCACAAGUAAAACCCACUUUUUCUCGCUAACAGUCAAAAAAUUAAUUCUCAAAAUCACUACCAAACAAACCCAUAAAUGAAAGGAAAACUUUACAAUUCUCUGAAGUAUUCAAACAAUUCGUUGCAAAUGAUUUACAAAUGAGACUACAUCUCUAUUUAUAGGCAAAACUUUGCAAGUUGUCUUGAAAUCAAUGGCCAAAAUUAAUUUUGAUUCAAGAGUCCUCAUUUGUUGCAAGUUACAUUAACCUCCUUUAAUCAAGUGGUAAUUCUAUACACUUUCCAAUCCAAGAUGCAUGUUACUUUCCAAUCUUAUGUUAGUUGACAUCAAAUGGCAUAUCUCUACAAUUCACAUGCAAUUGAAUAAGUCAUUUUCACAGUAGCCAAAUUGAACUUUAUUUCCUCCUUGACAUUAUCUUGCAAGUGGCACAAGUGGAUAAGUGGCACAAGUUGGCCAAGUUGUCCACUUGUGUCCCAAAACCAUUCGGCCGUAGCCCAUUGUAUUUCUCCUUCCCAAAAUAGUAGUUUUCAACUUAGAGAAAAAGAAAACACCCCUCCAUCUCAUCACUCAAUCAGCCAAAAUGGAUUCAACAUCUUUCUCAAAAGAUUUUGAGACAAUGAGAGGUGCCCUUUGUAAUUUGUUUCUCCCAAGAUCUUCCAAGUCCAACCUAUAUGGCUUCAACAUGCUUACAUGAAAAACUGGAUAAAUCUUCAAAGUACCCAAAAGCUAGUCAGUGGAAACUCUUCCAACUUUAGCCAUCAUGGGAAAAGAACCUUCUAACCGAGCCUUUAUUAACUUUGCGAUAGGCUUUGAAUUAUUGAGGCAACACUUUUACAAGUUCUUGAUCUCCAAUGUUGAACUCCAAUAGUCUCCGUUCAGAUCGACCCACUUUUUCAUACGUUUUCAAGCUUUCUCCAAGCAAGAUCUAGCUAAGUCCGCAUGAUCUCUCCAUGACUUAGCCAUUUUUUGUUACUCCGGGACUUCGAUCUACAUCACCAACCAUAUGCAAGGUAUGAGGCGUUGUGGGCUGUCACCCCGUUGCAAGUUCAAAAAGACUAUGUCCUAUGGAUUCACUUUUCUGCAAGUUGUAGGAAAACUGAGCUAUGUCUAUCAACUUCACCCAAUCCCACUGCUUAGCAUUAACAAAGCGCUGAAGAUAACACUCCAACGGUGCAUUCGCCCAUUCCAUCUACCCAUCCGUUUGUGGGUAGAAAUUGCUAGAAAAGUGCAAACCCGAUCUAAGGAGCUUAAACACCUCCAUCCACAAUUUUCCCAUAAAACUGGGAUAUUGAUCACUUAUAAUAUUCUAAGGCAACCCCCAAUACUUCACAACAUUUUUGAAAUAUAACCUUGCCGUCUCCUCCGCGGUGCAAUCUUUAAGGGCCGAAAUGAAAGUUGUAUUCUUUGAAAAUCAAUCAACAACAACAAUUAUUAAUUCGAGCCCUUCGGACUUUGGCAAGGUACUAAUGAAAUCAAUGACAACCACGUAUCAUGGUUGAUCAAGAACAGGAAGAGGAUCAAGAAGCCAACCGAUAAUGCAAGUAGACUUAGUCUAGGGACGCAGAUAGCCUGUUUUGGUAGAACGCAGGCUGGGGUACGGAGGAAGUUUUCCCAACACAAAAAUGAGGUUUCUCUAAGUUAAAAAAUUGCUAUUUUGGGAAGGAGAAAUACAAUAGACUGCGGUCGGAUGUUUUGGAGACACAAAUGGGCAACUUGUACAAUUUGUGCCAAUUGUCCACUUGUAUCACUUGCAAGAUAAUGCCAAGAAGGAAGCAAAGUUAAAUUUGGUUGCUAUGAAAGUGACUUGUCCACUUACAUGUAAAUUGUAGAGAUAUGCCGCUUGAUGCCAACUAGCAUGAGGUUAGAAGGUGACAUGUAACUUGCAUUGGAAAGUGUAGAGAAUUACUACUUGAUCAAAGGAAGUUAAUGCAACUAGCAACCAAUGAAGACCUUUGGAUCAAAAUUAAUCUUCGCCAUUGAUUCCAAGACAACUUGUAAGGUUUUGUCUAUAAAUGGAAAUGUCUCAUUUGUAAAUCAUAUGGAGUGAAGUGAGAUGAAUACUGGAGAGAGAUUGUAAAGUUUUCCAUUCAUUUAUAUAUAAAGAGAGUUCUCACAAGCUUACUUGUUUUCCUUAUAUUUCCUACUUCAAAUCCUCUACUCAAAGUUGUUAUAAUUUAGCUUCACUGGUUAAAUUAUUUGUGAGCGUUGAAAAGCUAACUUAACGUUUUCUCAUGAGGGAAAAGAAUUAUUGAACAUUAAGGCUGCACGGUUCUAGUUGUUUGGCUGUCCGUGACAUGAUGCUUACCAACUGAGAAAUGAAUUUAGUUAACAAGGUGCAGCGAGCCAUCUGAUUGCAUAUAACAAAGAAGGAAGGUUCAAAAACACGACUAUAUUUUAUUUCCAUGUAUUCUCAGAUAUGAAGCUUUAAUUUAUAUCCUAAGUAGCCAGGUUGAGAAGUAGAUGCACUAGCAACUGCAAUAAUGAAAGCAGUAGAGUGCAGAACAUGACUGAGAAUUCAAGGCAAUAGAGUGUCUCUAGGGCAAAUUUGUAGCAUUACAAAACAUUAAUAAGUUAAAUGCAUCAUACUUCAUCUAAACUAAUUCAAGGCAAUAGAAUGUCUCUAGGGCAAAUUUGUAGCAUUACAAAACAUUAAUAAGUUUUAUACAUCAUACUUCAUCUAAACUCAUAUUUUAUAAAUUAAAACAAUAUCAUUUCUAAUAGUUUAUUAAUAUUAGAUAAAAAAAUAAAAUAAAAUAAAAAAAGAGAAGGGAUUAAAAUCUCUAUGUAAGCUAUUCAUUUAGCAGGAGAAAUGUCAAAUAUAACAGUCUGCAAUAUACACAGAUAUUAUUACUUGGACCAGCAGUUCCUGCUUCAUUUGUCAAACCUAUAACCUGGGACAGGUUAUGGCAAAUGAAAAUAUGAAAUAAGAAUCUGACUUCAUCAUUGUUGCUCUGGCAAAAAUUGCACAGAGGCAUACUUGUGUUUGUAAGGUGCUGAAAAUUUGUAAAUUGGAAACCUCGUGUUAAAUUGCACGCCCUGAGUACAUAUGCCCUAUGAAGUGAAUUUUGUGUCCUUAGGUCAGACCUUUCACUGAGCCACUGAAAUACUGCAUCCAGUGGCCAAUACUGCUCCAUUUAAGCUAACACAAUUUCGUUCGCUCUUAUGAGCACUUAUUUCAGUCAACUGUGCAUAAAUAUAGCCUAAACAUCUCUUCAAAUUUUAUCUGCAUUAAGCCCAUCCCAAGAAAAUCUGACUGUAUAAUACGUUUAUAAGCAUACCUACGUGAGAUGAGUUAUUCCAUUUCCAUCAGCCCUGAGGUCUCUAAGCCUUUGGGUCAAAAUGCAAAUUAUCUGACAUGGAGCGAGAUCAUCAUCUCUUCAAAACAUCUCUUCAAAUUUUAUUUGCAUUAAGCUAACCCAAGAAAAUCUGACUGUAUAAGACGUUUAUAAGUAUACCUACAUGAGAUGAGUUAUUCCAUUUCCAUCAGCCCCGAGGUCUUUAAGCCGUCGGGCAAAAAUGCAAAUUAUCUGACAUGGAGCGAGAUCAUUUCUGGGAAAAAAAAUUAGGUACGAUGCCCCCCAUGCUCUGCAUAAAGAUAAUAAUUAAUCACUGAACAAUCAGUAGAAAGCAACUUGCCAUGGCAUUCCGUGUUUGGCACUUUGGCUAAUCUAAAGAAAUAGUUACCUUCUCCAUUCAUGUUUGCAUACUUACCUUAAGUGGAAAAGAAGUCACUUCUAUUUAAUUAACUCUCACCUUAUUGUCAAAUGAGUAACUUUUUCCAUCUUUGACCAUUAAAAUUUUAUUUAUAUUAAAACUUUUGACUUUACUUAUCAGUAAACUUAUUAAGAUUAACAAAACAUGCUGUAAAUUUAAUGGAUGCUUACUGCAGAGGAGUAAAGAUUCUGCCAAUACUCUGCACGUUGCGCUUCAAAUCUGCCAAGGAAGAAGGCAUCCAGACUGGACGAAAUGCCAUUUGCAAUCCAUGAUGCUAGGAAUGGGGCAGAGGACAUAUCGAGAACAGAUGGAUGAAGAAUAAAGCAAGUGGCCAAGUCACUUGUUAAAAUCCACUGGAGUAGAAUAAAAAAUGUGGCCAGAAACACAGUCUUUAACCGGUCGUAGUCGUCCUUCAGAUGAAACACGCCAUUAGAUAAGCCAUCACUUGUAUCAAGGUUCUUCAUCGAACAAUAUAGUAGAUAACCAUUACUAUUUCUUCUAAAAUGAGAAUAUAUGAUGAGUCAAUGACUAUGGUAUCCGAUUUUUGUUUGUUAUGGAGAAUGGUUAGAGCUCUAUGAUAUUAAUUGUUCAUUUUAUUGUCUAAUCAUGUCCAAUAUUGUGUAUGAGUGCUAAACUUUGGCCAUUAAGCAUCACGGAUGUUUUGACCAACAUCGGUAAGGAGAAACAUAUGCAUAAGCCAUCAACGGAAUGAGAAGAGUAUGUAGAAAGCUACAGAAACAUAUGUUACUUUUAGAAGAAAUGGAAGUAUGUGUUCACAAUUAUAUAAAUAAACAAGAUGUCGAGAUGAAUCAUUAUGAGAUAAAGCAUACCAUAUUGACCUGCUCUGGACACUUUCCUUCAAUUAUCUGCAACCAAAAGUAAAACAGGUUGCGUGUCAACUAUAGCUUCACAUGAAACAUUCAACAUCUGUGGUCUCUAAAAUGAUGAGUGUGAAUAAAUAUAAAAAAUUUACAAAUAUUUUAAGUUCCAGUUGUUGACUACGAGAAUGGCAUUUACCUGGUGAACCUUGUACGUGCUAGCUUUUGGGCCACCAGAAAAAGGCGCAAAGACAACUGGACAUGGCCUGAUUUUUAGCUCAUUUAAAUCAAAUCGAAAUAAAUAUGAGGAAAAGUUAAAACAACAACAUAUAUAGCAAAUUUAAAAUAUUUAGCCCCCGUUUGAGCCACAUUAUUGUAAAAAUGAGAAUGAAAAAUAUAGCUAUUAUGAGCCCUACACAAGAGAUAAAAAGUCAAAUGUGGUGGCUUGAUGUGAUGGAUAACGGUCAUAUUUUUCAUUUUAAUGAGGAAAUAAUGGGGCUCAAACAGGGCCUUAAUAACUAAGUCUAUUGUCAUUGUCAAAUCCCCAUCCCCAGGAUUACUUCGAAUAGUUUCUUUAAUGUAACAAAGAUACGACUCCAAGAGCAAGUCCACCAUUAUAGAUUAAAUAGCAAAAUGAACCACUCAACAAUUCAUGCUUUAUGGUAUGGCUGGGCAUUUGAACUAGAACUGUCGGUUUCAUUCAGGUUCCACAAAAAAAAAAAAAAAAAUUAGGAACUAGAACCUAGUACCAAAAAAUCAAUCAAAUAUAGGAUGGUUCUUAGUUCUUGAAUCAAAACCAUAUGUACGUGACUUUACAAUCGAAUUUAUCUAUUUAUAUAAGUUUUUUCAUUUUACAAUUUAUUCAACUUGACCUAAUGACCUGAUAGGAUGCAGAGGAAACGACGUGAUGGGAAAAAAGUUAGACCAAUGUUGAUUAUCAUGUUUUCAAAGGAAUGAAUUUUUUUUUUUUCUUUUUUGUUCAUCAUUUGUAGAAUCUAUUAAUUCCUUAUUGUUGGUUUCUAAUUUUAGGUUUGUUCUUUGGCUACGUGAUUUCUUUAUGCUCUGUUAGAUAUCAGAUGCUAUUUGAUGACAUAUUUUGUUAGUUAUUGGAUGUUAUUUUGUUGCAUAAUUGCAGUGGACUAAGAAAUCGUCGAAAUAUGUAUUUUGAUGCAUAUUUUAUUUUUUCUAUUUCAUCUAGAUAUUAGAAAGAUAAUUUGUAUUGUCGGUUCACGAUUUUAAAAAAAGAUACAUAUAUUAUAGGUAGAACCUUAUCCAAACCCAAAUAGACGGUUUGGGAUCAAGUCUGGUUUCUGUAACUAAGUGUACCCAAAUGGUUCUAUUUACAAAAUAUCCGAAGUAUAAUGGAUAGUUUUGAGUAUUAAACUACCCGUGCCAACCCAGUAGAUGUCCAUAACUAUUUUAUAAUUUUGAGCGUUGGGCUAUUAAAGGUAUGUCUAUAAGACGAAAGCGAAAAUGAAGAUGCUAAGAUUUGUUUGUAAUUAUACUAAAAUGGAUCUCAUAAAAAAAUGAGAAUAUACAGUAGUAACUGGCGGUGACACCGAUUGAUGAUAAAUUGAAGGAAGCACGACUUAGGUUGCAGGGUCAUGCUUUGAGUCUAUUUAAAAAGGCUAUAUUCAUAAGAACUGACGUUAUCUCAGUGGAGCAAAUUAAAAGAGAAGGUGGUAAACCAAAAUUAACAUGGUCAGUUGUAGUUGUAAAAGGAUCGAAUUGCUUUAGAUCCCCAAUAGUUCUCACAAUGAAUAACCAACUCUACAUUUAUCAGGUAAAAGGCUUAGUUCGUUGUUGUGUUUGCUUGUUUGCUGGAAGACCAUUUGCUGUCAAAUUUAUAACAGCUCUACAUUUCCAAACUUGGAAAGCUUUUAUAACCUCAAAGAAGUUCAGCAGAUUGCUUUGAUGCAGAGCUACUCAAAUACAGAUGGUGAAUACAGAUAAAGAUACUCCUUUAAAAAACUUCUUAUACAAGAUGCAGUUGAAUUUUAUAUGACUGACCUGGACAAAAUUGUUUAUAAUUUCUAGUGCCAACGAUGCUGCUUUGUCGGGAAAGAAUCGGCAACCAUACGAAAAUGAGAAUUGUAAACCGAAUAUUUGUAAAAGAAAAAAGAAAGCUAAAGGAUAGAGUAUGCUUUAUGUAAAUUAUUUAUCAUUCUGCAUGCACCAAGUUCAAGUACCAGCGGUCUAGACAGCAUUUAUAACCGAGAUAUUCAACCAUCCCUACCUAAGAUAUAAAUAUAGAUAUUUCUGAAGAUCCACUAAUGACAAAUUUUCCACUACUAAGACGACUAUGAUUAAUUACAUAUUCUUCAUAACAUAACAACUUCAUGCACAAUCGCUUGAAAUCUCGUUAAAGCCGUCUCUUCUACGAAGAAGGUAUUUUGUGUUCGAAAAUGAGACCCAUAUAUAAGAACAUUGCCAGAGAUGGCCCAUUGAAUUGGUCGCACCUAAGAACUGGAUUAUCAAUGCCUUAAGCGCUUUACAGAUUUGAGUUCUUGAUGAAUUUUCUCUCUCUAACUGUUGGUCGUUCACGUCUUUAUGAUUGAUGAGGACAUGUCAUUUGGGCCUAAGGUUUCUUAAAUUCUAUAAACCAAGAGAAAAGUUUCAUUUUAAAGAAACUAUAUUCUUCACAUUCAAUUUCCCCCCUGUAAAAAGCACUCUGAAAGAUGCUAUAACUUCCCAAACAGCCGUUCAUAUCUAUCAAAAUAUUUUUCUUUCCUUUGGAUACCAAAAAAAUAUUAGAACGCCGUCCAAGAACGAUAGACAACACAUGGUGGCCAAGUUACAUUAACUUACGGACAAACAAAAAAUCACUUUACAGCUCAUGCAACUUUUUACUCAAUUCUGCUAAAGAAGUAGGGCAAUCUAUUCUCCCAUCGCUGUUACAAGAUACCAAGUUGGUUAGGACAACAUCAAUCAAGACAAAAGUUGCAUGACAAUACCAAAAGUCCAGAUUCCUAUUAUUCAGACCCUCACUUGUUAAGGAAAAGUUAUAACCUAUAGAUAAUAUUAUUACUUCAAACAGCAAUUGCUCCAGUUGCACUAUUCCUCUUUCCUCCAGAAUACAAUUCAUCAAAUAUCCCAAUUGUAAUACUAUAUAAUAUCAAGCAUGAAUUCAAGCCCCUGACAAGAGUAUCCUGCAUAUUAACGUAAUCUUUUAUUACUACCUCAACCCACACAAAAAGAACAUCACAUCUAUAUGUGUUUAUCCAUUCCAUGGCCCUCAGCCAGCAUUUUGCAUUUUUUUCAGUCAAGAGUUUCAUUCAAAGUAAUGGUUCCUCCAAAAAAAUUGGAUAAAAUUUUAUAAACUCCAUCAGCUCCAAUCACCUUAUACAUCACUCGGUUCAAACUCAUAAUUUAAAUUAAAGUCAACCAAUAUUCACUAAAUCCCAUGUAAAUCCAAUCCAGCAGAAACAUAUCCCAAAAUUAUAUUAGUGUUUUAAAAAUCACUCUACUAAUUUAAACCUCCCAACAAAAAUCGAAAAACAAAUUCAUAUUGUGCAGCAUAAUCAAGAAACUCGGAAAAAGAAGAUAACACAAUCAAGAAACCAUAGGUCCAAAAAAAUAAAAAUAAAAGUAAAAUAUCACAAACUCACAAAAUGUUGGAAGAUUCAGAUCAGAAUCAGAUUCUAAAUCGUGAAAUUACCAAAAAAAAAAAAAUGGAUGAUGGGAGGGGAGGAGAGAGGUUAAUCUUAGAUUAUAGACUGAGGAAUUGGGAGUGGCAAAUGAUGGAAUUCCAACCAAGAGGGGAAAAUAGAUCAACAUAAUUCUUCAAGUGCUUAUCCUGACUUGAUAUCCAUGAAAAUACUACAAUUAUGCCUUCCACUUUCCCUAUUUCUUCUCCACCAAUAAUACCUUCCUCCAAACCCCCCACAUCUUUUCAAUUUCCUCGAGGAGAAAAAAAACAAUUUCCUAGCACAAUUUUCUGACAAUAAAGAAACAAAUCCCUUUGAACAAAAAGGUAUUUAGCUUUUAAUUGUUUAUUUGUUCAUGUGGAAUAGAUUUUUUCAAGAACUCAUCCGAAAUUCUAAUUGGGGUGUGCCCAUUUCUGCUUCUUAUGGUCUUUCUUGAAAAUUAUAAAGAAUGGAUACUUGUUUUAUGAGAAUUUAUGUGAUGGUUUUAAAUAACAAAAAUGCUACCUAUAUAGCCUAUGCUGUACAUUUUGUUUGACAGGUAUCUCAUAAAAUGUAGAAGUCGUGAUUAUUUUAAUCGUGGGAACUCGUGAUUAUUUUGAUCGUGGCCCCACUUCCUCAUGUGAGAAGGCUAUCAACAAUGCUGUGAAAGAAGUUGUAAUUGUAGCACAAUUUUAUAUAUAAUAACUUGGCUGUGUCGACUUGCAGUUGUUUGAGUUGUAAGGAUUGUAACGAGCAAAGCUUUUUGUAGAACUCAUAUGACCCCUUUGUUAUUUUUGUAGUAUUUUCGAUUGGUGAUAUUCUUUCAAUUUGAGGCCUUGUUACAAGGGACACUUUUUCAAUUCCAUGCUAUUCAUGCCCUCUCAAUCUGAGAUAAUUUUAUAAUUUUUAUUAAGAUUGUUCUUUCAAUCCAGUGUGUGUGUGUGUAUCUUAAUUUAGACCUCUUGUCAACUAGGUGUUGGUAGGAGACGAGACUCUUGCCUCACCCGAGUACUGGUACGAUCCUCUAUAGCUUGAUCUUUCGAGAUUCACAGCAUUUGCAUUGGUCCCACAAUAGUGGUGUCACUCCCAAGGAGACCUUUUAGCCAUUUUUCUUGGCAUCUAAAUCGUCCCUCUAUUUAUUUGGUCGUGAAUUUGCUUCGAGUUCACUUGCCUUAUCAUUUCCUAAUAGUGGAUCUCCUCUUUGAUCAAAUCUACAAAUUCAUCGUACAUUUUGGGUGCUUGAUUGCGAACAUCUCUUCAGAAAGGGAUAGUCACGUCUAAAUCGAACAUCAAAGCCUGAAAAGUUGUAUCUUGUCGAAUGCUUUUUACAUCAAAAUGAAACGGUUGAGACAGCAUAGCAAAGGUUCAUCAAGAUCCUGCCUAACAUCAUGGAUCUUCCCAAUCGGGGUCAAACAUUUUCAUGGUGAACAUAUAGACGAAUUGGUCUUUAGGUAAGGGAACUAUCGAUGCUACCUAGUGAAAGCUUAUUAUACUAUUUUCUAGCUCCUAUUGAGAGUGUAACAUGGAAGUCUUGUAAUUUGUAUAUUGAGCUUGCCCUUAAGAAGUUUAUGUACAUGUUAUAUUCCCAGACAUGGUUUGAGGGAAAUUUUCUAGAUUUUCAGCAUGGCAAAUUUUGGGAAGGCUCUUUAACGCUUUGAUUAGCUUGGUAAAAGAGAUACAUGUCAUAGCUCAUCGCCUUUGGCCAAAACUGCUUGCUCCCCACCCCCUUUUUCGAGAGCACAUAGAGAAGGUUGGUCCUUUUAUUUGAUGAACUUAUUGGGUUAAUCUUGCCCAACUCUUUUACCACAUCCUCUAAGGACCUCGUCCUAGAUGACAUUGAUGCCUUCCAGCCUAAGAUACUACCAGGCUUUGAAGAUCUAUGCUCUCACUCAUGAUAAGAUGCUUGAUUUCCCAAAAGUGGUGCGUAGGUUGCUUGAUUGGAGGAAUUUGAUGUGUAUUCUCUAUGCAUAGAGCCCUCUACGUUGCUCUCACAUUCAUUCUCUUGGAGAGGCGGAAUACCUUUUCUUGAUGCAUCAAGAGUUGCCUUAUAGUAACAUUUUCUUUAGCAAAAUGUUAAAUGUUGGCCGCCAUGUUGCUAUAGCUCGAGUUAGCUUAGCCACGGUUCUUUAUGGAUUUGGGUUUCUUCUCAAAGUAUUUCUUGUUGAAACAACAUGACUUUCAUUCUAGCUCCCCUCGGGUUCUCAUCGCUGUUUGAUCCACUUUACUCUUCUUCUUUUUUUUUUACUUUUCUUGCUUCUCGCAUAUUCUCUUCUGGAGCUCAGCAUUCUUACAUCUUUGUUUAGAAUCUACUUCUUAGUAAAAGAUAAAAUUUUGUGGAUAUCAUUUGCAUGCAAAUAAUUAUCGAUGCCGAGUUCCUAAAUUCAUCAUCACUGAUAUUGGAAAACUCUUUUACAAUAGUCAUAUAAAUAAUCUUUGCGCCAAGUUUGGGCUCAAAAAAUACAACCCAUACAUGUACAAUGCGAAAACUACUUUGUUGAAAAAUAUUGUUUCCAAUUUAUUAGGAACUGGCAUGAAAAAAAUUGAGAAAGUCUUUGGGUUUGUCACACUACUUACUGGACUCAACAAAAGUUACUCCUUAUAUCCUUGUGUAUGGAGUGGAACAUUUCCUUAUAAUGUCAAAUUUCGUAAUUGUAUUAGCCAUCCAAGAAGUUUUGUUGAUGAACGAGAAUGUUCCUUUUUUGACUUGAGGAGUUUGCAUCUUUGAUUGAAAAGCGAUUAGAGGCAUAAAUGCUUCGAGAAUGUUAUCAAGCUCGGAGGGCAAAGGGCUUCAACAAAAAUGUGUAGCCAAAAUAAUUCUAAGUUGAAAAUAAUUAACUCCGAGAGAAAUUCAAACUUCAAGAAGAAAAAGAAGCUUGGAGAUUGAACACAAGAAAAUUUCUCCAGUGCAAGGUCAAAAGUUUCAAGAAUAAAGUCUUCUUCAAAUCAAAAUCAAAACAAACCCCCCAAGUCCCGAAAAUUCAAGUCAAGCCCAAAUCCUGAAGAUUCAAGCAAAUCAAGUUUCCAAUAGACAUCAAAGUCUAAGAUUCAAGCCAAAUGAUCCCGUAGUCUUCAAUACACUACUCACUAAUUAGAGGAUUGUGAAUUUUGUAGUCAUAAGAAAAUUAUACACUUAGUAAUUUUCCAAAAUCAAUUUGCAAUAUUUUUUAUAUCUUGUAUAUGAAAAUUGUUGUACAUGGCCUAUUUCGAUAAAUAAGAUUUGUGUGCGGACUUGGGCAAAACAAAUGUUACAUAUGUGCAGUUGAAUAAUAAUGAUUUGUCACUUAAUUUGUACUACAGAAGUUUGAUCUUCUACAACCAAUGGAAAAAAUAAAAACUUUUCACUGCUGAAACGUGAGAUCGAUUUCAUUGUUUUACAUGCAUAAUUGACGCAUGCAACAGUCAAUACAUGAAGUCAUCAUGCUCAUAUUGCAAUCCAUGAAUGGUACAAGUCUCUAUCGAUGUAAAGUAAAGACAUAAUAUGUUAUACAAAGGCAUUCGAAAGCUUGUAAUGUGAAACUUUUGUAUGUGUGUCAUCAUUUAUAAGGACACGGCCUACUCCAGAAAUUGACAAUUAAUUGCCAUGAAUAAUGUUAUUUGCAUUUGCUCACUACUGCAAUUAACAUACAUGUAACGGUUAGUGAUUUAUUGUACAAAGUAAUAAAAGACCACCACAUUGAUGUAUCAAAUCACUAACCACCAUAUAUACGCCACAUAGAACGAUUACGACAGUGAAUGACUGCAUAUAGCAUUACGCAAUUGCCAUAUAUCAUCUUAGUUGAAAGUUGGAACAACCCGAAAGCAAACUAUAUAAUUACGCAUUGAACUGUGUAAAACUAUAACUAUUAUAUUAAAUUAAAAUUCCAUCAAAUUAAGAGGUAAACAUUUAAUGAUAUUUCGACCUAAAAAAUUGAUAAGCUUCGGGAGAAAACAUGAUAUUAAUAAUAUUAAUUAAGAGGAAAUUACAAAAAAAAUGUCUAUUUUGAAAUAAUCGUUUAUAAAAAUGUCCAAAAUUUUUCAAUAUCUACUUUUGCAAUUAUUUGGAUGAGAGUAUCACUAAGUACCUUCCAUGAAAAACUACAUUAAAAUGAUGUUCUCGAUAUUUCAAAUGUUGUUCUCGAUAUUUGAAUCUGUUUAUAUUUCAAAAGUACACAUAUUAAAUCAAAAUAUUAAAUGUUCUCGAUAUUUCAAAUGUUGUUCUUAACAUAUUAAAUAUCUAGAAUGACAUUUCAUUCCAAAUAUGACAUUUCUCUCCAUUUUAAAUGUUGUUCUCAACAUUUCUGUGUCUAGUAUUAAUUGUGAUUUGACAUGUGCAAUAUGAAAUUAUUUAUUCUUCAUUAAGGGUAAAAUAGAGAAUUUGGUGUCAAAUUUAGCCAUUUUUGUAAAGAUUAUCAAAAAUGAACAUUUUUAAAUUGACAUAUGUGAAAUUGGACAUUUUUACAAAUGUCCCAUUUAUUAAUUGGUCAAACUUCAUGAUCAUCACGUAACGAAAACUAUCUAUUGUCUAACCAAGGAUGACAGAAAAUAAAAAUUGUCUCGUUUAAUAAACUUCUAGCUGGUGAAUGUAUCACUUGAUUAUAAUUAAUGUUAUAUUAAAUAAUAAAAAAAUUCUAGUAAGACCAAAUGUUCACGUAGGACAUGACUAUUCUCCAAUAGUUUUUUUUUUUUAAUUUAAAAGAAAAAAAAAUGUUAAACAUGCUACGUUGAGUACCAGAAAUGAUUAACAAUUAUUAUAGUGUGCUUAAGGGCCCAUAAUUAUUCUAACUUUUGUCACUUGCUGAUGCUUUUGACCUCUGCGAAUCAUUUUUUGAACAAUGAAAUCCAUAACAUAAAGGUGAUUAAGUGAGAUGGAGCCUUAAACGAAUCCCGGUGAGCAGUUGCAUUAAUUAAACACGUGUGUGUGCAGAUAGCUGUACAUUUGUCCUUAAUCUAUUUAUUGAAUAGCAAGUUUUUAUUUUUUAUUUAUUUUUUAUUUUUUAUUUUUAAUGAAGUUGCACAUCAACGACAAAAAUUGUCCAAAUCUUCAUUAAACCACACAUGAUCCUCACAUUUCUAAAUUUUAACUUCGUAUAAUUGAAUUGUGUUUUGCAAAUUGGACCAAUAUUUAAAUGGGACAUGUUUGUUAUUGGAGUUUUUCAUGAUAUUUGUACUUGAUUUUAAUUUGUUAAAUUAUACGGAAGUCAACGUAUAGUUGACUAUCUUGGUAACUAUGGCUUAUGCUCAUCCAUUACAUAUAACGUUUUGUGAUGAUAUUAGGCAUUUAACACAUUUGGCCCCAAAAAGAAACACAACUUUUUUUACAUUUAGAUGUUCAAUAUUUAAUAAAAUAAUUAUAUAUUUUGUAGGUAAAUGGACACCUUGAUAAUUUUGUAAUUAAUUUUAUUAUUAUCGUUUGAUGUUGAGACUUCAUAUUAAAUAAAGAGGAAAUUUCACAAAAUGUCCAUUUUUACUUAGUCAUUUGCAAAAAUGUCCAUAAUUGCAAAAAUGUCUAAUUUGGAAGAAUUUAGACCAAAAUACCCUUAGUAACAAUUUAUAAUUCCACACUAAGACAAAAAAGGGACAUUUUUGCAAUAUUGUUAUUGGUCAGUAAAAUUUUGACACAUAACCUGUCAUAUUUAUUUCAAAAAGUAUACAUAUCAAAUUACAAUAAAUGCUAUAUUUUUCAUUGAUUCAGAAAUGUAGAGAAACGCCAUGUUCAAAAUGAAAUGUCAUUCUAGACAAAUGAAACGGUGUUCAAAUGUCGAGAAUGACAUAUGAAAUGUCUAGAAAUAUUAUUUUAAUGUAACUUCUCAUAGAAGCUACUUCUCAAAAUUCGUGACAAAUUGAUAAAAAAAUCAAAUGUCGAGAACGACAUUUAAAAUGUCGAAAAUACAAUUUCAAAAUGUAGCUUUUCAUUAAGGGCAUAAUAGACAAGUUGGCACUAAAUUCGAAUGAGUGGACACUUUUCAACUCAUACCUUUAAAAUUUGACAUUUUUAAAAAUGCCCCUUAAAUACAUGUUUCUAAAAUUUAUUUUCCAGCAGCACAAUAAAUAGUCACAUUGCUCACAAUUAGAAUGGUCAAUAAAUGUAGUAGCGUAAUGCACUUUAAUUCUUCACAGAGAAAUUUUACUAAAUAUAAAUUAAUAUAUAGUUUCAUCAAGAAUAAUAUUCUUACCAUAUGCAUCGUGUCUUACUCACACUUAAAAAAUAAAAAAUUGGGAGGUGUAGUUUGGUGAGCCAAUCACGCUUAUGGAUUAAUACCACUUUAUAAGUUUUGAAAAGAAGUCAAACCAUUCUCUAUCUCAUAUAUGAAGUUGAGAUUCUCACUCACACUUAAAAAAUAAAAAAUAAAAAAUUGGGAGGUGUAGUUUGGUGUGCCGAUCACGCUUAUGAAUUAAUACCGCUUUAUAAGUCUUGAAAAGAAGUCAAACCAUUCUCUAUCUACUAUAUGAAGUUGAGAUUUGACAGAAAAUGGAAGAUAUGCAAGUAAAAUUUGUUAUUCGGCUCGAUCCUCAACCUCCAUUUAACUUGGUCUUUGUGCAAUCAUGUCGUCAUCUUAUUAUGUUCAUCAAUUAUGCUUACACAUUUUUGGUAGAGCUCCACAUCAUUAAUGGAAGUAAAGAUUUUAUUUUAUAAGUUUUGUGAGGCCUAUGAUCAAGUACCAACAUGGUGAAGUGAUAGAAUAUGAUCCUAAUAAUUGAAUUUGUAAUCUGACUAUGAAAACCCUCAUCCGCAUGAAUACUUUCUUUAAUGUAAAUUCGAUUUGUGUUUAAAAUGUUCAAUUUUCAAUAAUAUAUUAUAGUCUUUCGAACGCUACGCCAUGGCCAAGUGAGGGAAUGCAUUAAGCACAUGAUAGUGCCUGCUUCAGCGAGGAAAGAAUCCAUUUUAUUUUUAUUUUUUUGGCUUGUUUAACAUAACUUUUUGUUUUUACUUUUAUUUCUGCUUCCUUUAGAAGAGUGAGGUUUUUGUUUUUGUUUUUGUUUUUUGAAAUUACCUUAAUUUUCAGUGGUGAAACAAAUUUAUGAUUAUGAUCAUCUUCAAAUGCUUUAACAAUCUAAUAGCCACCUUCAAUGUCGUUUGAGAUUCGCAUGUUAGCCUUACAUCUACCUCUAACCGUUGAGCAACUUUUUCCUUUUGUAGAACCCUAUAUCUGACAAUUCUCUAUUUCACUUAAUCCUUCAAAAAUCUUCCUACUAUAAUAUUUUCUUUCAUGUGAGCACACAAAUUUAAUAAGUGUAAAUUCAUUUAUACGUGGGUGUUACUUAACUACUGUUUGAGUACGAAUCCAUAAACCAUUUUGUCGUCCAUAGUCUUCGUGUUAUGCCCUUGCUUCCUUUGCCGUCUUAAAUUUCAUCCCAAUGUAAGGCGCUUUGCCUUGUAUUGACGAUAACCCAAUCUCAUCAAAUUGAUACGCAUGUACAUAAUUACCACAAUUGGUUGCACCCAUCUACAAAACAAUUUUGAAAGAAUCAAUCAAUGAUAUUGAUUGCAUAGAAUUACCGAUAAUCAAAUUCAUUGUUGAAUAACUCGUACAUAUAUUUUCUUAAACAAAUUGUAGCAUACUUAAUUUUUAAAGUAUUCCCUGUUGAAGUAUAUAAUAACAUUUAUUAACCAUUUUAUUAACACUUCAAGCUAGUGAUAGCAACGGGGCGGGGUUAACAUUUAUUAAUCAUUUUACUAACACUUCAAGCUAGUGAUGGCAACGGGACGGAUUCGGGGCAGGGGGCUCCCACCCAGUCUUGCCCCGCCCCAACCCCACCCGCUCCGUUUAGGCGUGGUUGGGUUCGGGGUAGUUUUUUGCCCCAUUUACUACCCCAUUUAACUUUUUUUUUUUUUACACAUUUUCAAAAUUUAGAGUUAUAUUAUUAAAUUAUUAAAUACAAAUUCAAAAUUUAAAAAUUCAAAACAAAUAAUGCUCAAAUUAAAAUCAAUAUUCAAAGAAACACUUGAAAAAACAAUAUCCAAUAUAUUCACAGGGAGGGUUCGGGGCGGGGCAGUCUCAACCUAUCGGGGCGGGUUUUUUUGCCCCAUUCAGGACCGGGGCAUGGCGGGCGGGGUAAAUUGUCAUCUCUACUUCAAGCAAAUUAAAACUCAAUUAUAACCUUUAAAUCACAGAUGAAUCAAGCAUUAUGCUGAAAUUGAUGCAACACUACUCAAACUGCAUGAUACAUUAUGUGGAAAUCAAAAGAAAAUAAACACGGAUCCUUUUCCCACCAUUCAUGAUAAAUCAGAUUUGGAUAUUAGAGGAAAAUCAGAUUCAAGAACAUGAUAUAACACAGUUUUGUAGAAUGAUCAAAAUAACAAAAUCGAAACCUCACGUGAGAUUUUGGUUGAAAAACAGUUAACCGCUUACAGAAUCAUACCUAAAAAAAUUACUUCAGUUCUUAUUCUGCUUUCUCCUAAAUAAAUGAUUUGAUGACACAAUAGGAAUCCUCUAAAAAUUUAUACAUGGGCAAAGAAAUUCUUUACAUGCAGUGAUGAUUUGAAGAUUCAAUUUUGUGAGGGAGAUGAUGAAUUUCGGUGGUGAUGGAGAAUGCAUAAGAUGAUAGAAAAUCAUGAUGUUGUUGAGAGAUUUUAGGGAUUAAUAUAAGGUAAUUAGGGGUGUUUGGAAGUAAGAUUAUGAAUUCUUUCAUGUUUUAAUAUAUAAACUCCUAGCAUUGGAUUGAUUUUAAUUAAAGAUCACGAUUAUUUGUCAUAAAUACUUGUCAAAUUAAUGGGUAGACUUCCCUAUGCUCAUCAGAUAUGAGCCGCUGGUGAAUUUGUCGGAUAGACAGAUCUUUGUGAAAUUGAAUCAAUUGCUUAGGUGAUUGCCCUUUAGCCCUUUGUUUGACCAAAAAGACUCCCAUGAGUUGGAUGGGCUAAUGCUUAAAGAUAAAUUUCAAGAGAUUCCCUAUUUUAAUUUUUGAAAAUAGAGAGUGGGUAAAUAUACGAAGAAAUUAAUAAAUAUUUCUUGAGAAAAGUAAAAGAAGAAGACAAAAUAGAAAGUAUUAUUGCAGAGAAUAAAAUUUAGACUCUCUAUAUAAUGCAUAAAAAAAUUUUUACAAAUAAAAAGUUUGUUGAAGUUGAUCUAAUGAUGGUAUAAAUGAAAGAUUUGGAUAAAAUUUGUAAAAAAAAUAAAAAUAAAAUAAAUAAAUAUGUUGUAAAUGGAAAGUCCAUUAAAGUUUAUUGGUGAAUGACAUUUGUACCCCUGUAACCCUAGAAAUUAUUACCAUUGUAUCCCUAAUUCUUACCUAUAAAUAUAGGGCUUUGAUUUUCAAUAAUAUACACAAAAAGUUUAUUGAAUUUUCUCUAUUCUCUUUGAGUUUUCUCUAUUCUCUUUUCCUCUCAUUUUAUAACACGUUAUCAGCAUGAAACUCUUAGAAGAUAGUAAUUUUUUUUUUCAUAAUCAUCUAUCACGUAUAUCAAAAUUAAUUUGAUAAUACGUGAAUUUUACAUAUACAUAUGUUGAAUCUGCAAUACGUGAUCUCAUCUUUCUCGAUCAUUAUGUUUUCUUUGUACCUCUCUUUGAAUUAAUUAAUUUUUUUUCCUUUACAUCAAUCCACGUGCAUUUUUAUGGAGAUAUAUUUAUGUUAAGUCAAUUGAUAUGUAUUAAUUCAUGUUCCUAUACCCUCCUUGUAUUUAGAUUAGUCCUUUACAUUCUACACAUGCUUAUAAUUUUUUUUGGUUUAAUUGGUCAAUGUUCUUUGUAAGCAAGCUUCAAUUCCAGAUCUCUAUUUUGGCUUAUUCCAUAUAUAUAUAAUAUACAAUUAACAAAUAACUGUACCCAACUCAUCUUUUCUCUCAAAUCCAUUGGUUUCUGCAAAUUUCAUGCUUUAAUUGGUUAAUACUAAUUCAAUUCUUUUAAUUGCACAUAAUUAGAAUUUCAUGCCAUAAUAUGUGAAUAGGUGUCUACAUGUCACCAAUUUUUUUUUUGUGUUUCACUCGACUCACGUUAUUAAUUGAAAAUAAUAUUUUACAUGUGUUUGUAUAUUAAUUAAUGGUGAGCAAUUGGAUGUAUUAUCAUUUUUUUUAUGUUUAGUUAUGAAACAUUACAUUAAAUUUAUUUUUAAUUGUUGUUACUCCUGAAGUAGCACAACAUUAUAAUUAAUAUUCUAGAAGAAUAUUAAUCAUAAAUCUAUUCGUUGUUGCUCCAGAAGUAGCACAACAUUAUAAGAAUAUUAUUUACUCCUGAAGAGUAUAAAUUAUAACUCUCAAUAUUCCAGAAAAAUAUUGACAUAUUGCACUUGAAGAAAUAAUAGCAAAAUAUAAUGUACUUCAGAAGUAGCAUAUGUUUCGAAGAACAUAUUAUUUCAAAUUAGUGUUUAUCCCUAGAAGAAAACACGUAAUUUAAAGUCAUGUUGAUAUUGACUAUUUGAUUAACUUGUGAUGAUUAAUCAUAUUCUUCGAAACUAAUUAUAUUUUUUUAUUGUGUAGUUAAAUAAAUGGCAAACAUUACGAAACUUGAGUUUGCUGCACUUGACAUAUCUGGUAAAAAUUAUCUGUCAUGUAUACUGGAUGCUAAUAUCCAUCUCGUCUCAAAGGGUCUGGGAGAGACAAUAAAAGAAGGAAACAACGAAUCCUUGCAGGAUCGUGUAAAAGCACUCAUUUUCCUUCGUCACCAUCUUCACGAUAGAUUAAAAAUUGAGUAUCUCACUGAGAAAGAUCUACAAGUUCUUUGGAAAAAGUUAACUGAAAGAUUUGAUCAUCAAAGGACUAUAGUCCUCCCCAAAGCCCGUUAUGAGUGGAUGUACCUUUGUUUGCAAGUCUUUAAAACGGUUAGAGAGUACAAUUCUGAAUUGUUCAGAAUAUGUUCAAAGUUGACUUUGUGUGGAGAAAAAUCACUAAUGAAGAUAUGUUGAAAAAAACUUUCUCCACCUUUCAUGCCUCGAAUGUGCUCCUGUAGCAGCAAUAUCGUGAGCGUGGCUUCAAAAAGUACUCAAAACUUAUAUCUUGCCUAUUAGUUGCUGAACACAAUAAUGAAUUGUUGAUGAAAAAUCAUGGAUUACGUCCAACUAGUUCUGUACCAUUGCCUGAAGCAAAUGGUACUACAUUGUCUGAAGCAAAUACAAUAUCAAGACAAGGACGUGGAUACGAAUUUGGAGGUGGACACAAACACGGACGUGUACGUGGAAUAAAUCAUGGAAGAAAUAAUCAACAAAAUUAUCAACAACAAGGUAAUAAAUUCAAAAGGCACAAAGCAAACGAGAGUGACAAAUCUAAAAAAGAGCAUGAAGAAAGUUGCUUCAAAUGUGGAAUGAAAGGGCAUUGGGCACGUAUGUGUCGUACCUCAAAAUAUCUUGUGGAUCUCUACUAGAGAUCAAUCAAGGGAAAAGAAAAAUUAGAGACUAAUUUUGCUGAUUAUGAUGGUCCAAUUGAUGUGACUCAUUUGGAUGUCUCCGAUUUCUUUACUGAUCCAAAUGAAAAUAUUGACCAUUUGGUUGGGGUGGUGUGAUAGAAGAUAUAAAUUAAUUUACUAGUAUUUCUUUCGUUUUAGAAAUUCAGUCUGAAAUAUGUUUUUACUUUUUUGCACAAAAAAAAUAAAUAAAUAAAACUCUAUUAUGCAAUGUUUAUUUCAUGAUAUUAAGUAAUGUUUACUUCUUUAAAUCUAAAUUCAAGUUUUUUUUUAAAAAAUUUGUUUAUUUUGUUAUAUUUAUAUAUUCAUGAUGAAUAGUCAAGACAGCUGCUUAAUUGAUAGUACAACUACACAUACUAUUCUUCAAGAUAAAAAAUACUUUUUGGACUUAAUAUUAGCCGAAAAUAAUGUUAACACGAUAUCGGGUGCGUCGAAUAUCGAUGAAGGCUCCGGAAGAGCUUGUAUUAUUUUACCAAAUAAUACAAAAUUAUAUAUUGACGAUACACUUUAUUCUAACAAAUUCAGAAGAAAUUUGCUUAGUUUUAAAGAUUUCGCUGCAAUGAAUAUCACAUUGAGACAAUGCAAGAAAAUAAUGUUGAAUAUCUUUGCAUCACUUCUUUUGUAUUUGGCAAGAAGCAGAUAAAAGAAAAAUUUCAUGCACUUCCGUCUGGGAUGUAUUUUACAUUUAUAAAAAUGGUCGAAUCAAAUAAUGUUACGAAUCAGAAGUUCAUUGAUUCAAAAAGUUUUAUACUUUGGCAUGAUCGACUUGGACAUCCAGGAGCCAUAAUGAUGCGUCGAAUAAUAAACAACUCACAUGGACAUCUUUUAAAGAACCAAAAAAAUUCUUUUUUCUAAUGAUUAUCCAUGUGUAGCUUGUUUGCAAGGAAAGUUAGUCAUUAAACCUUCAACUACAAACGUCAAUAUUGAAUCUCCAACUUUCUUGAAAAGAAUACAUGGAGAUAUAUGUGGGCCAAUACACCCACCAUAUGGACCAUUUCGUUACUUUAUGGUAUUAAUUGAUUCUUCUACAAGAUGGUCACAUGUUUGCCUACUUUCAACUAGGAAUGUAGCAUUUGCUAGACUACUUGCUCAAAUCAUAAAAUUGCGUGCACAAUUCCCCGAUUACUCAAUCAAGACUAUUCGUCUUGACAAUGCUGGUGAAUUUAGAUCACAAGCAUUUGAUGAUUAUUGUAUGUCGAUUGGGAUUGAAAUUGAACAUUCAGUUGCACAUGUUCAUAUACAUAAUGGUUUAGCAAAAUCGUUUAUUAAACGUCUACAACUUAUUGCUAGACCAUUACUUAUGAAAACAAAACUCCCAGCUUCUGUUUGGGGUCAUGCCAUAUUACAUGCUGCAUCAUUGGUUCGUAUAAGACCAACUGCCUAUCAUCAAUAUUCACCUUUGCAACUUGCAUUUGGUCAUGAACCUGAUAUUUCUCACCUACGGAUUUUUGAUUGUACUGUCCAAGUUCCUAUUUCACCCCCCACAACGUACUAAAAUGGGUCCCCAACAAAGAUUUGGGAUUUAUGUGGGUUUUGAUUCACCAUCUAUUAUUAGAUAUCUUGAACCUUUAACGGGUGACUUAUUUACAGCACGUUUUGUAGAUUGUCAUUUUGAUGAAAUGACUUUCACAACUUUGGAAGGAGAAAAACUACAUUCUGAAAAACAAGAUAGAAUUUCUUGAAAUGAGACAACUCUAUCUCACUUUGAUCCCCGCAGCAAUCAAUAUGAACAAGAGGUUGAAAAAAUCAUUCAUUUACAAAGAGUUACAAUUCUACUACCUGAUAUAUUUGUUGACAUGAAAAAAGUGACAAAGUCAUUUAUUCCAGCAGAAAAUAUUUCAGCAAAAAUUAAUGUCCCUACAGGACAAUCUACUGUGGCAAAUGAAUCUCAAAUACGCCAGAAGCGUGGUCGACCAGUUGGUUCAAAAGACUCUGUACCUAGAAAAGAAGAGUACAGAAGAAAAACCAACCAAAAAUUUCAGAAAAAAUCACAUUAGAAAAGAUUGAUCAAUUAAAUAUUGAAUGUACGGUUCCUGAAGAACCAGAGGUGUCUGAAAAUAAUGAGAUUUCAAUAAAUUAUAUGAUAUCUCAUAAAUUAUGAGAACGGAAUAAUAUUGUUAUAGACAAUAUUUUCGCCUUUAACAUGGCUCUUGAUAUUAUACAAAAUGAGGAUCCUGAACUACAGUCUGUUAAUGACUGUUGAAAUAGAAAUGAUUGGCCAAAAUGGAAAGAAGCCAUACAGGCAGAAUUAAAUUCUUUGGAGAAACGAAAAGUGUUUGAACUAGUAGUUUGAACACUUGAAAAUGUAAUUUCUGUUGGAUACAAAUGGGUUUUCGUACGAAAGAGAAAUGAGAAUAAUGAAAUUACAAGAUACAAAGCCCGACUAGUGGCUCAAGGUUUCUCCCAAAGACCGGGAAUUGAUUAUGAGGAAACAUACUCUCCCAUAAUGGAUACCAUCACUUUUAGGUUCUUAAUUAGUUUGACCGUGUCAUAAGGGCUCGAUAUGCGCCUUAUGGAUGUUGUAACUGCCUACCUAUAUGGUUCACUUGAUAGUGACAUAUAUAUGAAAGUCUUUGAAGGAUUUAAGGUGCCAGGAAUAAAUUAUACAUAUCCGAGAACUAUGUUCUCAAUUAAAUUGCAAAAAUCAUUAUAUGGAUUGAAACAAUCCGGACGCAUGUGGCAUAAUUGCCUUUGCGAAUAUUUGUUGAAAGCGGGUUAUAAAAAUGACAAUAUCUGCUCAUGUGUUUUCAUAAAGAAAACAAAUAUUGGAUUUACAAUUUGGCAGUUUAUGUUGAUGAUUUAAAUUUAAUUGGAACUCCUGAAGAGCUCAACAAAAAUGCAGAUUAUUUGAGAAAUGAAUUUGAGAUGAAAGAUUUGGGGAAAACCAAAUCUUGUCUUGGAUUACAAAUUGAACAUUUUCCAGAGGGAUUAUUUGUUCAUCAAUCUACUUAUACAGAAAAAGUCUUGAAGCGCUUUUAUAUGGAUAAUGCACAUCCAUUGCCAUCACCUAUGGUUGUUCGAUCACUUGAUGUGAAAAAAGAUCCAUUUCGUCCACUUGAAGAUGGAGAAAAGAUUCUUGGUCUUGAAGUGCCAUACCUUAGUGCAAUUGGAGCAUUAACUUAUCUUGUAAAUUGCACUCGACCUGACAUAGCUUUUUCUGUAAAUCUCCUUGCAAGACAUAGCUCUACGCCAACUCAAAGGCAUUGGAAUGGUGUUAAACAUAAUUUUCGUUACCUAAAAGGUACUAUUGAUAUGAGACUAUUUUAUUCUCAAAAGUCAGGAUCUGCUUUAGUGGGAUAUGCAGAUGCAGGUUAUCUCUCCGAUCCACAUAAAGCUAAAUCACAAACAGGAUAUGUGUUUACACGUGGAGGAACAGCUAUAUCAUGGAGAUCUGUGAAGCAAUCCUUGACAGCAACAUUCUUACAUCAUUCUGAGAUUAUUGCAAUCCAUGAAGCAGGGCGAGAAUGUGUAUGGUUGAGGAAUAUGACCCAUCAUAUCCAAUCAUCAUGUGGAUUGACUUCAAUAAAAGAUAGUCCAACAAUUUUGUUUGAAGAUAAUGCAGCUUGUAUCGCACAACUCAAGGGAGGCUAUAUCAAAGGCGACAGGACGAAGCAUAUUUCUCCAAAAUUCUUUCAUACACAUGAACUUCAGAAGAAUGGUGACAUUGAUAUUCAACAAAUUUACUUAAGUGACAAUGUGAUUGAUCUAUUCACAAAAACGCUGUCAACAUCUACAUUCAAGAAAUUAGUUCAUGAGAUUGGAAUGCGUCGACUCAAAGAUUUUCAGUGAUCAAUAUUAGGAGGAGUAGCUGUACUCUUUUUCCUUCGCUUAGGUUUUGUCCCAUUGGGUUUUCCUAGCAAGGUUUUAAUGAGGCAGCAUUUAAUUUUAAUACUCCAAAAUAACUGUACUCUUUUUCCUUCAUUUAAUUUUUUUUCCCCAUUGGAUUUUUAUCAAACAAGGUUUUAACGAGGUAGAUAUUUUGUAAUAUGUCAUUCAACGAAGAGUGUUGUAAAUGGAAAGUCCGUUAAAGUUUAUUGGUGAAUGACAUUUGUACCCCUGUAGCCCUAGAAAUUAUUACCAUUGUAUCCCUGAUUCUUACCUAUAAAUAUAGGGCUUUGAUUUUCAAUAAUAUACACAAAAAGUUUAUUGAGUUUUUUCUAUUCUCUUUUCCUCUCAUUUUAUAACAAAAUAGUAAUAAUAAAUGAAAGAUUUGGAAUUACAACUGUAUUAUUCCUACGAUGGUUAUGUUGCCACCAUAAUUUCUAUUUGUCACACCACAAUUUAAUUGUAGUUAAACUCCCAAAUCCAUGCUCAUUGUAAUAAUUAUUUCCUUUAUUUUCGUUGAAUUUUUAUCUUCAACUUUCAUUAAUUAGUACAUCACGUCCUGACGAUAAUUUAUGUUAAAAUAUUUUGUGUACAUGCUCUACAUUAAGGGAAAAUAAAAUUUUUUUAAUUUUUAUAUAUGAUAAAAAAUAAGUUGUUGUAAGCUGUUUUUUUUUAACAUAAAUUGUUAUCAAAUACAAAAUAUAUUUGUAGUGGUCCAAAUUAUCCGUUGGGCUCUUGACCCAAUCCAUGUAUAUUGAAUGUUCCUAGCCCAAACUAAUGUAUGCCAAUCAUGCUCAUCCUUGACCCACUAAUGAUUUAUCAGUCUUACUUUGUGUCCGACCUAUCACACGGUGUCACGUAGAGUCUAAAGGAUAAACUUCUCAACAAGCAAAUCAGUUCAACUCACCAUCUUUUCUAUAAGAGUCGUGAGCUAAGGGUAAGACCAUGUCUUACGAGGUGUUCAAAUGGUUAUGGUAACUCUACCCAAAGUUGGUCGAGUUUUUCGAAACUCGGAAAAUAUCAUCCUAAUUAAUCAAUCCAUCUGGUGUCCACAUGCUCCACUAUUUGUGGAUCAAACAAUUUUGCUGGUUCUCUUAUAAAUAUGAGGGCCAACUAUUCAAGGGGAGAAAAAAAAAUUAUUGAGCCUACACAGCUUCCUCAAUAUUUAUCCAAUUUAGAUAUCUUAUUGCCAUUACUAUCACUUUUAUUUGUCACCUCUCACAAUCAUAUCAUCCAACCACUUCGCUACUAUCACUAUUUCAUCAUGCCAAUCAUAAAUAUCAUCAAUGCCUACUUUUAGAAUCAACUAUAGAUUCGAACAUCUACAAUUUGGCGCCCACCCCGUGGGCCCCAGUGAUUUUCAACACAAAAAAUAUUCCACUAACAGUAAACAUUUUGAUCGCAAUGACGGAAUCCCUAUUAUUGUCAAAGCUAGCAGCCAUGCUUGUUCAAUUUACUUCUCAAAUGGCUGAAACCAACCAAAAGUUCUAGCAGCUAGAAGUAUAAAAUGUACAACUUAAGCAGACAAUUAGAGAGCUCUCUACACUCUCAACGUUAGCUGGGACCAAGAGCCACAUUCAAUUUCACACUGUAGUGAGAACCAUAUAGUUACUUGACAUGCCAAAGCGUGACAUGCUAGGUAUAUGAAGAACUAAUGUCAAUACUAACAAUGUCAAUACAGGCCACGAGACAGACAUGGAGGACGAGGUACUGCUUGACGACCUACCCAUUGUAAAGGAGCUGGUACCACAGGUCAUUAAUACAAAUUACCAAAACACGGACUCUUCACGCAACGAAGGCACUAGCCCAAAUCCGAUAUCGAUCAACGUUUCGCCAUGACAGAGGCCAUGAUCAACCAUAUCCUGAGUGUACCUAUACCGAUCAAGAAAAAUAGGCAAAGCUUUGCGGACUCACCAUUUGUCUAUUCGAUAGCUCUAGUUAAAAUGUCAAUAAAUUUCAAUUUUUCCAAUAUGAAGAUGUAUGAUGGCACCACCGACCCAAAUGCCCAUAUUGCCCAAUGUAAACAAAGAAUGUUCACAGUAACCAGGCCCGGUUCUGGGGCCAGGCGAAUAAGGCCUACGCCUCAGGCCCAGAUUCCAAGGGGGCCUCAUUUUUAGCCCAGAAUUUUAUUUUAUUUUAUUAUUUUUUUCGGUUGAACCAAACUAGUAAUGAAGAAGAGUACCUCACAACUUCAAGCCCAAAUCCAAUACCCUUAGUCUUAAUCCAUUUAUCCAACUUAUACAUCCAUAAAUCAUAAUCUAUUAUCUGUCAUUUACCCAAAAUUCCCAAUUUCCCAAUCCCCAAUCAAAAACCCCUUUCUCCCAAACGCUCGUCUGAGUAGUCCGUCCCCUUCGUAGCGUCGCCGAUCGCCUCUGUCUCUCUUCUCGACUUCCUCAUUCCGACUUCCAGAUUUCCUCUUCCUUGAGUCAUCAGUUACGGUCCAUGGAGUCGGACACCAUCGUAGUUCACACCAAUUCCCUUCCGUUGCGGAGCACAGUUCGCUGUUCACCCCUGUUAGCAAGCAAGUGCUUGGCAGUUGACUAUUAGUUUAGUAUGUUAAGAUUAUUAAUUCCUUUUGAGUUAUAUGAUUACAUUUACACUAAGUAUUCAACUAUUCAUUCAUGACUUUUACCUUUUACUUAUUAUAAUUUUGAUUACAUGACUUUAACUAAUAAAUGCUCUUUUUCUAUGUUACUGUUAAAUACUUUAAUAUUAAUGGGUUAACUGUUAUCUAGUCUAGGAUGGAGUCGAGGACUUGAAAAUGCUACAACUAUGUUUAAUGAUUAUUGAUUAAUAUAUAAUUUGUUGUACAAGUUUGAGACGAAGAACUCUCAAAUCUCAAGUAAUGACUAAUGUGUGAAAUAGUUUAUAGUUAAUUUCAAUAACUUAGUUUGAUAGGUCUUUGUGAGAAUAUAUAGUUGAGAACUUGAGAUAUUAUUUUGUUAAUGAACUUAAGAAAAGAUAUCUUCAGUUUUUACAACCAGUAUACUAAUUUGAAUUAAUUUAUUUUGUUGAUGAAACUAUUUUAACGGUGAUUAGCUCUUAUUAAAUGUGUUAUUUCCCUAAGCUUGACUAAAUGUGCGCCUAUUUUUAAGUAUUGGUGUUUGAUGUUAAAUUUUUGUUUCAGGUUCGUAAGUUAUGACGAUGAAAUUCGCAAGGGUGUGAUUCCAUAGUUUUUGUCGCAAUUCUGCUUAUCAAGUAAGCAGUGGUUUUCCCUAACUUGUUAUUUAAGAGAUUAGAAAUGUUUGGAGCCUUGUCGGCUUAUAUAAUUGCAGCUUGGUUGGCUUAUAUGAUUGAUUAUUGUACGAUCAACUAUUUCAGAAGAAAGAUAGAAUGGAUUGACUAUGUUGUCAAUAGAGAAAGAAAUAGUUGAAUAGCUAAACUAUUCAAAUUUUAUUAAUGUUUUUGCCUUUUAGACGAAUAAUAUUUAACUAAUUACUUGAAAUAUUUUGGUUUUGUUAUUUGAUAAUAUAAAUUUUUUAUAUAAUAUAUCUGUUUGUUGUUUUAACUAAAUUUUAAGUUAGCAAUAAGUUGCAUAAUAUACCAUUGCAUUUACGUUGAUUUCGGGAGGGGGCCUAAUUUAUAUGCUUUGCCUUGAACCCUGACAAUCACAGGACCGACCUUGAUAGUAGCAAACCCACAUGAUCUCUAAGAAGCAUACAGGUGCAAAGGAUUCGGCUCUAGUCUUAUAGGGCUAGCUUUAUAGUGGUACACCAAUUUAACUAACAACUCAAUAUCAUCUUUUGUACAAUUAAAUGAUAUUUUUGUAGAGCAAUUCGCAAGUAGCAGAAAAUUAAUUAUUCGAACAUCCUCUAUAAAAUUGUACAAUGCACAGAAAUCUCUACUUUCAAAAAAAGAUUUAAACCUGACUCAGACCUCUACAAGGAAUUGACUAAGUACGCUUACUACACAAUGAAAGAUGUGUUGGUAGAGGCCUAGGCUCAAAUCAAGAGGGAAGAUGACGAGGCUAAUGCAUUUCGCAACCUACUCUUCAAGAUCAAAGAACCUAAAGGUAUCCAGAGGAUACAAAGACGACAAACUGACCCAUAUCCAAAAUUGAUUGUAGAAUCUUGUGAAGAACGGACAACUAGAAACUAUUGAGUGCCUUCACCAUUCUUACGAUAGACCAAGGAUACCCGAGUACAACCUUAGCAUUUUAUCAGUUGAAGUUGUAGCCAUAAUAAAAGGGAAGGAAAAUACCAUCAAAUUGAUAGGAAAAAUGAGAAGUCAUCUAGGCAACAGGCGUGAUACAUCCAAACCGUGUGCAUUUUAUGGUGAUCACGAACACAAAAUUCAUGAUUGUAUUGGUUUGUGAUUGGAAGUUGCUAAUCUACUCAAAUGUAGGCACUCACCAAUCUCCUAACAAAGAAAGGAAAAAAUACAUUGUUUCUCGGCAACCAAUGCUACAAUGAACCACACAAUCUAUGAAUUUCCAAGCACAUCCAAAGCUCGGUCGAGCAAUAACUUCAUCACCAAAGGAUCGAAGGUUAGCGGGAUCACUUAUUCUGUUGUACAAUGAUGCAUUCAAAUAAUUGGAUAGGUGGCGUGGAACGAAUCUCGAAAGCUUUCAAUAAGCUGAGAAGGCCAUCCCACUACGCUUAACUUUACAAGUAACGAGGCAUCAAACCUCCAAAACCUUCAUUGCGAUGCUUUGGUUAUUUCGUUAUGUAUUGCUAGCUAUCUUAUGAAAAGAAUUUCUAUCGACAAUGUGAGUUCUACUAAUAUAUUUUUCCUUGAGACAUUAAGAGAGAUGUAGGUCCCAGAGUCCAGCAUUAUAUGCAAUAUUACCACACUCAUAUGAUUCAAUUGAGAACACAAAACUACACUAUGAGAGAUGAUGCUCUUGGUCUAUGAUGAAGAAGUAAAUCUUCAUACCAAGUUCCUUGUCAUCGAGUGCCCAUUGGCCUACAACGUUAUCAUAGAAAGACAUUGGAUAUAUGCAAUGAAAGAUAACCUUCAAGCUAUCACAAGGUCAUGGGCUUUCCCAUUUCCUGGAGAGUUAAAAAAAUAUGAGGAGAAUCAAAGAGUCUCACGCAACUGCUAUAUGAAUGCUUUCAAACCCUGACCAGAAUGAGUGCACUAGAUCCAACAAAAAGUAAGCGAAUCGCUUGAGCCAGAUAUGGAGGACAUCAACAAAGUCCAAUUAUAUCUAGACAUUUCAAAGCAUACAGUGUAGAUUUGAGAUUAAUUCCCAUCAGACAUCUGAGAUGUAAUAAUUGAAUUUCUAGCUUGACAUCAAGAUCGCUUUGCAUGGUCGCACAUGAAUAUGACAUGUAUUGAUCCUUCAAUAGUAACCUAUAAAUUAAAGGUCAAUCCCACUACUAACUAGUUAGACAGAAGAGACACAAAUUCGCUCCAAAAACGAUAAAAAUUAUUAACGACAAAAUACAAAAGCUCAUUGACAUCGGCUCAGUACGUGAAGUCUAAUAUCCAAAUUGGUUGGCCAAAGUCGUCAUCAUUGAAAGGAAAAAUGGCAAAUGAUGGAUCUGCAUAGACUUCAUAGAUUUAAUAAUCGUGCCCAAAAAAUUCCUUCCCUCUAUCACAUAUCGACACUUUGGUGGUCUCCACAGCAAGGUAUAAGUUACUUAGCUGUAUGGAUGCAUUCUCAAUAUACAACCAAAUCUUAAUGCAUCCAAGUGAUCAAGAGAAAAUGGCUUUAAUAACGGGAGGAGAUGUUCUAUUACUAAGUCAUGAUAUUCGACCUAAAAAAUGCAGAAGCAACAUACCUGAUACGACCCAUCCCAAAUCACUAUAAUGAACCCGACACGUGUCGUGCGCCAAUGAAUGAUACCAGCUAAAUGCCAGACCUACCACCAAAUCAACUAUGAUUUGCUUUGACUGUCACAUAAUUAUAUAAAAAUUUGACAGAGUUUCCUCUAAGAUAUGGACUAAAAUAACCUGAAAGUUUAUCAACUUUCUCAAAUCAAUACAUAUAAUUUAAAACAAGGUACAUCAGCCCUUCCAAACACAACUAUUCAAAAUAAAGUACGAUUGAAUGGAAUUUACACUUCUUUACAAACCAGAGGACUCCAAAUACAUUACUUAUACAAAUUAUGUAGUGAGGCCAUGAUAUAAAUUGACAAAAGAUGCAUCUACCCCAAAAAAUUAUGAACUGUAUAAAUUGACAAAAAGAAACAUACAAAUAACAACUGAGGGGCUCAAUUUGGUAAUUCAACAGGCUCCGAUGUGGCUUAACACAGCUACCGUCUGAUAAGAAAAAGGGAGAUGAAAUAUAUGAGUUUGUAACUCAAUGAGUGGAUAAUUUUGUAAACAAAUAUACUUUUUCCAUUUAUGCUAACUUUCUAAAAACUGGUUUAUAAUAGAAAUAUCAUUACAUAGUACUUUAAGCUAAAUUCUGUAUUCUGAAAUUUGAUAAGUUGUAUAAUACUGAAAAAUCACACUAAAAAGGUACCCGGAAUAACUAUACUUAUGUAUCGAUUAGCAUCGAUAGACAUGGCAAAGAUAUCCAAUUCUGAAAUUCUGUAAUUCUAAAAUUUUGGUCAUACGAUGCACAGCUUUCUGGUCAUACACCAUGGAAACACAUUAACAAUAGUGCAAAGUAGGUAAAAUCACCAUAAUUAGUCAUACACUGUGGAAACACAUUCACACUAGUGCAAAGCGGGUAAAAUCACCUGGGUACUUUCUAGUGAUUUUUAGAAAAUAACUUUAAAUAUGCUGAACUAUUUAAUACUGAAAUAAUGUGCCAAUGAAAUGCUUUAACUGAACUGAAUUUAACUUCAAAACACAACUGUUAAUAAAUCAACUUUUUUCUGAAAAUCGUGUUUUCAAAUCAACUGUAUGAAUUAAUAAAUUUUCUAAUUUAAUAUAAAUUUUAUAAAUACUAAUUUCUUAAAAAUAAGUUUAUAUCCACUCACACAAUACGAGCUACACACUAGGCCACUUGGUAAGCUUUUCCAAUUUCUUUGUCACCACAUGAAAUACGUUACAAAAUAACUAAUUUAACUACUAUUAAAAUCAAGAAACCUUUUAUCUCUAAUGAUAAAAUAAUUAAACUAAAUUUUCCAAGACUUGCGAAAUUUUUUUAAAUUUCCUUUAUUCAAUUGGAGUUAAUUUUAAUUUCUAAUAAUACCUUCACACAUGGGUACUUUACCCAAAUUUACUUUCAUCCCAUUCAUAAAAAUAAUUAUACUUUCUGAUCUAAUGCAAACUAGUAACCAUAAUUCCACCUAUUUAAACUUUCAUCUUGUUUCUCAACUUCAUGCUUUCAUAUGAGUAUUCCAUCAAUAUAAUCAUUUCCAUGAAAUAUCCUUACUUAAGAAUCCAAUUAAAAAUUCUAGGGUUUGCCAAAUUUUUUUUGAUAUUUCUUACCUUAAUUCAAACGGAGACUAACCAAUCAAGAAGCUUGAGCUAGAGAUCAUAAUCCUUUCUCUAAAUCUGAAAUUUCGAACCAAAUUAAAACCCUAGAAAUUUAACAUAAAAUUUAUCUACCUCUUGAAGAAAAUAAAGAGAAAGGAAAAAUGAAAAUAAACCUUGAACUACAUCUUUCCCUUCUUCUUCCUCUUUUUCUUUUCCUUUUUCUCCUUCUUUUUCUUCACUUUUUUUCCUUUCUUCCUUCCUUCCGCCGAUUUUUCUCCUUCUCUGCCGGUUUCAAGAUUUUUCCUAUUUGUGUGGCUGAGUGAUAUAUAAAAAAAUGGGCUAGUUGUUGUACAAUUGCCACAUGCCCUCCAUAACAUCAACUUUUGCAAAUUAUGUCCUCAUUAAUAUACUUAGGAUCCGUUUGAUUGCAAAUGUGGAAUUUGGGUGAAAAGAAAACGAAUUUCAGGGAAUUGAAUUGAUGAGAAAUUGUUUUACUGGGAGUUGUAAAUUAUUGUGUUUGAUUGAUAUAAUUUUUUACGUGAAAAUUGUUUAAAUUAAAUUUUUUUUGAUGUCUGUUUGGUUUUGUUUUACAUGAAAAAUGUCAAUUAAAGGGAUAGAAUUUACUGGUAUUUGGAAUGAAAUUUGUUUUCAUUGCCAAAAUAAAAAAAAAUUCAAGAAAAUCAUCGAUUUUUGGGUGUUCGUUUGAUUUUGUUUUACAUGAAAAUUGUCAAUUAAAGGAAAAUAUUUUUUUACAAUAAUUUUUAGAAUUUAUUUUCAUUGCUAACACAAAAAAAGAAGGAAAAAAAAAUUGAAAACCUGGAAUUCACUUUCCUACCGUAUAGGUGGAAAAACCAAUUCCUUGAAAUGAAGGAAAAUAGGCGCGUGUGAGGCUUGCAUGGAAAGUGAAUUCCAAGGAAAUGUUUUGCCAUCAAACACUAGAAUUUGGAAAAGAUGGAAAUUAAUUUUCACUUUCUAGGGAAUUCAUGGGCAAUCAAACGGUACCUUAGAAUCAUUUACUUCCCAAAAAUAGAAAAAUAAAUCCCUAACUUUUCCACCUUAAACCUUCCGAUUAUUUCUCAGUAUAAAUUAAACUCCAAUAAUUAAUUUAUUUUAUUUUAGUCUCUAUUUGACUUUGACUUUGACGAGUCAAUCUUUGAAUUUUGACUAAACAAAAAUCGGUUGUAACAUCUUACUUCCUUAAAAGAAUUUCAUUCUCGAAAUUCCACUGGCAUCUGAUUAGGUAACGAAUAGAUGAGGAUACUGAAUACGCAUCUGAUCCUCAUGCUCCCAGGUUGCCUCUUCUACCGUCUGAUUCUGCUAAAGCACCUUUACAAGUAAAAUUGUCUUGUUCCGCUGAAUUUGCACCUUUCUGUAUAGAAUUCUCACUGGCUCCUCUGUAUAAGUCAAAUUCUCCUUCAAGUGAACUAGAUGAGACUCUAGAACAUGAGAAGGAUCUGUAAUGUACUUUGGAGCAUGGAGACAUAAAAAACAUCAUGGAUCCUAGAUAAUUCAGUUGGCAAAUCUAAUCGAUAUGCAACUAGACCAAUUCGCUCAGUAAUCUCAUAUGGUCCAAUGUAUCGUGGACUCAAUUUUCCUCGCUUGCCAAAUUUUAAAACUCCCUUCCAAAGCGACAAUUUUAGAAAUAUUUUAUCUCCAACUAUGAAUUUCAGAUCUUUUCUGUGCCUAUCUGCAUAACUUUGCUAUCUAUCUUAUGUUGGUUUUUCAACUUUUCUCUGAUCAAUUUCACAUUUACUGAAGUCAUUUGAACCAAUUCAGGGCCUACUAACUUCCUCUUACCAGCUUUAUCCCAGCAAACUGAUAUUCUGCACUUUCUACCAUAUAAAGUUUCAAGAAGAGCCAUUUCUAUACUGGAGUGGUAACUGUUAUUGUAAGCAAACUCCAUCAAUGACAAAUGUGAAUCCCAGCUACCCUGAACUCUAAAACACAAGCCCUCAACAUAUCCUCAAGAGUCUGUAUGGUCCUCUCUGACUGACUAUCUGUCUGAGUAUGAAAAGCUGUACUGGGCCAAAAUUUAGAUGUAAAAUGAGGGUCUCUGUCAGACAUAAUAUAUAAUGGAGUACCAUAUAAGCUCACUAUCUCGUCCACAUACAACUUUGCUAACUUAUUUAAAGUAUAAGUGGUUUUGAUUGGCAAAAACCUUGCAGACUUGGUCAAACGAUCCACAAUAAUAACCCAAAGAUCAUUAUGACCAUUCUGGGUACGAGAAAGACCAAAUAAAAAGUCCAUAGUAAUGUGCUCCCAUUUCUAUUCUAGAAUAGGCAAUGGCUAUAAUAGUCUUGUUGUUUUCUAACGAAUUGGUUUUACCUACUGACAGAUAAGACGUUUGGAUACAAAAAUAUGUUAUCUCUCUCUUCCACAAGUAAUGUUCUUUCAACGUAUCAUACUUUCAAUGUAUGAUACAUUUUAAUACAUUUUGAUAGAGUCUUCUUUAAAAGAUGGACUAAAAUCACCUGAAAGUUUAUCAACUUUCUCAAACCAAUACAUAUAAUUUAAAACAAGGUACAUCAGCUCUUCCAAAAACAACUAUUCAAAAUAAAGUACGUUGGAAUGGAAUUUACACUUCUUUACAAACCAGAGGACUCCAAAUACAUUACUUAUACAAAAUUAUGUAGUGAGCUCAUGAUAUAAACUGACAAAAGAUGCAUCUACCCCAAAAAUUAUGAACUAUAUAACUGACAAAAAGAAACAUACAAAUAAUGACUGAAUGACUCAAUUUGGUAAUUCAACAGGCUCCGAUGCGACUCAACACAACUAUUGUUUGAUAAAAAAAAGGAGAUGAAAUAUAUGAGCUUGUAACUCAGUGAGUGGAUAAUUUUGUAAACAAAUAUACCUUUUCCAUUUAUGCUCACUUUUCAAAAACUGGUUUAUAAUAAAAAUAUCAUUACGCAGUAUUUUAAGCUAAAAUCUUUAUUCUUUAAACUGAAUAAGCUAAAUUCUGUAUUCUGAAAUCUAAUAAGCUGUAUUAUACUGAAAAAUCACACCAAAAAGGUACCCGGAAUAACUAUACUCAUGUCUCGGUUAACACCGAUAAACAUGACAAAGCUAUCCAAUUCUGUAAUUCUGGUCAUACGCACGCAGAGCUAUCUGGUCAUAAACUAUGGAAACACAUUCACAAUAGUGUAGAGCGGGUAAAAUCACCUAGGUACUUUCUGGUGGUUUUUAGAAAAUAACUUUAAAUAAACUGAACUAUUUAAUAUUGAAAUAAUAUGCCAAUGAAAUGAUUUAAUUGAACUGAAUUUAACUUUAAAAAUAACUGUUAAUAAAUCAACUUUAUUCUGAAAAUCGUGCUAUCAAAUCAACUGUAUGAAUUAACAAAUUUUCUGAUUUAAUAUAGAUUUUAUAAAUACUAAAUUCUGAAAAGUAAAUUUAUAUCCACUCACUCAAUACGAGCUACAGACUAAGUCGGUCGGUAAGCUUUUCCAAUUUCUUCGUCACCACUUGAAAUACGUUACAAAAUAACUAAUUUAACCACUAUUAAAAUCAAGAAACCUUUUAUCUCUAAUGAUAAAAUAAUUAAACUAAAUUUUUCAAGACUUGCAAAAUUUUCCUAAAUUUCCUUUAAUCAAUUGAAGUUAAUUUUAAUUUCUAAUAAUACAUUCACACGUGGGUACUAUACCCAAAUUUACUUUCAUCCCAUUCAUAAAAAUAAUUAUACUUUCCAAUCUAAUGCAAACUAGUAAUCAUAAUUCCACCCAUUUAAACUUUCGUAUUGUUUCUCAACUUCAUGCUUUGAUAUGAGUACUUCAUCGAUAUAAUCAUUUCCAUGAAAUAUCCUUACUUAAGAAUCCAAUUAAAAAUUCUAGGGUUUGCCAAAAAAAAUUUGAUAUUUCUUACCUUAAUUCAAAUGGAGACUAACCAAUCAAAAAGCUUGAGCUAAAGAUCAUAAUCCUUUCGCUAAAUCUGAAAUUUCGAACCAAAUUAAAACCCUAGAAAUUUAAUAUAAAAUUUAUCUACCUCUUGAAGAAAAUAAAGAGAAGGGAAAAAUGAAAAUAAAUCUUGAACUACAUUUUUCCCUUCUUCUUCCUCUUUUUCUCCUUCUUUUUCUCCUUCUUUUUCUUCCCUUUUUUCCUUUCUUCUUUCUUUCUGCCCAUUUUUUUCUCCUUUUCUGCCAAUUUCCAGAUUUUUCCUAUUUGUGUGGUUGGGUUGUGCUUCAUAGCCCACGAGCUUGACAAAGGGGUUGACACCCCACACACACAUGGGGAGAUCGGUAUUAUUUUAUUCAAUGGGACCCACCUCGGCAUGUGAGAGGGUGGUCAGCCGUGGUGUCAACCCCGCGGGUCGUUUAGCAUUUUUCUUGUGUGGUUUGAGUGGUAUAUAAAAAAAAUGGGCUAAUUGUUGUAUAAUUGUCACAUGCCCGCCAUAACACCAACUUUUGCAAAUUAAGUCCUUCAACAUUAAUAUAUCUUAGAAUUAAAUCUUUUACUUCCCAAAAAUAUAAAAAUAAAUCCUUAACUUUAAAUUUUAUCCACCUUAAACGUUCCAAUUAUUUUUCAAUAUAAAUUAAACCCCAAUAAAUAAUUUAUUUUAUUUUAGUCUCCAUUUGACUUUGAUUUUGACGAGUCAAUCUUUGAAUUUUGACUAAACAAAAAUGGGUUGUGGCUCAUCAAUUCAAUGUUUACCAAAUUGCUCGAAAAAGUGAUGAGUGCCUACAUAAACGAUAUGCUCAUCAAAUCAUUUGUAGUGACUGACCACAUCAGGUACCCGGGUAGUCUUUCUAAGUCCUCAAAACGUAUAAUAUGAAACUCAAUAAUUAUAAAUGUUCAUUUGGUGACUCUUUUGAAAAAUUUGCAGGUUAAUAAGCAAGGGAUAGAAUUAAAUUCAGACCAAGUAUGAUCAAUCAUCAACAUCCUGUCUCCUAGACACAUCAAAGACAUUUAGAAGUUGACUAGACGAUUAGCUGCGAUCAACCAGUUUAUAUCAAAAUAUUAGAAGAAAAAUUGCAUUUUCUUUAACACAUUGCGAAAGAACGAAGAGUUCAUUUCGACUCCGAAUGUAAGAAAGCUCUACAAAAAUUAAAGAAUUAUUUGACAAGUCCACCGCUCCUAUCCAAGCCAAAAGACAGCGAGAUGCUCUACCUUUACUUAGCAAUAUCUUUGUCUGCAGAAAACGUCAUACUUGUCCAGGAGGAGGAUAGAAAGCAGCAUGUGGUGUGCUACAUUAGUAGAUUCUUGCUCAACUCUGAAUAUCGGUACAGAAGCUGAAAAAGCUUGCACUCGUCCUCGUAAUCAAGGGAAGGAAGCUAAGGCCCAUACUUCCAGCACACCUAUAACGGUGCUUUUGACCUUCCUAUAAAAGAUGAUCCUCCAUAAACCAGAAUUGUCGAGCCGACUAGUGAAAUGGCAGUAGAACUUAACGAAUAUGACUUGACUUACCAACUACGGUCCGCGGACCACUAUCAAAUCACAUGUGCUUGCUGACUUUAUUGUUGAUUUUUCAACCGACAAACAUGUCCUGUCCAAGAAAGAAAUUUUUGCAGUAACGGAGAGCUUAAUUUCGAAAGAAUUGACCUAGCGUUGGAUGGAUCAAGCAACUCUAAUGAAAGUGGACUGGGCAUAAUCUUAACCUCAUCCGAAGCCAACAUAAUCGAACGAGCAAUACAAUGCUGAUUCAAAGCAACGAAGCUGAAUAUGAAGCUCUAAUUGGGGAUCUAUCACUUGUAAAAGACACGGGUAUGAAGAAAAUCAAAUUGUCGAACGAUUGACAAAUAGUCACCCACCAAAUCUAAGGCAACUACUCAAAGAACAAAAAUGGCGACAUAUCUCAAAAUCGCAAAAGAGCUUCAGUCUUUCUUCCAGGAUUUUGACAUAAUCUAAAUCGUUAGAGAAGAUAAUAAUAAUCAUGCUAACGCACUUAGAAAUUGCAAUACUUUAUUAUACUAAUUGUAUCAUGUUUUAUAUUCUAACAAAAAAUUAUAUUUUAUUUUUCUUUUUGAAAUUUAUUAGAAAAUUAUGUUAAUCUUCAAAGUUCUAAUGUUAAAUUUAUAUAAUAAAUAAAAAAAAAUCAAUAAAACUAUUUGUACAUCCAAGAUUGACACCCCGGAUGACACUCCCCUUACAAGAGAGGGGGGUCCACACGUAAUAAAAUAAUUGUGAGCUCCCCUCUUGUGAAGGGAGUGUCAUCCGGGGUUAACACUUCGGAUGUACAAAUAGCAAAGUCCAAAAAAUAUAUAAUAAUCACUUACAAAACAUAUACAUGCACGUUGGAAAAAGGAAGGAUCGCUUAUAUAUUGAUAGGUGUGCAUGGCAUAUGGCUAAUUGUAAUUGGAACCUGAAUUUCAAGAAAGGAAAAAAAAAAUGAAUGGGGAUUCUAGUGCCACAAGUGAUAUAAUUUUAGAAAACUUCCCACAAUCGAAUUGUUAAUCAAAAAUGAAUAUUUCUACUCAAACAGGGGCCGUGACAGCCUUAAUAGGCGCCCCCUCCAAUAGGGGGACGCCCAUGUCACAGUAACAAGCCCCAUCAAAAAUAGCAUAGACAAUUGUAGAAGAGGUGAACUUGAGACAGAAGGUUAAUUGAAGGUUUAAUUCUGAUUUUCUUAUUUCUUUUUUAAUUUUAAAAGUUUCUUGAUUUGGCUACUUGUGCUUCUUUGGAAGUGAUAAUGACCUGCUAAAUUUCGUUUAUCUUCUUCUACGUUUCUGAUUAUUUUCUUCUACAUUUUGUGCCCAAGCCUUUAUUCUAUAACUAAUUUUCAAUGCUACAAAAGGGUGAGUAGCAUUUUAUGAACUCUUUGAACCUUUUUUAAGUACUUUUUUCCUCUUGAACAAUCUGGAUUAUGUUUUUGAAGUUUUAGAUGUAUACAAGUAUGGACGGAGACAAAAUAUUAUAAUAUAUUUUUAAAACUCUUACUUUCAAUAUUUAGUUGUCACCAUAUUUCUAAUUUUGUUGGUAACAAAUGAGGCAUCUUUGACAUUUUUAGUUCACUUCCCAUAAAUAAACGAUGAAGAUUGAUUCUAUUUUAUGAUUCAUAUUUUUUCUAGAUUAUUUUUGUUGACGCAUAAAAAUUCAGCCCAAAUCGAACAGCCCAAGGAGUGAAGCCUAAUUGGAUGAUCCCCAAAUCAAAUAGUCCAAAGAAUGAAGCCCAAUCGAACAAAUCAAGAUGAAGGCCCAAAUAAGGAGGCCCAAGAACGCGGUAACGCCAUCGCCCAAGUUUGCAAGUCGCCCAGAAUCUGAGCGAAUGGAGUGUCAUACAAUCGCCCAGAGCUGUUACUCUAUUCACGCCCAAACCUUCAAGUCGCCCAAGGUCUUAACAAACAUAAAGCGUAGUGGUUAUCAAGAAGUGCAGUUAUCAAAGCAGUUAUUAAAGCAGCCCUAUCACGUUCCACGAUUCAAGGAAUUCAAUCGAAAGCGGUUGAACGAUGAAGAGUAAUGGCAGCAGUUAAAAAAUACAGUUUUCAUGACAAGUUGGCCAUUACAAAGAAAGUGGGCAGUUAUAGGACGAUCAAGCAGUUUUUAGGACGGUUGAUCACAAAGAGAUCGUCCAUGAAGUAUAAAAGGGAGAAAGAACAUAGAAGCAAAGGACCGAAUCAAAAACUCUCGAACAGAGAACAUGUAAUUUUCAUUUCCUUAGCUUAGACUUAAACGCUUUUCUUCCAGUAACUCGUGUGCUUGCGCCCAUUGGAGGCACAUUGUUUUUAAUUUCCAAUUGUAAAAUCAUCGCCAAUAAAAGAACACCCCUUUUUGGGACUUUGUCUCAAGAGGUUUGUCCCUUACACAAUCGUCUGAUCAUUUUUAAUUGUUAGAGACUAACCCACGCGAAACAAUUUGGCACGCCCAGUGGGACAGUGGUGUUAGGUGUUGAAAGUACAAAAGGUGAAACAAUAUGCCUCAGAGAUCCGAUAAGGAAGUAGCAAGUCAGGGAGGAAUCCAGUCUGUGAUCGAGCGAUAUGAGGAGCAGCAUGCCUCUCCACGAACAGAUGGACAGAAUCAGAGCAGUAACGGUCGUUAUGAACCAAUGACAGAGUUGAGUCCUCGAACCAUGCGUACAUUACUUGGAGAACUUACGCAAGACGUCAUUAAACAGGUAAAUCUUCGAAUUAUUCAUAAUAUGGAAAGAUUUACGCAAAAUGGGAAUGUACACUAUGACAACAUGGCCAAACAAUUAAAGACGUUGAACGAAACAAUGAAUAAGUUAGUAGGCCAAAUCUGUCAACCGGCUAUACCUCUUACAAACCACUUUCAAACUAGGACAAUUGUGGGACAUAAUCCCUCGGUCCUAAAUCCGAAUCAAGGGGUAGAACCGCUUUCUGGUCCCUCUACUUCAAACCAAGGGGGUACUACAGUGCCAAAUCAGAACAAUGGUAGUGGUAUGCCUAACAUGGGGGGUAAUCCAAAUGUGAGAGAUAAUGUCCUAAACAAUGGACAGAAUAUUCCACGUGUUAAUGAGGGAAUAGAUGUUCGGGCUAAUGGUAAUGGCCCUAAUCAUGGUAAUUUUGUUGCCAAUCAAGGACCAAACAUUAGGCCUCAUGCAAAUCAACCGGUUAGCCAACCUGUAGGAAUACCAUAUGACCCCAACGUCAUGUUGAGGAACCAGAUUAUGGAAAUCGUACAGGAUCAGAUGGCUUUUGGGGUGCGUCCCGUCAUUAGGCCGACGUACAUAAAGCCAUAUCCUGAUUGGAUAGACCAAGCAUAUCCAUGGCCUAGAGGGUACAAAGUGCCAGAAUUCUCACUGUUUACCGGUUUAGGAGAGGUGUCUACUCUAGAACACAUAGGGCGAUUCACAUUGCAAAGUGGUGAUGUAACCGAUUACCAUAAAAUGAGACUUUUCCCUAGUUCGUUAACAGGAGUAGCUUUCUCCUGGUUCAUCAACUUGCCAGCGAACUCUGUUCAAAUAUGGCUACAAUUAGAACAGUUGUUUCACACUCAGUUUUAUAAAACUGAGUCUGAAGUUACUUUGGCUGAUUUGGCGAAUCUACGUCAAAUGCCAAACGAAUGGGCAGAAAGUUUUCUCCAAAGGUUCAAGACAGCAAGAAGCAAGUGUUUUGUACCUCUGGUCGAAAAAGAAUUUGUCAAAAUCGCUUAGGGCUGCUUGAGCUUUGAUUUAAAAAAGAAGUUCCAGGACAAGAAAUUUCCUGACCUUUUCCAGUUGAGUGCGAAUGUGAUUAGGUAUGAGCGAUUGAUAAGAGAGGAAGAACAAAUGAAAAAUUUCAGUAAAGGGACUUAUUACAAAGACCCAAAUUUUGACGUUCAUACCAUCGACGACGAGUCAUACGAUCAGGCCGAAAUGUGUUUGGCAGAAUUGGUCAAAGGAGAUACAUAUACUUGUCCUAUAAUAGCCAAGCCUAGACCAUCGGGCAAAGAUGAGCCCAUAAAAGAUGGAAACAUAAAGGCUAGAACGUUCUCGUUCGACGUAACCAAAGCUGACCUUAUAUUCGAUAAAUUAUAUAGGGAUAAGCAGAUAAAAUUGAGCGAUAAGCACAAAUUGCCAAACCCUGAACAAAUUAAGGGUAAAAAAUAUUGUAAGUGGCAUAAUGCAUGGUCACAUUUGACUAACCAUUGCUUGGUUUUCCGCCAUGUAUUGCAGGAUGCCAUUGAAUUAGGGCGAAUUACGUUCGAUGAUAAGAAAAAGAUGGCAGUGGACGAGAAUCCUUUCCCACAGCCACUUGGAGUAAACAUGGUAACAUCUGGAUUCAAAAACAAGUUGCCAAAAUUCAAGUUGGUCGUAAACGAUGGAGAAGAGGAUCCUAGACCACAUCCCAGCGUCUUUGAACGAAUCAAGAGGAAAGAACCAAAAAAGGACGAAGACGUCCUGUGUGCAAGGUGUAAAAGAGAAGUGAAUGGAAAUACGGAGAAACCAGGGAUAUGACAGCAUCCUCAUCACCCUACCUUCUUCCCAAACACUCAACUUGGUAGAGGGCGAGGUACAUCAUUCUUAGAGGACCGCCUUUUGAGAGGCAGUUCAGGCCAGUAGAUAAUGGAAGAACAUUCAGGCCGCAACCUCACCGGCCAAAUGUAUGGCAUUCAUUCUAGUACAAUGCAGGAAGAGCAAUACCCUUCGAUGAGAUGACUAGGACCCAACAAAGGCAUUUUCAACGAAACUACGGACGGAUGAUGAGGCAGCAACAGGGGAUGCCACAUCCUAAAGCGCCUAAACUACUUAAGGUAGCCAAUCAAAACUUCCUCAAAAAUAAUGAAGAGACCGGUACAGAUGAAUCAAUGAAGAAACUGCUAGAAACUUCUUCUGGGAGAUCAAGGUUUGAGCGAGACAGAAGGGAUGAAGAAGAUCUAGAUCAGCCCCUCACUAUCCAACUCGGUACGUUGCCUCCUGUCGUGGCCAAUAAUUACUUACUGGCCAAUGAAUUCAAGAACAAAGAAAAAGAAGAAGAGAGGGAGGACAACGAAGGAGAAGCCUGCGUGCUGGUAUGUGAAGAAGGCCAGACUUCUAGAGAGGCCUACAACGAUGAAGAGGACAACGGGAUGACAGACAUUGAAGAAGAAAUCGACCUAGAAGCAGAGAGAAGAAAAAGAAGAGUAUCGCGCAAUACUCUGUUAAAGCAACUACAUCGAGAGGGAGUUCACGAAGUAGACUUGUUGGGGGAACCAUCUGGGCGCCCUUUCGAUUUCUACGUACUGUACGGGACACCCAAAAGGAAGAAGAGAGUACCUCUCUCUGAAAAGUAUGGAUCACCUCCAAGAAUAAUGUCCCCUCCCACAGGUUAGGUAACUGAUGAGGAAGCAUUAGAAAGAAGUAGGAAGGAAGUUCAGGAGACAGAGGAUCAGCGCGAUGUACUGCACGUCGACUUAUCACAGGGGGAUAAUUCGACAGAAAACAAGCAGGAAGUAGAAAUAGAGGCUGCCAAAAAAGUUAUUUUUAAACGGCCAGCCAUGAAAUUGACUAAACACUUGAGGCCAUUAUACGUUAAAAAUCUAGUUAACGGCGUCCCAGUGGCAAAAGUGCUUGUCGACAAUGGAGCAGCUAUAAACACCAUUCCAUCUAGGAUGAUGAGGAAGUUCAUAAAGAUAGAGGGUGACAUGAUUCCUACAGAAGUCAUCCUCACUAGCUUCAAUGGAGGAGCGAUUUCAGCUAAGGGAGUUAUGCCAUUGGACAUAACUAUAGGGACGACUACUAGGACCACUGUCUUUUUUGUAAUAGAUGGUCCUACUAGUUACAAUGUGCUAUUAGGAAGAGAUUGGAUACACGGAAGUCGCUGUAUACCCUCAUCACUCCAUCAAUGCCUGAUCUUCUGGAAUGACAAAGGCGAAGCUGAGGUGGUACAGGCCGAUCAUAGGCCUUUUGUCGCAGAAGCAAACUCGGUGAAAAAGUUCAUGUACGAAGGAAACUAUGGACCUGUCAGGGUAGUACAAGACGGGGAAGAAACUCAGGUUGUCGCGCAAAGCGAAGAACCAUUCUCAGUGGACGCACUCACUGAGAUGUUUAAACAGAUGAGGCCAAAUAUAGUAGCCCUAGAAGAGCCAGUAAUUGGCAAAAGAAUAAUUAAGGAGUCUUGAAUGGACUUUAAGUUAUGAAAGCAAAUGGCCGACGUUCAGGACUUCAAAGCCAGACUGAUGGCUUUCAAUAAGGAAUGCAAUGACAAGGCGAAAGAAGAGACAGCCCUAAAAGCGCUGAAGGAUAAGUUGGCAGUAUUUGAGUUAGAGCAAAGCAUUGGCCGAGAAGUCAACAAGGUGGACUAUUUAGAAGAGAAAGUACUUACAAGGGAACUAAACGACGAAGUAAUGCGGAUCGCCAAACCUGGAUACGCUCAAGCACAAGACCCUCUGAUCAAAGUAAAUAUUGGCAAUGAAGGAGAAGAUCGUCCAACAUUCAUCAGCCAAAUGCUCGACCAAGAGGUUAGUAACAAGUUAAUAGCUUUGCUAAAAGAGUACAAAGAUUGUUUUGUUUGGGAAUAUGAACAAAUGCCUAGUUUAGAUAGAGACUUGGUGGAACAUAGGUUACCAACUAAGCCUAACUUUAAAUCUCAUAGGCGGCCUCCUAGACGUUUUGCUCCCAAUGUACUCCCUGAAAUCAAGAAAGAGAUAGAGCAAUUAUUGAAAGCAGGUUUUAUUAGAACAGCCAGAUAUGUCGAAUGGUUGUCAAAUGUCGUGCCAGUACUAAAAAAGAAUGGUAAACUAAGGGUGUGUAUAGACUUUAAAAAUUUAAACAUAGCUACACCCAAAGAUGAGUAUCCAAUACCCACGGUGGAUUUUUUAGUAGAUUCAACUGCCGGACAUGUCAUGUAUUCUUUCAUGGAUGGGUAUUCAGGGUACAAUCAAAUUUAUAUAGCUGAAGAAGACAUACACAAAAUUACUUUUAGAUGCCCAGGGUCUCUAGGAUGUUUUGAAUGGGUGGUUAUGCCUUUCGGUCUAAAAAAUGCAAGGGCAACUUAUCAAAGGGCAAUGAAUUUAAUCUUUCAUGAUAUGAUAGGCAAGUUUGUUGAAGUGUAUGUGGAUGACAUAGUAGUCAAGUCCAUUAAAGAAGAAGACCAUUUCGAACAGUUAAGAUAUUCGUUUGAGCGAAUGAAGCAAUAUAAGCUAAAGUUGAAUCCCUUGAAGUGUGCAUUCAGUGUUAAUGCAGGGAAUUUUCUUGGUUUCUUAGUACACAAGAGAGGGAUUGAACUUGAUAAAAAUAAAGCGAAGGCGAUUUUAGAGGCCAAACCACCUAGCAACAAAAAAGAAUUGCAAAGGUUUCUAGGCCAAGUAAUUUUUUUAAGACGCUUUAUUUCUAACUGUGCAGGGCGAACUAAAGUCUUUUCGCCGCUUUUAAAGCUGAAAAAUCAGGACGAAUUCGUCUGGAAAGAAGAACAUCAAAAGGCUUUUGAAAGCCUGAAGACAUAUCUAUCAAGUCCACCAGUGUUGGUGUCACCAAUUCAAGGACGGCUAAUGAAAGUGUAUGUAUCGGCUGAAAAAGAAUCAAUAGCUGGAAUGGUCGCACAGGAAGACCAAUUUGGUGAAGAAAGGGCAAUUUACUACUUAAAUAGACGGUUAACGAAAUGUGAAUGUAAUUACUCUGCUAUCGAAAAAUUAUGUCUUACAUUGUAUUUCACAUGUACAAAAUUAAGAGCUUAUUUACGGCCCGUAACCGUUUAUUUUAUUUCUAAAGUAAAUUUAGUCAAGUAUAUGUUCUCGCGCCCUAUUUUACACCAAAGGGUAGGCCUUUGGACACUAGCUUUAUCAGAAUUCGAAAUACAAUAUAUACCUCAAAAGGCAGUCAAAAAGCAGGCUUUGGCUAACUUUCUAGCCGAUCAUCCAUGCCUUGAUAUGCUUGAAGAGAUCGAACUAGAAAUCAAUUCAUUCGAGUUAAAACCUUGGGUGUUGUAUUUCGAUGGGUCAAAAACUUCUAAAGGUGCAGGAGUAGGAAUAGUAUUGAUUAAUCCUUUAGGGAUUUGCUACAAGUUCGCAUUCACUUUAGAUAGAAUGUGCACCAACAAUCAAGCCGAAUAUGAAGCCUUAAUUGUAGGCCUAGAACUAAUGAUAGAUAUGGGAGUAAGAAGUGUGAUCGUUAGGGGCGAUUCUCAAUUGGUGAUCCAUCAAUUGAUCAGUGAUUUUAAAUGACAAAGUGAUUCCAUUAUAAGUCAAUACGAGAUCGCCUAAGAAUUAUUAGAAGAAUUCGAUCAAGUAGAACUCCAAUGCGUUAAUAGGAUAUAUAACGACGUGGCAAAUGAGUUAGCCCAAAUGGCAUCAAGGUACUCAAAGGUUUUGAAUUGGAAGUCUACUUGUGAGUAUGGAAUCAUAUUGCCCGUGACUUAAAGAAGGGCGAGAAAGAUUGAACUCCACUGCAUACAAGAUGGAGAUGCAAUGGAUUGGAGAACAGAGAUUAAAAGGUUCCUUAAAGAACCAAUGGAGGGAUUAGUAGGAAAAUGAAGCUGUGUUUGCUGAACUAUAUACUAAUAGAUGAAGAGUUGUUUAAGAAACGCUCUUAUGGUGUAUUAUAAAAGUGUGUAAGUUUGCAAAAAGUCAAGACGAUCAUGGCUGAGGUGCACGAAGGGAUAUGUGGAGCUCAUCAAGCUGGCCAAAGGAUGAGAUGGUUAAUUAUUAGGAAUGGAUAUUUUUGGCCAAAGAUGGGAGAACUAUGCCUUCAGUAUGCAAAGAGUUGCUUAGCAUGCCAAAAGCAUGGUCCAAUACAAAGGGCGCCAGCACGAGAAAUGGCACCUAUUAUUAAACCUUAGCCGUUCAAGGGUUGGGAGAUAGACCUGAUAGGGAAGAUUUAUCCCCCAUCGUCCAAGCAACAUACUUUUGUUAUAGUUGCAAUCGACUAUUUCACCAAAUGGGUAGAAGCAAUACCUUUGAAAGAGAUCACCCAAAAAAAUGUUAUAGAGUUUAUCCGUGAUCACAUUAUUUAUAGGUUUGGAAUUCCACAAACGAUAAUGGUAGAUCACGGAACAUCUUUGAAUGGGGAUCAAGUGAACAAAUUUUUGAGCGAGUUUGGGGUUAAAUUAGUAAACUCCACACCAUACUACGUUCAAUCCAAUGGACAAGCGGAAUCUUCUAAUAAGAUUCUAAAAAAUAUCAUUAGAAAGAUGAUAGAUAAAAAUGUCAGAAAUUGGCACGAAUGUCUGAAUAAGGCUUUAUGGGCUUAUAGGACAUCACCUCGGUCAAGUACCAAGAUUACUCCUUUCCAACUUGCUUAUGGACAGGAGGCUGUUUUGCCUAUGGAAAUCAACGUGCAAUCGAUCAGAGUGUGCUUACAGCAUAAGUUGAAUGAUGAUGAGUAUGCCGAAUCACUAGUUCAAAAUUUAUUGGGGUUAGACGAAUUAAAGUUGGACGUCUUAGAUAGAUUACAAGAGCAAAAAAAAAGAAUGACUAAGUUUUAUAAUAAAAAAGUCAUAGCCAAGUCGUUCAGCCUGGGUGAACUAGUUUGGAAGACGAUACUCCCUUUGGAUAGCAAAGAUCCCAAGUACGGGAAGUGGUCGCCCAAUUGAGAAGGACCAUACAAAAUAAAUAGUAUAUUGCCCAAUGGAGCGUAUCACUUGGAGGAUUUAGACGACACCAAGCACGUAAGAUUCAUUAAUGGUAAAUAUUUGAAAAAAUAUGUUCCUUCUUUAUGGGAAUGUGAACAGAUAAAAUCAUAAUCAAAUAUGGUGAACGAUUAAAGGAUAAAGAGGUCAGAGCGAAAUACGUUCAAGUGAAGUCCUUUAUUAUCAAACGUUCAUUACAAGAAUACAAAAAUACAAAUAAUGGUUGUUCUAGGAAAUAUAAUUAAAAGUAAGCUAAUCUCCCGGUUGAUCGCUGAGUAAGCCUCACGCCGCCUUCCUAAAUGCAUCACUGCAAUGGUGGGAUCGCCGAGUAAGAGGGUGUACUGGCCUCACCGCCUUCCUAAAUGCAUCGCUGCAAUGGUGGGAUCGCCGAGUAAGAGGGUGUACUGGCCUCACCACCUUCCUAAAUGCAUCGCUGCAAUGGCGAGCAAAGAGGCUGAGAAGCACUCCCAGCAAGCAAGCUGAGAAGCACUCUCAGCAAGCAAAGUGGCGCACAAGCAGCCCAAAAAUUGCCUUCUAUCAUUGACUCCUUGUAAAGGACAAAGAGACGAUGGGAAGAACUUUGAAGGUAAAAACUUCGCUGCUGGCCAGAAAAUAUUUCCUAUACCUCCCACACCAAAGGUGACAUCAAGGUAAAUUGUAAAAUGGACUGACUAAACUGUCCAUUUUUGGUCAGAUUGAUUGUCAGAAUGCCAAGCAAUGGCAGUAAAUUAGUUUCGAAGAAGAAAAUAAAGAUGAAGAUAGAAGAUGGAAAAUGCGAAGCAUUUAUAGGAGGUGGAGACGAAGAGACAGAAUAUGAACAGCUACAUUUCUGCCUAAUAAACGGAAUUAAAUAGCCCAAAAUCUUGGGAAAAGUGGUGGAAAUAUCAAAAGAAAAUGGACAAGAUUUUUUAGCACAAAGCAGUCAAAUGCUUAAAGAAUUGACGACUAAAAAACAAACGUCAAAUAAAUGCACAAAAAGUUAAUGUUCAUUAAUGAUGAACAAAGCUACAAGAGGAAAAAUCAAAUUACAAAAGAAAAAAGACAUCGUAUGUCUUAAUUACAGUCCACCCCAUACUGAACGAAUUCGUUCCCUAAGUUUUUUCCAAUCCUCGUUCUGCCGAGAGGAAGUGAUGUUCAAUUCAGCCACGACAUCAUCAUCAACUUCCAACUUCUUGUACUGCUCGACCAAGGACUUAGUUCGCUCAAUUCCUUGGGAGGCGUUGCACUUUUCAGCAGCCAUUCUCGCCCUGUAGUCGUCCAUUUUGGCUUGAAGUUCCUUCAUCUGAGCAUGCAAAUUAACCAUCAAAGAGUCUUCAACCAUGACUUCGGAAGAGAUUUCUUUCAACUCGUCCUCAGCCUUGUUAAUCUCCAUACGCAAAGACUCUUUCUCAGCAACGGCUUGAAGAUAUUGAGUACGUUUGGCCUUUAGUUCAGCAUUCUUGGCCAGCAAAGAAAGGACCUCGGAGUGAAUAACCUUCAACGUCGCUUUAAAAUCGGCAGAAAGAUUGAGCGACGGAAGCAUCAAUGCUUGCUCCAACUUUGCACUCAAGUGCUCAAGUUUAUCCUUGUGUCUGGUGGCACUGGCCCUUCCAAUAUCCAUAUCCAUGAAGGAUACGUACUCAAGUAUCGACUCCUUGAGGACCUUCAAAUCUUCCUCUGAAGAAGCAGCAGGAUGAUCAGAUGGAGCAGGGCAAGACGUCUGGAGUUGCCCCUAGGAAGCGAACAAGUCUUGGAUAGAACGCACAAUUUUGUCAGCAUCCUGCAAAGAAAAUUGCCAAUAUUAAAGAUCCUCACUACAACGAACAAGAUAGAAAUAGAAGUAAAGCAAAGACUACCUCAUCAACAAUCGUAGAAGAUGGCAUGUCCUCAGCCAAGCUUGCCGCCAACGACUCCUCCAUUCGUGAGGACUUCCCCUUAUCUGAGCGAGAAGAUGUUGCCACAACGGGCGGACUCAUAGGAGUAUUUGCAAAACUCAAGAGCAACAAAUCAGAAACCAACAGCACAAGCAAAGGUAAGACAUCAAAAGACUAAAUUACCUUCUGCUUCAAUGUUUGGGGGGUUGACACCCUGGUAAGAAGGUGGUUCAUCCAUGGGUUGUGAUGAGAACUCUGGGACUGAAGAUGUCUCUUUAAGCGUAGCCUCCUCAUCAACCGGUUUAGAUGAAGUAGCCUCAGCAGAGGAUGAUGGAGUAGGAGCUGUCGAUGCCAAAGCCUUUGAAGGAGAGGCUGAGCUUUUCUGAGAAGUGCAAAAGAUCAUCAGCACACAGAAAAGUUUCAAGUGUGGAAAAGUAUACUUGUGAGUAAACCAAUUUAAUUACCUUCCUCCUGACGAUAAGAGGGGCAUCAUCAUCAUCAACAUCAUCCUCCAGAAUGGGAGAUACUGAGGCUGGCCGUUUACGGCUUGGGGUACUCUUGGCCGUAGUAGGCUUGGCAGGGAGAGAAGAAGAUGGAUGAACAGACUGUUUAGUGCGAUGAGAAGGAGAAGGACUACGAAUGGACAAGGGAGUGACUAAAAUAGGAGGAGGGGAAGAAAUGCUCGGUUGGUCUAAUGAAUGAAAGGCACGAUUGGCGUCAAUCGCAAAUAAUCUGCGCUUCACUGACGGCCAGAGCUGUUCAAAAAGAGGGUGAAUUGCGUGGCUAGAAUUGAAAGGGGCUAAUGAAAAAUGGCUAGUUAAAAGAAGAAUACGAGCAUCUAUAGCCUCUGCCUCUGCCUUAGUAAUGGUAUAAAAACGGUCAACUAAGUUCCUUGAAUAGCAAGGAGGAACAGGCCAAGUUUGGCCAAAACCAAGCUGACGAGCAAAAAAUUGGGGAGCAUAAAUCUCUACCCUCGCUUUGGCAUUGGUCCCAGUUAGAAUAUCAUGAAAUAGCUCCCUCCCGCUUAAAAACUGGAUCCAAAUGAGCAGGGAGGUGCUCGCGCUAUCUAUAGUGGAAGGGGGAUGUACAUAGUUUGGAGUCAAAAAAGGAGAAAAAGGAAAAAAGGAAGGGAUUGAAUCCAAAGAAUAAAAGAAUGAAAAAAUGUCCCUUCUAGACAUAUUUACAGGAGCUAAGGGCUCCAUGGCUAGCCCAUAACAGCUAGCAGAGGAGCGAGAGAUGGAUGGAGCACCAAGCAAUGGAAAAUAGGAUCUCAACCACAGUUGAGUGAACCAAAGAGGUCCAUUACCAGUGGGAGAUGCACCAUUCUUCAAUUGAGCUUGAAGAGAGGCCAUGCUUCUAUAAAGGGCAGCCAAAAACAAAGAACAUAAAUUCAAAGGCCUGCCACGCGCCAAUUCGUGCGCUAUAGGUAAAUAACUCAGGGAGGGCUUUAUGCUUGGCACGCACAAAACAUAUUUACAAAGCCAAACUAAAAGGAAGGCCACUCGCUCAGUAUGGGAAGGCUCAGCGCUCGAAUGAUUGUGAAGGGUUUGCAGGCUUGAAUAAGAAUCGGUGUAGUUUUUACCAAACUUUGGAGCGCCACCAGAAACCAAGAUACUAGGAAAAAUGGUAUCGCCCAAAGGUGGUAGAUUCACUAGGGCCCCAACAUCCCUUAAGGUAAUAGACAUGGGGCCAAGAGGGAAAAUAAAGGUAUUAUACUCAGGAGACCAAAAACUCAAAGCAAUCGAAAAGAGUGCUGAAUCAAAAGUAGGGGGACGAAUAGAGAUUUCUAACAAAUCAGAAAUCCUAGCGCUAUCAAAAAGUGCCUUAGUAGGACCAUGACCCACAUGGCGAGCAUGCCACCUACGAAAAGCUACAUCAGAUUUAGGCCAAGUGCGAAUACCUCUUUCGCGAAGUGGCCCCAGCGGCAGAGAGUUUAGAAAAGGAGGGCCAUGAGUGUAAGGAAACAGCUGACCCGCCGCCGCCUGUUCAACUGCCUCUGCAUUGUUGAAAAAAGGACCCAAGUAGAACUCAUUACGUUCGACAUCGACGGGCGCGAGAAAACUUGGAGUUAUGUAUGGGCGACUCAGAAGUUUUUGAAAGUCAUCAAAACUAAAGGAGUCGCCAGCUUGAGAUUGUGAAGCAGCCAUUUGAAAAGGAACGAAGUUUUUCAGGGUUACGUAGCAGGGAAGCAAGAGAUGAACAGUAAAUCGUGAGAGAGACGCAAAAAAUUUGAGGCGUGGUUUAAUAGUGCAGUGAAAUGGCGUGUUUGAGGUUUAUAAGGGUUUGCAAAACGACGCACCUUUUCAAGUUAUAGAAGAAAACAAUGAUUGAAAUUCUUGAGAAUUUCGAAUGUUGCUGGAAACACAAAGUGAAUAUGGCAAAAUUUAUUAAUUAUUAUUAAUUCUGCCAUAUUGGGGGGUAAUUGUUAACACAUAAAAAUUCAGCCCAAGGAGUGAAGCCCAAUUGGAGGAUCCCCAAAUUAGAUAGCCCAAAGAACGAAGCCCAAUCGAACAAAUCAAGAUGAAAGCCCAAAUAAGGAGGCCCAAGAACGCGGUAACGCCAUCGCCCAAGUUUGCAAGUCGCCCAAAAUCUGAGCGAAUGGAGUGCCAUACAGUCGCCCAGAGCUGUUACUCUAUUCUCGCCCAAACCUUCAAGUCGCCCAAGGUCUUAACAAACAUAAAGCGUUGUGGUUGUCAAGAAGUGCAGUUAUCAAAGCAGUUAUUAAAGCAGCCCUAUCACGUUCCACGAUUCAAGGAAUUCAAUCGAAAGCAGUUGAAUGAUGAAGAGUAAUGGCAGCAGUUAAAGAAGACAGUUUUCAUGACAAGUUGGCCAUUACACAGAAAGUGGGCAAUUAUAGGACGAUCAAGCAGUUUUUAGGGUGGUUGAUCACAAAGAGAUUGUCCAUGAAGUAUAAAAGGGAGAAAGAACAUAGAAGUAAAGGACCGAAUCAAAAACUCUCGAACAGAGAACAUGUAAUUUUCAUUUCCUUAGCUUAGACUUAAACAUUUUUCUUUCAGUAACUCGUGUGCUUGCGCCCCUUGGAGGCACAUUGUUUUUAAUUUCCAAUUGUAAAAUCAUCGCCAAUAAAAGAACACCCAUUUUUGGGACUUUGUCUCAAGAGGUUUGUCCCUUACACAAUCGCUGAUCCUUUUUAAUUGUUAGCGACUAACCCGCGCGAAAUAAUUUUUUGUAGAUAUGAUUCUAUUAAUUUUUAUUCAACUAUUACGAGUUUCUCAUAUCUUUUUAAAUAUGACAUCUAGUUACGACGUCAUUUUGAUCUAUCUUCUUUAUUCUAAAAUGCUCAAAACAAAUUCUCUACUAUAUUUCUGAAGUCUUUUGCAAGUCUCUUCAAUGUUCUACAAAAUAUAUAUGUCGAGCACAUAUAUUGUUAGCUAGUUUUAAACUUUGACUCAUUUGCAUCUCAUGCACAUGGACGUCCCUCGCUUAGUCCUAAUUUAUUCUUAACAAGCGUUGACUGCAUUUAUAGGUUUUUAGUUAUGUCAAAAUCAGAGUAUAACACACUUAUUCCAUAUUCAAAACUGUAAAUACUCUUGAAUAUCUCUAACCCUUAUAGUAUAUCUUGAAAGAAAAAGUUUGAGAAAUAUAAUGUUACAAUGUUGAUUGAUUGGAAGGCACAGUUCUUUAAAUUAAAAAAAAAAUAAAAAUAGGCUACAUAUACGAGACAACAAUUUAUAUUACCUUUUAAAUUAAUUUUUUCAAUUUAAAUGUAACCAAACAGUUAUUAUCAUAAACAAAUACACCAGUUCACAAAUUAUUUAAAUACUAAUGUCUAUGGAAAAUUACGAUAGUUUAUUUUCAUAAAUAUUCAACAAUUACAUAUCAAAUUUAAAUAAUUAAAUAUUUAACAAUUUACUUUUUUAUGAAAUUAACAUAAAGAUUGAAUGAGAGAAUAUGGAUAGAAUUGAUCAGAAAUUUUUAAAUUAAGGAUGAAAUUACAGACUUGUGCAAAAUUGAUGAAGAUUGGUCACCUAAUUUUAACUUGUUCACAUCCAUAUAUUUCCUCUUCCUAGUUCUUGUCGUGGAAUAGAGAGGACAAAAUCCCGUUCAACCCACUACUCGCCGCCUCACCCGAGUGGUGUGGGGAUUACCUGCCUAAUUCAGUAAACGUGUGGGGGGCGGAAUGGGGUUUGUUGCCUCAAAGAACGUAUGAAAAACAUGAUCGCCCCGCUACCCAUCACGUUUAACGUUAAUUUUAAAUAUAAAUUUUAUCAAACAAAAAGAAGAAAUUUAUCAUUAUUUUUAAAGAGAACAUGAGUUGUUCUUAACAAAUUUAAAAAAUAAUAAUUAUAUUCACUGACUAAAGAUAUAAAAAAGUAAAAACAAAAAAAAUAAAAUAAAUGGGACAAUAAACCCCCGCCUCGUCCCAAUCUCGCUCUGAACCCAACUCGUCUUGUUUUAAUUGGAUAUAGAAGCAGGGCAAUUAUAAUAAAAAUACCCAAUGCAAUUGGGGGACAGAAAUAGCUGACCCGCCCCCACAACCAUCGCUACUAUGGAGAGUGGUGUUCUCUUGCAUCAAAUCUGUGGUGUUACUAUCUCAUCUUCAAUAUUUUAUUUUUCUACAAAUCUCAGCUUUUCAAAAUCCACCCCCUCCCCCCGGGUCAAAACUCUAGUCUCUGAGUGGAAACUUUGUACAAAGUUUAGUUAACAUUUGGAUAAUUCACUCUUAUAUUUCAUUUUUUAUUACCUACGCUGGUCCUUCUUUUUUUUUUUUUUUCAAAUAAAUAGAUGUUAAAAUAUGUUGUUCGGAUUUACAUAAUUGUGGUCAAUUUACUCAUAAUGUUUAUGAUAAAGCAUAUUUUGGUUAAUUUGGAAUACAACUUGUGCAUGAUAUUAGAUGUCGAAUCAUAUUGAAAUGGAUAUUUAUAAGGAAAAAUUUGAUAAAUCCUAUCAUUAAUGUUAAAUUUUGAGAAAUGAGAAGCAUUUCACGAAAAUCAGGUCACUCUAAAAUAAUUAAAAAUAUAUUAUUUAAAAUAUUGUGAACCAAUGUGGUAGGUUCCCUCUAUUAGAAGAUUCUUAAAAAAAAAAAAAAAAACCGAUGACAUUAUCAAAAUAAAAUUCUGCAAAUUCUGGAAUGAUAUUUAGUUAAAAGAAACAUUAAAGGUAUGUUAUGACUUGGGACAUAUGACUCCUACUAUGUGAUCUUGGAUGACUAUUAACAAAAAGCAAUUAUAUGACUUAUUAUGUAUCUUAUUAUUACAGUCCAUACAUAUGGAAUGAGUUGACAUGAGAUGUAACAAACAAUUGUGACUUUGACUUUGACUACUUCUAUUUGAUAAAAUUACGACAACAUCGUGUGACGGUUGUUCAUGUAGAAAUGGUUGUCAAAUGCAACAACUAUGACAUUUGAUGGGAUAUUUAGCAACAUGUAUUUAUAGCUCAUAUGAGUCGUAACCAUUUAAAGUUGUGAUAUUGAAUUUAUUGACCUUCUAAUUAUGUUAGUGAAGAAAUAAUGACUAUUUUAUAGUACAAAUCAGGUGAUUGAUCCACUUGCACUCUAUAUAUUGCAAUAAAAAAGAGACCAUACCGUUAAAAUUAUCUUAAUUUUGGGAACAAUAUUAGAAACGUAAAAAAAUAAAUAAAUUAUACACGAAAAUUCUGAAAUUUUUGAAUUAAUUAAAUUAAUGAAUGUGAUUUAACAAUUUUUUUUUAUUAAUAACUUAAUUUGUCAAAAGUAAAAGCUUUUUUUAUUUUUUUUUAUGGGAAAAUUUCAUAACUAAGAAAUUAAUUAUGGCACAUUUCACAAAACAAGAAAACAAGUUUCAAAUUUCUAAAAUCAGAUUUUUAUUAAAAAUUAUUUAUAAUUUAAUUAGUUAAUUAAUUAUUUUAUUAACUAAAUAUAUUUAGGUCACGGAUCUAUACAAUUUGAUCACUAAUUAACAAUAUAAUUAGUUACUUAUUAUUUUUUGGUCACAAAUCAAAAAUUUUAUGUCACAAAUUUUUUUACAAUCACAAUUCAAAAAUUUUGUAAGUCACAAUUUGUUUAUUGGUCACAAAUCCAAAAAUAAUUAGUUACGGAUUAAUUUUUAGUCACGACUUAUCAUAUUAUUGGUCACAACUUAUUUUUCGGUCACAAACACAAAUUUUAUAGGUCACAUAUUAUUUUUCGAUCACGAAUCAAAAAUUUUAUAGGUCACAGAUUAAUUUUUCGGUCACAACUCAAUAAAUUAUAAGUCACAAAUACAAAUUUUAUAGGUCACAUAUUAUUUUUCGAUCACGAAUCAAAAAUUUUAUAGGUCACAGAUUAAUUUUUCAGUCACAACUCAAUAAAUUAUAAGUCACAAACACAAUUUUUAGGUCACGUAUUAUUUAUGAAAUAAAAAAAUGGAAAAAUUAAUUUGUAAGAGUUUAUUUAUAGCCUACUUCAAAAUUAAGAGAAGAAGGUUUGCAAUUUCAAGUUUCAGAUACUAUUAAAAUUUAUUAAUGAAAUAAUUGAUUAAAAAUUUAUAUAUUUGGUCACAACUUAUCAAGUUAAUUGGUCACAAAUUAUUUAUAAGUCACAAAUUCAAAAUUCUACAGGUCACAAAUUAUUGGUCGGUCACAGAUCAAAAAUUUCAUAGGUCACAAUUCAUUGAUCGGUCACAAAUCAAAAUUUUUAUUGGUCACAACUCAUUUGUCGGUCACAAAUCAAAAAUUUCAUAGGUCAUAAUUCAUUGAUUGGUCACAGAAUCAAAUUUUUUAUUGGCCACAUUUAAUUUGUUAGUCACUAAUCAAAAAUUUUAUAGGUCACAAUUCAUUGAUCGUUCACAAAAUCAAAUUUUUUACGGUCACAAAUCAAAAAUUUCAUAAGUCACAAUUUAUUGAUUGAUUACAAAAUCAAAAUUUUUAUUGGUCACAACUUAAUAAAUUAUAGUCACAAUUGCAUUUUUUAGGUUACAUGUUAUUAUUAGACACAAAUUACUGGUCACAAACACCCCCUACAUCCCAUCUACCCCGACCACCACCCCCCAUGACAACCGUCACAGUAACCACACCACCACCACACGCCAAACUCUGAAACCAACAACCUCCACUGUCGCCAAAAACCACCACAACCACCGCCACCAAACACACUAACAAUGUUCAAUUCACAACCUCACCAACACCACCCAAGCGUAAUUUUUCAGCUAGUUCCACCCACCAGAACCAUCACCACCUCAACACAUCGCAGAACACCAACGUGCCACAAUCACCACGACCACCAUCGUUGAUCAUCACCGCCAACGCCAAAAUAUGUAAGCAGCCACCACCACCACCACCACCCAAAUAUCACCUAAAAAUACCAUAGAUAACAACUCAAUCCAAAGCCAUUCCCACCUCCACCACUACAGUGAACAUCACCACCACCGUAGCUACUACCACCACCAUAUGAUCGUAGCCACCACCACAACCCACGACACAGCAAUAAACACCGUAGCCACUACCACCACCAUAUGAUCGUAGCCACCACCACAACCCACGACACAGCAAUAAACCACGGUCUCAUCUCAAAAGAUCUCCUUCUCUUCUUGUAGAUCUUACAGAUAUGCUUCAUGAAUCACGAGGUACAUCACGGCACCACCACCACCACUUCAUCAUCACGACAAACCAGCUAUAGAACUCUACAAAUUCACCACACCGCAACAACAAAUCCACCACGGCACCAUAGCCAUUACAACUGUCACAGUCGAUCCAUAGCUAUAACCAUCGGUGACGGCGACAGAUCGCUGUGAUGCAUGGUGGUGCAUUCCAGAUCGCUGCCGAAGUAGAUGAGCCAAUAGAUCUCUGCUAGUCGCUGAUGGGAACGCCGUGCCGCGCCUCAACUCCACCGAUUAGAAGGGUGGUCGCGCCUCCGAUGCCGAAAUUGUGCUUCCGGGAAAGGUUGAGAGAGAGAAGGAGACGGCGAUUUUCUUUUUAAUCAGGGAGGCGACGGGUGUUUUAGGGUAGAAUGGAGAAAUGUGAGAGAGAGAGAGUUAGGGUUUGUGAGUAAUGAUAUUUAUUUUAUAGAAAUAUUAAUUAAAAUAAAAUUUUUGAUUUUUGAAAUAUUAAACUUUCCCCCUGAUUUUAGAAUUUAAGAUUUUAAUGAUAUGAUUUUGUGUAAUUUCCACUUUUUUUAUUACUCGCUUGCUUGAGGCCCAUCUGAAAAAAAGCCCAAAUUAAAGGCAGAGAUAUCCAACUCUUACCCAGCCUGUUUACAGUUUAUGUAUAGAGCAAAGGGGACGAUCGGAUCUCUUCCUCGGUUUACGCUAAAAUUCGGGAACAAUUCAUCGCCCCUGGGCACCAAUUUAUCUCGUGGUGCUGUGCUUUCUACUCAACUUCUGCAUCACCAAACUUGGGAGGUAGUAUCGGAUUUUAUUAGUGUAAAAAUGGCUUUAUAUGAUGAAAUCGCAUUCUAUUUGAAUGUUGUGUGAAUGAUUUAAUUUUAUCUCAACUCCUUAUAAUUUGUUCCAAAACUGUUGAUUCUUGAUGAUAAUUUUCCUCUAGCAACAUUGAUUUUUUCGACCACACUUCUCUUGAAUUUUUGAUGCGGUUGUUCACUGUUUUCUCCUAGCUUUGAAAACUUGCUGCCCCUCAAGUGUAAUACGUGAAAUACCCAGGACCAAAAUCCAGUGGGGGCAGUUAAUAUACCCCAGGUCCGGCUCCGGCCCUGUACACAUUUGAGUUAAAAUUCAUCAAAUAUGAAAAUUUUGUGUUUGUGCUCUUUGUUAUGAUGUGUAGGGUCAUACUAAAAACGGUAUGCCUAAUCAUUUUUCAUGACCAUUUACUUGUUUGGGCUUAAUUUUUCGUUAUUGAUGUUUGGUUUUUGAUAUUGCAUUAUUUAAUAUUGCUGAUGGGGAAAUUUUGAUGAGUCUACAUAUUAUUGGAGUGGUAGAAGCUUCUGGUAGUACUAUGGCUUGGAAUGUUACUUCACAUCUUAUUGAUUCGCGAACCCUCACAAAUGAAGCUGAAAUUAAAAGGAAAAGGGGGUUCUGAUUUUUUAUCUGAUGAUCUGUUUCUACAAAAUAUUAUGUGGUUUGACUGUCAUUCUAAUUGGUGUAAAGUUAUCUAACAAUUAAAAGUAUAAAAUAUAAAAAUGUUUACUUUUCUUGUGUACAACAAUUUUAUUGUGAGCUUGCUUGAUACUGUCUGUUACCAUUGAUGGAUGCUAUUUAUUCCCAUGAAAUGAAAAUAUUAAAUAUUAAAAUGUUAGAAUGAUAAGAACAAAAAAAGAAAAAAACUGAGAUGUGUUGAUAUAGGAAAAUGAGAUGUUGUAUUUAACAAGUGACAAAACUUUGUAUUUAGUUAGCCCCUAUUGGUUAAAAAUGGUUGCAAACUUCAUACAAUAUAGGCCCACUAUAGGAUUUUAGAAUAAAAAGUUACUUUCUUACGGAAUUAAAUGAAAGCCGACUUUGGGGUGAUAUGUUGUUUCUUUGGCAUGUUUGUGGAUCUCUAUUUCAAAAUAAUGGUAUAGACUGAACUAAGCACUUUGUCAGAAUGCUCUCCGGAAGACGAAAGCUGCCAACUUAUUAUCAAUAACUUGAGUCACCUUAAUUUGGGUAAAAAGCUGACUUUCCCUUGCCAUUCUGGUUGUUCAAGUAAAAACAAGGAGAAAACUUGUGGCUACCUAAAAAAUACGAUAAUUGGGCUGCUUUUGGGAUUGGAUGUGCAAACAUGGUAAACUUUUUGGUUUAUUCUUCUAUUUUGUGGCUUAGUCUGAUGAUUAUGCUCAUAUGUUGGUCAACACGUUACAGAAGUACAUUUGUUAGUGCCCAAACGGAAGAAGUUGUUUUAUGAAUUAAGCUCCUAGAUAUUACUGUAAGAUGCACAUAAUAGAUAGAUCCUGGAAGAUGUACAGCUGGAAGGGCCUAUUUCCCUGAUAGGAUUAUGAGGACUGUAUAAUCUGAUUCAAAUGCCAUGAUGGAAUAACAGGAAACUUUGGUUUCUACUAAUUGCAGGAUUUGGGAAUUAUUUUAAUCAAUAGUUGGUGUAGUCUUUUGCCUCUUGUUUGGUCCUCGACUUUGCAAUCUAGGUUUUCUUACAGCAUCUUUGGCUAAGCUUACAAAAAAAAAUAAAGUUAAUUUUUAAGGGAGUGUUUGAUAGAGAUUUUUAUGUAAAAAUACAUUUUAGAAUAGUAAAUUGAUGUGAACUGUGUGGUUGAAAAAUAAGGAAAAGUUUUUGAUUUACGUGUAAUAUUAUUUUAAUAAAGAAUGUGUGGUUGAAAAGAAAAAAGAGAAAAACGUAUUUUGAAAAAAAUAACUACCAUACGGGGCCUAAGUAACUUUUUGUCUUUAGAUAACUUACUUUUAAUAAAAAGUUAUUUUUUCUCAAAGUAAUACCUUAGUGUCAAAAUAAAUAAUUCAUUACCUUCUUUGAUCAAUAAAUUUUUUCUUUUUGAAAGAACUUAUUUACCUGUUAGAAAACCUUUUAAGCAUAGCCAAACUUGUAGCCUGCUAUACAUUUGAUGCUCUUGUAAUGGAUCUUUUGAUACGUGCAGUGUUCAAUCAUGAUUGAGAGUGGAAAUUUAAUCCUCAAAUCUCAUUAUGAGAUCCUCGAUGUGAAGGAAGAUGCUAGCUCUGACGAAAUUCGUACAUGCUACCGAACUGCCAUUCUGAGUUAUCAUCCAGAUAAAAUGCAAACGACAUCCCAAACAUCAAAUCCUGCAAACGAGUUGGGCGGAAGGUUUUUAGAGGUGCAGAGGGCUUGGGAAAUCCUCGGAGAUUCAAAAUCUCGUGCACUUUAUGAUAACGAGCUGCAAUCUUCGAGGCAAGAUUCUGCAACUGCUGAAGAUAUCAGAUUAGAGGAUCUGUCAAUCGAAGAGGUUGGUGAUAUUUUUGAGCUUUCGUACGGCUGCAGAUGUGGCGAUUACUUCCUAAUCGAUUCUUUGGAGUUGUCAGAUAUGGGAUAUCCACUGUUGAAAAAUGGGAGUAAAAUUGUUUUGCAAGCGCCUAGAUCUCCACCUGCAUCUGUUGUUCUUCCUUGUGGGUCAUGCUCGCUUAAAGUACGGUUAUUGAUUAAUUCUGAUAGUAAGCUUCAAACUGAGUUGAGUAAUUGAUAAUAGUUUUUCCAUUAAUCUGCAAUUUUGGUCUGAGCAAGUGAUUUAAGAUUAUCUAUAAUUUUGUGGAAUGUAACAGAGAAUUGGAAAAAUGACAGGUCAUUUUGAUUAAAAUUUGUAAUGUGUACUGAUUCAAUUGUUCAUGCAAUUGUUGUGGCCUGUGGUGCCAUUAUUUGAAUAGCAAAGGAUUUGAACUCGCAAGAGAUCUAUUGCAUAGUUUUUAUUAAGGUUAGACAAAACUCUCGAAUCAAAUGAGGCCGAAUUGGACCCGAUUCGAACUAAAUCGAAUCGAGCAGUUCUUCUUAAAUUAAAUAUUUGAAUGGGUGUUUGAAUCGAGAACCGACGGGUUCGAUUCGAUUUUCGGAUCUAGAUCAUGAAUUGAAGAAUUGAAUAAGAACUAAAUCUCUAUAAUUUUUUUAAUUUAUUUAUUUUAAAUAAGUCAAAUUAUUUUAUUUUUUUUUAAAUAAAUUUGUUAAUUAAUUAAUUUAGCUCAAAUCCAAAAAUAUGAUUUUCAUAUUUCUAAUUUUCAAUCUGAGUCCAACUUAAUCAAACUGUUCUAAGUUUUAUCCAAAUAUGUUAUUCUAUCGUAGUGUUAUUUUUACCGUUUUGGAGAAAUUGAAUUAAAGUUGGACAGCAGCUCUCUUAAUUAUUGUAAGCUUGCUAUCGUCCUCUUCCUGUGAUUAUAACAAUCAAAUCUAUGAAAAACUCACCAAAGAGAAAUGCAAAAGACAUAUAAGAUUGGAUUACGUUAUUUCGUAAGAGUUAAGAUUAAACAUGUCAUUAAUUGAAUUAAUUUAGUUUUAUAAAUAUUAAAAAAAUUAAUUAUAGUAUAGAACCUGGGAGCCGAAUCCGAACGGUUCCAUAAUUAACUUGGGAUCCGACGGUACUAUUUAUUAAAUACCUGAAAAUUUCAGGUUCGAUUCGGUUCUAAUGAGAAUCCAACUAAAUCGAACCAUGUCCACCCUUAAUUGUCGGCAGACCAUUUUAUCAUCUUGUAAUAUUAAGGAAGAAAAAAGUAGGUGAAUUCUUGUUGGUUGUGCUGUUUAAACCCAACAAAGCUGUGUGUAGAAAUGCCACAGGCAACACACAAUUGGGUGAGGGGAAGAGUGGGGGAUUUUUUUGGUAUCCUUUAUCACGACUUGGGAUUCACAAAUUAUGGGUAUCUGGUGGAAUUUUGUGAGUCCUUUUUUUGUACGAAUGACUUUCUUAGUUUAAACCAUACUAAACAUGCUACAGUGACAAAAAUAUCAAUUGCAGACCCUUGACAUUCUGUUCUCUGAAUAUCAUAAACAAAUCAAUAAAGAGAUCCCUAAACUAUAUCGAGUUUUGUUAAAAAAAUAAAAAAUAAAAAAAAAAUAAGGAAAAGAAAAAAUCAACAUAAAUAUUAGUGUGCCACAUUGCUUGGAGUUGUAUGACGCAUGUAGGGUUGAUAAAACCCAACUCAACCCAAUUGAUAAGUGUAUUUUUAUAUGCUUAUGUGGUUAUUAAAUGAAAGCAGCUAUUGUUAAUUUGAAUGAAUUAGAGCUUAAUUAUGUUUUAAGUAAAACUCGUGACAAAUUGGGUGAAUUGGAAGAAAGAAGCGAAAAAUGGACUGAAAAAGAAGAAUACGAAGUUCGUGAUAAAAUUGCAAAUAUCCAAUAAUUGAUUCAGACAAAAAAAAAAUGUAUAAUUGAAGAUUAUUAAGAGUCAAUUGAAUGUAAUUAGAAGUCAAAAAACAGUGAAAUUCAAUAAAAAAAUUCUAACAAAUCAAUUUUCAACUGUACAAGUAAUGUUCCUGAAAUUUAGUCGGAGAUUGAAACCCAUUUUGACAUAGUAGUCGCUCUAAUAGAAAAAUUGCUACUUUUUUUUAUUAGUUGUAGCCCUUCGAAUUAACUUUUUAACACAUUUUGAAUCUUCUUAAUCAAAUAUUGAAAUAGAAAGUUAUGACAAAAAAUUAACGACCGAGUAAAGAUAUAAUCAUGUUUGUGCGAAGACAACUUUCCUUAUUUAAUUGACACUCUUUUGGAACCCAAACUUAAACGUAUUUUUUUGACCUAAUUUCACCUUAUAUAAUAGAAUACAUGGACAACCAUUGAAGGAUCUCUCCCACCUCUCAAAUCACUUCCAUGUCAUAAAAUCAUUCAAGAACGAGAAUCAAAUUCAUCAUAAGUUGGAGAGGAGAACAAAUCUAACAUGUAGAUAAAUCAAGAAACAUCAAGAACUUGAAAAAUCAAAGCUUGGGGUUGAACACUAAGAAUAAAAAUUAGACCGUGACAUCUCUUUCUUAUAUUUAUAAAUUUAGGUGAUGUUUUUCUAUUCUUCUUCUUGUUUGAUCAUUUGACAUAUGUUUAGCUAGAUUCUUUGUAUUUGAUGAGGAUGAACCAUAUUAUUUAUUUAUUUUAAUUCAAACUAAUAGUUUAGUAAUUCUUGUUUUCUUGAUUAAUUUUAUAUUCUCAUUGCAUUAUAUAAUUAUUUUGCCAUCAAUUAGAUAAUUAGUUGUUUGUUGCAGUGUCAGAAGACUCACAAUAAGUUUAGAAUGUAAUAAAAUUAACAUAUGUGUAAUAGAUGUUAUGAAUAAUAUUUAUUUCAUGUGCAAUCAUGUAAAUAAUAUAUAGUUUAUGUAUUCUAAUGAUUCGAAUUUAGGUUAAGGAUAGACUUGGGUUGUGGUUAGAAUAGAUUUAUUUUGUCUUAGAAAAGAAAGUUAAAUAUAUUAAUUUUAUUGAACGUUAAGAACAUAUGAAUGGAACUAGAUUACAAAUUAAGACUUAAAAUAGGUAACAAUAGAUGAAUUCGAAAUUCAAUAACAGCUUUCUUAGGUUAAUAUAGACUAAUCAACAUUAAAAACUCUUUCGUUUACACACUUCAGAUUACAUAUAAAUUAGUAAAUUUGAAUUAAAAUUUAUUACUUGUGGGACGUAAGCUCUCAAUUCACUCAAAUCGAUUACUUAUCCAUGAUCUCGUAUGCUUGCGGGAUUUAGUGAUCGAGUUUUUGGCGUCGUUGUCGGGAAUAAAGUAUUUAAUUUUAGUUUAUUAGUUUAUUUAGGAUUUGACUAUUAUUAUUAUUAUUAUUAUUAUUAUUAUUAUUAUUAUUAUUAUUAUUAUUAUUAUUAUUAUUAGUUUUUUUAAAUUUAGGCUUCUCACCAUAUCUCUCUUUUGUUUGGUUUUCUACCAAGUACUAUUCAAUAGCACAUGGAUGAUUCUUACAUUAACAAGAGAGCAAACCAUUUGCAAUAAUUAAUCUCAACGUGGAUGAUGAAGAUAUGCUUGUAGAAGACAUAUAUUGUUAAUUUUGUUACGGGUUGCAUUAUACUGGGCACGGCUUAUAAAGACGCACUGUUGAACCCCUAAGGUUCAAGCUUCUACAAUUUCAACAAUAUUUAAGUUAUCAAAAAUGAGCAAUUGAGAAAUUUAAUGAAAACUACAUACCGGCAAUCGAUUAUGUAUCAUUAGACAUGCUUGUGGGAGUUGGUUCCUUUCAUGUUGAAUGAAGAGAUAUUUGUAAAAUAUUAUAAUGAACUUGCUAAGUCAGAUGAAAACAAAUGCAUAUGGAGAUGGCAUAUCUUGGGACAAAUUUAAAUGAUGGGGAUAUAAUCCACUUGAAAAGAUUGAAAGGAAAUAAGUGACAUUGCCAAUGAAUUUAGAUAGUGAACCGACCAUUUAACUCGAAGAAAUAUCAAUUAUUGAAGAAGAGCAUAAAGACGAUGACAAACUAAUUAUAAAGGAACCAAGCAAAAAUGUGACAAUUAAUGAUGAUGAAAUUUACUCAUAUUCUUUUGACUUCAUCGAUUGUCCAACAAUUGAAUUUAUGAUUAAGUCAAAGAAGGAAGAAGUCUACAUAAUUAGCUUGGAAUAAGAUGGAAUAAACGAAUCAUAUCACAUAGAAUGAGGUAAUGUUAAGGUUUGAAAAAUUAACGAAAGUGGACCAAAGUCAAAAGAAACAAAUUAAGCAUGGCAUCAAAAGCUUUCUCCAGAAUUUCAUGGUGCAGAACAUGAAAGUCAAGCUAAUGACUAUAAAUAAGCACUUAUUGGAAUGCAAUUCAAUUUCUUCUCUUUUAUUUAUUUUUACUUUCUAAAAUAUAGGAUUAGUAAAUUUCAUUUUUUUAGUAGUUUUGUAUAUUUUAUUGCUUUUAGUAAUUUAGAGUAUCCUUAUUUUCAUAUUUUCCUUUAAGAAGCUUUAGAGCUUGUUUAACUAUGCUCCAUGGUAUAAUUGAAUUUUAUUUAUUUAUUUAUUUAUCUUGAAGAAACAACAUGACAUCUAAGUACAUUGGAUAAGGUAAAAUACAUAACAAGUGAUCCAACACUCUUAUGCCAGUCUAUCUACCACCUUCAGAUAUAUAUAUCAGGGGAAUACUUAGUUCUCUUAUUUAUCCUUAGUUUUUCUAUAUUACUUGUUAUAUUUUUAGACAUUAAGGGCAAUAUCUAUUAUAAAUUUGGGGAUUAAAAAAUAUCUAGUUUUUAUCUAUUUUUACUAUUUGGUACUUGCAAAAAAACUUCAAAAAUUAAAAAAAAAAAAUUAUCUUCAGUUUUAUUUUUGCUUUUAUAUACUUUUGUUGAUUAUAUAAAUUCGUCUACUAUGAUGCAUAUAUUUGGAACCAUCUGUAAGGUUAUAAAUAGUGAAAAAGUUGCAUGAUAGGUUGAUUUAUGCUUAUUAAUGUAAAAUUUGACAUUUUUGCACACAAGAUUAUUGUUUUGCAUCAUUAAGGAUUAAUUUGAUUCAAAUUUUGAAUAGUUUGAAAUAAAUUUAGUGGACCAUAGAUGCUAAAACUAGAUAAACACUAAAUUGUACAUCCUUAAACCUAUUUUCAUAUAAUUUGGGGGCGACUGAACUGUUGUAGGGAGAUAUUGAGAUAAAUAUAGAUUAUAUGCAUAUUCUGUUAAUUGUUUAAUGCAAAUAAGAAAAAAAUUAAGUGUAAAUUUUUGUGUCAAUUUUUGAGAAUGAGUGUUUAGUUAGGGGCAUUGUACUGGACAUUGCAUGGGAAAAUAAUUUCAAAGAAGAAAGAAACUCACAUUAUUAAACUUCUUUUUAUAGCCUUCAUGACUUAAGUUUAUAAAGCUUAAUUGAGAUAAGUUUGAACAUAAAAUGAAAAUGAAAAUAGAAAUAAAAAGAGAAAAAGCAAGUAACAAAAGGUGUACUACAUGCGUUGAUUAAACUCCAAAUACUUGUUUUAGAGAAUUAGACAUUUGACAAAGGAUUAUUGGCCUAGUUGAUUUUUGGAGGUUGAAGUAACCAAAAAUAAAGAGAACUCUCAUUUGUUGAUGUGUUAGCUGCAAUUAGUAAGAUCUAACCAAAGUAAAGGGGAUAAUGAUUAGUAUAAAAAAUCCAACUUUAGAUCACACUAUAGGAAAAGAGUUUUAAAAAAAAAUUAGUUUGAAUGUGAACCUUAUGCGAGAAUGAAGUAAAUAUUUGACCAAUUAGGGCCGGGACAUAAGUCACCUAAUGAGAACUUGUUUGAGCCCCAUUUUGAGGGGAAAGAAUGCAUUUUUAAAUAGUGAUUGAUGGAGAAUGUGUAGUUAAAAAUUAAGGAAAAGUUUUGGGUUGUGUAUAAUAUUAUUUUAUUGAAAAAUAUAUGGUUGAAAAUGGAUUUUAAAAUUUUUUUUUUUUAAAAGAAUGAGGCUCAAACAAGGGCUGGAUUUAUGAUGUUUAACAUGAAUUUUCACACACGGGCGUCGAUUUUGCAUUAGAUAAGUAGAAAUUAAUUUUAACAUUGUGAUUUUGAAGUAGCUCAUAACGUUAACACAUAAAUUUCAAUCCUAAGACCAAUGACAAAUUAUCUAAUCAUGUUUGUUUAAAAAAGUUUUGGUUAAGUUAAGCUAUAUUUUGUUAGAGGCUAAAUAAUUGUUCAAGUUUGGAGGUAUUUGAUAAGUUCAUUUCUAUAUACUUAUUUGGUUAUUAAAUGAGAGCCAUUAUUGUUAAUUUGAAUGAAUUAGCGCUUAUUUAUAUUUUAAUUUUAUUUGUUAGGUAAAAAUCGAGAUAAAUUGGGUGAAUUAGAAGAAAGAAAUGAAAAAUGGGUGAAAAAAAUGAAAUAUAAAGUUAGGGAUCAAAUUGUAAAUAUCUAAUAGUUGAUUUGAACCACAAAAUGAUAAUUGAAGAUUACAAGGAGCCAAUUGUAUGCAAUUAGAAGUCAAAAAGGAGUGAAUUACAAUCAAAGGAUUCUUACAAAUCAAUUUUCAUCCGUACAACUUAUAUUCCAGAUUUUUAGUCGGAGAUGGAGACCCAUUUUAAUUUAGUAAUCGUUCUAAUAGAAGAAUGGCUACUUAUUCAUUAAUUGUAACACUUUGAGUUAGCAUUCUAAUCAUUUUGAAUAAAUUCAAUCGAGUAUUAGGAGAGAAAUUUAUGACCAAAUUAUUGAUGAGUGUGCAAAGAGAUAAUCAUGCACGUGUGAAGGUAUCUUUUCUUAUUUGAUUGAAACAUUUUAGGAACCUAACUUGAACGCAUUUUUUAAGCUAAUUUUGCCUUAUCUCUAUCUAAUAUAAUCAUCCAUGGAAGAUCUCUAUCUCACCUCUCAAAUCACUUCCAUAGCAUAAAAUCAUUCAAGAACGAGGGAAAAAUUCAUCAUAAUUUGGUGGGGAGAACAAAUCUAGCACAUGGACCGAAUAAAAAAUAAAUCAAGAACUUGAAUAAUCAAAGCUUGAGGUUGAGAAACAAGAUCAAGAAUUAGACCGUGCAUCUCUUUCUUAUAUUUAUAAAUUUCGAGUGAUAUUCUUCUUGUUGUUUUAUCAUUAGAAACAUGUUUAACUAGAAAUUCUUUGUAUUGGAUGAAGAUAAAUUCUUUUUUUUAAUUAUUUUAAUUUAAACUAGUAGUUUAUUAAUUUUCCUUUUCUUGAUUAAUUUUACAUUCUCAUUGCAUUAUUUAAUUAUUUUGCCAUCAAUUAUAUAAUUAGUUGCUUAUUGUAUAGUUAGAAGACUCACAAUAAGUUUAAAACGCUACAAAUUAAUAUGUGCACAAUAGAUGUUAGGAUUAAUAUUUAUCACUUAUGCAAUCAAGUAGAUAACCUAAAAUUUAAUGCAUUCUAGUCAAUCGAAUUUAAGCUAGGAAUAGACUUAUAUGUGAUUAGAAUAAAUUUAAUUUGUCUUGAAAAAUGAAGUUAAAUAAUUAGCUUUAUUGAUUGUCAAAAAAGCAUGAAAUGAAUUAUAUUACAAAUCAAGAAUUGAAAUAGAUAAUAAUAGGCGGAUUCACAGUCUAUUAUAAUCAUCCAUAAUUUAAUAAAAACCAAAUUUUUAUGACUUAUUAGAUUUAGAAUAAUCAACACCAAAAACUCUUUUGUUUACAUAAUUCGAAUUCCAUAUAUAACUAGUGAACUUGAAUUGGUAUUAACUCACUCAAAUUUAUUACUUGUGAAUGAUCCCUUACACUUACUAGAUUUUAUCAAACACUGAUCAAUUAAAAAAUUAAUGCCUAAAAUAAAAAAAAAAUCCAAAUAGAUACAAUAGUGGAGAUAAGAGAAAGACUUAGAAUGUACAAACGUCCUUUAUUUACAUAGACUGAUUGACACUAUUUACAAAUGCAAAGUUAUUUGAUGGUGAACUAAAAUUAAAUAUGGAAUGAUGAAGUGAAUGAAUUCAAAAAUUGUUGUAAAAAAAGCUCCAUAAUUUCAAAUUUACACAUUAUUUUUUAAAAAGAAUUUCUUAUAUAGAUUAAAAACAAUAGAUGUUUUCAAGUGAUUUUAAACCGUAAAAAAUUGUCCAAAUUUAACAAAAAAUAAUAAUCAAAUCCAACUUGAAUUGAGCCCAAGCCCCAACCCUAAAAUUGAUUGGUUUGGGUUGGGUUGGAUUGAGUUUAAAACAACAAUUGGGUUGAGUUGGAUUGCGGGGGAGCACUUUAAAAAAUUACGUUUCUCACUUUUCUUUGUUUUCUUUGAACCUUAAAGAGUUACUUUGCAAACAUUUUUUUUCCUUCCUCCCAAUGGCAGAUCUAGGUAGUGGCGAGCUUGGGCGGCCGCCCUAGCUGGAUCCGCCAGAGUCUUUACUAGCCGCCGGGUGGAAGAUUGGAAGUUGCAGAGCCGCGACUGAACUGAAAAAGGGAGGAUCGGAGGAGGAAGAUGAAAUUUUGAAUUUGGGUCUUUUUUUUUAUUAUUUUAGUUUAGGCCUUUUUCUUUGGGCUGAUGAGUUGGGCCUCUUUGUUGGAAAAAAAAAAUUAGACCCAAUCCAUGGAUGAUGAUUGAUGGAAAUACACACAUAACUGCAACCACACCUCCAAAUCAGAGGUAAUAAUCGUAGCAAACCCUUCUGUAACUGCUCUCCUUCUCCCUGCUGUUGGCCGCAGAUGUUAUUACUUAUUUCGGUGGUCAAAACCUCAAUUGGUGGCAUUAGAAAUAGGACGCCUAUGUCCUGGUGAGAAACUUCUAAGUUCUAAUGGCUCAUUUUUUCGAUUUCCAUGUGUCUGCCUUGGAUUAAUGCAAAUUAUGCAAACCUGUAUACUUACUUUUUUGUUUAAUAUCUUUUUCAGGAAAUAAGAAUGGGAUACUCUUGCCUCACACAGAGUUCGCCUGAGUGCUGCUCACGCAUGUGACUUGUGAGCCCUCUCUUCUCUUUCACUUUUUUGUUUGUUUGUUUGUUUGUUUUGUUUUUGUUUUUUGUCCUUUUAAUUCAUUUUUUUAUUUAUCUUUUAUUUUUGAGCUAUGAAUCUAUGACUUGUGUUUUACUAGUUAUGAUUUAUGUUUUAUGAGUUAUGACUAUGAUUUGUGAUAAAUAAUUCAAGAUGAAAUCCCUACCUUCUAGUUCUAGUUCGUGUUAGGUUGUUGCUAGUUCAUUAGAUUUGGAAGAUUAUAAAUAAUUUGAACUUUGUUAAUAUAGCAAAUUAAUAAUACUUGUUAAUUAACUUUAAUUAUAAACUGAAUAUUGGCAUUUUGUUAAUAUAUUUUGCCUAUUUAAUUGAAAAAUAAAUUAAGGCAAUUUUGCAGAUUAUGGAACUAUUUUUUCAUUCGAAAUGAAAGUUUGUACAUAGUUUCAGUUCUAGUGGUGCAUCUAGUUCUAGUCCGUACGGUUUUUUGAAUACUAUUUAAUUAAAUAUUAAUAAACGAUUCACCUAUCAUGGAUGCUGACAGUUGACAGUUAACAUUCAACGUUUACGGUCCGUCCUAGCUGAACUAAGACCCUGGAUUCGCCCCUACUUCCUUCCACCUAUUUUUUCCUCCCUCCAUUUCAUAACUACGAAAGAAUAUCACUAACACUAUCAAUACAUAUAAAAAUUCUAGUCAAUGAAUUGUUGAUCAGUUAAUUGAUGUCGUUUCAAGUUUUUGUGUUCGUUCUAUAUAUGACAAAGUUGUCGAUAAUCCUUACAGUUCUCACAUGGCCCUGUUGAGAAGAAACGAAUUGCCACUUGCUAGGGAACUUUCUAAGGUAGCUAGGAUGCUGUGGCUGUUUCAAACUCGGAUCCAGCUUCCAUUCUUUUGGAACCUGCAUAGCCACAUUUACAAUGACACUCAGAUUCGACGUGAAAGGUUGGAAAUACGAUUAACGACGACCAAUUUUCUAAAAUCGAUUCAGGUCAGUCACCUUCUCGUGUCAAGGUUCAAAGGAUACAAUUGGAGUUUAACUAGAUAAUAUUCGUCACAUAGCAUGAGAUAUGUCAAGGCUCAAAUUGCUCCUUAACCCAAAGUUCUUAUUUUCAGUUAAAAAAAGCUGAAAAACUUCUAGGUUUCCUCCCAUCUCUUUAAUAUGGUUUUUAAGGUAUAACAAUACGUUACAGGUUAAUUCAUCGUUUUAUCUCUCGAACCAGUCAGGAUAGUCUGGUUAUCAAAACACUAAAGAAAACAAGAUGAGAAAAAUAGAAGAUCUUGAUAUUUUUUGCAAGUCACCUUUCAAACAUUAUUCACUUUUGUUCGUGAGAAACCUACAACCGUAUCGUUGACAAGUAAUAGAAUUAACAAGUUUAAAGUUACUGUCCCACAGGAAAUAAACUCAAUUGAAAUUUACCAAUUUUAUAUGGAAUUCGAAUUACAUAACACAAAAGAGAUUUUUAAAUUGAUAUUUGAUAAAUUAAUUUAUGAAAUAUUUAAAAGUUUGGUUUUUAUAAUUUAUGGAUGAUUGUAUUAAAUUUACGCUCUUCUAUUGUUAUCUAUUUCAAUUUUCAGUUAUGUAAUCUAGUCUUAUUAAUGCAUUUUUGACAGCCGAUAUAGUUAAUGUAUUUAACUUUUUUUUCAAGAUAAAUUAAUUCUAUUAUAGUCACGACUCGAAUCUAUUUCUAGUUUGAAUUUGAAGAAUGGAAUACAUUAAAUUUCAGAUUAUUUAUAUGAUUGCACACAUGAUAAACGUCAUUUUUAACAUCUAUUGUACAUAUGCUAAUUAUACUGCAAUCUAAACUUAUUGUGAAUCUCUCAAUACUACUACAAGUAACUGAUUAUCUAAUUGGUGGUCAAACAUUUAAAUAAUAUAAUAAGUGUACAAAAUUAAUCAAGAAAUGUAAGAAAUACUAAAUUACUAGUCAUGAAUUAAAAUAAAUAAACAAUAUGGUUCAUCUUUAUCCAAUACAAAAAUAGAUCUAACAUGGCAUGCUUUUAAAUAAAUUAUAAGAAGAAUAAUAGGAAAAUAUCACCCGGAUCAUGAAAAUAAUGCAAGAAAUCUUGAUCUUCAAUAUCAAGAUUGAGUUCUUCCAAAUCUUGAUGUAACUGGCUUCAAUUCCUUGCUAGGGUUUGCUCCCUUCUCUCAAAUAUAGCAAUUGACCACUUGUUCUUGAUAAAUUUUAAGAUAUUACUGUGUAUCUAGAAGCUAGAAAGAGUUCAUUUCCAUGUUUAGAUGUUGUUUUGUAUUUAUAGGAAUUGAAAAUUCGGGUUAAAAUCAUGUAUAAAUUCAAAUUAGGAAGAGUUUUAUGUCAAACAGAUUUUAUGUCAAGGAAUUUACAAGGUUUUUUCAAAUGAAUGAUUUAACUUGGGAGUAAUUAGUGGUUUUGCAAUGGAGUGUUUCAGCAAAGAACCUCGGAUGGAGAUGCGCUUCGGCCAGAGAGAUCAACCCUUUUCAUUGAUUUCUUCAUGUUGUCCUUGUUGACUUUUAGAUGUAUUGCCUCCACGCAACUUCGACUUGGCUUCCACUGGAAGCUUUGGAUACAAAGCGAAAUUUAAUAUUUAAUAUCUAUUCCAUAUGGAUUAAAAUCUCUAAAUCAAAGCAAACAAUUAAUUUUCAUCACAUAUUUCGUGGAUUCUACAAUGGAUAAAUAGCCAAAACCCCAUGUUUGAAACAUUUUUGUGCAAGCCCCACCGUCAUCAAGAAUUAUCAAAUUGAUCGUUAAAAACACUAAAAAAAUGUCAAAAUUAAAAAGGAAUAAAUGCAAUUUCAGUAUCUAAACUUUUAUUUUUUUUUACAAAUUAAAUCCAAAUUUUUUAUAUGUACCACCUACAAUCCAAAUAUUUAAAACUUUAUUUUCCACGCCACCCUCUUCAUCUUCUUCCCCAAAAUAUUCUUUUCUAGGUUUUCCUUCACCAAAAUCUAUGAUUUCAUUCCUAUUUACUAGUCGAUGCCACGUGCGUUGUACGAUUAUUGUAUUUAAUAUGUCUUUAUUAGCGUGAUGUAGAGAUUUUAGUUUUCUUGUCAUAAUCGUAACAUGCUUUUGAAGUUUGAAUUAAUUUUUUUUGGCAUGAAUUUUCUCUGACAAUUAGUAAAAAUUAGAUUUAAAAUUGUAGGGGAUAUAAGUAAAAGAUAAUUUAUAAUUUUAUGAGAGUCCUGCACGCGACCGUGCAGAGUCAGCACCAAUUCCAUGCGAGGAAGUCCCCGCACAGAUGCGGAUUUCCUGCACAAUUCGUGCGGAGUCCUCACACAGUUUGUGCGAGGACUCCACACCAAUUCCUUCGAGGAAGUCCCGCACAGUUUGUGCGGGCACUCCGCACCAAGAUUGCUACAAAAAGCCAUAUUUCACGAGUUCUAGGUGUUUGCAUUCUCAAAGUGAUUAAGAGAACUAAUAUCACCAAAAUUCAGCAAAAAUAAAAAUGAGAAUAUUUAUUUAUAUAAGCAAGGGAUGAAAAGUGGAAAUAACUUCCUAAAAAAUGAAAUGUACUGCAUUCAACAUUGAGAAAAAAACACGUAACAUGUAAUCAUAUUGUGCUGCUGGCUCAUUUUCAAUUAAUUACUACCAAAAAGUUUUGCAACGAGAAUUCUACAGUUAUAAAUAGAGAUUCAAAUGGCCUAUCCAAUCACCUUACUAUGCUCUGCUUAAACUUAUAGCUAAAAACUUAACAGAAACAAUUUGCAACUAUUAACUAAAAUAACAAAACCCCUUAUACUUAGAGCAAUUCAAUUAUUUUCACCAAACUUAUAUGCUUCACCUAAUCAUUCAUCGAUUUCUUGCUAAUUUCUUUAGUCCUACAUUUUCCUACUUCAGGUGCCAAACCAUGGCCUAAAAAAUUAAUCUAUACUUCUUUUUUUUUCCUCUCUAUAAUCUGUUGUUCUUAUGGCCAAAAAUUCAGUUUAAAAAGACUUAUACAAACUGAAAAUACACACAUUCUUAAUAUGCAUAAAGUAUGAAUAAACCCAUAUCAAGAGUCCCAACAAAAAAAAAAUUGAAAAUAAGUAAAAAGGCAGAUUUUUUCCCUAGUUGACUUUAAAAAAAAAAUUAAAAUUCAAGACUUCUUUUCUGCAGCACAUAUCAAAAGUCUAUUCACGGCAUCAUCGGAACAAUCAUCAACAAACAAAACCCAUACACCCAAAAUUAAUGAAAUGACGAAAACUCAAACAUCUAACACAUAAAUUUAGGGAUUAAGAUAAGAUAAGCCCAUACCUUCAAAAUUAUUAGUGUUAAAACCCAAAAAGUCCCCGCACAGUCUAUGCGGGGACUCCGCACCCAGAUUACUACAAGAAGCCAUACUUCACGAUUUCUGCCAAGAUUGCUAAUGCAUGAGAUACACAAGAGACCUAAAUGAAUUAACAAGCCAAUAAGCAUUUUAAUUUACAUUAAACCAAGAAUAUACCUCUCUAUUCACACAAAAACCCAAAAUUGUGAAUUGAAUGAACAAAAUUAUAAUUAUCAAAUAAAAUCGAGGAUAUACCUCUCUAUUCACUCGAAAUAAAAAAUUUUGCACGUAGAAUCUUGAAUAAACAAAAUCAUAAUUUGAGAAAAAUGGCAUGCCAGGAAUUUACCUCUCUAUUCAUGAGAAUUUUGCACGAAAUUAAUCACAGAAAAACGAGAGAAGAAUUGAAGAAGAAGUGAGAGAAGAAAAUGAUGAUGAUGAUGAUGAUGAAAGCUUGUGUCUGGGUUUGCGUGGGGAAAUGGCUUCACCGUCCUUUUGAGUAAGAAAAAAUGGGUAUGAUUGAUAUCUACAGUAAAAUCACUGUUUAGCUAAAGUAGAAGUCCCGAAUACUAUUGCAAUUAUAGUAUAUUUUAUUCAUCUUUCUAUAAUAAGUAGUUAGAUUUAAAAAAAAAAACUGCAAAUGUGGUGUUUUGCAAUUACAGUGAAUUUUAUUCAUCUUUCUAUAAUAAGUAGUUAGAUUUAAAAAAAAAAAAAAAAACUGCAAAUGUGGUGUUUCUACAUGAGUUAACUUAUGCGUGUUUUAUAUAAAUCUCCUUGUUCUGUUUGUUAGUGAAGAUCAUGAAUUGGCCAGCUCUAAAAACAAGAUUCAGUAACAUUUAUAGAAUAAUAUAUUAAAUUGGAUAGCUUAAGGAGGUCGCCAGAAUUUGGGGUGGCCAUAUUGCUCAACCCCAGACGGUGUUCAAGUAUCUGUCUAUUCAUUUUCUGUGUAUAAUCGUAUCCAAGAAUGAGUCAUGUAUUCUAGCGAGAAAUUAAUAUCAAGAUUCCAGUUCUUGACAUCUUGUUUAUCCAAAAUUUUUCCUUUAUCUUGGUGUAAUCUAUGGUCAUAGGUAGUGUUUUUGUGGAAUCAGAUCUUUGUUUCUCAUUUUUUAAGUUGGAUUUCAAAUCUUGAUAUUUGGACUUUUGAUUCUCGAAGUGUUCAAUAAUUUAACUGUAAUUUUCAAGAAAAUAGGGGGAUGGACUUACUAUAUGUUCUUGGAACCAGAAAGAGAGGUGAAUUCUAAUUACAUAAUUAAUUCAUUAUUUAAACAUCCCAUUCUGAGACUUGGGGAAAUGGACUUCUUGUAUUUUCGUGGAUCGAAGAAAAUGAAUUGGGGUGGGGGUUGGAAAAUAAAGUUCUAGAGAUUUGGGAUUGUAGGUGGCAUAUAUAAAAAUUUGGAUUUAAUUUGUAAAAAAUAAUAAUAAUAAAUAACAAAAUAAAAAAAAUUGGGUAUUGAAAUUACAAUUAUUCCUUUUUAACGACAAAUUGAUGGAUCUUGACGGUAGGGAAAUUUGGGAUGAGAUCAAUGCACUAACUGAUGCCCACCCUUGUACUUGUGAUGCUCGCAAAAAAGUCGAAGACACAGCCAAUACCGAACGACUCUUUCAAUUUCUUAUGGGCCUCAAUGACUCAUUCUCCAACAUUCGAAGCCAAAUUCUCACCAUGGACCCCCUGCCCACAAUCUCCAGAGCAUAUGCCACCAUACAUCAAAAAGAGACACAACGCCUCCUACAAAUUCCAUUGUUACCCAAUCCCGAAAAUUCGGCCAUGGCUGUCUCACACACCAAUUCUUCGGUCAAUCACGGUUUUUGUUCUCGCAACAGUAGAAAAUGCACAAAGUGUGGGAAAGAUGGACAUCAAGAAGCCUCCUGCUUUGAAAUCAUUGGCUAUCCUUCCCAUUGGAACACCAAUAAGCCGAAGCAGCCCCUGCGGUCCACACCUGUCAAAAAUCGGCCACAGGAUUCAGGCAGUAAUCGGCUACCCACAGCGAACAUGGUGUCUCGUACCUCAGCCCCUUCCACAUCGAGUGCAAUCCCUGGCUUAUCUGACGAGCACUACUGGCAAUUGAUGGAAAUGUUGGAUCCUAGCACCAUUACACACUCGGCCUUCUCUGGUAUCUCUCUAUCACCUCUCCAAAUCGCCCUAGGUCCUUGGAUUAUAGAUAGUGGGGCUUCAGCCCACAUUUCUUGUGUUUCUAACUUACCCAAAGCCUCACAUAUUUGGGCCCAUAGUCAAUCCCUUACAUUACCUACAGGCUUCAAGGCCCACGUCACACAUAUGGGCCACAUCCAUAUUUCUCCCCAUUUAUGUCUACAUAAUGUUCUUUUUGUUCCCGAUUUUAAAUACAAUUUAAUCUCAGUAAGUCAACUCACAAAAUUGUCUAAUUGUGUUACCAUAUUUUCCUCUUCUAUUUGUUUAUUUCAGGACCUAUGUAUGAGAAAGCUGAUUAGGAUGGGUGAAGAACAUGGAGGCCUCUACCAUUUUAAACCAUUUAAUCAUGUUGCAUUUCAACUCAUAGCGAAUCCUGCUGCUACACCGGAUGUAUAGCAUCUUCAUUUAGGUCAUCCUUCAAAUUCUUGUAUUCCAAAAAUUUUAUGUGAUUCAAAUAAAGUUAGAAAUUGUGAUAGUUGUGUUCGCGGUAAACAUACGCGCCUUCCCUUCAAAUUGGUCGAAAAUAAAAGUACUUUUACCUUUAACCGAAUUUAUUGUGAUAUUUGGGACGGAUAUUCCACACCCUCUACAAUUGGUGCACACUAUUUUCUCACAAUUGUUGACGAUUUUUCACGUGUUACUUGGGUAUACCUCAUGCGUUUUAAAUCUAAUACAUUUACUUACCUAACCACAUUCAUUAAAAUGAUCCACACGCAGUUUAAUUGCCCUAUCAAACAUAUUAGGUCCGACAAUGGUCAAGAAUUUCUUUCUCAUCGUAUGCAACAAUUCUUCCUUGACCAUGGGAUCAUUCAUGAGCGCACUUGUGUUGAACCACCCCAAAAAAAUGGUGUAGUAGAAUGAAAAUAUCGUCACCUACUAAAUGUAGCUCGAUGUCUUCGCUUUCAUACACAUUUACCUAUUUCUUUUUGGGGUGAGUGCAUACUUACUGCAUCCUAUCUGAUUAACCGCGUAUCAACUCCCACGCUUGGUCACAAAGCGCCUUAUGAACUCCUUUUCAACAAACCUCCUACCUAUGAUCACCUCCGUGUCUUUAGAUGUCUUUGCUAUGCACACACUUUAAGUGUCCAUCGGGACAAGUUCUCUCCUCGUAGCACACCAUGCAUAUUCCUAGGCUACUCUCAAAUUCCACAUACUUAUCGUGUUCAUAACUUGCAAACCAAGAAAAUUUUCUUCUCUUGUGAUGUCUACUUUGUAGAAUCUAUCUUUCCCUUCGCUCCUACGAUGCAACCUUCACACAUAUCAUCAGAUACCAAUCAGCCCCUCGAUGUCCCUUACAGUACCCCACUUCCAACCAACGUUUCACAUGACACCCCUAGCCCAUCUCCUUCAUCCACGCAGACAUGGAACCAACUAUACCAACACCACAAGUUGUUGAUGGACCUACCAACUCCCUAGAAAUCGUCACCAGCUCACCCCCACUCAACUCAUCCCCACCAACUAGACCUCGAUGCACGAUUACUCGUCUUACAUAUCUUCAAGACUACAUUUGUUCAGAUUUACCUCCAGAGGGACCACGUUCAUCAUCUCAUUGCCAGUCUUUCUCAGGUACAGUUCACUCUCUACCUAAUUUUCUUUCUUGUCGUUUCUUUAGUCCAAAACAUUUUGCUUUCCUCUCUUCUAUCUCCAAAAAUGUUCAAGACCCCGUUCUUUACUCUCAAGCUAUUCUUGAGCCGUAUUGGCAAUAGGCAAUGGCUUUUGAAAUUCAAGCCCUUGAAGUCAAUCACUCAUGGACCCUUGAACAUCUUCCCCCUGGUAAGAAGGUAAUUGGUUGCAAAUGGGUUUAUAAAACAAAAUUGCAUGCCGAUGGUUCCAUUGAACGCCAUAAAGCUUGUUUUGUUGCCAAGGGUUUCACUCAGGUUGAAGGUCUUGACUAUAAUGACACUUUUGCUCCUGUGGCUAAACUUGUUACUGUUCGAUGUCUCCUUACUAUAGCUACAGCUAAACACUGGAUUCUUCAAAAAUUGGAUGUUCACAAUGCUUUCCUCAAUGGUGAUCUUGAUGAGGAAGUGUAUAUGCGACCACCACCAGGAUAUUGUCGUAAAGGGGAGACUCGCGUUUGCCAUCUCCACAAAUCAUCAUAUGGUCUCAAACAAGCCUCACGUCAGUGGUAUUCAAAAUUAUCCCAUGUUCUCAUCCUUACAAGUUUUGAUCAAUCUGCUGCUGAUCAUAGUCUCUUCAUCAAAACCAAGGGUACAACCUUUACUGCCGCUCUUGUCUAUGUUCAUGAUAUCAUUGUUGCUGGUAAUGACAGCUCUGCCGUUAGUUCUAUCAAACGCCAUCUUGCAUAGACCUUCAAAAUUAAAGACCUUGGCGAUCUCAAAUAUUUCCUAGGGAUUGAAGUUGCUCGAUCUCCUAAAGGCAUAUUUAUCAAUCAAAUGAAAUAUACCUUGGACAUUCUUACUGAUUCAGGUGAACUUGGCUCUCGCUCGGCAUAUUUUCCCAUGGAACGACAUUGCAAACUUAAUGACUCAGAUGGUGAUCUUAUGGACGAUCCUAGCUCAUAUCGACACUUGAUUGGUCAUUUGAUCCUAUAAUGCUCGGACUCGGGUACGGGUAUCGGGUACGGGUACUUAUCUAAGUAUCAAAUCUUUUAUUUUUUAAAAUAUAGGAUACGGGGACAUGGUUAAAAAGAAUCCAAAUUUCGGACACGGGUACGUGGGUACGUCUUUCAAGCUUCAAUUUUUUUAUAUUAACCCAAGAUGUCAUUUUGAAUAGACUAAAAUCAAUAGUUCAUAAAAAGGAAAUGAGUAUUAAAUAAGAUGUUAAGACUAAUAAAAUACAAUUUUGGGGUUUAGUUUUCAAUUAUAGGAAACGGGAAAGAAAAUGAAAAGAAAAAAGAAGAAGUAAAAAAAAGGGCGAAAUGUCCGAUUUAAAUUUGGAGGAUUCUACACAUAUCCCAUACGCAUACCCUUGUCGUGUCGUGUCCGACACGGGUAUUUCAACCAUUUCGAAGAGUCCGAGCAUCAAAGGUUUGAUCUAUUUGACCAUCUCUCAUCUGGAUAUUACCUUUGCAGUCAACAUUUUGAGUCAGUUUAAGCACACUCCUCGCAAGCCUCAUCUACAUGCUGCUAUACGCUGGCUCCGCUAUCUGAAAACAACACCUGGUUAUGGAUUCUUCUUUCCAUCCAACUGCAACCUUCAGAUAUCUGCUUUUUGUUACUCUGAUUGGGCAAGUUGUCCACUCACACGACGUUCCACAACUGGUUUCAUCAUCAAAUUGGGCGAUAGCCCCAUCUCUUGGCGCACCGAGAAACAAACAAUUGUUUCUUGCUCUUCUGCUGAAGCUGAAUAUCGUGCGAUGGCCACUACAACUUGUGAACUUGUUUGGCUUCGCCUCCUUCUACAGGAACUUACUGUGUUGCAUCCACAACCUAUUCUGCUUCAUUGUGACAAUCAAGCAGCAAUCUACAUUGCACAUAAUCCGGUCUUCCAUGAACGCACCAAACACAUUGAAUUAGAUUGCCAUCUUGUUUGUGAAAAAAUCAAAUCUGGUCUUAUUACUCCCUCCUAUGUUUCAAGCUCUGAACAUGUAGUUGAUCUUUUUACUAAACCAUUGGGACGUGAAUUAUUUGUCUUCUUUUGGUCCAAGUUGGACAAUACGGGCCUCCAUGCUCCAACUUGAGGGGGAGUAUUAUAGCCAGCUCAUCAACAACAAUCAACGACAAUCAACACAAAGAAUUUUCUUUUAUAGUUAUUUCCAUAUCACAGUUUUUACCAUGUAUAGAUUGGAUUCUCACCUAUAAAUUUAUACAAAAUCAUUUUAACAUAUAUGGAGGAAAUAAUAUAAUCUUCAAUUCUUUCCUCAAUCAUACCUGUGUAUGUCGAGAUUUGUUAUUUAUAUAGAGUAAUUUUAUUUUGAUACUUGUUAUUAAUUUUUCUUAUUGAAAUUUUUUAAAUAUGAAUAUUUCUUUAUUAUUUAAUAAUAAAUUUGAAUUAAAAAUAUACGAUAUUUUUGAUAAAGAAAGAAAAAUUACCACUAGUGUGUUUGAGAAGUAUCGGUAUUCGACAUGUAUCGGAUGUUACUCACAAUAUUGCUAAUGAUAUAUUUCAACUAUGGUCUACGAGAAUAAGAUAUCGUAUGGAACACGUAAUAUCAGCUAAUGAAAGAUAGAAUAAUAGUUGUUUUUAGUACGGCAUGGUAUGCUACAUGAAUAUAUUGUCAACUCUAAAUAUUUUUUCAAUUACCCACAACGUUGCCGAUUAAAAUAAAUUUAUCAAUAGCAGUAAGAGUAGAACAAAUAAUUUAAAAUUGUAGAAAGUGAUAAAAGAGCAAAUGAACUUUCAAUCGAAGUCUAAAUAAACACAGUUUCUUUAAAACAAAUUGGCCUCCUCACUCUACGUGCUUGAGGCUUAGUUUGAGCAUCUGUUUCCUAGGAUACAACGAAAAAUAAGUAGAGUCUAAGCACUGCAUAUACUACUCCGGUGAACUGACUUAGUAUCCGAACAAUAUCACCAAAAUUGAAAAGAAAUUUUUUUUCGACCAAAUAGAGAGCUGUAAAACUAUGUAGCAUGCAGACAAAGUAUUGAUUCUUGUGUGGGAUAUGGAAAACGAGUUCCAUAUAGACUUAACCCCAUGAAUGGUGAGUUAAAUCUGUCUAUAAGUGUAUUAUCUCAUCCAUAACUCUUGGAGUUUCAAUAGUUUUAGAAGUUAAAAGGUCAGUUGGAGGAAAAAAUUGACAAAACGUAGGCCUUCCUAAGGGCUCAAUUUUGGUCCCUUCGGUCUGACAUAUGUGUGUACAGGUUGAGCCCACACACAAGUUCAAGGUUCGAAACCUAUUUCGGUCUAUGAUUUGUACCUCUUACGUGCGCACGUGAUGAGAGCCUCUAUGCUAUAUAUGAUCACACCCUUCAAAGUGUAAUCCUAUAUGAGGUGGUAUUUGCCUUCAUUAUUUUUCUAUGUGGAACAAACCUUAAUUGGUGUCCUUCAAACACAUAAACUCCUUUCAAUUGGCACACUUUGAGCUCCAAUUUUUCAUUCACCCAAGCAUCAUAUUUGACAAGUAAAUAUAUGAUUUCAAUAUUCUCACGACGAACACAAAUCAAUCUUGAUCUUCCAAAAUAAACAACCAGGUCCCACUCAAAAUUUAUGCCAAAGUAAGCCAUUCAACUCAUUUAUUCAAUGAUGUGCCAUCCUAGAUGAAGUGUCCGUGCAACAGAGGUAUUAGGUGUUCGUAAAGUGUUCUUUGAUGGUCAUCCAUUUCUUUUGAUGACUCAAGUUUUCGAGCUUCGCUCUACUAAUCUGAGGAGCAGCGGCCUUCCCCACUAAUCAUCCAUUGUUUAUACCUAUGGAAAUGGUGCCAGUAGCAUAUGGAAAUGUUUAUACCCCUGAUCAUUUAUGGAAAAUCGUACGAGGCCCAAGGCAUGGUAAUGAUUUCAGAGUGGAUUUAGAAGAUACUAUCUGUGCGUUGAAAAUUCUAAAUUGGUUUUAGAUAAUCGUCAAGUUGGCUAUGACACCAAGAAUAAAGUAGCGAAAGGAAGGAUACCUUGCAUAUGAAGUGAUUGGCUAAGGGUUUAUGAGUGGAGUUCUGCAUAUUACGUGUAGUAUAUGAUUUUAUUUCAACAUUUAUUCAUUGGGCUAUUUGUGGCACCAAGAAUAGUGGUGGCUAAAGGAAGGACACAUGCUUAUGAGUGGACCUCUACAUAUUAUGCAUAGUAUUUGAAUUUUUUUUCCUUUUUUUUUUGGCAGAAAGAACUGAAUAAAUAUUGAAGUUAAUGGGCUUUGUGUAACGCUCCGACCCCUGGUGGACCAGAACGCUACUUACUUUAAUUAGCUUAACCGGUGGUUUAGUAACAAGUGUAUACGUUUUAACGGAAUCUUACAUCUUCGGAUAAUAAUUUAAAUAACAAUACUUCAAAUACUUUAAACACAAACACUGAAUCAUUUUUCAAAACAACAAAAUAUAAUUUAUUUGAAGAAAACAUAACUUGUUCUCGCAUUCUGCGUUAUUCAAAACUUUAAAGAAAUAACAUUGGAAAACAUUUCAUAAAAAUAAAUCCAAAUCACUUAUUCACCGGAUUUCCAUGGGCUCGUUGCAUCAUUCUCCAUCUUCUCCUCCAUCCAUGCCCGAGGUAGAAUUCCUUCAAUUUGUAGAGAUGAGAUUAAACCCAUGAGUUGAAAAACUCAAUAGGUGUCAUAAGUGCAUUCGUGAUCAAGCUAUACAUUUCAAAACAUUAACUUUAUAACUCUUCAUACAUGCCGUACCCGGAGGCACCAUUUGAUAUGAAGGGGCAUGCCGUACCCCAGGGCACCAUUUGACAUACGAACAUUUCUUCAACAUAAAGGGGUAUGCCGUACCGGAGUACCAUUUGACAUACAACCAUUAACAUAUAGGGAUAUGCCAUACCAGAUUACUAUUUGACAUACAAACAUUAACAGGAAUCGAAACUUAUAACUUAACACGAUUAAACACAUUGCACCUCUACCUACUUUGAUUGAUGUUUUUGAAACUUUGAAAACUUGGAUUGAAAAUUUCGAUGAAACUUGGACGUUGAAAGAAAUGCACUCCUUGGAUGUUUGAAAACCGUUGAGAAUUGAUGCUUGAAGACACUUUUUAAACUUCUAAGAAAAAUAGUUUUCCUCCCUCUCUUUUUCUCUCUUGGAAACUCUUUCUUUAGUAUGUAAAAACUCUUGCUUUUGUGUGAGAAAAAAUGAGUGAAAUGAGGUCUCUAUUUAUAGGUAAAUAUUCCAUAACUUAAAGCAAAUGAAGGGUCAAAUUUCAUUUAAGAGAGAAAACAUAGUUUCCAUUUAAGUUUGAGGUUAAAUGCUUCAAUUUAGUGGGGGGUUUUUAUUGCCAAAAACGUGGGUGGCCCUUUGAGAAAAUAAUUGAUGAAAAUAAAUAUUUAAAUUCUAGAGAAAAACGAGAAUUUUCAUUUCAGGCAGCUUCGGUCGACCGGUUGUAGUCCGGUUGACACUGCAUAACUUUCAGUGUUUCUAUCAUAACUUUUUUUCCCGAUAUCCGAUUGAGGUAAUCCAAAGUGCGUUGGAAAGCUAACUCAAAAAGCUACAACUUUUAUUUAGAUAUCAUUUUCCAAAUUGAAUGUUUCCUAUGUUGAAAAUGGGUCUCAAAAGAGACUAAAAAUCUGAAGUAUACUUUAGUCAUUCAAUAUUCAUGUCUUAGUGCCACUAAGGUGUCUAGAAUUAUUUGGGGUUCUACAUCCCCCACACCUUAAUUAAAAUUUCAUCCUCAAAAUUUACCUUCUGAUUGGGCGAAUAGUAUUGGAUACUUAUCUUUGGCUUCUUCUUCUUUUUCCCAAGUGGCUCUUCUACGCCGUGAUAAUUCCACUGUAUCUUAACCAACUGAAUCUCUUUAUUCCUUAGUUUAUACACUUUUUGAUCCAAUAUCUUGAUCGGUAGUUCCUCGUACGACAAAUCUUUCUGUACCUCCAAGGUUUGAUAACUAACUACAUGAUUAGGAUCAUGUACAUACUUCUUUAUCAUCGAUAUACGGAACACAUUGUGCACUGCCGAUAAUUCAGGUGGCAAAGCUAGUCGGUAAGCCACAUUUCCGACUCUAUCCAAGGUCCGAUAUACCGGGGUCAUAGCUUGCCUUUCUUUCCAAAUCUAAGUACACCUUUCAUCGAUGCUACUUUCAGAAACGCUUUAUCCCCAACUUGGAAUUCUAAAUCCUUCAUCCUUGUAUCUGCAUAGCUCUUUUGUCGAUCAUGUGCUGCCUUUAUUCUUGCACAGAUCUUAUCGAUUACCUCGACUGUCCUUUCAACUAUUUCUUGUCCUAAAACUCUCUUCUCUUCGACUUUGACUUCAUCCCAAUGAAUAGGGGAUCUACAUCUUCUACCAUAGAGAGCUUCGUAUGGUACCAUUCCAAUAGUUGCUUGGAGGUAAGUAUGACUCCCAAUUACCUCCUAGAUCCAAAACACAUGUUUUCAGCAUGUCUUCCAAAGUUUGGAUGGUCCUUUCAGACUGACCAUCGGACUGAGGGUGAUAUGCUGUACUAAAGUUCAGCUUCGUUCCCAUAGUUCCUUGUAUACUUUUCUAAAAUUUGGACGUGAACCUUGGGUCUCUGUCAGAUAAAAUGGAUACAGGUACACCGUGUAAUCUCACAACCUCUUUAAUAUACAACUGUGCCAAUUGGUCCAAACUGAAUGUCGUUUUCACUGGAAGAAAAUGAGCUGACUUCGUUAGUCGAUCCACUACUACCCAUAUAGCAUUAUUUCCUCUUGCUGAAUUUGGGAAUCCAACCACAAAGUCCAUCGUGAUAUUUUCCCAUUUCCAUUCAGGUAUAUCUAGUGGAUUUAACAAUCCAGUUGGUUUUGGGUGUUCUACCUUAACCUAUUGACAUACUAUGUACUUCUGCACGUAUAGCCCUAUACUUCUUUUCAUAUUUCUCCACCAAAAUGUAUCUCGAAGAUCUCGAUACAUUUUUGUACCACUGGGAUGUGCGGUGUACGGGGUGGAAUGAGCUUCUUUCAAUAUCUUAUUUCUUAAGGCUUCAUCCUUAGGCACGCAAAUUCUUCCUCUAAAUAUCAAUGCCUGAUCCUCAGCUACUCCAAAGUCCUUUUUCUUAUCAGUACCAAUUUCAUUCUUAAUCUUCUGCAAAAAUGAGUCUUUAUUUUGUGCUUCUAUAAUUCGAUCUCUAAGAGUAGGUCGAAUUAUUAAAGCUGCUAGACGAGCAGUGACUUGUCCUGGUGUGAUAACCACUUCGAUCUGCAACUUUUCCAAGUCCUUAACUAACUCCACUUGAGAGGUGGGUAGUGACGUCAAUUGUCCCAUUGAUUUUCUACUUAGAGCGUCGGCCACAACAUUAGCCUUACCCGGAUGGUAGUGAAUAGUGCAGUCGUAAUCGUUCACCAAUUCCAACCAUCGUCUUUGUCGCAUAUUCAAUUCCUUCUAUGUGAAGAAAUACUUGAGACUUUUGUGAUCUGUGUAGAUAUCACACUUCCGUCCAUACAAGUAGUGUCGCCAUAUCUUCAAAGCGUGUACUACCGCUGCAAGUUCUAAAUCAUGCGUCGGGUAGUUCUGCUCAUGUUUCUUCAAUUGUCUUGAAGCAUAGGCUAUCACUUUUCCAUUCUGCAUUAGUACACAUCCCAAUCCUCGCUUGGAUGCGUCGCUGUAUAUAACAAACCCUUUCGUAUCUUGAGGUAUUGUUAAUAUAGGUGUUGAUAUCAACUUCUGCUUAAGUUCUUGGAAACUUUGUUCGCAUUUUUCUGUCUAUUGAAAUUUUACUCCCUUCCUUGUAAGCUGCGUCAUUGGUUCAGCUAUUUUGGAAAAUCCUUCUAUGAAUUUCCUAUAAAAUCCAGCCAAUCCUAGAAAACUCCGUACUUCGCCAACAUUUGUUGGUGCUUUCCAGUUGGUUACUGCUUCUACUUUUGCUGGAUCUACUUCAAUCCCUUGGGCAGUAACUACAUGUCCAAGAAAUCCAACUCGUUCAAGCCAAAACUCGCACUUCUUGAAUUUGGCAUACAACUUCUCCUUGCGUAAUACCUCUAAGACUAUUCUCAAGUGCUCUUCAUGUUGCUCCUUACUCUUGGAAUAUAUCAGAAUGUCAUCGAUGAAGACUAUAACAAACUUAUCCAAGUAUUGAUGAAACACUCAAUUCGUCAUGUCCAUGAACACUACAGGUGCAUUGGUUAGCCCAAACGGCAUCACCGUAAACUCGUAGUGUCCAUAUCGAGUUCUAAAAGUUGUCUUAGGUAUAUCCUUUGUCUCUACUUUCAGUUGAUGGUAUCCCGAUCGUAAAUCGAUCUUGGAAAAUACCUUAGCUCCUUUCAGUUGAUCUAACAGAUCCUCGAUCCUCGGGAGUGGGUACUUAUUCUUGAUGGUUAAUCGAUUUAUCUCCCUCUAAUCGAUGCACAUCCUCAUGCUUCCAUCUUUCUUCCUUACAAACAACACUGGCGCACCCCAUGGAGAUACGCUUGGUCCUAUGAAGCCCAUAUCUAGGAGUUCUUGCAACUGCUUCUUUAAUUCUUGUAGCUCCUUUGGGGCCAUUCGAUAUGGGGCCUUAGAUACUGGUACCACCCCGGGAAUUAGGUCUAUGGUGAAUUCCACUUGUCUAUCGGGUUGAAUGCCAGAUAGAUCUUCUAGAAACACAUCUACGAAUUUCCGUACUACUGGUACAUCUUCAACCCUUAUUGUCUCUUGUUUCCCUCUUGCGAUACUUACUAGAUAUCCUUGACAUGUGUUCUUUUCUCAACAUCUUCUCAAGUUGUAAAGCCGAUACUAGUCGAAUAAGGGGUUUCGUCUUCAUUCCAAGGAACGAAAAUGGUUCCUCUCCUGGUUUCUAAAAUGAUACUUCCAUUUCCUUAUAUCGGAUGGUGGCGUAAUUACAACCUAACCAAUCCAUGCCUAGUAUUACAUCAAAAUCCUUCAUUUCUAUCAUGUAUAGGUUCGUUUCCAUUAGUUUUCCCUCAACUUUGAUACUUACUGACUUGGCUAUCCUAUCAGUAUUCAAAGGGUUGUCCGAAGGAAUACUAACUUCUAAUGUACCUUCUUAUCUUCCGUAUCCACCAGAUGUGGAGCAUACUUUGAAAGUUGAUCAAACUUCCUCUCAUACUCAGUCAGGGACAUAGUCUUUUGCUUGAUUUGGAGGAAUUCACUUUCUUUGUGAUCCCUCAAAGACUGGGGAAAAUACUUGUCCAUUACUUCUCCUUUGAAUUGCUCCCAAGUCAAUUCUUCUUAUUGCUUAGGGGUCCUUGUCCUUGACAUUGAGACCCACCAGUGACUUGCAUUACCGGAGAACAUGAACUCAGCACGCUGAACUUUCUAAGCGUUUGUGCACCCUAUCAAUCGGAAUAUACGCUCCAACUUGUGAAGCCACUCCUCGGUUGCAAGUGGAUCAGCUGCUUUGUUGAAGGUAGGGGACUUGUGCCUUCGAAAUUGCUUGACCACUGAAGUAUGAUUUGGAACAUUAGGAGCUAGUGGUAGGGGUUGAGCUUGGUUCGGGUUUUGCCUGCCUAGGUCUUGAACCGCUCGGAGGAGGUCUCUUAUCAAGUUUUGGUUUGCGCGGGCCAUUUCUUUUAGACAAAGCAUAUGGUUCUUAUUAGUUUCAUUCUUCAAAUACUAAAGCAAAGAAGAUAGUAUUUUAUUUCUUGAUAUAAGGGAAGCUAUUACAAGGAUUUAAAUCUAAUCCCUAUAAGUUCUACGGAUCUUCUUUGGUGGAGCUUCAUCUUCGAGGAGUCUUCCGCAUCAGGUUUGGCUCUAUGUUCAUCUCAACUUGUGGCUCAGGCUCAGGAUCAUUCUCUAAAUCAUCCUCGAGUUCUUCUUCGAGAUCUUCUUCCUCGGCCAAAGCUUCCUCCUCAGGCUCCUCGUGGGUUACAUCAUCCCACAAAUCAAUCAGGGCAUGGCAAUACCUCUCAAACUCGAAUAGGUUUGGGUUGCUUGCUAACAUUUCAUCUCUAACCGUGACUCCCAUAUCUCCCCAUUGAGGUGGGAGGGAGUGUAUGAGGUUAUUUAUGGCCUCAAUAUGUGUGAUCUCCAUACCAGCAUUAACCGUCUUCAUGCAUCUCUCAUGGAUGUCAUACACAUGUUCGCUAAGCGAUCAGGUCAGAUCAGUUACAUAGUUUUCAUAGGAAUGGAUAGCAAUUCUACAGUUCAAUGCUUCUCUAUAUGCCCUAGCCGUUCUACGAGCCAUGUCUGUUGCAUUUUCACAUACAUCAUACUUUUUUUUGCUUAAAGAAAACAUGCAAAUAUUUAAACUUUCAUAUCAUGCAAUUUCCUUUAAACCCUUAACUUUUACCCAAGUUCAUUACAUAUCUUUAAAUAACACAUCUCUAAAUCAUAUCAAAACAUCAUAACAUAAACAUAAUCAUUAACUUUAAACAUAAACAUACCUAGGCCAUAGGAUGAGAUUGAUGGAUGGAUGCACGAUGCCAUGGAAUACCUUAACUUAAACUUUUCAUUUUCCUUUUGUUUUUUUAAAAAAAAAAUACUUGAUCUACAGAACAGGCUAAACCUUGCUUUGAUACCACGCUGUAACGUCCCGACCCCUAGUAGACCGGAACGCUACUUACUUUACUUAACUUAACCGGUGGUUUAGUAACAAGUGUAUACGUUUUAGUGGAAGCUUACAUCUUCGGAUAAUAAUUUAAAUAACAAUACUGCAAAUACUUUAAACAAAAACACUGAAUCAUUUUUCAAAAUAACAAAAUGUAAUUUAUUUGAAGAAAACAUAACUUGUUCUCGCAUUCUACGUUAUUCAAAACUUUAAAGAAAUAACAUUGGAAAACAUUUCAUAAAAAUAAAUCUAAAUCACUUAUUCACCGGAUUUCCAUGGGCUCGUUACAUCAUUCUCCAUCUUCUCCUCCAUUCAUGCCUAAGGUAGAAUUCCUUCAAUCUGUAGAGAUGGGAUUAAACCCGUGAGUUGAAAAACUCAAUAGGUGCCAUAGGUGCAUUCGUAAUCAAGCUAUACAUUUCAAAACAUUAACUUUAUAACUUUUCAUACAUGCCGUACUCGGAGGCACCAUUUAACAUGAAGGGGUAUGCCGUACCCGAGGGCACCAUUUGACAUACGAACAUUUCUUCAACAUAGAGGGGUAUGCCGUACCGGAGUACCAUUUGACAUACAAUCAUUAACAUAGAGGGAUAUGCCGUACCGGAGUACCAUUUAACAUACAAACAUUAACAUGAAUCGAAACUUAUGACUUAACACGAUUAAACACAUUGCACCUCUACCUACCUUGAUUGAUGCUUUUGAAACUUUGAAAACUUGGAUUGAAAACUUCGAUGAAACUUGGAUGUUGAAAGAAAUGCACUCCUUGGAUGUUUGAAAAUCGUUGAGAAUUGAUGCUUGAAGACACUUCUUAAACUUCUAGGAAAAAUAGUUUUCCUCUCUCUCUUUUUCUCUCUUGAAAACUCUUUCUUUUGUUUGUAAAAGCUCUUGCUUUUGGUGUGAGAAAAAAUGAGUGAAAUGAGGUCUCUAUUUAUAGGUAAAUAUUCCAUAACUUAAAGCAAAUGAAGGGUCAAAUUUCAUUUGAGAGAGAAAACAUGGGUGCCAUUUAAAUUUGAGGUUAAAUGCUUCAAUUUAGUGAGGUUUUUAUUGCAAAAAAUGUGGGUGGCCCUUUGAGAAAAUAAUUGAUGAAAAUAAAUAUUUAAAUUCUAGAGAAAAACGAGAAUUUUCAUUUCAGGCAGUUUCGGUCGACCGGUUGUAGUCCGGUUGACACUGCACAGCUUUCAGUGUUUCUAUUAUAACUUUUUCUCCCGAUAUCCGAUUGAGGUAAUUCAAAGUGAGUUGGAAAGCUAACUCAAAGAGCUACAACUUUUAUUCAGAUAUCAUUUUCCAAAUCAAAUGUUUCCUAUGUCGAAAAUAGGUCUCAAAUGAGACUAAAAAUCUAAAGUAUACUUUAGUCAACCAAUAUUUAUGUCUUAGUGCCACUAAGGUGUCUAGAAUUAUUUGGGAUUCUAUACUUUGUGACAUAGAGUGCAAUAAAACCAAAUAGUAGAAUUAUAGAAGAAGGGGGAGUGAAUAGAAAGAAGAGGGCAAAAGUGAAGAAUUGGGGGGAGGGGGUUGGUUAGAAGGAGAGAGAUAGAAAAGGAACAACAAUAGAUAGACGGAAGCAGAAUUUAGGAGAGAGGAAGAAGAGGGAGAAAAGGAAGAGGAAAACAAAUAAGAAGAAUAUUGAGAAAGAAAGGAUUUCUAUCAUUUCUCCCUAAUUGAAAGAACUCGACUCCAAUUCUAAGCAAAGAGGACUAUCUUUCUUUCUGACCAAAUAAUGAAAUUGAUUGCUUGAUGUCAAAUCCUAAAUUAGUUGGCUGAUUUUCUUCUUUUGAGUUGUGGUUGGGGAGAUUUUUGGGUGGUUGAAGAUGGCAAAGGAAGUGUGUGUAAAUUUUGAAUUUCAACAUGAAAUUUGUGUACAACGGAAAUGACUUGCUCUGCUAUCAAAUUGAUGUAUACUGCAAUAAAACCAAAUAGUAGAAUUAUAGAAGAAGGGAAAAUUGAUGUAUACUGCAAUAAAACCAAAUAGUAGGAUUAUAGAAGAAGGGAAAAGGGUAGAGAAUAAGAGAAAUGGGGGAAAAAGAGAAGAAGAGGGGGAAAGAGAAGGAGAUAUGUAGAAAGUGAAGAAGAGACAUUAGAAGCAGAUUUAAGAGAGAGGAAGAAGAGGGGGGAAAGGGAAAAGGAAAAUGAACAAGAAGAAUAUUGAGAAAGAAAGAAGAAAAGAGAGGAGAAAGAGAAGAAGAGGGAGAGAAAAAGAGAAUUUAGGGAGUGAAUAUCAAGUUUAUUUUAUGUCAAAUUUGUAUCUAUUACAAUGCACAAACCUCCUUCAUAUGGGGUUUUGAAAAACCUAUUCUAAAUAGGAAACAAUGAAUCAAAUACUAGAGAAUCUAGUAAAUAAAUAUAUAAUAAAAUCCUCGGAAAUCCAGUAAAUAAACCCUGAUAAUUUUUCCCAAAAUAAGAAUCUAAAUAUGGAAAAUAAUCAUAAUAAUCUAAUAGGAUUUACAUCAUUUUUUCGUGGUCCCGUGGGAAUGUGAGACAAUAUCAUUUAAGAUGUAUGAGUUUUAACUUGUCGCGACUCAUCAAAAUUUUCACUUGCGACCUGGAAAGAAAUCGAUUUGAAAAGUAAUUUUCCCCUUUUUUGAGUAAAGAUCAUGUCUUGGGCUUUAGUAGUGGCUCCACAGGUCUUUUAAUUCUUUUUAUGAUGAUUCACAUUCUUUUCACAUGGUUAAUCCUUUGAUGAUGCUAUUAUACUCUCAAGAUGCUAAUACAAAUUACUAUUGAUUUGAUGUGUAUUACCACCCUGUGUUUGCCUUCUUUUCAUUGUUAACUGUAACCUUGUGCUACAAUUUACUCUACCGUAAUACAGGCAAAACAUGGAAUUAACUGUCUUGAGCUUCCUCUCAUUCAGCACAAGAAGUUGCCUGAUUCUGAUAGACUUCCCUCUGUGUUGAGUGGUAAGUUUCUGACAUGAUUGAUGGUUAUAGGAGAUUGUUUUAGAUUAUCUGGAUGCAUUUGUUCACGUUACGUGCAUUUCAGAGACAGUUUUUUUUUUUUUUUUUUUAAUUUUUUUUAUUUUUAUUGUGAGGGUUUGUUUAGAACGUUUGCUUCAUCAGUUAAUCUGUGAUCCCUAUUGUGUUUUGUGUCAUUAUUGUUUUUAUCUUACAUCUUUAAAGACGAUUCAUAUGGGUGCACAUAAGAUGUUAAUGCACAGGUUGUCAAACUUGAUUCCUCAUUGACCGUAAAUAGUAAAUAUCUUGGCCACAUUUCAGUUAGAUUCGUGAAGAGAGACAGCUCCUCCUUUUGGGCUGUGAGGCACAAGGUACCAAGGUUAUCCAAUCACAGGUUGUAAAUUCACAUGGAUUAAAUUUCUCUAUGCACAUUGUUGUUAUUAUCUUUCUGACUUUGGUGUGAAUGCCAGAUCUUGUGUAUCUAGUCUCCCGCGGAAGUAAAUUGCUAAAUUGAAUGCUUGUUCUUAGUUGCUUUGAAAUGAAUGUUGUGAUCAGACAGAAAAUAAAACUCUCUCAAUCCCCCUUCCCCCUCUUACACAUGUUUCAUGACAGUUACUUCUAUUUAAAUUCACAAAUUCUACAAUGGAUGCACAUUAUGAUUUUUUCUUGCUUAUCUAUUGCUGCAGAUACUGCAUUUGAUUGGAUUGUCAUAACUUCACCUGAAGCCGCUCUAGUUUUUCUUGAUGCUUGGAAGUAAACUUCACAUGGAUGUUGGCACGUCAUUUAUUAUUCUAGAAUGGUCAUUAGUCAGUUAGAGGAAAACUCUAUAAAUAAGAUGGGAGAGGGGAAUUAGAGGGGAUUCAAUGAAUUGUUUAGAAAAAGUGGGGGAGAGAUCAAGGCCUCUCGAAUGCCUUUGAUUAUGUUUAAUUUCAUGACUUUCAUUCCAGUUAAUAUCAAUACAAUUCAUCUAUCUUUACAAUAUACUAUUCCAGUAACUCCAUGGACAUCUUGCAGUCACAUUACAAUUUCAGUGUUUUACCGGACAAAUUACUUCAUAACACUUCCCAGUUGGUCUAGCGGUUUUCUUCCAGUAGCAGUAGCAACAAACAAUAGCAGUAGCAGCAACUAAUCCUCUGCAUUAGCAUCCAGAAUCUGCAGUUUAUCAACCACAUUAGCUAGGAUCUUAUCAUAACCUUAAUUUUUCCCUUUACCUUUUGCUCUCCACGUGUGUCAACAUGAAGGAAGUUCCCUUUGGGUCAGGAUUGUUAUGAUGGAAAAUGCUGCUUAAACAAAUCAAAUGUCAAACUUAGAAGCUGUGGCAUCCUGAGGAUGUUCCUGAGAACAAUAUUUAGCUUGACUAUCUUAAUAUUUUAUAAUUCUUAUGUUGACUUGCUUGAAAAGGUUAAGAAUGUGACUUUUUGAAACAUAAACUGGAAAAAAUUCAUAUCUGAUUCUUUCAUGGGCAUAAACUGAUGACUAUCGGAUCUAUAGGCAGCAAUGAUUAGAAAAACCAAAAAUAAAAAAAGGAAGCCAAAGAUUAUUACAAGCUAUGAAUUUAUGAAAGUUGGUUUAUUGAAUUGGAAUAACUCCAAAAUACAUGGUGAAACACUAUGUAGAGCACCGGGAUAUCACAAUGAGUAUACUCAGAGUGGGUUGGUAAAGAAGUGUUUUAGCGCAGGUUUGAUGCAGUGGCGGACCCAUGACUGGGCCCUUCAUUUUUUACAUUUACAAAGUAGGCCCUUCUGUUGAGAAUCACACCAAAUCAAAUCAGUUUCCUGAUUUUUAGGGAAACUUGGCUGUAUAUUUCGUAAUUAUAGGGAUCCUAUUCAUUUUCAAAAAAUCAGUAUUGUAUAGCUGUAUAUUUCAGUUACAUAGUUGUAGCUUUAUUUUCUAUUUUAUUGACUGUAUUGUAUCUAAAAAAGGGUGACUAUGACUACUUUCCCAUUCAUUCGAUACAAUAUUCUUUUUCUACCCAAUCUAUAUGGUAUCAAAGCCGACAUAAUUGGCCUCUAUUUUUUUUUUUUUGGGUUCUUCCUACCCAUUACCACGUCAGAAAUCUCUAAAUCAACCCCUACCACUGGUGCCAAUAUCAACUCCUCUAAACCUCCAACUGAACCUCUCUCUCAUUCCGUCCAAAUCACCACGAUUCGACUCAAUGGGAACAAUUUUCUCAGGUGGAUCCAAUCCGUUCGAAUAUAUAUUAGAGUGAAGGGGGAAAUCAGUUACUUAAUUGAUGACAUUGUAGAGCCAGAAAAACUGAUGUUGGCCAUGCUGUUUAGGAUGCUGAAAACUCCAUGAUAAUGGCCUGGUUAGUGAAUUCUAUGGAGGAGGAAAUAAGUGCAAACCACAUGUAUUGUCCUAUUGCUAAAGCCCUGUGGGAUAAUGUCACCUUGAUGUAUUCAGUCCUUGGAAAUCAAUCCCAAACAUAUGAGUUACAACUCAAAUUGGGGGAAGUCCGUCAAGGUGAGAAUUUCGUCACUAAAUAUUUUAAUAUUCUCAAAGUUUCCUUGAUUUAUUCAAUGAUGACCAUGAGUGGAAGAACAUGGAUGGUUGCAAUUACUUUAAGAAAAAGGAGAUCUCACGAAUUUUCAAAUUUCUGGCUGGACUCAAUGUUAAUUUUGAUGAAGUAGGAGGCAGGAUUUGAGGUUGUAAACCUCUUCCUUCCCUCGGUGAAGUUUUUUUCUAAAGUUCGACGUGAAGAAAGCAGGAGAAAUGUCCUGCUUGGCAAGAAAAUCAUUGCUGGACUGGUGGAAAAUUCGACAUUAAUGGGGAUUGCUGUUGCUGCCAUCGUGCCCCUAGGGGUGAACCCACUAAGUACGAGGGCGGUCAGCCGCCCCCAUUGAUUUUUCAAAAACCUUCAAUUCGACCUUAUUAAAUUUAAAUUCUCAGAUUUUUUUUUUUUUGGUUUUUUCACAAUUUAUUUUAGCCAAUUUUCCAUCUCUUCCCCACUGAAAAAUAAUUUUAGAUCCACCCCUGUGUGUCCCUAAUACUUAGCGUCGUCAAGAUGACGAAUCGAAGGUUUGGUGUGAUUUUUGCAAUAAAUCACGACAUACUUACGAAACUUGCUAGAAACUGCAUGGAAAACUUGCUAAUUGGAAACCUGUAGAGUGGAAGAAUAAUAAAACUAAUUCGAAUCAUGCCCUAACCAAAGCACAUACUGUGAGACCACCUCUCUCAGUGAAGAACAAAUAGAACAACUCCUAAAGCUACUGAAAUCUGCUCCACCGACUCCCGGUACUCCUGUAGCAUCCUUGGUUCAAACAAGUAGAACUUUGUGUGCCUACUCUUCAUUAUCUACAUCUUGGAUCAUGAUUCAGGUGCCUCUCAUCACAUAACUAAUCUAUCCCAUUUGUUUAUAUCUUAUGAACUCUUUUCUGGAAAUAAAAAAGUACGUACUGCAGAUGGAAAUUUAUCUUCCAUUGCUGGCCAUGUUUCAUUCGUUUAUGAGAAAAAAAUAUUCUGAAAUCUGUUUUACAUGUCUCAAAACUCUCUUGUAACCUUUUGUCAGUAUGUCAUUUAUCUAAAGAUUCUAACUGUCGUGUUAUCUUUGGUGUCUCUUGUUGUGAAUUUAAGGAUUUAAAUGUGGGGAUGAUGAUUUGCAGUACUAGAAUGAUAGAUCUCUACUAUUUUAAUGACAACUGUGUUAGGAAUAAACAAGCUCAGGGUUUUAUUGGUGGUAUCCAAUUAAAUCUUGUUUAUGAUCAAAUAAUACUAUGGCAUAAUAGACUAGGACAUCCUAUUUUUUCCUAUUUAAAGUACUUAUUUCUAGAUUUAUUUAAAGGAGUGGAUUGUAACUCUUUGGUUUGUGAAACUUGUUUCCUGGCUAAAAGCCAUCGAAACUUUUAUAAAAUUAAACUUUUUUGUGCUUCAAAACAUUUUUAUCUAAUACAUAGUGAUGUUUGGGAUCCUUCUAAGAUUACCACUUCAACCUGAAAAAAAUGGUUUGUGACAUUCAUUGAUGUUCAUACACGCCUAUGCUGGCUUUAUUUAAUGAAUUCAAAAAAUGAAGUUGCAAAAUUUUUUAAAGAUUUUUUACUCUUUGGUCGAAAACCAAUUUCAAACUAAAAUAAGUGUUCUUCGAAGUGACAAUGGAAUAUAAUUUUUUAAUGAAUGUUUAGGAAAUUUUUGUACAAGAAAAAGGCAUUGUUCAUCAAUCUAUUUGUAGGGAUACUCAACAAAAUGGAAUUGCAGAACGUAAAAAUAGAUACUUAUUUGAAGUUGCUAGCGCUCUUAUGUUUCAUAAGAAUGUUUCUAAAUAUCUUUGGGGAAAUUCAAUCUUAACAAGUUGUUAUCUGAAUAAUAGAAUGCCCACUAGGGUUUUGAACUAUAAAACUCCUUUACGAACUCUUAAAAAAUCUUUUCCAAACACACGUCUCAUCAAUAAUCUCCCUUCAAAACUUUUUGGUUGUACGAUGUUCAUUCAUGUUCCAUCCCAUCUUCGAUCCAAAUUUGUCUACGAGCUGAAAAAUGUAUUUUUUAGGCUACUCUCCUAAUAAAAAAGGCUAUAAGUGUUUUAAUCCCGACACUAAAAAAUUUCAUAUUAGUAUGGAUGUUCAAUUUCUUGAAACAACUCCAUUUUAUACUAAAACCUUUCUUCAGGGGAAGAAUCUAAAUGAUGAUUAGUUUUGGCAACAAGAAGAACCAAAACUAGUUUCUUUUUUCCCUCAAAUAAAUUAGGAAAUGAAUACUUUACCUAGAGAAAAUAAGAAAAAUACUGAGCUAUAUAUGCCAAGUAAAAAUGUAUCACAAAAAGGGGAAAAACUUUACCACCUAUGCCCACUGAGCUACGUCUUUACACUAUAUGUAGGUUCAAUCCCAAUAUUUAGAAUCUUCCAAUCAAUUCUGAGCAUGGUCAAUCAUCAUCUCCUAGGUCUUCAAUUCCAGGUAAUCUUCCUAAAAAUCCUACUCCUUUACCUUUCUUUGAUCAUGACAUUCCUAUUACCAUUCAUAAAGGAAUUAGGAAUUGUACCAAACAUCCUAUUGCCAAAUAUCUGUCCUACCACAGACUUUCAGAAAAAUACAAAGCCUUCACAACAAAUGUUUCCCAUCUAUUUGUACCUAGAACUAUACAGAAAGCACUACAACACUCGGAGUGGAAGUGAGCAGUGUAUGAGGAGAUAAAAGCACUUCAAAAAAAUAGAACCUGGGAAAUUGUUGAUCUACCUAGGAAAAAGAAGAUAGUAGGGUGCAAGUGGAUUUUUACAAUCAAAUGUAAGUAUGAUGGGAGCAUUGAGAGAUACAAGGCAAGGCUGUUGCUAAAGGUUUUACACAAACUUAUCGAAUUGACUAUCAAGAAACCUUUGCACCUGUUGCAAAAAUCAAUUCCAUUCGAGUGUUACUUUCUCUUGCAGUACAUCUUAACUGGCCUUAGCAACAGUUAGAUGUAAAGAACACUUUCUUAAAUGGAGAGUUGGAGGAAGAAGUGUUUAUGGACUUACCACUAGGUUUCGAAGAAAACUUUGGAGAAAAGAAAGUUUGGCUAUUAAAAAAGUCAUUGUAUGGUCUUAAGCAAUAUCCUAGGGCCUGAUUUGACAGGUUCGGAAAAGUCAUCAAGCUUCAAAAGUAUUUGUAAAGCUAAGCCGAUCAUACAAUGUUCUAAAAACACUCAAGAGAAGGUAGAAUGGCAAUAUUAAUAGUUUACGUGGAUGACAUAAUUUUGAUUGGAGAUGAUAUUGUUGAGAUUGAUAGAUUGAAGAAAGCCCUAGCUCGUGAUUUCAAAAUCAAAGACUUUGGUCCUCUUAAAUACUUCCUUGGAAUGGAGUUUGCUAUAUCCAAGAAAGGUAUUUUUAUCUCUCAAAGAACGUACUUGAUCUACUAGAAGAAACAGGUUUACUCGGUUGCAAAGCAACAGAAACCCCUAUAGAACCAAAUCUGAAGCUUUAGCGUGCAAGUCUAGAAGAAAUGAUUGACAAAGAGAGAACCAACGCUUAGUUAGGAGACUAAUUUCUCUCUCCCAUAAACGUCCUCAUAUUGCAUUUGCAGUGAGCAUGCUAAGUUAAUUCAUGCACUCACCUAAUCAAGGACAUUUUGAUGUUGUGUACAGAAUUUUAAGGUACUUAAAGGGGACCAUGAAAAGGAAUUCUAUAUGAAAAUAGGGGACAUCUCCAAGUUGAAGUGUUUACAGACGCAGAUUGGACAGGAAUGUAAUAGACAGAUGAUCAACUUCGGGAUAUUGUACCUUUGUUGGGGGAAAUCUUGUAACUUGGCGUAGUAAAAAAUAAAAUGUGGUGGCUAGAAGUAGUAUUGAGGUGGGGGUGUAGGGCAGUGGCACAUGGUAUCUUUGAGGUUCUGUGGAUCAAACAUUUACUUGAAGAACUUAAAACUACCCGUUCCUUACCUAUAAAGGUAUUUUGUGAUAACAAAGAUGCUAUUGCAAUCGCACACAAUUCAGUGCUCCAUGAUUGAACUAAACAUGUUGAAGUUGACAAAAACUUUAUAAAGGAGAAAUUGGAGAAUGGUCUGAUUAUUAUACCCUACAUUCCCAGGUCUGAACAGGCAGCAGACAUUCUUACUAAAGGUCUACCAAAGAAGUAGUUUGAUACGUUGGUGAGCAAGCUAGCCAUGAACCACAUCUUCCAACCAGCUUGAGGGGGAGUGUUGAGAAUCACACCAGAUUAGGGCAAAUCAGUUUCCUGAUUUUUAGGGAAACUUGGCUGCAUAUUUCAUAUUUAUAGGGAUCCUAUUUAUUUCCUAAAAAUCAUUAUUGUAUAACUGUAUAUUUCAAUUCCAUAUUUGUAGCUUUAUUUUCUAUUUUAUUGACUGUAUUGUAUCAAUAAAAGGGUAAGUAUGACUACUUUUCCAUUAAUUCAAUACAAUAUUCUUUUUCUACCCAAUCUAUAUCUUCAUUUUUUUACAUUUACGAAGUAGUUCACAUAAUUUUAAGCCAUAAUUUUUACAUAAUUCUGUCUCGCCCCCACUAAAUUAUGUUCUUGGAUCCGUCCCUGCUUUGAUGGCCAUUAUUUGGGAAAAACAAUGUUUUGAAAAGUGUUUUUUAGGAGAAUGUGAGAUUAAAAAAUAAGAAAAUGUUUUGGAUUUACUUGCAGAAUAUUUUAUUGUGUUUAUGUUUGGUUGGAAAUGAGUUUGUAGAAAAAAGAGUUUUCAAAUAUUGGUUAUCGAACCCGGGCAUAAUGGUCCAUGAGAUUUGGAUGAACACAUUAAAGGUCAUAAGCAAAUGUUCUUGCUGCUGCUGCUUUUCCACUCCCCAUUCACCUGAAAAAUUCUUAAUAGAAUUUUAUUUAUUUCUCUUAUUUUUCCAUCCUAAUACUGCUUUUAGCUGUUAAAUAGACGUAUAAUGAUUAAAUCAAUACAGUAUGCUAAUCUUAAUCGCCAACUGUUCUAUAAUUCAAUUAUUAUGUUUCAAUAUGGAGUAAUUAAAAUUUAACAUCCACCGUUAAGAGAAGCCAAUUUUGCAAUUUAGUUAGACUGCCCAUUUUAACAAAUUAUCAAUCUUCGAAUUAAGCAAAGAUCUUAAAAUUUAUACAAUGCCUGUUGGAUCCUUUAGAUGAUGAAACAUGUAGGUUUUGCUUUGCAUUACUUUUGUACUCAUGCGAGCUGGUCUACUCAAGUAUGACUCAGCUUCACGAGAAUUCUUUUAUUAGAUCCUACUAUUUCAAACUUAUAAUUUUAUCUGUAAGGAAAUAUGAAACUGAUUUAACCUGCUAAUUGAAAUUGUCUGUUUCAGAAGAAGGCCUUGCCAAGCGUGGAUUCCAGGUUACUAGGCUCAAUACAUACACAACGGUAUGAUACUCUUGUAAUUUUGUAAAUGUUCUAAUAUCUCAACAAUUUCAUGUAAUUUAUAACUUUAAAUUUUAAUUUGCCUCCACAUAAUGCAACAGAAAAUUUAACAUUACAGUUACAGUCAUCAAUUGCAAGUGUUUAGAUGUCACUAAAUAUUGAUCAACAACAAAUACUCAUCUUGUUUCUGUUAAUUUGGUGGCCUCUGAUAAUUUCCUGUAGGAACCUGUUAGUCGUGUGGACCAAAAGUUCUUGAAUGGGCGGUUUCUGCUCCUGUUGUUUCUGUAGCAUCACCUUCUGCAGUUCGGUGUACUUUUCUGUUAUAGCAGUUCUGUUGAAAAUUAGUCUAUACUGUUGAGCCUGGACUAAUCUUCUGAAUAAAAAGUUUCUGAGUUGAAUUCAAACCUAAGCACAACUCACAUGGGUAUUUGUGUUCACAUAUUAAAUGGAUUGGGUGUACAGUGCUCUUUCUACAUGGUUUUAUGAAAGACAGGCUAUCAGAAAAUGUGAAAUAUGUUAACGGUCUAUUUGUGUUACAGGUGUUUUCGUGAAUAUUUUUAAGACUCAUUUUGAGUGUUUUUUUAUUGUGAAUCUUAGUUGAGGGGCUUAUGUUGUACCAAGUCCAACACUCUUCCCAAAAAUAUUUACCAUUUAAUCUUACCAAUUCACUUGCAGGAUCCUGUUCGUAUUACUGAAUAUGUUAAUUACAGUUUACUACUUGUGGACUUAUUGCCAUUGAAUGUGUUGGGAAAACACCUUCCAAAGAUAGCCCAAAGAUCAAACAAAGUUGACAAUGUGAAAAUUUCCAACCACUUCAAGAACAAGAAAAUGAGGAAGAAAUGAUUUUAAUGGAAUACAUGAAGAUCAAUGUAUUUGGAUUACUUGAACAAGCCUCAAGUUAAUCCCCAAAAAAGAAAAUAACUUUGAAUUUAUACCCAAGAUGAAUAACCUUCUAUCUUGUAAAAUUCUCUCCAAGUUUUCUCUCUUCUUUCUCUCUAAUUUUCGGGUGCAAGGGUUGUCUUAAUGAAAGGGGGGAAAAUGGCAAUAUAUAUAUCCUAUCGGGACGCCUAGGCGCCAGGUUCCUGGCUGUCUUCAUAUUCGGGGCACCUAGGCGCCAUGUGAGUGGCGCCUGGGCGCCCGGCAGAACCAGCAGAACCAACCCCCUUCCUCUCUUCCUUUCUCACAAUUCUCCAUCUCGUACAUCAUUUGAUAGACCUCAAAUUUUGGACGAACACAAGAAGAAGAAGCAAGCACCGACUCGGCUGCACCAUUCAAAUCAUGAUUGCCUACGUACCCAAAACUCGAGAUCAAGCCUCCGUAGUUCACCUCCACCUUCAUAAACACUCCACCUCAUUUCAACCCCGCCCCGAAGGGCCAUGCCCUCUCGGGCAUAUCAACACGGACUAAUGUGAAGCAAGUCCAAGCAAUGUUGAAACUUGCUACCCGUCACAACUUUGGUUAACAUGUCAGCUGGGUUCUCAUUUGUGUGUACCUUCGAGAGUGAAAUAUCACCUUCCUCUAUGACAUCACGCACAAAAUGAUACCUGACGUCGAUAUGCUUGGUUCGAGCAUGAUGAACCUGAUUCUUAGCCAAGUGAAUCGCACUCUGGCUAUCACACCACAAGUCCACACAAUCCUGCCCAAUCCCCAAAUCAUCUAGAAGACCCCAUAACCACAAUGCUUCCUUCACUCCCUCUACCAUGGCCAUAUACUCGGCCUCUGUAGUAGAAAGAGCAACUGUAGCCUGUAACAUCGAUCGCCAACUAACUGGGGCACCAUGUAUGCAGAACACAUAUCCAGUAGUAGAUCGUCGUCUAUCUAGAUCACCUGCAUAAUCCGAGUCCACAAACCCACUUAUAUGACAUGCAUCUCCACCAAAACAUAAACCCGUAUCCGCGAUACCUUUUAAGUACCUCAGGAUCCACUUCACAGCUUCCCAGUGUGCCUUCCCCGGAUUCGCCAUGAAUCUACUGACCACACUCACCGCCUGUGAAAUACCUGGGCGUGUACACACCAUGGCAUACAUCAAACUGCCAACAGCACUAGCAUAAGGUACACGAUUCAUGCGUACCUUUUCUUCCGCUGUAGUAGGAGACUGUUUACCAGAGAGCCUAAAAUGUGGAGCCAAUGGAGUCACCACCGACUUUGCACCUUGCAACCCGAACCUAGCAAUAACCCGCUCAAUGUAGCCUUUCUGACUCAAGAACAUUCGCCGGUUCGUCCUCUCUCUUCUAAUCUCCAUACCUAGUAUUUUCCCAGCAAUCCCCAUAUCCUUCAUCUCAAACUCUUUACCAAGUUGAGAUUUCAACUUAUCUAUCUCCACCUUACUUUUCGAAGCGAUAAGCAUGUCAUCCACAUAUAGAAGAAGAUAGAUAUAGUUACCUCCCCGAAGUUUUCGAAUAUAAACACAACAGUCAUACUCACUUCUGGAGAAACCAUGCUUUAGCAUGAAGGAGUCAAAUCGCUUGUACCACUGCCGAAGAGAUUGCUUCAAUCCAUAUAGUGAUUUUCUCAAGCGACAUACCUGACGUUCCUUAUCCUCAACCUUGUAGCCCUCAGGUUGAUGCAUAUAGAUCUCCUCAUCCAAGUCCCCGUGCAAGAAGGGGGUUUUGACAUCGAAUUGUUCCAACUCAAGAUCAUGAUGAGCAACAAUACUCAAUAGCACCCGAAUGGAAGUGUGCUUGACCACAGGAGAAAAGAUCUCAUUGUAGUCAACUCCCUCUCUUUGUGCAAACCCCUUAGCCACUAACCUCGCUUUGAAUCUUGUACCACCGAGUUUGGUAGGAUCCUCCUUCUUUUUAUAUAACCACUUGCAACCAAUAGCUUUCUUACCUAUGGGCAAUGGGACAACCUCCCAUGUUUGGUUCUUGUGGAGUGAUUCCAUCUCUUCUUCCAUUGCCGCCGACCAACUCUCGCUAUUGUUGUUUAAAAUAGCUUCCUUGAAAGUGGUAGGCUCAUCAUCCUCCACCGAGAGUGCAUACUCAACCAAAUUUGUCUGCCCAUAGUGCCUCAAAGGUUCAUCUGACUCCAACUUUAGAACUUGCUUGUAAGUACGGCAUGGCCUAGAGGAAGCCAAAUUAUCUGCAAGCUACUGUUGUUGCUGUGCCUGUACAUUCUCUUGCUGAACCGCCUCUUGUUCAAGUGCAUCAUCACUCUCAUCUUGAGUGUCUAUUUGAUGCUCCUCUUGAACAUGCCUAGAAUCAGGUUGAUCUCUAGGUUCUAUGUCAACAACUUGAGACAUUGUAGUCUCAACACCAUCACCACCGGGCACUGUAGCUUUCAACGACGCUACCAUGGAGUUCUCAUCAAAAGUAACAUCUUUGCUGAUUAUGAACUUAGAAUCCUCUACACACCAAAGGCGAUAGCCUUUAACACCUGCCGCAUACCCCAAGAAUAUAGCCUUCUUGGCCCUCGCAUCAAGCUUUCCCUCGUUGACAUGAUAGUAGGUUGUGCAUCCGAAUGUUCUGAGUUUCUCAUAAUCUGCAUGUUCUCCUGUCAAUACCCUAUAAGGUACAUCUCCAUCAAACCUUGAAUGUGGAGACCGGUUCACUAUGUAGCAAGCAUUUACAACCGACUCUGCCCACCAUUCUCUACCCAAACCAGCAUAGGAUCGCAUACACAUCGAUUUCUCUCGAAAUGUGCAAUUCAGUCUUUCCGUGACCCCAUUCUAUUGCGGUGUAUUUCUUACUGUCCAAUGUCUCACAAUGCCUUCCUUACCACAGAACUCCUUGAAAGCACCAUCUGUAUACUCAAUACUGUUAUCAGAUCUCAGUGUCUUCAAUUUCUUUCCAGUUCUAUUUUCAACCAUUACUUUCCACUUCUUGAAAGUGUCGAAUACCUCAUUCUUAUGCUUCAAAAAAUAAAUCCAAGCAUAGCUAGAAUAAUCAUCAACAAAUGUAACAAAAUACUUGGAACCGCCUUUGGAAGUGACAGAAGCCGAACCCCAUACAUCCGUGUGCACAUAGUCAAGAAUGCCUCUACUUCUAUGUUUGCUUGGCUGGAACUGAACUCGAUGUGAUUUACCGUACACGCAAUGCUCGCAAAAAUCCAUGCAAGACUUCUUCAAGUUCUUUAGCAAACCUUUCUUGACUAGCAAAUCUAGCCCCUUUUCAGACAUAUGCCCAAGCCUCCUAUGUCAUAGCCAAGUGCACUCACAUGGGUCUCCACCACUUCCACUUGUUCCAACUGCUACAUCUUCAGUAACUGUAGUACCCUGAAGAGCAUAGAGAUUACCUUCACGGAUACCCUUCAUCACAAUCAAAGAACCACGAACAACCUUCUUUACUCCAUUCCAUGUUACAAUCUUGCAACCACCGGAGUCUAAGGCACCAACAGAGAUAAGGUUCUUUCGCAAAUCAGGAACAUGUCUAACAUCCAUCAAUAUUCUAACCACUUCAUCAUGCAUCUUGAUUCUAAUUGAACCAAGCCCCACCGUUUUACAUGAAUGCUUAUUACCCAUCAACACGGUUCCACCAUCAGUGCUUCUAUAGGUAGUAAACUACUUCCUAUUUGGACACAUAUGGUAAGAGCAUCCAGAGUCAAGAAUUCACUUACCGGAGGUCUCUUCAUCACAAGAGAUGGUGUAGCACUCAUCGCUUUCCCCUCCUUUCGAGACAUAGCUUACCUUUUGCUUGACUUGCACCUUCCCACUGUUGUUGUUCUUAUUGUUCUUCUUCCAACCCUUUUUGUUUGGACAAUUCACCUUGAAAUGUCUAAGCUCGCCACAUUUGAAACAAGACCUUUCCGCAACAGGUCUAGAACUCGAUCUAGAUUUUUCUCCCUUGCCCUUUGGUCACACAUUGCUUCUACCCCUUACAAACAAUCCUUGAGCUUGCUCCUUGUUACCAAUGGUAGACAUGUCACUAGUUGCAAUCUUUCGAAGAUCAUCCGCUAGAAGUGACGUUCUAGUGUCCUCCAUCACAAGUUUAUCACCCACAAGCAUCAAUGUUUGUACUAGGUUCUCGUAAGACUUUGGCAAUAAAAGAAGUAGUAGAAGUGAUUGAUCCUCAUCAUCUACAUCCACAUCAAUGUCUUUCAAGUCCGAUAUGAUCUUAUCAAACUUGUUGAUGUACUCCCGGAUUGGUGUACCUUCAUCCAUCUUGCAAGUAUACAAUUUGGACUUCAAAUAGAUCCGAUUUGUUAAAGUCUUCGUCAUGAAGUUCGCCUCCAACUUUGUCCACACCUCCGCCGCCGUUACCUCACUAUCAACCAAGAAAGCAACAUCUCUUUCAAGGCAAAGAAUGAUAGACGCUCGUGCCUCAAGAUCUAGCUCUUCCCAAUCCUCGUCCGACAUAUCAACGUGCUUCUUCUCCUUUCCCGCCAAUGCCUUGUGCAACUUUUGAGAAAUCAACAAAUUUUUCAUUUGCAUUCUCCAAUAUGAAAAAUCAUUCUUCCCAUUGAAUUUCUCUAUCUCAUCCUUCCCAAUCUUCACCAUUCCUCUAGUAGACAUGAUUUAUCCACUUGUUUACCGAAAAUAAACCACAAAAGUUCACUUGGGAAUUUUCACAAACACCUUGUGCACAACAAAGUUCAAGCAACUCACCACAAAAUCGAAACUUAACCACCUUGAUUUAGGAUGUAGCUCUGAUACCAAAUUGUUGGGAAAACACCUUCCAAAGAUAGUCCAAAGAUCAAACAAAGUUGAUAAUGUGAAAAUUUCCAAACAACUUCAAGAACAAGAAAAUGAGGAAGAAAUGAUUUCAAUGGAAUAUAUGAAGAUCAAUGUAUUUGGAUUACUUGAACAAGCCUCAAGUUAAACCCCAAGAAAGAAAAUAACUUUAAAUUUAUACCCAAGAUGAAUAACCUUCUAUCUUGUAAAAUUCUCUCCAAGUUUUCUCUCUUCUUUCUCUCUAAUUUUCGGGUGCAAGGGUUGUCUUAAUGAAAGGGGGGGGGGGGGGGGGGGGGGAAAAANNNNNNNNNNNNNNNNNNNNUAAUGGCAAUACAUAUAUCCUAUCUGGGCGCCUAGGCGCCAGGUUCCUGGCUGUGUUCAUAUUCGGGGCGCCUAGGCGCCAUGUGAGUGGCGCCCAGGUGCCAUGUUUCUGCCGGGGAGGCAGAAACUGGGCGCCUGGGCGCCCGGCAGAACCAGCAGAACCAGCCCCCUUCCUCUCUUCCUUUCUCACAGAAUGCUUUUCUCGAAGCAUUUUCCUUUCUGCAGAUUUCUAUGAAUUUUGUUUACCUUCUCUUGUCUUUUUAUCCCUUAUUAUUUUAACGAAUGAUUGCAUAUCUUCCUUUACAGUGCUUGGAUAAAUCUAAUCCCAAAAUCACAACAGUGGAGCAAUUCUGUUGCAUGUAUUGGUGAGACAACUGCCUUAGCAGCUAAAAAUCUGGGUUUGAGGAAUGUGUAUUUCCCAACCAAUCCUGGCCUUGAAGGGUAAUCAAAUAUCCAUUUGGAACUUUUGGGAAAUCAUGCAUAUACUUGUUUCUGAUGCAAUUGUCUCUGUCUCUAUGCUCUAUGAGUGGUAAAAAGCACUAGCAGUUUUCCGUUCUCUUUACUUUCUGAGAUGUGCGUGAUAUAGUUGAAGAGUUCACUAUUUAGGUGAUAAUUUAGAAGAAAUACGAGGAUGUGACAUAAAUUUACGAUGCAGGGAGAUAUAUUUUAUUUGUAUAUGCCAUGUCUCAGUGCAUAAUUUUGUAUAGUAAUGGCAUGUUUAGAAAAGUGGAUUGCACAAUAGUAUUAAAGGAGAAAAAGAAGUUUAAAUAUUUUUAAUUGUAGUGUUCAUUGUUCAAUCCUGUUCAUUAGUGCAUAUCAAACAUGUUUUAAGUAUCACUGGGUUUAUCCUUCUGUUGCAGGUGGGUUAAUAGCAUUUUAGAAGCCUUGCAAGUCCAGGAACAAGUUCAGAAAGUCUAGGAGUCGUAUGUUGAUGCCCUUCUAAUUUCACCUGGUAAUUUCUAUAUACUGCUUACACUAAGUUGUUUCCCAGUGAAUAAAGAUGCUAUUGAAGAUUAAAUAUAAAUCAGUAAACGUCUCCUCUCUAACAACUUUAGCUUCUAAACGGCAUGGUUCAACACAGUAUCAAAGCACACGUGGAUCAUGAGUUCAAAUAUUGGGGGAUUAUUGGAGAACACUUCUUCCUAUUUCUUUCUCUUGAUAUCCGAUGAUCAUGGUGAUGCCCGUGAAUUCUUAUUUUUACGUAGCAAGUACUUAUUAAUUUGUCUCCUGGACUGGAUCUAUUAUGUCAGAUUUUCACGUACCCGUUGAUAUGCUAUUCCCAAGGACUAUAUCCUGGUAGUUUGUCGGUUAAAUUAAUAAGUGGGGNNNNNNNNNNNNNNNNNNNNNNNNNNNNNNNNNNNNNNNNNNNNNNNNNNNNNNNNNNNNNNNNNNNNNNNNNNNNNNNNNNNNNNNNNNNNNNNNNNNNNNNNNNNNNNNNNNNNNNNNNNNNNNNNNNNNNNNNNNNNNNNNNNNNNNNNNNNNNNNNNNNNNNNNNNNNNNNNNNNNNNNNNNNNNNNNNNNNNNNNNNNNNNNNNNNNNNNNNNNNNNNNNNNNNNNNNNNNNNNNNNNNNNNNNNNNNNNNNNNNNNNNNNNNNNNNNNNNNNNNNNNNNNNNNNNNNNNNNNNNCGAAGCACAUAGACGUUACUCAUUUUAGCGAAUAUACCUCAUCAGGAAAAUGAAACCUUUAGAUACGAGUAUAUAUCUAACAUUUGAAAUCGGCUUCUAGUAGAAGUGUGUUUCUAACAUUAUCUAUCAUCGUCUAUGAUUUUUAUCAGUGUAGGUGGCAGUGAAUGUCGUGAUUUACUGUUCAAUUAUUAAUGCAUCAAAUUACAUCAUAAUUUUAUUGAACAAUGAAUCAGAAGACCUUGUUGUCAAUUACAUCGCUGAUAAUCACCACUCCAUUGACACUCCAUAAAAAACAUGAAAAUGAUUCCAAAGCUGUGGUAUGACCAUGCAAAACCAAUGCUACAUGUUUAAAACUUUUAUCCAAUGAAUAUCCAUUCUUUUUUGUUCUUUAGGGAGAAAUUGAAAUAUUCGUCAGCAAGUCUGUCUCCAACUUUUUAAAUUGAGCAUUUGUUUGAUGCCAUUGAAAAGAGUUUUUUAAUUUUUUCCCCCUUUUGGGAAAAAUGAGUUUUGAAACAGUAAUCUUUUUAAUAGAAAUUUUGAGUUUAAAAAGUAAGAAAAUUUGUUGGAUUACGUGUAAACUAUUUUAUUGUGAGAAUAUUUGGUCGAAAAUGAGUUUUAGGAAAAAGGAGUUUUUGAAGAAUGGUGGACAAACGGGGAUUGAAUGAGUUAUGUCUUAUCCUUUGAUUGAGUUAAUAAUUAUACAGUUGCCUUUGAAAAUCGUUCAAAUCUCUAUUAAAGAUGUCCUGCUUCAAAUUUAUAUGCACUAACUUCAGUUGAAAAACAAAAUUAGUAUCAUAAAGUCGCACUGUGUAAAGGCCAUGACAGAAUGCUUCAUUAGACUGUUCAAGUAAUAAUAAGGCCCAAUGUAGCAAUGUUAUAGGUUUGAAAAAGUAGAAGAGAUUGGUAUUAACUAUAUUUCAAGUCUUGGGAGGCAUAUUACUUUUGAUCGUGGGUGGUCAUUGGCAUUUUCUUGGUUUCACGGUAAAGAUUGUCGAAGACGAUCUAGAAAAUCCAACAAAAUUGUUUACUAUAUGGAGCUUCGAUGGGAAGAUGGUGUACGAAAACAUCAUUGAAUCGACUGAGGGCUUCCGCUUUAGCCACUUUGUUGGGUGGGAGGAUGUGGCAGUGUUUUAGAGCUAAAUUGAAUGACCAGACUGUCGCUAUAAAGAAAUUACAUACACCAUGUAACGUCCCAAAAUUUCAUAUAAUAGAAUUAUUUGGGGAUAACGAUUUUGAUCUAGAUGCCUUUGGUGGACUCAUUCUGUAGUUCGUAUUUAAUGGCAUGUCAUGGACUCGAGAAAAGUUAAUUCAAAUAAGUUAGGUCCAAGUUAUUGAAGUUCCGAGAAAUUGUCUUUAAUUGGUAAUUAAUGAAGUUGGUUUAUGAUUUAAUUUCUAUGACAGCAUCACGUGUAGGACAAAUUUUAAUCCUAUUUUGAUAAUUGUUAAUUGUAAUCCUAUUUUGAUUUUGAUAAAUGUUAAAAAGGUUAAUUGUAAUUGUUACGAUCCAAAUUUUUCUAGUCAAAAAUAAAAUGUUGAAUUGUCAAAGUCAAAGUCAAAAGGGAUUAAAAUGAAAUAAAUUAUUUUAAUUGGGACUCAAUUUAUUAUGAAAAUUAUUUUGAAGGUCUAAGUUGGACAAUAUAAAAUUUUAGAGAUCUACUUAUAUAUUGCUAGAAGUUUAGAAUUUAAUGUUCUAUUAUAGAAAUGUUGGAGGACCUCCUUUGCAAUUUUGAGUUUGUAGCUACUUGAUAUAUUACAAUAAACCCAUUUCAAUUAUAAUUCAACACACACACACAAAUAAUAGGCAAAAACGGGAGAGCGCUGAGAGAGAAACCGAGAAGAAAGAGGAAGAAAAAGAGAAAGAAAGUGAGAAAAAGAAGAAAAGAAAGAAAGAAAGGAGAAGAAGAAGGGAAAGAGGUAGUUCAAGGUCUAUCUUCAUUUUUCCUUCUCUUUAUUUUCUUCAAGAGGUAGAUAAAUUUUAUGUUAAGUUGCUAGGGUUUAAUUUGUGGCUAAAAUUUCAUAUUUAUGCAAGAUGAGUACAAAUUGGAGUUCAAGUUUGUUGAUUAUUUAAUUUUCAAUUUCAUUAAGGUAAAAAUACCAAUUUUGGCAAAUCCUAGAUUUUUAUUUGGGAUUCUUAAUUAUGAAAUGUUAGUGGGAAUAAUUAUAUUGAUGGAAAACUCUCAUCAAACCAUGAAUUUGAGAAACAAGAUAAAAAUAAAAAUAGGUGGAAUCAUUGUUACUAGUUUUCUUUAGAUUGGAAGGUAUAAUUAUUUUUAUGGGUGGGAUGAAGGUAAAUUUGGAUGUAGUAUAUAUUUGUGAAGGUAUUAGAAAGUAGAAUUAGCGCUUAUUGAUUAACGGAAAAUUUGGAAAAAUCAUUCAAAGUAUCGAGAAGUCAAGUUUUAGUAUUCAACUAUUAAUAUUAAGAUAUACUUAGUAUGAGAUUUGUUAAAUUAGUUAUUUUACAUCGUAUUUCAGGUAGUGACGUGAAAGCUGGGCAAGACUGGUAAAUUUAACAAGAUUGCAAUACAUGGAUAUGUGAGUGGAGAACCUACUUUUCCAAUUAAAAAAAAAGGGGGGAAUUUCCUUUUUAAUUUUAUUUUAUAGAAGUAUAUUAAUUACCUGAAAUGUCUUAUUUUCAAGAAAUUAGUAAAUGAGCAAGAUUGUUUUGAAAUUUUCAAAAAAUAAUUGAUGUGAUUAUCUUACUCUAGUGCACUGAGGGGAUACGGCCGUGUACUAGAGUCAUGUAUUUAACUCUUAUACAUUGAGGGGUUGCAACCGUGUGUAAGGAUAACUCUUAUCCACUGAUGGGCUACGGCCGUGUGUAAGGGUACCUAUUAUACAUUGAGGGGCUACAAUCGUGUGUAAGGGUAACUCUUAUCUACUGAGGGGCUACGGCCGUGUGUAAGGAUACCUAUUAUAUACUGAGGGACUACAGUCGUGUAUAAGGAUGAUCAUGUUGUUUCCAUCUUAUACACUGAGGGGCUACGGUCGUGUACAGAGUGUUGAUCAGACGGUUUAUAUGCGUCUGACUUUGUAGCUUUUAGAUCAUCAGUAGAUGUUUACAUGGGGUAUAUUUUGAUGUGAAUUUUAUGUAUAUAGUGGUUUAUUAGCCUUCAACUUAUAUUUCCCCGUUUGCUAUUCAGCUUAUGGAAUUCAGAUUAUAGAAUUCAAUUCGUUCAAUUUUCAGAGUAAAGCUUCCAAUUUAUAGUAUUGAGCAACAAUAUUUCACAGAUUUUCAUAGAUUUCAGAUUAUUUAUAUUCACUAUAUUUUACAAUUAUUGAACUAGAAUGAAGAAUAAAGAAUUUUAUCAUCCAAUUAUGUCAGUUUUAAAAGUGUUACUAAAUUUUUGAAUUUCUCAAAGUUUUAGUAAAGCAAGAAUUAUACAUAUAUGAAAAAGUAUACUUAUUUUCAAUUUAUUCACUCACUGAGUUACAAACUCCAAUUUUUUUACCAUUCUCUUAGCAGAUAGCAUCUAUGUUGAGUAGCUUUGGAGCCUGUCGAUCCACCGAGAGUGCCAGACACACACAUUGUCAUUAGAUGUAUGAUUCAUUUCGUCAAUUUAUAUAGUUCAAAUUUCCUUUAGGAUACAUGUAUGUUUUGACAGAAUCGUUAAUUGGUAAUUUAUAGAUCCAUACCAUGGGCUCACUGCAUAUUUAAUAUUCUCAUUGCUUCUGGGGUCUUUUGUUUAUAAAGCAUGGUAAAUGUUUUGAAUUGUUUGUAUUUUAAAGGACUAGCGUGUUAUAUUUUAAAUUAUCUGUACAGUUUUGAUAAAUUUGAUAUUUGUUUAGGUGAUUUAGUCCAUAUUUUAAAGGAAAUUCUGUCAAAAUUUUUACACAUAUAUGUCAUAGUCAAAGUAGGUCAAAUCUGCUUUGGUGGUGCGUCCAACACUUAGUUGGUAUCUACCAUCGGCUCACAACACAUGUCAGGUCUAUUAGGGUGAUUCGGGACGGGUUGUGUCAGUAAUCCCAACUUAAUCCUUUUUACAGCAAAUGUACGAGAAAAUCAUCAGUGGAGUACAAUCCAAAUUCAACUUUUUGAAACUAUGUUUAAUUAAAAUAUUUAAAACACUUAUCAAGUUGGUAGCCACUUGUGUGCAGUGCAUUAGGAGUUAAUCUUUUUAUUUUUGGAUUAGAAGGAAAACUAAUUUUAAUCAUAAUUUUAUUAGAUUUUCAUUGAUUACUGGUUUAGUUCAAUUAAACAAGUAGAAUCCUACUUUCAAAAAGAAAUCUCAAAUCUCACCGAUUUAUACCCCCACAUUGAAGCAAAUCUGCAUUCGUAAGUUAUUACUUUCAAAGCAUACAUGCACCCAUUUGGUCACAGAAGCAGAGAGUUUAAGAAAGUUUUGAAAUGUACAAUCAUAUUUUUCUUUUCGAAAUUUUGUUUGAUACGAGGGAAGAUACAUAAAGCAUAAGUGGUUCGUCGAUACAUGCAUGAAUUGUUGGUUGACCUUUGGGUUCGACUUAAUAAAACAUGAACUUUUUUGGGUUCUUUAAAACGAAAUAUGAAAUAUCUCAAGAAUUCGAAAUGAGUACGUGAUGAGUGUCUCAUUUUAUCACCGAUAUACUCCAAAUAAAUUGUGGUAUGAGAUGUUUAUUUUAUUGUUAUAUAAUUGUAUAUGAAAACUGCAUGUAUCUUAUUAGGUACUAUCAAAUACUCAUUCUUAAAAUAAUUUACAAGUUAGUUGAGAUCGAUUGAAACUGUGGCAGAAUAGUGAUGUGGACUACCAAGAAGAUUUGAAGAACUAAAAACAUUAAAUUUUCGAUCUUUCAAUUGAUUAUUUAGUUUUAAAUUGUUCAAAAAUAAGUUUGUUCAAUAGUUAGGUAGUUAUAUCUAUUUUUUUAAGGAAAUACAAGUUACAUGCUUUAAAUUGAUAUUUAUUAUUGAAAAUAAAGAGAUUAAUUUUAUUAUUAUCGUUUUCCACAAUAUCGUGAAGGAAAUUGAAUUUUAGUAUCAUUCUAAGGUUUAUGAAUAUUGGGGUGUUAUAAUUUGAUAAUAAAGCACAUGUUUAUCUUUCUGUAUUCUUUUUAACAAAAUAGUUAUUUGUUUCAAAUAAAUGAAUUUUAAUAGGAAUUUACCAAUUAAAAAAUUUGUAUUUUAAGAGUUCCCACUUAUUAUUUGAGUUUUCUUGAUUUACGUAUUUGUAAAAUUGAAUGGUUUAGUCAAAACGACCUAAAUUGUUUAAAGAGAGUUUGAGAUUUAAGUGGUUCACUUAUAAUCUUCCUCCUCACCUGAAAGCCUUUUAGUUGCACGCUAUUCAAAUCAUAAAAAUGAAAAAUAACAUUUCAAACCAUUCCAUAUUUAAGAAAAUUUUAUUUUUAACAAAUUCUAUUUCAAGAGAAUUCCUUUUUAGGAAAUUUUUAUAUUGAAAAAAAAUAAAAAAAUAAAAGUAUUGUCAUAGGAUUUUGCCACUUUGACAGAAAAAUUGUAACAGAUGCGAUGAUAUAAUCCCAGUUGGAAAUAGAUGAUUUGAUGGGGAUGUUUAUUGUGUUUGAAAUUGUCCAAUAAUGGGAUGUCAUGUGAUAUUAUAUCAAAAAUUAUGUCAACUAUUAUGUUCCUGUAGCAUGAUUGAUUUUCAUAAGAAUUAUGAGUUUAAGGAGAAUAUUUUUGUAAAGUUUUUGUAAUGUCCCCAAAUUUUCAUAGAUUAGAAUUUAAUUUAUGUGUGCUAUAUUUUAAUAUUUUGGAAGUUUAGUGACUAAAGUGUAUAUAACGUAAAAUUUAAUCUUUUUGGGCUUAAAAUGUAAAUAUUGGCGGGUUAAUGAUUAAUAUAUGAAUAUUGGGCUUGUUGGAUAGAUCGUAAUUAAAGACACAGUUUAGGCUCGAGAAAAACUUUAUUUGGAUUAGUCGAGCCCAAGUUAUCGAAGCCAGAAGAUAUAACAUUAAAAUAUUAUUUUUAUUACUUUUGUUUUUGGAAGAAUUUACGUGGAGAGAGAGAUGAAAGUUGUUGAGAUAUUUUAUUGUUUUAUUAUUAAUAAUAAUAUUUUAUUAAGUGUUUUGAAUUGGGAGGUCUCACGUGAAGUACUAGGAUUCUAAGUAGGGGUAGGUAAGUGAUAAUCGAUUUGUUUAUUAAAUGAAAUAAAGUAGAGAGAGAGAGAGAGAAUUAUGGGGAGCCCCAACCACGUGAGUGAUUGUUGAGAAACCAAAUGGAUGUGUAGGGUAAUGUUUGGCUGUUGGGUGAUUGGUUAGUUGACAGUACAUGAUCUUAUAUUGAUAAGGUUUGGGUCUCCGAUUUUUUUCAAAAACAGUUUUUUUUUACUUUAUCUAAAUAUCCACUCUCCCACAUGUUUUCCUAUGAAUACUUCUACAUAUGUAUAUGGAAUGAACUGCACGAGAAUAAGGACACAAAAAAUAUAUUGGUACGUGCACACAUUGUCAAUAGAGGCAGAAAAAUAUAGAAGAAAAGAACGUGAUUUUAUUAUUUCUCUUCCGGAAAUUAAAUCAAGGUAGGAUUACGAGGUGCAAGUGGGUUGUCCCAUUUAAAUUAUUUCUUCAUAUUUGAUAAAUAUUAUACUUAUGAAAGUUAUGAUAUGUAUAAUGUAAUUAUGAUAUGUAUGUUAUGGUCAUCCGGUACCAAAGAUAUGAUACGAUAUGAACUCUUACCGAUUCUAAAGAUAUGAUAUGACGGUAUGAUAUUUUGACGCGUGAUUUAAUAUUUUAAUUGGGAUUGCACAAUUUCUCGUACCCUACUGAGUAUUCCCAUAUACUCACCAUUUUCCUACUCCUCACAGGUUAGACCGGGUCAUGUUGGAGCGUGGUGGUUCGAAGGUGUGGUUGUGUCUUGUUUCACCAAAUAAAGAUCUAAGUUAGCACGUAAUGUUUAUUUAUUUUCAGUUUAUUUCAAUAAACAUUUAUUUAUUUACGAAUAAAUUCUCGUUUAUGUUAGUUGCAGAUGAAUAUACGUAUUUUAUGAUUUUUAAAUAGAAGUUUGAACUAAAUGUUAUUUUCCUUCCUAUCGAUUUGCAAAUCUGUUCUUUCAUAUACGUUGGGAAGAAAGAAUUUAAUAGUUUGCAUGCCUAUAUUUGUACUUUACUUUGAUUUUCCCCAAAUUGAUGGAAAUUUAGGGUCAACACAAUGAUUCCCUGCCACCCCACACCUUCAUUUGUGUCCCAUCACAUCCAUAGCAUUAAUUAUGAUAUGAAUUUGAUAGUUUUUGCUUGUACGUGUUAGUCAUGAAUCAAUGUCUUGUUCGUAGUUUUUUUUUUGACAUAAAUGAAUUCUGUUUUGGAUUUUUUUUGUUUAAUUGCAGUAAAUAAACAUUCCGUGAGUUAUUUAAUUCCAUCCGUUGCCUUUGACUUAAUUAAGUAACUAAUUGAAAUUAUGCACUAAUUAGGGGGAAAUAUUGUGUUAUGAACCACUGUAUUAAUUAUGCCAGGAGUUAGCAAAUUCAUGUUUGUCUGCCACACCCGUGUCAAAUUCGUUUUAAUUCAUAAGUCUUAGAUAUAAAUUUAUUGGAUCUCCCGAAAUACAUAGGAAUAAGAUGUUAUUUUAAUUUGACUUGAGUGUUCAACACGUGAAGAUGAUUGAUAAUUGGAGAUUCAAUGAAAGCAAUAUUUUUUUAGAAUUCAUUAUAUAUAUAUAUAUAUAUAUAUAUAUAUCCAUGUGUUUUAUUUAUUUUAUAGAUGGAACUAGAAAGAUUUUCAUGUUGGAUGUUUAUUAUUUUAAUUAUUUAUGGAAUGAAAGGUUUGGUAACGAUUUCUAAAUCUAUAUAAGAUUUGGGUCGUUACAGUUUGGUAUCAGAGCAUAGGUUUAAAUUCCUGUAGACUCACAUGUAUUCUCAUAAUUCGGUUUUAAAAAAAAAAAAAAAUUAUUGUGAACAGUGACCGGACCGUUCACGUGAACAGUACUCGGUACUGUUCACUGUUCACGUGAAUAGUAUUGUACUGUUCACGUGAACAGUGUAGGAUAAAAAAAUAAAAAUAAAUAAAAAUUGUGUGAUGUUAUAUAUAUAUUGAAUUUUCUUUUUUGUUACAUGUUAUAAAAGGCUUAUUUGCUUAUUUAUUUUCCUAGAUAAUAUUUGUUUAAGGUUAAUAUUUAUUUAUUUAUUUAUGAAUUUAACGAUAAUAUUAAAUUAAAAGUUAUGAAAUAUGUGAAUGAUCUUUGGCACUCAACGACCACCAAUCGACCACCCUCCAACGACUCUAAGGUAUGUAAAAAGGGUAAGAAGAUAAAUGUACUUAAAGCUUUUUGCGAGAUUUAAAUGCUUUAAAUUUCCUAUCUUUAAAUGUUAAGACAUCCACGUUUAUUUUUCCCACUAAAUUAUGAUAUAUAUUGUCAUAGAUAAUUAUAACUUAUUAGACUUAGUACUAAGUGUGAUUGGUGACUUCAUAUUAAAUUUUAGGAAAUGGCACCACCUACUCAUACGAAUUUGAUGCGCGAUUUACUACGAGCGGUACAAGAGUUGAGCAGGCAAAAUCAAGCACCUCCACCACAAAAUGCACCGCCACAGCAGAAUGCACCGCAUUUUGCCCCUGGAGCUAUCUCAGUGGUUGAGCAGUUUCGUAGGUACAAGCCUUCCACUUUUGACGGUAAUUCUGAAUCACUGGUUGUCGAAGAGUGGAUAAGAGGCCUGGAGCGCAUAUUUCGACACAUUGCUUGUACGGAUGCACAGAAAGUAUUAUGUGCAGAAUUUAUGUUGAUUGGAGCAGCUGGUCACUGGUAGGAAUCUGUUUCACGUACAAGGACGGAAGAGCAGCACCGUAAUCUGACUUGGGAGCAGUUUAAAGAUGAAGUGAUGGCAAAAUAUUUCCCACAGGCUUUGAGAGAUUUCAAGGAAUUAGAAUUUUUGCAGCUCAGACAAGGGAGUAUGUCACUUACUGAUUAUGAAAGACAGUUUGAGCAGCUCUCAAGAUAUGCCCCGCACUUGGUGGAUACAGAAGUUAAGAAGAUUAGGAGGUUUGAGAAUGGACUGCGCCCUGAGAUCGGCAUGAUCAUUAUGUCCCAUCGUUUCACCUCAUAUCGUGAAAUGUUAGAGAGGGCUCAUGCUAUUUCCUAUCAGAGGACUACCUUUGAACAGUAUGCCCAGCAAAGCAAGGGGUCAUCGGGAAAAAGAAAGUGGAAUGAUCCAAACAAGGACAGACGUAAUUGGUAGAGUAAAAGGCCAAACACAGGAGUUCGUAUUGGGGGAGCGAGUGAGAAUAUUACACCGUGUCCUAAGUGUAAUAAACUCCACAGGGGUGAAUGCUUACUCGGGAAGAACAUGUGUUUCCGAUGUGGUAAGCCAGGGCACAUUGCUCUCAACUGUACAGAGCCACCAAAAAGGAAGGAUGAUGAUCAGGACAAGAACAAGAAAGGAAAGGCCCGAGUUUUCACACUAAAUCAGCAUGAGGCGGAGCAGGAUCCGAAUGUGAUAGCGGGUACUAAAUUAUUAAUAUUUUAACGCACUUGCUUAUGUUCUUUUCACAUAGGACUACACAUUGUUCCAUCUCCGUCCCUUAAAUGUUAUUCUAACACUAUAAAUUAUAAAAACAUGUAUUCUGUUAUUAUCUGAUGUGCCUGCUUAUGUACUUUUUGAUUCUGGGGCUACCAAUUCUUUUAUCUCUGCAUCCUUCGUCGUUAAGUCCAACUUUGCAUGUGUAAGAACGAAUAAUGAACUAGAGGUUAGCAUCCCUUCAGGAAGAACUCUUUGUACAAAUUAGAUGACUAAGGACAUAAAAUUAGAGAUUGACGGAAAAAUAUUAGAGGCAGACUUGUACCUUUUGGAGAUGAAAGAUUUCGAUGUUAUUUUAGGCAUGGAUUGGUUGGGAAUUAAUCAUGCAACCAUUCGAUGUUACGAGAAAGAAGUAUUGUUUCAUAGACCAGGAGAGGAAGAGUUUCGUUUCUUGGGAGCAAAGUUCAAGUCUUUACCGCUCCUAAUAUCAGCUAUGCAAGCAGAAAAGAUGUGAAGGAAGGAGUCAUGCCAGGGAUUCUUAGUUAACAUCAAUAGUUCUCAACAUACAGAAAUGACCGUUAAUGAUAUUAACAUCGUCCGAGACUUUGCAGAUGUAUUCCCAGAAGAUUUGCCAGGCAUUCCACCAGAUAGACAAAUGGAAUUUACAAUUGAUUUAGUUCCUGGAACGGCACCAAUAUCUAAGGCCCCAUACCGAAUGGCACCGAAAGAACUACAAGAAUUGAAGUUGCAAUUAGAGGAGUUACUGGAGAAAGGCUUCAUACGACCAAGUGUAUCUCCUUGGGGAGCACCUGUACUUUUUGUCAAGAAGAAGGAUGGGAGUAUGAAGAUGUAUAUUGACUAUCGGGAAUUGUACCAUCUGACCAUAAAAAAUAAGUACCCACUGCCAAGAAUAGAAGAUUUGUUUGACCAGUUAAUGGGUGCUGCAGUAUUUUCAAAGAUCGACUUGAGGUCAGGGUAUCACCAGCUAAAAAUCAGGGCAAGCGAUAUACCGAAAACUGCUUUCAGGACUCGUUAUGGGCAUUAUGAAUUCACUGUCAUGCCUUUUGGUUUGACCAAUGCUCCAGCUGUAUUUAUAGAUCUCAUGAAUAGAGUAUUCCAUCAGCAUUUAGAUCAGUUCGUCAUAGUGUUUAUUGACGACAUACUUGUGUACUCAAAAGACAAGAAGCAACAUAAGGAACAACUUCGAAUUGUACUUGAAACUUUGAGGAAUGAGAAAUUAUAUGCCAAAUUCAAAAAGUGUGAAUUUUGGCUUGACCGUGUAGUUUUUUAGGUCACGUUGUUACCACCCAAGGAAUCGAAGUAGACCCCGCUAAAGUGAAAGCAGUAACAAAUUGGCUAAGGCCGAGCGAUGUGGGUGAAGUCCGCAGUUUCUUGGGAUUGGCUGGUUAUUAUAGAAGAUUCAUUGAAGGCUUCUCAAAGAUAGCAGGGCCAAUGACUCAAUUGACAAGAAAGGGUAUAAAGUUUCGGUGGACAGAAAAAUGUGAAAAAUGCUUUGAAGAACUCAAGUAGAGACUAGUGUCAGCUCCUGUAUUGACGAUACCUGAAGGUUCAGAGGGAUUUGUGAUUUACAGCGAUGCCUCCAAGCAGGGCUUGGGUUGUGUACUGAUGUGGCAUGGAAAAGUGGUUGCUUAUGCCUCGAGACAGUUGAAACAGUAUGAACAAAACUAUCCAAUGCAUGACUUGGAGCUUGCAGCAGUUGUUCACGCCUUAAAGAUAUGGCGUCAUUAUCUUUAUGGUGGGAAGUGUGAAAUUUAUACGGACCACAAGAGUCUCAAAUACUUUUUCACACAGAAGGAACUAAACAUGAGACAGAGGAGAUGGUUGGAGUUAGUGAAGGAUUAUGACUGCACAAUUCAUUACCAUCCGGGUAAGACUAAUGUAGUUGCAGAUGCCCUAAGCAGAAAGACAGGAACACAGUUAGCAGUUUUACCCACAGUACAGGAACACUUGAUAAGGGAGUUUGAUAAAUUGAGAUUGGAAGUUAUCACGCCGCCAACUCAGAUUUCAGGGAGAAUAAGAGCAUUCAUGAUUCAACCUACACUUCGAGAUCGAAUUAAGGAGGCACAGGAUAAAGAUCCAUUUUUAUAGAAGAUAAAGGCCAAGAUUGGUACAGAUAAACAUAUAGGGUUUGCAGUAUCUGCAGAUAAUGCGCUAACUUUCAAAGGAAGACUGUGUGUACCUAAGGAUGAAAGUAUAAGAAAUGAGAUAUUAGAAGAGGCUCAUUCAACCCCUUAUUCUGCUCAUCCAGGUGGUACGAAAAUGUACCGAGAUCUCCGGGAUGUAUUUUGGUGGAGAAAUAUGAAGAGAGGAAUUGGUCUGUUCGUGGAGAGAUGUAUUAUCUGUCAACAGGUUAGGGCAGAACAUCAAAGGCCAUCAGGAUUACUGAAAUCGUUGGAUAUUCCAGAAUGGAAAUGGGAACACAUAACGAUGGACUUUGUGGUAGGCCUCCCGAGAUCAGCAAAAGGUCACAAUGCUAUCUGGGUAGUGGUGGAUCGUCUGACGAAGUCAGCCCAUUUUCUUCCAAUUAAAGUAAACUUUAAUUUGGAACAGCUGGUACACUUAUACAUCAGGGAGAUAGUCAGGUUGCAUGGAGUCCCAGUCACCAUUGUUUCAGAUAGAGACCCGAGGUUCACAUCUAAAUUUUGGAAAAGUUUGCAGACAGCCAUGGGAACAAAACUGAAGUUUACCACAACUUAUCAUCCUCAGACGGAUGGACAAUCAGAAAGAACCAUCCAAACUUUGGAAGAUAUGCUAAGGGCAUGUGUUUUGGAUCUUGGAGGUAGUUGGGAGACACACCUGCCGUUAGUGGAGUUUGCUUACAACAAUAGUUUUCAGGCCACUAUAGGAAUGGCCCCGUAUGAAGCUCUUUAUGGUAGAAAGUGCAGAUCCCCUAUCCAUUGGGAUGAAGUCGGGGAAAACAGAAUUUUGGGUCCAGAAAUCAUUGAACGAACAGUUGAGGCAGUGGAUAAUAUUAGAGCAAGAAUAAAGGCCGCACAAGAUCGACAGAAAAGUUAUGCUGACAGUAGAAGAAAGGAUUUAAAAUUUCAAAGAGGUGACAAAGUCUUUCUAAAGGUAGCACCAAUGAAAGGUGUAUUGAGAUUUGGAAAGAAAGGAAAGUUGAGGCCGCGGUUCGUCGGACCUUUCGAAAUUCUUGAAAGGAUUGGUAGUUUGGCUUACAGACUUGCCUUGCCACCUGAACUAACAGCAGUGCAUAAUGUGUUCCAUGUUUCGAUGCUCAGAAAAUAUGUUCAUGAUCCCAAUCAUGUAGUAAGCUAUCAGACGUUGGAUGUACCAAAAGAUCUAUCAUAUGAAGAAAUUCCGACGGUAAUUUUGGAAAGAAAGGUACAUCAACUUAGGAAGAAAGGAGUUCCACUGGUCAAGGUGCAAUAGCGAAAUCAUGGACGAGAGGAAUCAACUUGGGAGAAAGAAGAAGAGCUUAGAACCAAGUAUCCAGAACUUUUCAAUUAACCAAGGUAAAUUUUCGAGGACUUAAAUAUUUAAGGAGGGGAGAUUGUAAUGUCCCCAAAUUUUCAUAGAUUAGAAUUUAAUUUAUGUGUGCUAUAUUUUAAUAUUUUGGAAGUUUAGUGACUAAAGUGUAUAUAAAGUAAAAUUUAAUCUUUUUGGGCUUAAAAUGUAAAUAUUGGCAGGUUAAUGAUUAAUAUAUGGAUAUUGGGCUCGUUGGAUAGAUCGUAAUUAAAGACGCAGUUUAGGCUCGAGAAAAAAUUUAUUUGGAUUAGUCGAGCGCAAGUUAUCGAAUCCGGAAGAUAUAACAUUAAAAUAUUAUUUUUAUUACUUUUGUUUUUGGAAGAAUUUACGUGGAGAGAGAGAUGAAAGUUGUUGAGAUAUUUUAUUGUUUUAUUAAUAAUAAUAAUAUUUUAUUAAGUGUUUUGAAUUGGGAGGUCUCACGUGAAGUACUAGGAUUCUAAGUAGGUGGUAGGUAAGUGAUAAUUGAUUUGUUUAUUAAAUGAAAUAAAGUAGAGAGAGAGAGAGAGAAUUAUGGGGAGCCCCAACCACGUGAGUGGUUGUUUGGAAACCAAAUGGACGUGUAGGGUAAUGUUUGGCUGUUGGGUGAUUGGUUAGUUGACAGUACAUGAUCCUAUAUUGAUAAGGUUUGGGUCUCCUAUUUUGUUUCAAAAACAGUUUUUUUUUUUUACUUUAUCUAAAUAUCCACUCUCCCACACGUUUUCCUAUGAAUACUACUGCAUAUGUAUAUGGAAUGAACUGCACGAGAAUAAGGACACAAAAAAUAUAUUGGUACGCGCACACAGUGUCAAUAGAGGCAGAAAAAUAUAGAAGAAAAGAACGUGAUUUUAUUAUUUGACUUCCGGAAAUUAAAUCAAGGUAGGAUUACGAGGUGCAAGUGGGUUGUCCCAUUUAAAUUAUUUUCUUCAUGUUUGAUAAAUAUUAUACUUAUGAAAGUUAUGAUAUGUAUAAUGUAAUUAUGAUAUAUAUGUUAUGGCCAUCCGGUACCAAAGAUAUAAUAUGAUAUGAGCUCUUAUCGGUUUUAAAGAUAUGAUAUGACGGUAUGAUAUUUUGACGCGUGAUUUAAUAUUUUAAUUGGGAUUGCACAAUUUCUCGUACCCUACUGAGUAUUCUCAUAUACUCACCAUUUUCCUAUUCCUCACAGGUUAGAUUGGGUCGUGUUGGAGCGUGGUGGUUCGAAGGUGUGGUUGUGUCUUGUUUCGCCAAAUAAAAAUCUAAGUUAGCACGUAAUGUUUAUUUAUUUUCAAUUUAUUUCAAUAAACAUUUAUUUAUUUACGAAUAAAUUCUCGUUCUUGUUAGUUGCAGAUGAAUAUACGUAUUUUAUGAUUUUCAAAUAGAAGUUUGAACUAAAUGUUAUUUUCCUUCCUAUCGAUUUGCAAAUCUGUACUUUCGUAUACGUUGGGAAGAAAGAAUUUAAUAGUUUGCAUGCCUAUGUUUGUACUUUACUUUGAUUUUCCCCAAAUUGAUGGAAAUUUAAGGUCAACACAAUGAUUCCCUGCCACCCCCACCCCCUCAUUUGUGUCCCAUCACAUCCAUAGCAUUAAUUAUGAUAUGAAUUUGAUAGUUUUUGCUUGUACGUGUUAGUCAUGAAUCAAUGUCUUGUUCGUAGCAUUUUUUUUGACAUAAAUGAAUUUUGUUUUGGAUUUUUUUUCUUUAAUUGCAGUAAAUAAACAUUCUGUGGGUUAUUUAAUUCCAUCCGUUGCCUUUGACUUAAUUAAGUAACUAAUUGAAAUUAUGCACUAAUUAGGGGGAAAUAUUGUGUUAUGAACCACUGUAUUAAUUAUGCCAGGAGUUAGAAAAUUCAUGUUUGUCUGCCACACCCGUGUCAAAUUCGUUUUAAUUCAUAAGUCUUAGAUAUAAAUUUAUUGGAUCUCCCGAAAUACAUAGGAAUAAGAUGUUAUUUUAAUUUGACUUGAGUGUUCAACACGUGAAGAUGAUCGAUAAUUGGAGAUUCAAUGAAAGCAAUAUUUUUUUAGAAUUCAUUAUACAUGAUUAAAUACAUAUAUAUCUAAUAAUUUGUUUUUAAGUUCUUCCAUGCGUUUUAUUUAUUUUAUAGGUGGAACUAGAAAGAUUUUCAUGUUGGAUGUUUAUUAUUUUAAUUAUUUAUGGAAUGAAAGGUUUGGUAACGAUUUCUAAAUCUAUAUAAGAUUUGGGUCGUUACAGUUUUAACCAGGUAAUAACAUGAAAAAUCCUUGGGGACGUUCACUGUUUGACCACUCUCCAAUUGAUUCUAGGUAUGAAUUGAAUGUUAUUCUUUUAUCAUAAUUACGAGUCAUCUUGCUUCAUGUUAUGAAAUGUAUAAGCAUGUUUACCUCUCGUAGUUUAUUAGUUGAACUAUUUUACAUUUUAUAUGAAUAUUGUUUAUGUUGGGAAUCUACUUAUACAUGCACAGUGGAAAAUUAAAAUUAUUUUGAUUCCCACCGAGAAUCCCUUUGUGUUUAGAUAGAAAUCGUGAUAAGAUUGUACCUUUUCAAAUCUGAAAAUUUCUUUACUAUUAUUUUCGUUCCAACAAUCUUGAUUCGCCACCUACAGCUGUCCAAUUGUCCAGCCUCCAACGGUGAUCCACACAAAGAAUAAGAUUGCAGCUAAUAGGGUUUUCUCUCUUGUGCCAGCAAGAAUAAUGAAAAUCAUAUAGACCUCAAACCCUAACCAUGUAUUUAUAUACACCCAAAUGGGCUCGGCCCGAUCCGGUCCAAUAUUUAAUUAAUCCAUUUAAUUAAACCCGAUCUGUGAAUUAAUUAAUCCAAUUUAUUAAUUUAUACAAUGAUGUUAAAUUAACUAAUUGACAAUUUUCAAUCUUCCAAUUCUUUUUUGUGUGUGACCCAUUAGGUUCCCGACCACGAUGUCUAACGACGUGAAAUAUUAUUUUGAUCUAAUCAAAAUUGAUAAAUUAAAACACUCUUUUAAUUUAUCGUCAAUUCACACUCGCCGUCCCUGAUUGACAUCUAGCAAUGUGUCAGGGCAAUACAUGUGACGAAAAAUGUCACGUGGUAUGACAAAAUCAAAUUCGUUCGUUUACCGUGAAACUAUAAUCCCUUCGUCAAUAUGAUCCGAUCAAUUACGAGAUAUGGAAGUGUGUCAAUCUCGAUCAUCGAUCAUAUCUUUCACUCCACUAUUAAGUCAAUAUAAGUCGAAAACUCAUUUUCGACUUAUGAAUACACCUUGGCCAAGGAUUUCAUCAUCGACUUAAUUGAAUGAAACACAGAUCAUAAUCUCCUACAAUCUAAGAGUGACAAAUCCUUUAUUGAUUAAUCACAACCUUCAUACGAUUCUUGACGUACCCGAACGAUAUCGUAUUAGCGGCCUUUUUCAGAGCAACAUCCAACACUGUCAAAGUAUGACUAUCCUCAUGUAAGGUACCAUGACGACAUCAAGUCAAAGGACCAAUUCCAUUACCGAACGUUAGAGAUUAACCACUGACACUUAGAUAGUUAUCCAUGUGGAAUCUCUUGGCGGGUCUCCAAAGUUUUGUUCUAUAACAAAACAUCCACGUGUUCAUUUAAGUGUCACCACACUUUAGCUUGCGAGAUCAGCUACUUACUUUACAAGUAAGAAAUGUCACACGUAAUGAUCUAUCCAUAAUAACGAUAUCCGUAUCUCGUUAUUACUUACGACCACGGAUGAUUUAAGAUUCAAUCAGAUGUAAUUUAUAUCUCACAAUCACAACUCCUUGAUUAACAAAUUACGAAUAUUUGAAUCUACGGACUCUAUUAUUUAUUUAAUUGCCUAUUAAUUAAAUAAUAGAUCUGUCAUUAAAUUGCAUUAAUUAUAUAUCAAAAGUAUUUAUGUCCAAAGUUGAUUGGACUUAGGGCAUAAUACUUACAGUUUAUUCGAGCAUAGAAUGAAAUAAAUUGUCAUUGAAAAAUUAAGCAUAAUUAAAUUUAUACAUUUCACACAUGGUUAAGACUAGACAAAUAUAGUUGAACGAAUAGAAUGGCUAGAAAGAAUAUGAUUUACACAAGUACCUUAGGACCUAUGAUUGUAGCUAUUUGAGAGUAUGAGUACUUUGUGUCAAAUAUGGCCAUGACAAGUUAAAUGCAAAAUUUAAUACAAGGAAUUGAGAAUGGACCAAGAAAAAUCGGAAGGAAUAUUUAAUUAUUUUCAUUCAACCGAUGUAGUAGAGGUUUGCAAUUCAUUGAGUUUCAUUCAAUCAAUGUAGAAGAGAGAUUGUUGUGUUUAAUAUUUCUAAGACAAAAUUUUGUUUUGUAUAAAGAAAAUUUCGAAACAACAAAAUCAAGUUACAAUCAUCAGUGAUCUGUUAAGAGUUGUAUAGGAUCUUGAUAGACAAUAAGCACAGACUGACCUUCAAAUUGCAUCGAUCAAUGCUAACAACACAACUCAAUUGUUGAACAGUUCCACCGUUAUGAGCCCUCAGUUUCCGAUGGCAAAGUAGACUCACUGGCAACUGAAGAAUGGAUAAUCUUCAACAUCUCUCAUCCAAUGAUGCUCUGAAAGUAUCAUGUAAAGUGUUCACGUUGGUUGAUGUAGUGGGCUAUUGGUUGGAAUUUGGCUCAAGCACUAGAACUAAGGCAUGCAACAAGUUUUGACUAGGAUACAAUUCAAAGAAGUGAUAGAAAAAUACUUUCUACAAGCCCUAAAAGAUCAAAAGGAGGUAGAGUUUCUAAAACUUAACAAGGAAAAGUGAAGCUUGAGGAAUAUGAGAGAAAGUUCGAAUAGCUCUCUAGGCACGCACUGCACCUGGUAGAUACCAAGGCAAAAAGCGAGGAUGUUCGAACUAGGAUUGCAUCCAAAGAUUGGUAGAAUAAUGACCUCCCACCAAUUAACCACAUACAAUUAGGUUUUGCAAACUGCUCAAGCAAUCUCAAAUAAAUUAGAGAUUGACCAAACUUUUCAACAAGAGUUUUGAAGAAAGUGAAAAUGAAAUGGGUCCAACAAAGAGAAAAGGGAUGGACAAAACAAGAAAUUCAACAUAGUAUGGAGUUCAUAACAAGUUGUUACACUCUGUCCUAGUGCAAUAAGAUGCAUAGGAGUGAGUGUAUAUGGGAGUAAUAUGUGUUACCGAUGCGACGAAGCAGGCCAUGUUGCUAAAAACUGUAAAGAAGCCCCCUCGAAGAGAAAUGAUGAGCAAGGCAAGAAAGCGAAAGCUAGAGUUUUUGCCUUAACUCAAGACAAGGCAAUGGAGGAUUUGAACAUGAUGGCAGACAUUUUUUUUAUACGUGGAAUUCCUGCUUAUGUUCUUUUAGGCUAUGGAGCCACUCUUCCAUUCACUUUUGCUGCCUUUAUUAAUAAGUCACUUAUUACAUGUGAAGAAUUCGAUAGUGUUCUAAAAGUUACUAUCUCAUUGGACAAACCUUUGAAUACCAAUAAGAAAACUAAAGCGAUUAAAGGACUGGGUGUUCAAAGUCGUUUAUCUUAUGAGAAGGCUCUAACAGCUAUUUUUGCAAGGAAGAUACACAAAUCGAGAAAUAAAGAAAUUGUAUUAGUUAAGGUCCAAUGGUAGAAUUCUGGAAUAAAAUAGUCUACUUAGGAGAGAGAAGAUAUCAAGGUCAAGUACAUGGAAACCUUCAACUAGUUAAUGUAAUUUCUAGGACGAAUUCAUUUGAAGAAUGAGAGAUUGUAAUGCUCCAAAAUUUUAUAAAAUGAAAUUAUUUGGUGCUAAUGAUUUUGAUCUAGAUUCCCUUUUUAUAAUUUUGGGAAAUUGAACGAUUAAAGUGAAAUAGUAUUAAAUUCAAUUUUAUUUGGGGCAAAUAAUUAAAUAUUGAUGGCGAAGAUAAGUAUAUCAAUACUUGGCUUGUCUUGUAGUUCGUAUUAAAAAACGCGUCGUGGACUCGAGAAGAGUUAAUUCGGAUAAGUUAAGCCCUAGUUAUUGAAGUUUAAAGAAAUUAUCAUCAGCUAAUAAUUAAUUAAGUUGGUUUAUGAUUUAAUUUUUAUCGCAGUCUCGGUUCAAUUGUAGAAUAAAUUGUAUUACUAAUUUGAUAAAUGUUAUUUAAUUAAGUUUAGUUAAUGACUUAUCAAGUUGGAAGCCACGUGUGAGUAGAUUAUUAGAGUAUUUUUUUUUUCCUUUUUUAGAUUGGGAGGAAAACUAAUUCUAAUCCUAAUUUUAUUAGAUUUUCAUUGAUUACUGGUUUAGUUCAAUUAAAAAACUGGAAUCCUACUUUCAAAAAAAAAUCUCAAAUUUUACCUAUUUAUACCCCCCAACAUUGAACCCAAUUUGCAUUACUUAGAUAUUAUUUUCAAAGCAUACAUGCACCCAUUUAUUUACAGAAGCAGAGAGUUUGAGAAAAAGUUUUGGAAUGUGCAAUCAUAUAUUUUUUUUUUCAAAAAUUCGUUUGAUCUAUCCAGGUAAGAUACAUAACAUGUAAGUGGUUUGAUUCCUUAUAACUUUAUUUGUGUAUAUAUAUAUAUAUAUAUAUAUAUAUAUAUAUUAUUAGUGGACCUUCGAAUUCGACCUAAAAAUGCCUUUUUAGUUCUUUAUAACGAAAUGUGAAAUCUUUCCAGAAUUCAAAAUUACUAUGUGAUGAGUGUCACGUUUGAUCACCGAGUUACGUUAAAUGAAAUUUGGUAUGAAGUGUCUAUUUUAUUGUUAUAUAAUUGUUUAUAAAAACUGCAUCUUAUUGGGUAUUGUCAAAUACUCAUGUAACAACCCGGUCUUUAUGCCAAAUCCGUUAACUUAUGUACUGUACAAUUUGUGAGAGCUUGAAUUUAUCUUACCUCUUACGAAUUUCUGUCGAGUCCCCAAAAUUCAAACAUAUGACAAUCACCUUAUGAGAGAUUUUAAUUUGAAUUAUAGUACCAAUUGAGCAAGUUGUUUAAUAAGUACCUGGAUUCAACUUAAAUUUCUCAUAAGGUGGAGGUAUUGGGUUCAAAAUUUGACGAUAGAAAGUCAAGAGGGAUAAGAUGGAUUUAGCUCUCCCAAAGCGAACAGUAUGUAAGUUAAUGAUUUAGAUACAGUGAGAGAUUGAAAAUAAGUUUGGAGGUAUGCAUUCAACAAGAAAAUGAGACAGUUGUCCAUUAAGGGUAAAAAAUAAUCAACCUAAAUGAUUAUAGUGAUUGAAUUGACUAUGAACACACACAUCGAUCGAGUAUUAAAUAAGUAUAAAUUUAUUUUGGUGGCAUUGCUUAUGAGACUUAUUUGAAUUGUCAAACAAUUUCAGUACUUAGGACGAAUACAACAUGCUAUCUAAUACUUUGACGUUUAUGUUUCAUUGCUUAUAUGCUCGCGAUGGAUAAGAGUUUAAGUUUGGGAUAUUUCAUAGGCAUAUUUUAUAAACGUCUUUAGUCUUUUAAACUCAAUUAUGGAUAAUUGAAAGGAUGUCUAUCUAAUUUAGUAAAUAUAUUAAUUUUAGGUAAAAUUUGACAUGAAUACAAUUAAUGCAAGAAAGGCAAUUUUUAACUUAAAUGGAGUUGAUUUGGAGCAAUUAAAGUAAUCGAAUUGCACGUGAUCAAUUAUAAGUAUUAAGAGGCAAUCCUAAGAAACUCAUAAGUUUUGUGAGUAAAGUUUGACAUUUGAAAAGUUUGGGAACUCUAUUGUAAACUUUCAAUACUUUUAACGGAUCAAUUAUGAAAGAGAAAUGAUGAUGAUGAUGAUGAUCAAAGUAUAAAGAUUUAAAGAUGAAGGAUCCAUGAUGAAUAAAGAAUGACUCGAGCAUUACCAAGAGGAAGAUUCAGGGAACAAUUUGAAAGAAAGGCAAACAUUGAUCUUGCAAACGCAAGAUUGAUGGAUGCGAUCGCAAGGCUGCUUAAAUUAAUUCAAACAAGUAAAAAUGAAAUAAUGUACGAUCAAAAUGGUUAAUACCAUCAAUCACAUGGAAUUAACAGACUAGGAUUUUUUUUUUUUUUUUCGAAUUUCAUUUAACCUCAUUUUGGAAAGCAAUUAGGAUAGAAUUUACACCUAAUUCCUGGGGCAAUAUAGACAACCUUUCAUCUGUUGUAAAAAGAAGAGGCUUUUGGGAUACAACAAACAUAUAUCUUACAAAGAAGAAGCCUUACAGAUAGAACAUAGAUAUUUCUCGCAUACUUUGAGUGAACUUUUUAUACAAAACACAUAUUUCAUACAUCUUCACUUGGGUUUGAAGAAGAAGAAGAAGAAGAAGAAGAAGAAGAAGAAGAAGAAGAAGAAGAAGAAGAAGAAGAAGAAUAUAUUCAAGGAGAUUGAUCAAGAACCAUUGAAAGGAUUCAAAAUUGUUUUCCAUCUUUCUUCUACCUUUAAUUUCGGGAAAUGAUGUAAUGAUUCAAUUCAUAUUUUUGUAUUACUAUGAUGCUCAGUUAAAUGUAUAGAUGAUAUGAUAAUGAUAAACCCUAUAUUUUGAUACAUUUAUAUUGAAAUCGAAAAUCCAUGAUUUGAAUUGAUGUCAUUUCAUUGAUUCCUUCUAAAUUGCGUUGGAUUUCACUUGACUGUCUAUGGUUCCAUUGUUUGUGCUCGAGGUAAAAGUUUUGUAUAAAUAUAUCACCAUGCUAUUAAGUAUUUUGAUUUAAGAUCUUUUAUUUCUAAGAGGUGGAAUAGAAUAACCCGGUGACCGAGAGAUAACUAUCGAGUAUUUGGACUAUCCGGACACAAACUUCGGGAAAUGGUUCAUGCGUGUUAAGUUUCAAAUAUUGACAUUUAAAUGUUUGUAUGGUUUUGAACGCUUCUUAUUGUCUUCAUGCUUUUUCAAUUACAAGGCCAUGAAUUGAAUUAAUAUAAUUUCUAUUGUCAUUUGAAAGAAGGAAAAUACAGCACAUGGUAACAAUCAUUGUAAAGUCCUAUAGACUUUUCCUAUGCUUUGUAUGAUCUCAUUGAUGUUCUUGUAAUUGAUUGUAUGAUCUCAUUGAAUAUUUUUUUGAUUGAAUGUAUCUUCAUAUAUUCGCGUCCAAGAUAUGAAUAUUUCAUGUCAUGUAUGAGAUAGAUUUAAUUUUUAUCAGGAGAGGUUAUUGAAUAAAAUAUGAGCACUGAUAUACGAGUCCAAAUAAAUGUUAACCAAUUAUGAGAUUGAUAUUAAGAUGGAAGGAUAUACGAGGAUUUGAUGUCCCGGUGACUUAUUGUUUAAUUGAGCCCCCGGUGGCACAGUAUGCCUUCGAUAUUAAGAUGGAAGGAUAUACGAGGAUUCGAUGUCCCGGUGGCUUAUUGUUAAUUGAGUUUAUACGCGCUUCCCAUUUAGUUAAUUAGAUCAAUUAGUUAAUUUUAGGUAUGAUCGGUAAAUAUAAUCAAUCUCAUCUUAAUUGUGAUAUUCGAUUAAAGUUCUCAUUAAUUGGAAUUUAAUUAAAUACUUAGUACUCGUGGAAUUAAUAUGUGAACCAAGAUCGACUUUAAUGUUUGUUUAUGACAUUGUUCAUAGUGGUAUUUUAGCACAGCAAACACAAUUAUUAGUUUAAUCUUUUGGAGAUAAAACAUCUUAAAAUAUAAGGCUAAUUUAGGGAGCCUUUAAAACAUUUCCUCUCCCUCUCUCUCACACACACGCAUAGGUGACUAUAUGCAAAUCUACAUGGGCUGUACUUGCUGUACAUGCAGUUCGAGCUAGACUGUACAAGCAGCUCAACCCAAUCUAUAAAUACAUUUUUUGCUCACUCUAACAAAAAUUGAUAGGCACCAAGAUUAUUAGACUAAGAAAAAUGAUUAGGAUGGUUGAUAGUACGAUGAUUAAGUCAACUAUUAGUAAAAGCUAUAUGGAGAAUUGUGUGUGGGAGAAAUAAAUAGGGAGAGAUUUGGCUAGAAUUCAAAGAAUGUGUAACUUUUUCUUUACACGUCCAUGAAUAUUUAUAGGGACAGAGUUAUAAUGGAAUUAGGUUAAAAUAUUGCAACCCCUAAUUCUACAUGGUGUGUUGUGAUUGAGCAUAGAGUUUUGAAUGAAGUAUGGUAUGUUUCCUUUGUCGGGUUUACUUCCUUGUAAGGCUAAGUUUCCUUAUAGAGAUUGAUUUUCCAUGAUCUUUUCUAAUUCCUCGGCAUCCUCUCCUUAUUUUAACAGAUUGACAAGGCUAUAAAUUUUAGAAUCGAUAAAAUUGUCUCAUUCCAAGAUUUAUCCCAAUAUUGAUUUUAUCUCCAUGUUUCAUGGAUCCUUUGACAUCAACAAGGUAUGGGUCUCAUCCAAAGGCAAUAGGUCACUAGGCCCAUUAGAGCCACAUCCUCCCAUCUCGACACGAGGGGUUCAAUUCGAAGACUAUCACCACUAUCCAUUACUAUGAAUAUUGUAAGAGCUGAUGGGAUAUUUCAUACGAGGCUUGUGACUUGAUUCUUUUGUGCAGGCGAAGACCAUAGGAAAACAUGUAGCAUGUUGGCUCUUGCUCAUGUGGUGUUCGUAAGUCCUCUUGACUUCCAAGUGUACCCAGGAUGUAACAGUGGUCUCUCAAGUUCAAUUUUGUUAUUUAUACUAGGCUUGUGGCUUAUUAGUUUGCUUGUGUUACGAAAAUUUGAAAGUGAAAGGCUUGUGAUGCAGUUGGGCCUCGUUGCUCUUUGGCUAAGAUUGAAUUUAUGCCCAAAAGAAUUUCACUGGCCUUUGCUUACCAUGAUGGUGGUGUGGCGAAGAUGUCUUGACAAAUGCCUCUUGGCCAAGCUAUAACAUCGAAGUAUAACAACUUCGUUUUGAAUACCGUUGUAGAUUUUCCUAUUCCGAUAUAUAAUGUUCAUUUUGAUAUUUAAACCUCUUGUUAUAGUAAAUUCAUUAUUGUCGUUAUAGUGAAAGAUUUACGCAAUUGUCAAACUCUAUUUCUCGCACAUUUUAUUUAUUUCUAAAUUUACUAUGACAUAUUGAGAUUAAUGACUUUUUUACAAAGAUCGGUAGUCUAAUCUUAAUGACACAAAAGAUAGAAAAGAAAUUUCCUUUUUCUUAAAAUCCACCAAUCCAAUAUAACUAGAUCAACCCUUCAAGUUCGCAUUAUUUGAAAAUAGUGCCACAAAGUUACUUUUUUCAAUUGUACUCGAGGAAAAUAAAAAAUAAUAAAAUAAUGAUAUUUAUUUAUUCAUUUGACUCUUUAAUUGCAUAUGCAAAAUUAAUUAAAGUUAAUCUUGUUUCCCAAGCUUUUGGUAAUUCAUUCUUUCUUCACAAUUGUCAUUGUCUUAGAAUAAUCUUUCCCUACGAACCGUCAAACCAAGCACGUAUUCCCUGAUCUCACGGAUUUCUUCGGGUAACACUUUACAGCCUCAUAUUUAGACUUUUCGUCGGCUAUAUAUUAUUAAUAACUACAGAUUACAUUUACAAUUUUUAAUUAUAAUUAUUAUACGUUUUUUUUCUUCAGAAGGCUGCUAAAAAAUACAUAAUAGUGGGUACAAGUAAUAUAUUGAGGUUUCAAAUGAUUUUAGGCCACCGUCAACGCAGAAUGAACUAAUUCUUAACCAGCAAUUCGAAAUUAAACUGAAUGGAAAUUUUACUUUCGAAAAAUCUUGGUGAAAAUCAAAGAGAAUUAUGUUCAUUUUUCUCUCGUCUCUUGCUCUUUUAAAAUAUUUUGUCAAGAUCGAAUGAUUAUUAUAAAUUGAAAUAUUGUAAGGUCAAUGUAUAAGAAUCUCAAUAAUAUAAACGAUCUUUUUUUUCCCUUAUCUAAUAUAAUACGAUUAUAUAUCCGUGAAAAAUUAUCCAACAAAUUUUUUAUGCGAAAAAAAUAUAAUUUUAUUAAUUGACUUGUUGAAAUGAAUUACGCAUGCAUAUAUCUAUCUUGUGCUUGAAGGAAAAGUCGCGCAUUUGCGUGUAAACUACUUAUUUUGUUAUUAAAAGUACAAUCUAACAUAAACUACGUCAGCAGAAACUUUGAGAAAAAAAAUCAGAAAUAUUUACAACAAAGGCUCCAAAUCUAUAGGAUAGCAACAUGUUGAUCCCCAACCUAGAAAUGAGCAAUAUAAUCCUCAAACUUUCAAAAUAAGUGCAAACCUAGUCCUAACAUAUAGAAAAAAUAAUAAUAAUAUUCAUCUAGAAUCCAGAUAAUCAUCUGUCAUUUUUAGAUAAUUCUAUGCAUGGGACAAUGCAGUAGUAGUUUCACUAUAAAUGAAUAUUUCUAGUCUCUUCAAGAAUACUCUUACUCAUAUGGAAAUAAUGUAUCUUAUUUAGGAUUAACAAUGCGAUAAGUCGAGCUCGUUGACCAAGGGACUACACUUCGCUUGGCCCAUGGGCCUUGCCUAUGAUGAGCCGUGCCAACCUACAAGCUUUUUGAUUUUCUUGGUUCAUUAAUCUAAUUUAUUUAACUUAAAUGUGAGUUAAAAAAAAAAGGAAACUCUAACAUAAUUAAAUAACAAUGCAAGGAAAAUAUGACACAAUCGCAAAGUUCAUGUACCCAAUGCUUUACUUGCAAACGUCGACUCGACUCAUUUACUUGUUGUAGAACAAGACUAGCAGAACAGUUGAGCAGUCGAUUUUCUUUUGGUUAUGGACUUUCCGGUUGUAGGGUGAAGGUAUGACAAGGGAAUUCCAUGCUUUUAAGAAGCUUUGUUCUAAGCCUCGGGAUGAAAUUCGAAUCUCACUCAAAUAGGGCAGGUGAAGGAAAAAGAUCUCUUAUACGACCACGCUCUAAGCUAAGUUUAUCAUUGGAUCACUCUUGAUAUACGAAUUUACUAGAGAUAUCAUCCAAUUCGAUUGAAGUAAGGAAAAUACAAAUAGAAAUAGAAAUCAAAAGAAUUAGAAUUAGUUUUGUGAAAAGUGAAUCCAAACAAUUGUGAACCACUCAUUGCCAACCUAAUCCUGUUUUUAAUUGUUCACGAUAAGACAAAAGGGGGCAGUUAUCAUGCCUCGAUAUGCACCUAUUCAAAAAGGUUGAGGACUAUAGUCCCACUACCGCUAUUUAUACGGAUCCAUUUAUGCAAUUUUCUUGAAAAAAUCAGAAAAUUUGUGAAGUGUCAUCAGUAGCGGCAGGUUUGCCAACAAUAAAUCCUGUCUACCAUUUCUUCUCUCCUCUCUAUAAAUAUAACACCCUACAUAUCUGCUUUCCUUUGUCCAUUAGAAUAUACAGAAACUAAACUCAAUGGAAAUGGAAGUGAUUAUCUCUGUAAACAAAAUGGAUUUUGACUUUAACAGUCCACAUGUCAGUGCACCUUCGACGCCCAAGCGUUUUGGGGAAUUCUAUUGCAGCGCUCCGACAAGUCCGACGCAUUUGGCGCAGUUUUAUCGUGAUUUUGAUGAUUUCUCGAACAGAGCCAGCGGAGUCACAUCGAGGGUGCCGUUUGGUUCCCCUAAGAAUGAAGGUGAUUUUGCUUUUGAUAUUGGUGAGGAGUCAUCGGAAAAGGAGUCUCUUUCGGCGGAGGAACUGUUUGACGGCGGCGUAAUUAAGCACCUAAAGACCCCAUCGCGGCUGCAAGCUUCCACCGGAGCAAGAAUUAAGGGUGAUUACUCACCAAGGCAUAAGAAAGAGGACGACCCUUUUGCAAUCUCUUCUCAAAGCGCCACGGCGGAGCACAGUCACAGAAGAGGAAGAGAGAGAGCUCCUGCAGCAGGUUUAUCUUCAUCAAGCCGAAGAGCAACGCGUUCACUUUCUCCUGCGAGAGAUUCUGAUCAAAAUUCACGGGAUCAAGAAGAGAAAAAACAGCACAAUACAAAGAUUUUGUGCUCAUCUUCAUCCUCAAAAUGUCACAGAAAAUGGAGAUUGAAGGACUUUUUCUUGUUCCGAAGUGCAUCUGAAGGACGAGCAGCAGAUAAAGAUCCUUUAAGGAAAUACACAGCAGGGUUCAGAAAAUCAUAUGAAGAUGCUAAGAAUCCGAAUUUCCGGAGAAUGGAUAGCCAGGAUUCUGGAUCAAAUUCAAGUAGAAGAGGAAAAGUUUCAGCUCAUGAAUUGCAUUACACAACAAAUCGUGCAGUUUCUGAAGAUUUGAAGAAGAAAACCUUCUUGCCAUACAAGCAAGGCAUUCUGGGGCGCCUUUCAUUUAAUCCUGCCGCCCAUGCACUGGCUAAUGGUUUCGGGUUUUCUCGUAAAUGAAUAUUCGUCCGGUACAGUUGAGGACGGCAUUGUGAGAAGGAAUAAUUCUCUGCUAAUUAUAAUCUUUUUUUAUUUUUUUUUAAUGUUUUGGAUAGGUAUUUUUUUUCAGAUUUUGGUCAUGAGAUGUAUAAAAAUAAAAUUUACACAUUGAAGCAUCAUAUCUUAUUGUGGAAUUAUUUAUCAAUGUACUAAAUUUUAUUGAUCCUAAAAAAUUUAGGGUCUACUAGAUAAAAUCUUGUUUCAUUACUUCUUUUAGCUAAUUGCUAUGUAGCUGUUCAAAAACAACUAUUCAACGGAAUAUAUUCUACGUUAUGGAUGAUUUCUAUUCUUUGUUUGAUGAAAGACGGAAAAAGACAUCGAUCAUAGAAGGUGACAAUUCAAAAGUUUGAGACAAGCAAUUCGAGACGACUCUUCUUUCUGAACAACGUCUGAGUUAUGGGGAUAUUUAUUGAUAUUUUAAUAUUUAAAACCUUUAAGAAACGUAUUACGAAUUCCGGAAAAUAAACCCAUGGACAAAAAUGAAGAGAGAGAGAGAGAGAGACUAGCGUGCAUUGUGGACUAUCAAUUUCUUUAAUCUAGAAGACAAUUUUUAGGGCGGUCCAUUUGUCGCAUUUUACUCUUUGGUGAAAUCAGAAAUGAAAUGGAAUAUAAACAACAAUUCAUGCAUGAUAUAAAGUUCGACAUUUUUCUAUGUGGCAGUAAGAUAUACCUUGAUUUUAAACAUAUCCAUCCCAUUGCUAGCCAAAUUUUCUCCAUUGACAGGAUAUCAUGUAGGAAAAUUUGUUACCUUUUUAAUCACAAGAUCUUUCGUGUUGAAUAAUCAAGAAUAUAUAAACUACUAUAAAACCUGAAUUAGAAAUGAUUAAUACAAUAGUUGAAUCUUGCGGUUUAUUCUUCCAAAUCAACACACAGACCUUAAUUCUUUAUAAUGAUGGGAGGCAGAACAGAAUGAGCAAUUCACAUGUGAUUUGAAAACCAUAACUGUAUUUAUAUAUAUUGUCGCCAUUUGACCUAAUUCGACCUAUCAUAGAAUUAGGAACCUGACUCAGUUUUUACCCAUAAAAUAUCCACCCUUUAAUUGGAUGUAUUAAAAUUCAAAAUACUGGAAACUUAUUAGAUCACUUUAACUAGGCUUAACCAAAUUUUAUAGCCUUUAAUUUGAUGCACAAUAAUUUACAUAUAUAAACCCACACGGUCAUUUAAAAUUCCUUACAUAUCAAACUUGUUUUCAACCAAAAAUAUACAUCUAAUUUUAUUUUAUAAAUACGAAAAGAACUAGAGAAUUGAAAUGAAACAUAAGCUAUUGUUUGACAAACAUUAUUUAAAAACUUCUUUUUUUUUUUGUACAUAUUCAUUUUUAAUUACACAUUUACAUUAUAAAAUAUUAUGCAUGUAAACUCAAUAUUUUUUCAUACUUUCUAACUGCACAUUCUCCUAAAAAUUAUUUUUUUCCAAAUGAUGAUUGUCAAAUAGAAGACUAAUUAAAUUGUUCCUUGUACAUGACCAAAAUGGAAUUAUAACUUGCUUUUUGUAUAAAUAAACCAUCAACUUUAUUUUUGAAUUGGAAAUGUUAAAUACCUAUGUUGAUGUAAUUUCCACUUCUUUACUCUUCUUUUUUUCUUUCUUUCUUUUCCCCUUUUUCAAAAAAAUAAUUUGGUUGCCCAAUUCUUUGUGCAGAACUGUUUCUCCUACUUAUAAAUUUGAUACACUUAUUUAUUAAAUAAUCGUGACAUUUAAUUUAAGUAAAUUCAACGCUCAAUAUUUUAUGGAUCUCAAACAGUUAUAACAAACUCUCCCAUGAUUUUAGUGAAAUACAUAUUAAGUGUUGGAUUGAUUUAUAUUAAAGGUCAUGAUUAUUUGUUAAAUAAGUGUGUCAAAUUUAUGACUAUUAGGAAUUUGGAAUGUUCUCGUUCUUUGUGCUCUCUUUGUCCGUGUAAUUUGCAACCCAUGUAUCAUAAAUAAUUCUCAUAUACGAAUCAUAAUUGAUUGCCUAUUUGCGUUAUAUGUCCCCUAAUUACUAGCAUUCGUUUUCUUUCUUAAUUUAUAUAAAGAUUCAUUUCCCUAAUAAAUCAAUAAAAAAAAUGAAAUCUUUUACAUUAUUGCAUCAUUUCAUCGCUAAACAGUAGUUCCUUUUCCUUUUCCUAAUAGGACUUUUCUAUUUCACAUAUUUGGGUCGAAUCCAACAAUUUCCAGUUGAUCCAAAACCUCCCAAUCACAGCAUACAUUGACAUUGAUUAUACCACCAAUUUACCACUGUUCUUCAAAUAAUUGUAGUAGACGAGAAAAUUCAUCAAACUGUUAUAAAUUAGAGAAAAAAGAGAAAAAAAAGUAGAAGUUAAUUGACUUGUGUAUUUUAUUAAGAACCAAAAUCACAUAUAUCUAGAGAGAAUAAUUAGGAACACAAUGGUAAUAAAAACUAGGGCUACAAGGGUCUAAUUUUCAUCCACUAAUAAUCAUAUUAUUUAUAACACCCCCUUUCAUUGUUACAUUACAAAAUAUUUGCAUCGUCAAAACAUUGUCAAAAAAAUCUAGUGGGACAAAAUUUGAUCGAAGGAAAAAGAGUACAAUUACUCCCAUUGAUUUCAAUUCUUGUAUCAAUUCAUUAUUGUCUUAUAAAUCAGUAUUUUUAAAAUUGCAAAUUUUGGUUAAAUAUAUCUCAUGUUGUCUUGUAGGUAUUCAAACAAUAUCGUCUACGUACAAGAUAUUUAUAAAAAUUUUGUGACCAUAGUAACAUGAUGAUUGAAAAAUAGAUUUUGUUGAUCUUUUUGCGAGUUUCAUACAUAUAAAAGCAUUAUUUUGAGGGUAAAUGUCUUUAUACGUAAUUGGAUAUUCAUUAAAUAAAAAAUAUGCCUCAUUAAAACCUUAUUCGAAAAAAUCUGUAGAAAAAUCCUAAUUAAGGAAAAGAGUACAUUAUUCUUUUGAAUAGGGAUAAAAGUUGUCUCAUUAAAAAUCUUAUGAGGAAAAUCCAAUGGGACAAAACUUUAUUAAAGGGAAAAAGAGUAUAGCGUGUAUUUACUCCUCCCUCAUAAUAAUAUCUCUUAAAUUAUGUAUCAGGCACAUUAAAUCUGUCAGUGAUAAUAUUAAUAGUCAUGCCAUAUGAAUUGAUUGUAACCGUAUUUCAAGUUUCACGCAUUGUUAUGAUAACAAGAUACAAACAAUGAUUUCAUCCACCACGAAAUUCAGUAUGUUAAGAGUCGUUCAUUCAUAUUGCGACAUUAUUUUUCUAAUUUCUUUUUCACACAAGUGUACACAUUUUGAUUUUUGGGCUGCAAGUCCAGAAACUCCAAAUUUCCUAAUAAAUUCGAAUUUAAUAAGAUUGUGUCCUUUUAUUUGGCCAAUUAUAUUUUCGAUCGAUAUGCGUCAACGAAUUUAUUUCGAUAUCCUCGAAUUCAUAAAUAAGUUGAAAUAUCUCUCGAUUGAGUUUUAACUAUUGGUAAGGCGUAGAGAUAUCAACGAGCCGAGCCAGCUUGUGAAUCGAAACUCCUGACUCGGACUCGGCUUGGCUUUUUUAAGACGGACUUUUUUCGGCCCUAGCCGAGCAAAAGCUUGGUCAAAAAAUUAAGGCUCGACAUGCGCUUUCAGCUCAGGCCUUAUCGAGCGAGCUUGAUUUUUCUUUUUUCUUUUUUUUCCUCUCUCCCUCUUAGCUGCCUAUUUGGCAGCUAUUUGCUACCUCAAUUGACAAUAAAUUGAGUUUCUUUCUCUUUUUUUAAUAACGGACCGAAUCGACUAGAGCCGACUCUCUGAAAUAGGGCUCGGUUUGGGCCUUAGCUCGAUGCCUCCGAGCCAUGGGUGACCCAAGGCUCGAUGCCUUCGAGCUACGGGAGACCCUAGCCGAUGAGCUUGAUUGUCAUUCUUAAUAAGACGGUCAUAUUUCUUUUAACUAAACUAGAACUUGAUUUAGUGGCUCUAUCCAAUAGGUGUGCAACAAUUUUUUCUCUUCGAUUCUUUUUUUCGUAGUGACAUAAAUUAUUGAAAUAUCUCAAUUUUCAACAUAUCAAGAACCUGAAGGUCUUCUGGAGUUUUAUGAUUUGUUAUGUCUAAAUAUUCGUCAAGAGAAUGGAGCCAUCUUUGUUAAUUUCUCCAUUUUUGUUUGAAAAUUUUUAUAUUAGAAUCAAAUAUCAUAACAUUUCAAGCAUGCCAUAAAUUCAAAUAUAAUAUUACCAAGACAUUAAUUCGAGUUAGAGCAUUCAAAGUUCGUAUAUGAGAUAUUGUUGAUCUCUUUGGUCAGUAAAUGCAUUUAAAUAUCUUUCGAACUUUUGAUUCCAAUUAUUUUUGUGAGAAUUUAAAUAAUGAUGCAUUUGUACAUUAUUUUAGUUUCUUAAUUCUUCUUCCUCAUACUGAGAAAAUUGUCUAUUCAAAUUGAUAAUUGCAAACCAUAUUAUAAAAUAUCAUCAGUCUGAAAUAAAAAGUUCGAACAACUCAUUUAUUCUCUAAAUUAUUUACUUUCCAUGUCAAUGCAUUGUGGUGGAUCAAUUUUACAUAUACUACAUUAUCAAAAUUAUUUGAUGAAAAAAUUAGGCUCGGACCAUAUGCCUAGUUAUAGUAGGGAUAACUAUGAUGAUAUGACACGUAAUAGCCUUUCCUAAAUAGAAAUGGAAAGUACUUCGUUUUCAAUUAAAUUAAUUGGAGGUGUAUAACAAUCAAUAAUGUUGAAUCAUUUAUCAACAUUUCAUCUAGUACAUAUUAAAAUGUUGAGAUUUACAAUUACUAGAUUAAGAGGUUACACCGUCUUAACUGUAUAAUCUGAAAAUUCUACUCAUAAUUUAAAAUUUGAGAAGUAAUUUCGCAAACUAUAAGUUAUAAACAUCAUGCAACCAUCGAGCAUACAUGUUAAAUCUAUUAGAUACAAAUAAUAUUUAGAUGGUCUACGUCGAGGAUAAUGAAGCCCCAUUUAUCACCCUGAUUAAUUUUCAGAAAUAUAAUGAAUUCGAUCCCUAUUUUUAACUAGCGAUGAUCAAUUUUCGAUAAAAAAAACAAAUAACGUAUAGGAAUUUAUUGGAUUGAAGAUUCAGGUUCUUUGUUGAAUGUCCAUUUAAAUUUUUUAUUUCAUAUCAUUAUUGAUCCAAUAUGAUCCAACUGGUCAUGCCGAACAAUAAUACAUUCAUUAAUUAAAAUUUUGAGUUAAUAUAUUAUUCGUUCUAAUUAUACUACACAUUUUAGAAACUUAUCACAUUUCACUUUAAUUUAGAGGGGAAUAAAUUAUUAUCAAUAGUAAAAUUUAUUCUCUCACAUAACGCAAUACUAACCCUUCUAUAGUAUCAAAACAUAUUCUUCUAAAAUAUUGCUAUAUACUUGGUUAUGAUUACUCGCAAGUAAUAAAACAAUAUUUUUCAGGAAUAUUGAUAUAUUAAAUUAAUCAUAAUAUUUUUCUAAAAAUAUUAAUAUGCAUAUAUUUGUGCUUCUUCACAAACACAAUAUGGUAUUCUUCAAAAGAAUAUUAAUAUAUAUUAUUUUUGCUUCUUCUGAAGCAAUAUAUCAAUAUUUUUCUGAAAUAUUGAAAUUUUAAUGACAUGGUCUUCAGGAGCAAAUAAUUCUAUCUAGAACAUUCACAUAAGGUAUGUGUUAUGAUUUUCCUAGAAUAUCAACACCAUAUUUCUUUAGUAUAAAUGUAAUUUCUAGUUGUGCUUCUUCAAGAGCACAAGAUAAAUCAAAAUAUUUAAUUAAUCUAAUAAUUCACAAGUAUAAUAUAUAGCAGUAUAGAAAGACUUUUAAAUAAUUUUCAUCCUUGAAUUUGAAAACUUUAGAAAGCGUUAAAUAGUUGAAAAUUUUAUAUUCUUCAAAGAUAUAAAUUUGAAUUUUUUUAUAAAACUUAAAAUUUGCUACUGUCCCACAAAUAAGCCGUUAGAUUUUGAUAAGAAUAGAUUGAUUUAAAAUACAAUGAGCUAUAAACAUCUUGUCCAAAUUUCAUUACGAUCAAACCACGAAUGUUGAGUUAUCAACGUUUUUAUCACAGUUGCUCAGACUGUCCAAAUUCUACAAAUUUUUGCACUGUUGAUUCCAAUAUAAUAAUACAAUCAUUCAAUAUUAUAUAGAAUCACUAUAGGGUCAAUGAACUUUGAGUUUGUGACAUUAUUUGACUCAAUCAUUUUCACUAAUGUACGUAUAGUAGAUGCGAGAAUAGAAUGUCAAAAGUUUUUCUUUUGUUUACUUCGGGUCAAAUAUAAAAAAAGUUAUGUAUAGAUAUUCUAUAUUUUUUCUUGCACAUUCUCCAUGUGAUAUUCAUUGCAUUGACUAUCUUUAAAACUAAUCAAUUUUUUAUUUUAAUUUUUUUUUAAAUUUGCUUGCAUAAAGUGUAUUAUUAAUAUAUAAUUUUGUAUUAUUAGAUAAAAUAAAACAGGUUCUUCGGACCCUUCAAUGAUAUUUGAUGCAUCUAAUAUUGUAUCAAUAUUAUUUUUUGUUAAUGUUAAUUAUAAGUACUUUUUAUUUUAAAGAAUUUUUUGCAUAGUUACACUAUCUUCUAAACAGAUAUCUUAAUAAUCCAUCUUAAUCUUUUUAACAUUCCAAGAUUUAUACUUUUUCAAAAAGAAAUAAUAGAAUAUUCUCUGAGAAUAUUCAAAAACUAAAUAUUAUGCUUUUUCGGAGCAAUAAACUAAUAUCUUCUUGAAUAUUAAUAAAAUAAAAUAAAAUAAAAUACUUUUUUUUUAAUUACAACACAAUAUUGAGUAAUUUAAUUUAUGUUUCCUAGGGAGCACAAUGAAAUAUAUAUUCUUCUAGAACCGUGCCACUUCGAUAACACAUUAUAUUUUAUUACUAUUUCUUCAAAAGUAAUAUAUCAAUAUUCUUGUGGAAUAUUGAAAACUAUAAUUUAAUGCUCUUCAGGAGCAAUAACAUAUUAUUGUUUAGAACAAUAAAUUAUGUAAGAAUUUACUCUUUAAGAUUACAAAAAUAAUUUAUGUUAGAUCUAUUUUAUUAUUCUCUUUGAGAGCAAGUAAAAUUUAAUUAGAAUACUAACGAUUGUGAACCAAUGCUACAAGUCUUUGUAUAAGCUUUUGAGAUCAAGGUUGACAAAGCUGAAGAGCAGUAGCAUUCCACUGACCUGCAUCACCAAAUAAUGCCUUUACAGGCAUGGAAACGUGUCUACUUUAGGAGCAACAAUAUGAUACGGUUUAAAUUUAUUGAAAAAAUAAAAAAAAUUAAUCAAUUUAUAGUAGAAUAAUUUUUUUUUGAACAAAAGUAUAAAAUUCACAAAUUAAAUAUAUUAGACAAUUGCAUAAAAAUAUGCUAUUAUAUUAAUCUAAUCAUGCAAAUUAUAUUAAUGUAAUCAUGCUACUAAAUUGGGAGAACAUUCAAACGGCACGGAGAUGGAUGUGUGCCUUCAUUAAUUACAUAUUAUAAUAAUCAAAUUGUUUGUUAUAAUAAGAGUUUUGCUAUAUGGACAGGGCCACAUAGGCGCAGACAACUGACCAAUAAGAGGAUGCCACAUCGCCGCCAUUUGGAUAAGGCCUACGUGGCCUUGUCCAAGAAGAAUUAUUCAUUAUAAUAAUUCUCUCAUUUUUCUCCUCUAGACAAUUUCUAGUCAGAUUUUUGUUCAAGAUUUGUCAGUGCAAAUUCAAUGAUUGCCAUUGCAAAUUGAUUACAAGGCACCCUCUUUCGCUAGCACUGAAUGGAAUCAAUUGGAAAUAUAUUCCUCUGAAGUCUAUAGAGGAAUUCAAGAAUCACUCGAGCUAAAAUUAGAGACCAAAAGCAAGUUGAGCUUUAAAUUAAAAAAAUUUGUGCUGAUAACAUGUUAUAAAAAUAGAGAAAAGAAUAGGACAAUGAAGAAGUCAAUAGAAUUGUAUAUUAUUAUUAAAAACCAAAGUCUUAUAUUUAUAUUGAAGAAUUAGGGAUAAAAUCAUAAUAAAAAUUAGGAUUGUAUGGAUUUAAUUUUCAUUUACUCAUAAUCAUAUUAUUUACAAUACAAACUUGUUUUCGUAAUUUGCUUCUUCAAUCUAUAAUCUUCAAUUUUCAUUUUUAGUGUCACAUAACUCAUAUUGGCGACUUCGCAAUCUUUUGCAAUAGCAGAAGGCUUUCCUUGAAGCGACUCUAAUGUGACAACUCCAAACUUUCUAUGAGUAGCGUAUACAAAUUACCAACCUUUUUACCUCAUUAAUGCGAUAUAAUUAAUCUUCACAUCAAUUCUCCCAAUGCAUGCUGAAUAUUUAUAUGUCAACGUGUCCAGUGCUCCCAACAGUGUCAAACUUUUUCUCAAUCUUGAGACCUAUUAAUAACCGCUCUGCUACAUCAAAAAUCUUCACACUUAAAAUACUUGAACCUUUAACUUCAAGUUUAUGAUUAUUAGUCAUGACGACAUCAUGAGCAUCUAAUAGCUUAUAAUCCUCAAAGCAGUCCUUGUGUGGGCAUAUAUGAUUACACAUCCAAAAUCCAAGAGUUACUUGAAGAGUCGUAAUUUGUGACACAAUAAUCACUAUCAAUAUCAUCAUCAACCAUGAUCGUAGAAUCAGAGGCCUCUUUAGACUCUAGACUCUUCUUUACUUUAAGAUGAUAUGUCAACUUCUCACAUUUUGCCUUAAUGUGUCCUUUCUUGUGGCGGUAUUAACACUUGGCAUUUCUCCUAUAAUGACAUUGAGAAUGAUCCCUCCGGACAUUAUUUCUUCCUCGCGAUUUACCACACCUCAUUUCAGACUUUGUCUAGAGUACUUGAUUUAAAACCUUCUUCACUAUCGAAGUAGAUUUACCAACUAGUAACGUGGUGACCAAUGUCUCAUCUGACUUAGGUAAGGAAGACAGCAAAAUUAUUAUCUUAUCUUUUUCCUCAAUUUUUGACAUCAAUAUUAAACAACUCAGUUCACACUUAUUCAAAUGAUUCCUAAGAUCAGUGUCCUCAUCUAUCUUCAAAUCAUAUAAUUAUUUUCUCAGAUAUAAACAUAAAUUAAAACAUAUCAGGAUCUUUUAGCAUUUUGAAUAACUUAAAAUGCAAAUUUCUUAUUCAAAACACUAUAAUUUACCUAAGCAAUCAUGCUACGUGGUCAAAGUUAAUGACUAAAAAGUAUUUCCAAAUUACACUUGACAAUUUUUCAUUGAAUAAAGGGUAAAAAAACAUCAUAAAAAUACUCAAUUAUUAGCUGCCACAUCAGUCUAUUUUUUUAUUCCCUAUUUGUUCAGCAUUAUUCUUACCUAAGUACAAGCCAAUCUAAUGGUGUUGACUGUCUCCAGUUUCAAUUCUUCCAACUCCGCUUCUUCAUGCCUUGUGACAUCUUACCUUACAAAUCUUUGUAAAGUCCCUAUUGCAAGAGAAUAACUUCAACUGUACUUCACAAAAUAUUUAAAUUAUUUUUCUCGCCAAAUCGUUUACCCUCAAACUUUGCACAUGCCAUCAUCUUCGAGGCAGUAUCCCGAGUUUGAAUUUUGAGCUCCGAAACCAGUAGACUUCGCAGGAUGAAAUUGGCAGAAAAUGAACAAGAACCAAUGAGAGGUUGAUUAGGGACGAGAAAAACGAAUUGCAGAGAACGAGUCACAUGAACCACCAAAAUCAAACCAAUAAAAUGAAAUAGAGAUAUCAAAUUAAACACAAAUAAAUAUGUAAUCGUUAAAUUCAAUUUUACCACGUCAAUCUGCAGAAAUUUUCGGUGCUCGCAGGCGACAGAGAUAGGUGGAAGAAAGGGAUUCUAUGGGGGCUCAAGAGAGAGACUGUAGAAGUGAUUGCUUUUCUCUCUGUGCUAUUUUAUUAGAGAGAUAUUUAUGAAAAGGAGUUAACCAGUUAGUGAAUAGUGAAUAGUGAAUAGUGAAUAGUGAAUAGUGAAUAUCCGGUUAGUGUAUGAAAUGGGACACCAUAGAAAUGAACAGUGAAGGCUGGUUCCCUCUUUUAUAUAAGUGCAAUGAUUUUAGCAAGUUUUAAAACUUCAAGUCAUAAUAUUUUGGGUUCUAUGGAUAUAUUCACAUUAUACUUUUAGAAAUUGUGUUUCAUUAGGCCAAAAUUAUGUACUGAAUAGUACAUAAGAGAAAUAAAGAAAAAAAAUUACUAGAUUUUUGUGUCACACAGAAAUUUCUCAAUGUCACCCUCUAGGGUAUGCAUUUUGAGAGAGAUGUAAAAUUCAAUCGAACAAAUAUUAAUUUCAAAAAACUGUGAGGCCAUAUGGCUAACACUUGUAGAGAUUGUUAGUUUAAUGUCCCUUUUUUCAGUAGUAUUUUGAAAAACGACAUUCUGAAUUGACAUGCUACAAUUUGAAAUGAUUAUCUAAGGUUCCAUGAACAUAUAGAACGUCACAAAUUAUAUACUCAAUAGUUUAGGUAUAGUAAGAUGCAAUUCAAGAUGUGAUCAAAAUAUGUCGUUUACAAUCUCAGUACAUGAAGUUGGACACUUUAUGUUUAUAAAAUUACAUUGUUCUUAUUAAGAUUUGUCUAUAUUUGGCAAUAAGAACAAUAAUGUGUUUUGUGAUGCACAUUAAACGGGAACCGCAUAGAUAACUCAUUUGUGAUCGUUCGAAAUGAGACUCUAUCAAACAAUUCAACUAAAUCCUGAGUGAGUAAUAUACUUUUGAUUGCUAGUUCAAAUUUUUUGAAGUAACAAUGAGUGAAAUCUUAAUUAGAAGAUUGAUCUUGGUGCUUUGGGAAUCAGGUCGAAACAAUUAGAGAUCAUAUACUUGUGAUAGUGAAAUCCAUUAAUCAUUAAGAUGAGACGAUCAUCACUCUAAGGUAUUUUAGAUAGACAAUUGAACCUGUGCUCAGUAGCUUGAUGAUGAGAUCGUUGGACUCUAUAUUGUUAUUUGAUCACAACUAAUUCAUCUUAUGAAAAUGGAACUUAGAGGGUAAUAAUGUUCAAGGACAAAACGGUUAUUUUAUCAUUUUCAACUUAUUAAUGGUCCAAUGGGGGUUGACUUGUGGAACAAUAAUCGGAGCAUAUUUUCAUCGAAUCAUAAUUUACUUCUAUAACUAUCACUCGACUCGACAAUGGAAUCUCGAUUUUUGGUACAAUGAGCCGAGAUUAAUAGAUGUAUCUCAAUUGGUUAAGAGUUGACCCAAUUAGAAACUUCUAUUGUAGCUUAAGUCUUGUUGGUCUGAUUAGGUCCCUUUCUUGACUACAAUAAAUGUGUGACUUAAUUGGUCUACUACAAUUAAGUCCAAGAAAAUUUGUGCAAUUAUAAAAUCCUAAUUGAGUAUUAUAAAUAUGUCCUUUAUGGACACAUUUUCACUUAGUUUUUAGGGUAAGCCAUAUUUUUAUUUCCCAAAGAGGGAGGCACCUAAAGAACACAAGGGAUAAGAUAUAAGGGAAAAAGCACUUGGCUAGGCCACUAAAAUCUCCUUCAAGGUUAUCAUUUUCCUUUUAUGUGGAAGAAUUUAAGACAUCCAAUGAUCUCAAGGUGAUCGUAGAUCUUUUAUUUAUUUACAUUUAAUCUUCAAAGGGAAAUUAAUUUCCUAUUUUGAUGAUUAAAUUCAAUAACCAACAAAUGGAAUCAAAGCCAAGGUUACUAAGAGCCUUGAGUAGGAUUAAGUGCUUCGAAUCCUAGUAUAAAAUGCAUUUUUAGUAUGGGCGGUGUUAGGUUAUUUAAUUUGACAUGUUUACUACUUUAUAUGCUUAAAGUAGAUGUUUAUACAUAAUCACUUUUGGCCCUGGGAUUUUUUUUUACUUCCCAUUCUAAUUCAUUCCAUUUGUCUUUCUUUUCUCUAGAAAAAUUGUAAGCCAUGCGUCAUUAGGGUUUUGUACAUAUUUUUCAUACUUCUACACUUGUGUAUUAAAAGAAGAUGAAGUUUUUUGGGCUUCAUGCAUUUUUCGUUUCUGAUUCUUGUUAGAGAAAUGGAAGGAGAUAGAAAUAGGACAAACAAAAUGCAAAAACCAUUGUAGAAUUACAAGUGGCGGCAAUAACAACUAUCGCGACCGGAGUGGCUACAGUCGCUGCGUCCAAAUGCAACAGUUGCUCCAAGUUGUGAUAGCUGCUUCUGUUGCCUGUCAUGACAACCAUAGCUACUGCAAAUGUAGCAGCGGCGCUUGCUAUUACUGUUUGCAGUCGCCAUUGCCACUCGACGGCUGCAGCUAUGGUGGCCUCUUUUGGUGUUGCUACUGUCGAUGUCAUUGUAGGAGAUGGAUGGUGGAUGUGAUACAUGGCGAAUUUUCCAGGAUUUGUGAAAUUAGGUUAUUUUUGAGUUUUUGUGCUUUUCUUUAUGACUUGGGCAAAUAUUUUUGGCUAAGGGCUUUUGAUUUAAGGAUUGCGAAAAAAUUAAAUGGACUCAAUUUUUGAAUAUUGAAUGGGUUAGAUUACAAGGAAAUUGAAGAAUUGGGGCGAAAAUUGCUUUAUGGAUGAUGAAUGAAUGUAUGAUUAUCACAUGUCAUGUAGAUUAAAUUGAACACCACCCAAUGCACUAAACAUAUGCAUUGGUAUUGGAUUUUUUUUAUCACUCUAAAUUAAUUAGAUGUGGUUAAAAAAUUAUAUUUAACAAUUUAGUGCCAUUAUAAUUGUUUAUAUUUGGCACAUUAAUUAUAAAAUCAAAAUCCAAUGGUUCAAAAUAAUAAGUGGGGGAAGGUUUAUAGCGUGUAUAAACUUGCGGCCUCCUCCUUCAUCCAAUUUAUUAUUAAAAUACGUAUGUCUGGUGUCAAAUUACAUCGGUCUCCCUAAAGGAAGACUACGUUAUUCUAAAUUAACUGAAAUUGAAUCUUAUAAUAGAAAGUUUUAAAAAUUGGAUAAUCGGCUGAUUAUCCUAUAGAUAACAUCUCAUAUAUUUUGGAUAAUUUAAAAAUUAUUUGCAGAGGUUAUUACACUUAUAUAUGACUUUAUUUUUGGAGGACUUCCAGUAGAAGGUUCCAACAAAAUAUUUAUAAGUCAAAUGAUAAUAAAUCCUCAUUUUUAUUGUGGCACGAGAUGCCUAACUCCAUCAAAUGAGUGGGAGUGUUCCAACUUUGUGAUGAGGACAAAUCAAAAAUCUAAUUAGUGAAUAAAUCAACGCUACAAUCUUCCCGUAUAAAGUGGCAACUCUAAUUUAUUGGUUGUGAACAAAAUAUUUGUAAUCAAAAUAUAAGUUAUGUCACACUACACUUCUCAGUACAAGUACCCAACUUAUAUUGUCACAGGUAAUUAUAAUUACUUUAAUUCAUAUGCUCACAUACUCAAUAAUAAAUAAAUACAUUAAAUGGAUAAAAUCACAAUUUGUUUAUUAUAAAUUAUUAUUUAUUAUAACAAAAUAUACUAUAUGGACACACAACCCCACAGUCUCCACUUCCUACGUACUUUGUUUAUAUUUUUUAUUAUUUUAACCCCAAACCUUAGAUCUCUCUCUUUUAUUUGCACACGCAAACACAUAUUGAAAGCACAGGUCAGCAGCUACAGAAACUACCUAAGAGCCACUAACUUAGGUUGUACACGCCGCAAGAAGAUAAGUAGAAGAAGCCGAAACAAAGAGAACCAAUGCUAAAAGGAACUCAUAAAUAAGGAAUGGGUGGAGAAGACACGACUUCCAAAUAAAAGAGACGAGAUUGGGAGUAUCCCUAUGCUGCAGGCCAGUGGCGGCAUCACGAAAUUGAUACCCAUCAAUGUCGACAGCUCGGGGUUGCUCCAUCGAGGUGCUAAGAGAUUUGGGGAUUUAGAAAUUCCAAAAUGUCUAUCCAGUGUUUAUUGGGUUGAUUACAAGAGGAAUGGAUCUGGUUAUUAUCAAAAAAUGAUUUUUAAUAUGAGAUCAUAAGAAAUUAAAAAAGCGAUUCAAUAAGAGAGGGCAAACGACUAAUGAAUUCAAUGUAGUGAAGUAGUUCUUUUAUUCAAUGUCUCAAGAUGGGUUUCAAUGCCCAAUAACGUUAAAUUAAUUUUUCUUCCAAUUAACUAAGGUUAUUGAGGCUGAGUUUGAGGCGGGGACUUUAUUUCUCAUCCCCUACUCGUGAUAAGGACUUUUUUUCCAACUGUGCUAUGUGUACAAUCGGGAUUGACAAACCCAUUUGACAAUUGGACACUUAGGAGGGGGGCUCACACUGAAUAGAAAAAUCGUGAGCCCCCCUCCUAUGAGUGCAUUGUCAACAUGGAUUGUACAAGAAGAAUAAUUUCUUUUUUCCUAACCCCCACCCCAAUUCAUUGAUUAAUCUAGAAUCCCCCGCUAGUUUGGGCAGGCCAUAUGGGGGACUAGAACAAUUGAGGAUAAUUGCUCCCCCGAAUAUCAUUUUUGAAUGUGUAAUGGUUCGUGCGACUCACAAAGACACUAUACAAAUGUUAUAUAUAUACGUAAUAUAUAUUAUAUUGCACACCCAUGAUAUAUAUUUUGUACGCUCACACGAUCUGUGAUUUGAAAUCGAUCUAGCAAAUUUAUUCAUAAUUUGAUUAAUCUCUCGAAAUAAGUUGGUCGUAUUUUACGUUUAUUGUGGUUAAUGUUUAUGCAUAUAAUAUUUCUACGGAUGUGUUUUAUUUUUUGGUCCAUAUUACGUAUGAUUUAUUUAGAAUUGACAGGAGUUUAAUAGCGUUACGUACGAGAAUUUAACAUCAUCUAAGUUCGGUUUAAUUUUCAAGUCUCUCUCUAUAAUUAUGAUUUUUUUUUGGGUAUAAAAAUACAUAUAUAAAUUCAUUAUUCAAGCACAUUUAUUGAUAUUUAUUCUCAUCCCUUUAUAUCUUUUCUUCUAGAUGAUUGAUGAUUCGAGGCGGUUGGCACGAAUAUGGCUUAUGGUGGCAAAAGUUCCGAUAAUAGAUUAUUUUGUUAUCUUUAAAAUAUUUCUUUUUUCAAGUUAAAUUAUCAAAAUCACUGGAUCAUUUGAAUUAUUAUAUAUGUUUAAUAAUUUAUAUAAUAGUGUUGAAUAUUCCUUAAAUUAUUUUAAUUUAGGAGUUAGUGGCACUCGAGUCGUUAAGGAUUCAGGUUGUCAUAGUUGUCCAAUUAGUAUCAGGAUUAAUUUAAGUCUCUCUUAUGGUAAAGAUCAUGAGUUCGAAUUCUUGGGACGCAAUAGAAAUCUAUUAGAGAUAGGAUGAAUUUAGGUUCUUCCAGAACGAACAAUACAUAAAUUAACGACUUUGGCAUAAAGAUCAGAUCGUCACAUAAUAUUGGGAUCCGAAACCACAUUAAUUGAAAGAUUAUCGAGAACAACCCUAAAUUUUCUCAUAUUGAACAAAAAUCCAUGUGUCCAUGUAUAAACAAAACAAUUGCAAAAGAACAAUUAAGAAAAUAUAAAGAAUAUUGCAAAAUCAUCUAAGGGUCACUACCUCCAAGUACCUUGGCCACCAGUGACUGGGUUUGGAGUAUAUUUUCCUUUUAUGCUUUCUGAUAAGUGUGUUUUUGCACACUUAUUGGGCACUUAAUUUGAUAUAAUUAUUGACGAAAAGAAUAGAAUUCUACUCAUAGUUAAGUAAUAUUCACUUUUGUAGGUAAAAAUCACCUAAAGAAAAGAGAACAAGGCAAAAGGAAGAAAAAUGAGGAAAAAGGACUAAAAUUGUACAAAAUUGUGAAGUUGGAGGCCAAGGAAAACAAGUCAAAAAGUGGAGGAUUUGAGAUGCAAUUUAUGGAGGGCAAAAUCGAAUUGGAAGUCAAAAUUCGAGGACCAAAUUGUACAAAAUUAAAGUUGAGGGACUAGCAUGCAAAUAUUUGAAACUUGGCUUCAAAAAGAAAACCAUUUUCAUGGUUUUGGACAGAGAACCAGGCACCGAGGCGCCCAUUUUAAAAGAAAAAAUGAGUUGGGGACCUUUUUGUUCACUUUUGAAACUUCAGGGACCAAGGCUGCAAUUUUCCUAGGUUUUAAUAUAAAACCAGCAGCUGAGUUUUCAUUUGCAGUUCUUCAGUUCGAUCUUCUGCUGGGUUCUGUUUUCUGCUGGGUUCUUUCUUUUUUUUCAUUUUGCUUUCAUUUUCUUUUCUUUUUCUUGGUUAUUUUGGAGAUAUAACAUAGAGUAACAGGGAGAUAACAUCAAGGAUUUGGCAAAGCAUUUGGGGAAAAUCAUAGUCAAUCUACAAAAAAGGGUUUUAUCUAUAUCUUUGUAUUUUCUUCAUCAUUUAGCCUUAUUUGUAAUACAUUUGAUGAAUAUUCUCCUUGAUUAUCAUUUAUUUAACAUGGGCUAAGUAUUUUGUUGGGAUUUAUGGUAGUAGCUUGACAUAGGUUUAAUUGAUUUUCAAUAUUUGCUAUUUGAUAUUAAAUUGCCCAUUUCCAUGUGUUUCUAUUAUUAUAUUUAUUGCAUUUUCAUUUAUGUGGCCAAUGAAUGAAUAUGUUUCGUGAAGUGUACAUAGUUCGAGAGAAGAUUGUGUAUUUUAGACCAAAUGGUAGAAACUCUAGGUUUGUAUAGAGGAUAGAUAUAUAUCUUUAGCCCUAUGUGACCCAAUGAGCUAUUUUCAUAACAAUUUAAUGCUGUUAUUUAGUUGUAAUCGACAUAGAGAUAUAAUAGGUUAAACCAAUCAAUUAUGGUUAAUUUCACUCGAGAGAGGUAAUUAGCUAAAAUUGAAGAAUCGGAUCUAACAUCGUAAAUGAGUAAUUCGUUAAUUGGCAUAUGGAGAAAUUAAUUAGGCGACGGCUAAGCGAAACCAUGAAUCUCAAUCACGUUUUCCUCCAAAAUUCCCAAGAUUUCCAUAUUUUCCUAUUUUGUAUUUUUUUUUCUUUAGUUUCUAAAAUCAACUCUUUGUUGUGUAUUUGUUUAUUUUCAUUGUUAGAAUUAAAUUGAUUAAAGUUGUGUAAUUUAAAUUAAACAUUCCUCGAGGGAUCGACAACUCGGACUUCAAAUGUCCACUUUAUUACUUGAACGCGACCCGUGCACUUGCAGUAUGAUUUUAGCGAACAAGUUUUUGGCGCCGUUGCUGGUGAAUGUUUUAUUUCAAUUAUCAUCUUUUGUUGAUUCUAAUUUUUACAAGUUUCGUUCUUUUUUUCUUUUGCAUAGCUUUUAUAUAUUUAUUGUGUAAUUAACUUUUAACCUUAGGUCUUUGGUGGUGCAUGCUUCGUUCGAGAAGUUUUGAUCUUUUCGAGCUUGAUCCGGAUAUUGAAAAACCUUUCCAAAGAAGGCGACGGGAACAAAGGGAAUUGAGAAGGCAACAAUUGAUUGAGAUGACACACCAAGGGAGUAAUUUGGAACAUAAUGCUCAACCGGAAAAUGUUCCUCGAGGCGGCAUUCCACCGGGUUUUGGUAACCAAGCGGGUAGAGUUCAAGAGCCUAUUGUAAAUGAGGAAGAUAUACUGUUUGGGAACUUCAUGAACCCACCCGUAGUAGAGAAUGAAUCAAGUAUUGUUUACCCUCCAUAUUGACAUCCAAACUUUCAACUUCGUCCGGAUGUUAUUAGUUUGUUCUCCAAUACCAUUCCAUUCUAUGGAAGGAUUGAUGAGAACCCUCACUCACAUGUUGCACGAUUCAUAGAGAAUGUUGAAAAUUUUAAAUAUGAAGGCGUAAAUGUGGAGACGAUCCGGAUGAGGUUAUUUGUUCACACAUUGAAGGAUAAGGCAAGGGAAUGGCUUGAGACUCUACCGCCCAGAAGUAUAAAUAGUUGGUUGGAAUUUAUUCAAAAAUUCACAGCCAAAUUCUUUCCACCCGCCUGAGUAGCCAAACUCAAGCAUGACAUAACCACUUUCCAACAAUCCGAAUUUGAGAGCUUUCACGAGGCUUGAGAAAGGUUCAAGGAUAUGCUUCGAAAAUGUCCAAAUCAUGGAAUCACAAUGGGGCAACAAGUGAAUCAUUUUUAUGCCGGGUUGACUCCUUCUUGCCGUUCAAAUGUGGAUUCAUCAUCUAAUGGCUCAAUCAAGAAGAAGAAUAUUCGGGAAGCAUAUGAUCUAUUUAAGGUCAUGAGUGAACAAAGUGCUAUGUGGCCGGAUAGAGGUUCACAAAGAGGGGUUGGUGGAGUUCGAGAUGGUGAAGCUUUCUCAAUGGUUCUAGCAAAGAUCGACUCACUAGCAAAGAAGGUAGAAGGACUUUCUUCAUCUACCUCGAGCUCUCAUUCCGCUCAUAUGGUACAAUCUCCACCUAUUUGUGAUAUUUGUGAACCAAAUCACCGAAGCCCGAGUUGUCCAUUGAUAGGUAGUGGUUCAGCAUCUACCGAGCAAGUGGUAUAUACUCAAAACUUUCAACGCCAAGGAUACAAUCCUUAUUCGCAAACUUAUAACCCCAGUUGGUGAAAUCAUCCGAACUUUUCUUAUGGAAAUAAUCAAAAUGUGCUCAACUCGAAGCCACAAGAGAAAAAAAAGGUUGGGAAGAGGCUAUUGCUAAGUUGGCAAACCAUCAAUUAUAAUAUUAAGAAAGCAAUGAUGCCUCUUUGAAAAACUUGGAAUGUCAAGUGGGUCAAAUUGCCAAGCUUAUCUUCGAAAGGCAAUAGCGGGCAUUGCCUAGCAACACCGAAACAAAUCCAAGGGAGAAUGUACAAGCUAUUACCACUAGAAGUGGGGUGCAAUUGCCCGAAAUCACGGUGACACGCCCUAAGGGUCAAACCGACAAGACACCCAUUGAAGAAGAAAGGAUUAUGCAAGAACCUAGUCCAAAGGACGAGACACUAAUUGAAGAAGAAUCGGAGCCAUCAACAUCAAAGGCUCCAAUACCGGUCAAAGCCUAUGUGCCUCAUAUUCCCUUCCCACAAAGGCUUCACAAACAGAAAUUGGAUGCUCAAUUUGGAAACUUUUUGGAGAUAUUCAAGAAGCUACACAUAAACAUUCCAUUUGCCGAUGCAUUAGCUCAAAUGCCGAAUUAUGCCAAAUUUAUGAAGGACAUUCUUUCAAACAAAAGGAAACUAGAAGAACAUGAGACAGUAAUGCUAACGGAAGAGUGUAGUGCUAUCCUUCAGAAGAAGCUACCACCGAAAAUCAAAGAUCCAGGGAGUUUUACUAUUCCAUGCACUAUUGGAGAUUUAAAUUUUAGUAAAGCUUUAUGUGAGCUUGGUGCCAGUAUUAGUUUGAUGCCUUUGUCUAUUUUCAAGAAGCUGGGAUUGGGAGAAGCUAAGGCCACCACUGUAUCAUUACAAUUGGCUGAUUGAUCAAUUAAAUAUCCUCGGGGUGUCAUUGAGGAUGUAUUGGUCAAGGUGGACAAAUUCAUAUUUCCAGCUGAUUUCAUAAUUCUUGACAUGGAAGAGGAUCAUGACAUCCCUAUCAUUUUAAGACGACCAUUUCUUGCCACCGGUCGAGCUUUGAUUGAUGUGCAAAAGGGGCAGCUCGUUCUAAGAGUCCAAGAUGAAAAAGUUACAUUCAAUAUCUUGAAGGCCAUCAAGUAUCCAUCGGAAUCUGAUUCAUGCCUUCGAGUGGAUGUUGUUGAUCAUGUGGUUGCCGAGUCUUUUUACAGGCUUUCUAAGGAUCCUCUAGAAGCAUGUCUUGUUUAUCCUUUGGCUAUCAAAGAGGAAGACCCUAAAGUUGAGCAUAUGGUACACUAUUUGGAGGCUACACCUUCUCGGUCUUAUAAGAGAGCACCAAAUUAUGAGGACUUGGAAAAGAGCUCUUCACCACCACUGCCAUUUCUUCAGCAGACACCUAUACUUGAUUUGAAGCCUCUUCCAUCUCAUUUGAGGUAUGCUUAUUUGGGAGAGUCAUCUAUGCUUCCGGUUAUCAUUGCUAAUUUCUUAAAUGAAUUGGAUGAAGAGAAGUAACUCGGGUGUUAAGGGAGUACAAGGGAGCCAUUGGUUGGACUAUUACAGACAUUAAGGGAAUUAGUCCUUCACUAUGCAUGCAAAAAAUCCUUAUGGAGGAUGAUUUCAAAUCAUCAGUGGAGCAUCAAAGGCAAUUGAACCCCAACAUGAAAGAAGUGGUAAAGUAGCUUGAUGCGGGCAUUAUUUAUCCGAUUUCAGAUAGUACAUGGGUGAGCCCCGUUCAAGAGGUGCCAAAGAAAGGAGGUGUCACGGUUGUGGAAAAUGAGGAUAAUGUACUUAUACCUACUAGACCCGUGAUCGGUUGGAGGGUAUACAUAGAUUACCGCAAGCUUAACAAGACUACAGGGAAUGAUCACUUUCCUCUUCCUUUUAUUGAUCAAAUGCUUGAGCGGUUAGCGGGGUAUUCUCAUUAUUGUUUUUUGGAUGGGUAUUCAGGCUAUAAUCAAAUUCCUAUAGCCCCAGAGGAUUAAGAGAAAACCACCUUCACAUGCUCAUAUGAUAUAUUUGCAUAUAGAAAGAUGCCCUUUGACCUUUGCAACGCACCCGCCACUUUCUAAAGGUGUAUGAUGGCUAUAUUCUCCGACAUGGUGGAGAAAUUUACUGAGGUUUUUAUGGAUGACUUCUCGGUAUGUGGGGCCUCAUUUGAUGGAUGUUUGAGCAAUUUAGAGAUAGUGUUGAAAAGAUGUGAGGAGACAAAUUUAGUACUUAAUUGAGAAAAAUAUCAUUUCAUGGUCCAGGAAGGCAUAGUUUUCGGCCAUCGGAUUUCACGUAAAGGGAUAGAGGUUUACAAGGCAAAAAUCCAAGUCAUUGAGAAAUUACCUCUACAUACCUUGGUGAAAGGGAUAAGGAGUUUUUUGGGGCAUGCCGAAUUUUAUAGGAGGUUUAUCAUGGACUUUUUGAAGAUCACAAAUCCACUUUGCUCCUUACUUGAGAAGAACACUCCAUUUGAUUUCUCUCAAGAGUGCCUCCAUGCUUUUAACACUCUUAAAGAGAAACUCAUCACGGCUCCUAUCAUUGUAGCUCCGGAUUGGAAUUUACCAUUUGAGCUUAUGUGCGAUGCAAGCGAUUAUGCCGUUGGAGCAGUUUUAGGGCAAAGGAGAAAUAAAAUCUUGCAUGUUAUUUACUAUGCUAGCCGGACUUUGACUGAUGCUCAACUGAACUAUGCCGUUACUGAAAAAGAGAUGCUCGCAGUGGUAUUUGCAUUUGAUAAAUUUCGAUCUUACCUCAUUGGAUCGAAAGUGAUUGUUUACAGGGACCACUCAGCCCUCAAGUAUUUGCUAGCAAAGAAAGAUGCCAAACCUCGGUUAAUUAGAUGGGUCCUUCUUCUACAAGAGUUUGACUUGGAAAUUCACGAUAAAAAAGGGACCGAAAAUGUUGUUGCCGAUCAUCUGUCUCGACUUGAGAAAACCAAAGAGGUAGUGGAUAGGGAGAUAAAUGAGGUAUUUCCCGAUGAACAACUCUUGCAAAUUAUGCAUCUUCUACAAGCCACCCAUAUACCAUGGUAUGCGGACCAUGUGAACUUUCUUGCUAGUGGCAUCAUUCCCUCGGAUCUCUCUUACCAACAAAGGAAGAAGUUCUUUGCCGAUAUCAAGCAUUAUUUUUGGAACGAUCCAUUGUUGUUCAAACAGAGCCCGGAUCAAAUUAUACGGAGAUGUGUGCGGAAGAUGAAAUGGAGCAAAUCCUUGAACAAUGUCAUUCCUCACCCUAUGUUGGUCACUUUGAGGCCCUGAAAAUCGCAUCAAAGGUACUUCAAUUCGAUUUUUAUUGGCCUACAUUAUUCAAAGAUGCUCAUAUUCUUGUCUCCAAGUGCGACAAAUGCCAACGCAGUGGUAAUAUUUCCAACCGAAAUGAAAUGCCUUUGAAUUUUAUAUUAGAGGUGGAAAUUUUUUAUGUAUGGGGUAUUGAUUUUAUGGGACCUUUUCCUCCUUCAUUCUCAAAUCAAUACAUAUUGGUAGCGGUUGAUUAUGUGUCAAAGUGGGUAGAAGCGGUGACUUUGCCCACUAAUAACGCUCGGGUAGUAGUAAACUUUUUAAAGAAAAAUAUUUUCUCUCGCUAUGGCACCCCCCGAGCUAUCAUUAUGGAGGUAAAAAUUUUUGUAAUCGCCUCUUCGACUCAGUAUUGACCAAAUAUGGAGUAAAGUAUCGUGUAGCCACUCCCUAUCAUCCCCAAACUAGUGGCCAAGUUGAAAUUUCGAAUCGGGAGUUGAAGAGGAUUCUUGAAUUGACGGUGAGUGCCUCUAGAAAAGAUUGGUCCAAGAAAUUGGAUGAUGCAUUAUGGGCUUAUUGUACCGCGUUCAAAAUGCCCAUUGGUAUGUCUCCCUAUCGUCUUUUGUUUGGAAAAGCUUGCCACCUCCCAGUAGAACUUGAGCAUCAAGCUUAUUGGACAGUGAAAGCUUUGAAUUUUGAUGUGAAAUUGGCCGAUGAGAAAAGAUUGCUCCAAUUGAAUGAACUGGAUGAAGUCCGCCUUGACUCUUAUGAGAAUGCUCAAAUUUACAAAGAAGAGACAAAGAAAUGGCAUGAUAAACACAUUGUGAAAUGCGAGUUCUUUGUUGGGCAACAAGUUCUUCUCUACAAUUCUCGACUCCGAUUGUUUCCCGGAAAGCUCCGCUCAAGAUGGUCUGGUCCUUUUACCAUUGCUAAGAUUUUUCGACAUGGAGCAAUUGAACUUCAUCAUGAGGAAAAGGGAAAUUUCAAGGUUAACGGGCAACGAUUGAAACCAUACUUUGAAGGUGAUUUUUCUAAGGAGAAGUCCUCCAUUCCUCUUGCCAAUUUGGAGUGAACAAGGCCUAUAGUCGAGCUAGGGACUAUAACCAAGCGCUUUUUGGGAUGCAACCCAACUUUCUUAUCCUUAUACUUUUGUUAUUACAUUUUGAAUUAAUACAAUUCUUUUGUAGGUCAAAAUUUUUGUAGUCCUAGCCACCCAUAGAUCUCAACAAAUUUGGGGGUGCCUGGUCCCCAAAGUCAUAAACAAAAAAUUCAUCUACAACAUCCUUCAAAAAAAUCUAAUCGGCGAAGUUUCGUUAUCCCUCUCCUCUUUAUCUUGUUUUUUACACAUUGAGGACAAUGUGUGGUUUAAGUUUGGAGGUGAUUGUGCUUGAAUUGGUGAUAUUAUGUUGAUGUGCUAGAUAGCCUUGCCGGCUUUGCAUGGUUUUGAUGUUUGAAAUUGUUAUUGAUUCAUGAGUUAUGCAUAUAUGACCAAAUAUGCUAUUUGUGCGUAAUUUUUUCCCAAAAAAAAUAAAAAUUGCUUAUCUAUUGUGAGAUUUUGAAUUACUUUGGGCACAAUAGUCAUGAUUAAUUGUUAUCUAGAUGUGGAAAAUUUUUGAUUGAAGGAUAUAUUUUUGAAUUGCUUGAACUAGGUUGUGACUUGUAAGUUGUUUGGAAAUUUUUAUCAAUCUGUAUUCUCUUUUCUUUCACUUUAUCAUAUUAUGAGAUAAGUUUGGAGGUGGUCGAGCCGGUGAAGAAGAUUAUCUAGAAGUGUGUGAUUUCGUGCAUGUUGAAAAUAUUUGUGUAGAGUGUCUGUUACCGAGUAUAAGCUAGGUAAUGACCAUAUGCUAGGGAUCUAAGCCCCAUUUUUGUUGUGUUAAAAAAAAAUGGAGUUAUUGUACUUGUUGAAUCUUGGGCCUCACUUUGUAGCCUUUUUGACUUGAGUUAUUAAGUGCGUAGGGGUAUUUUGUAACCCGGUACCCUUUGGCCUAAACAACCGGAGAGUUAUCGACCUAAAGCUCGCUACAAGGGUCAAAAAAAAAGUUUAAGGGAGUGAGGUAAAACAUGGGAUUCGGCUAAAAAGGAAAAAAAAAAAAAAAAAAAGAGAAAAAAAUGUUAUUGAUAUUUGGGCUUAGAUAACUAGUGAGUUUGAAUUGCUUAGUAUAAACUUGAAUGUGAAAGCACUCAUUAGUAGAGAAUCAUCACAUAACUAGAGAUUGAUAUUACUAGUUAGACCCAAUCGAACUAGAGCGGGAAAAGAAAUGAGUGACUUGAGAGCAGCCUUAUAUUUACACCUCGGGGAAAGAAAUGAAUAUCUAUUUGAGGAGUGUAAAUUCCACGAGUGGGAAAGGAAAUAUUUGACUACAAAGGGUUGGGUUGGAGAGAAUCUGAAGAUUUUUCCGUCUUGACAAAUUUUUCCUAAUUUAGAUGAUAAUUGAAAGUGAUUUUACACAUAUACACCGAUCGAACAUUGGAUAAACUCAAAUUAUUUUUGUUAGCAUUAUUUGGAGCAUAUUUGUGAAUUGAUUAUACAAUUUUACACUCAUUGAUAUUUUUGGCAAGCUAUUUAGUGUGUUGACCAUGAUCACUUUUGCUUGAUUGUGUGGUAGAUAAUCUUGCUCGGGACGAGCAAGAGUUUAAGUUUGAGGGUGUGAUAAGUGUGUUUUUGCACACUUAUUGGGCACUUAAUUUGAUAUAAUUAUUGGUAAAAAGAAUGAAAUUCUACUCAUAGUUAAAUAAUAUUUGCUUUUGUAGGUAAAAAUCACCCAAAGAAAAGAGAACAAGGCAAAAGGAGGAAAAAUGACUAAAAUUGUACAAAAUUGUGAAGUUGGAGGCUAAGGCAAAGAAGUCAAAAAGUGGAGGAUUUGGGAUGCAAUUUAUGGAGGGCAAAAUCGAAAUGGAAGUCAAAAUCCGAGGACCAAAUUGUACAAAAUCAAAGUAGAGGAACUAGCAUGCAAUGUUUGAAACUUGGCUGCAAAAAGAAAACCAUUUUCAUGCUUUUGGACAGAGAACCAGGCGCCGCGGCACCCAUUUUAAAAGAAAAAAUGAGUUGGGGGACCUUUUUGUUAACUUUAGAAACUUCAGGGACCAAGGCUGCAAUUUUCCUAGUUUCUAAUAUAAAACCAGCAGCUGAGUUUUUAUUUGCAGCUCUUCAGUUUGGUCUUCUGCUGGGUUUUUUUUUUUUUUUUUUUUUUUUUUUUUUUUUUUUUUUUUUUUUUUUUUUUUUUUUUUUUUUUUUUUUUUUUUUUUUGGUAUUAAAAAAAAAAAAAAAAAAAAAGGGAUUGAAGUUGGAUGAAUUCUUGAAUUCAGGGACCAAUGUAUUGAGUUUGAAAGUAGAAGAGCCUAACAUGCAAUAUUAAAGGACUUGUGACUAAAUUACACAAACCUGUAAAAAGUCGACCCUUGCGAUCACAAGGGUAUAUUUAGUUGCGGUCGCAAAGACUUUUGCAGAAUUGCUUGUGAGAUAUAGUAGGUUAAAUCAAUCAAUUAGGGUUUAUUUCACUCGAGAGAGAUAAUUAGUUAAAAUUGAAAAAUCGGGUCUAACAUCGUAAAUGAGUAAUUCGUUAAUUGACAUAUGAAGAAAUUAAUUAGGCGACGGUUAAGCGAAACCAUGAAUCCCAACCACGUUUUCCUCCAAAAUUCCCAAGAUUUCCAUAUUUUCCUAGUUUGCGUUUUUUUCUUAGUUUCUAAAAUCAACUCUUUAUUGUGUGUUUGUUUAUUUUCAUUGUUAGAAUUAAAUUGAUUAAAAUUGUCUAAUAUAAAGUAAACAUUUCUCGAGGAUCGACAACCCGAACUUCAAAGGUCCACUUUAUUACUUGAACGCGACCCGUGCAUUUGCGGUAUUAUUUUAGCAAACACUUUCCUUUUAUUUUCUUGAUUUUAUGUUUCUCUUUUUUAGCGGACUUAAUAGCCAUUUUGCACGGAUUUGUUAGUGAGGAGUAUUUCCAAAAUAAAAAUGAAGGGUCGAAGACUGUGAUGCAAAUAAAUGAAGUUUGAGGAUAUAAAUGCAUAAGGAGUUGAAGAUUGAGAAUGUGGCUUAAAUUUUCCAAUAUUAAAAAGAAAAUGUUUUGCCCAAGUCAUUUUCUUGACUACUGUCAAGGAAAAAAAAAUAAAUAAAUCUUUUUGCGUUGAAAUUUGACUCCACAUUGUAGGAACUGUAUGGUCCACCCAUGUGAAAUCCAUUGAGUGCCAAAUCAGAGUUCCCGACAAAUUGUCGUAUGCCCAACAUGAUACAUGAUCUACAAUGUGUUACAAAUUGCCCCUGUAGACAUGUAUGUUUAAUCAAUAAAAAAAAAAGUCUGAAAUUUCCUCAAAUUCAAUAAUGAAUUCUUAAAUCAAAUCUGAAUAAUGAAUUUUCAAUCUUUUGAAUUACAAAAUUCGAAUUUUGAUCUCUAGAACUUGAUGAUUUUAACUUGCCAUUUCUAUAUAGUAUUACGUGUCAAACAUGCAAUGAUUUCAUACUUAUUCGUCCUUAUACUACAUCCUCAACUCUCUCCAUCAAAUUCUUCAUCUAUUCUUGCAAAAUAUAUUGUAGCUUAAAGUUAAACCGGUUUCAAGCAUAAUUUAUCGCUCGGGAAUUAUUCACUCAUAAAUAGAAUAUCUGCAAAUCUUGUAUUUUUGUGAAUUUAGUUAUUUUGUUAAUUGAGAAUAAGAUGAAUGAUAAUCUUCUUGGGAGAUCAUUCUUAUGUGAAAUUCAUACAAAUGUCUUGAGUGCUAUUUUCACCUUCACUCAUUUAUUAAAUAUUACAAGUUCUAGCUUUCAUAGGAAAAUAUAUUUUACUUGGUGUGCUGAAGAUAUUCUUCAACCUUCAGUAAAGUGGGGUUCUAGGUUCUCGACCCAAUUAAAUUUGGAAAUUACAUAAAUUGUUAACGUGAACGUCAAAACUGGACAUGACUUAAAAUUGAAUGUAAAGUGGUUUGAUGCUUUGCUCUCCAACUUUAAAUUACAUAAAAGUCAAGCAAUUCUAAUUUUCACAAUGACGAGUUUUUGCCACAUGGCGAUCCAAAUUCACAUAUUUAAAUACGUUGGGUACCCACGAUAGGGAUGACAACGGGAGAGAUGAGACGGGAUGGGAAGCCGCUAGGGAUUCGUCACGCCCUGUCCAAACCUUGAUCCCAGCUUAAGGUGGGGCGGUUGCAGGGGAUAGGGCAAUAUGGAUGGGAUGCCUCCUCUAUGCACAUAUUGUCCGUUUAAUUUUAUUUAAAUCAUAAGCCUUAGAUAUCUCUUUUUAAUUUUCACGCACUAACACAUACUAAAUGCCCACGUCAAUGGCUGCAAAAAUAGGGUCGGCCCUAAUAUUUUGGGGGCCUUAUGUCAAUUUCAAAUUGGGGCCCUAUAUUUUGAAUUUUCUUAUAUAGAGUUUUAGCCCCUGUUUGAUGAAGAUUAAGCCAUUGUUUGAGACUCAUUUUUUUCAUAAAAAUAUAUUUUUCAACAAUGAUUUGACACCACCAUGUCAACAUAUAUUUUUCAAUAAAAUAAUAUUACAUGCAAAUUCAAAAAUUUUCCUUAUUUUUUAAUCACACAUUCUCCAUCGUAUCACUUUCUCAAAAUGCAAUUUUUUUGGAGAAAAAUGAGGCUCAAAGGCUCAAACAACCCCUAAAAUAGAAUUUUCAUUUUUUUUUUCAAAAUGCAUUAUUAUUUUCUUAUGUUUGCAUAUGAUACUUCUAUACUACAGAAUUUCAUAAAUAUAAUUUUCAUUUUUUUUUCAACCAACAAAUUAACUUUACAUAAUUUGGGCCUCACUUAGGUGAUCGCCUAUUUCGUCUAUACUUAGGGCCACCACUGUGCAAAAACAACACAAGCCACCAAAUUUUGUGGUAAACACUGCAAGAAGAGGAGAACCCUAAACAAAGAGAGGUAAUGCUAAGAGGAACUCAUAAAUACGGAAUGGGGUGGAGAAGACAUGGCUGCUAGUUAAAGGAGAUGUGAUUGUGAGUCUCCAUCCUGUGCAACGAAGUCAUGACAUUGAUACCCAUCAACGUCGAUAGCUAGGGGCUGCUACAACGUGGUGCUAAGAAAUUGGGGGGGGGGGGUUUGGAAAUUUUGAAAUGUCUACGCUUUGUGUAAUGCACGUGCUUAUUUUUUGUGAUUAUCAUGUUUAUCUAAAUUAGUUGCGUUUAUGUUACAUUUACUAUUAAAUUAUUAUAAUUAUCAUAGUCGUGAUUAAUUAUGUUGAUAUAGUGGAAUGUGCCUUGGAUCAAAGUCGUGAUUAAUUAUGUUGAUACAGUGGAAUGUGCCUUGGACACUCUAUGCGAUCGACAUGCCUAUAGCUCCAAACUUAAAAUACAUAUGACUCUAUUUAAAUAUGCAAUUUAAUAUAAUUUGACGCCGUAUCACAUUCCUAUUAAUUUAAUUGUAUUGUCUAUAAUUAAUUUUAUUUAGUUAGAUUAAAUUAUAUAACGUAUUUAUCCUAUUAUGUACAAUCUCUUUUUUAGAUUGAACCUAGACAUUGAGUUGGAAGAUUUCUUUUUAUAAGUAAAUAAAUAAAUAAAAAUAAUAAUGAUAUAUAGUUAAUAAUUGAAUUAAUUUUCUAAUAGGAUCAAUUUAAGGUUAAGGAAGUUAAUAUAGAUAAAUAAGGAGGCGUAAUUUGUUAGAUUAGUACAAAUUAAACUAAAUAAACGCCAGUAGGUUUAGGAGUCUACAUAGUUGCCUUAUUUCACAUCUUUUUAAAAUUAAGUAGAAACUCUUUUUCCUGCCAAAAGUUUAAUUUCAAUUUCUUAUUUUGGGACUAGUAUGCUCUUGCAAUAAGGUAUGGUUCAUAAUUUAUUCAUGAUAUAAUCUAUCGGUUAACCUAUGUGUUUAAUUCUCUCUCUCUCUCUCUCUCUCUCUCUCUACACUACCAUAAAAGAGAGAAUGAGGGUUUACUGUUUAUUUUUGUCACACUCGUUUUCACACUUAACCGGUUUGGGAACUGGUUUGACAACAAGAAAAAUUCUAUUAAAAAAUACUAUAGGAAUUUUGUCAGGAAAAAUUCUAUUCAAAAUACUGUAGGAAUUUUGUCACACACCAUUGUCUACUGUAAUAUUUCUCCCUUGCUUUGAAUCUGACACACCAUGCUCUUUCUCCUAAUUCUCAAGCUAUAAACUACAAACUAUAUCUUAUAUAUUUAAAUUUUUUAAAUUAUAUUAAUAAACAAAAUUAUUGUAAAUAAACUAUAAAAAAAAUAUAUUCACUCUGUGCAUGGAGAAAAAAAUUUACGUCAUACUACAUAAUUUUUUUUGAGCAAAAUGAUGUAUUGAGAAAAUUGUUGGGAAAAAAUAAUAAAUAGUAAUAAAAUAAUUGAUUUUUUUAAAAGAAAAAUGACUUAUACGCAUUUUUUAACACAUACGUUUAAUGUCCGUUUAACUAUUUUCGAUAUUCAUUUAGAUCAUUCGAUGUGUCUAUGAUAUAGUUCUUGAAAUGAGUUUCGAGAGAAUGUAAAAUAUUUAUCGAUUCGACUAUCGUGCAAUCGUCAAUGAAUUUUUAAAGUUAACUCAUUAUCGAAAAUUUCGAAAUAUAGUUUGAAAAUGCCUAUUUUGACGUCCCGUAACAUUUGCUACGAUUAGCCGUUUCACGCAUCGUUAACGACAUGCAAUACUAUGCCGCAAGUACUUCAAAAUGAUAUUAAGAAUGUAAUAUUUCAAUUUCGUUUGAUAUCCCGUAAUGAGCCUGAGAUGAAUACAAAAACAUAAAUUAAAAAAAAAAAUUAGCAAACCUCCGUGCACGGAGGUUAAACCUCCAUACACGAAGGUUUAUGCGUGCGGGGAGUCCCCGCACAAAUAUGCAAUUUUUUUUUUUACUUUUAUUUGUAGUACAUUUUUUUAUUAAUAUUUAAUUUAAAAAAAUUAAAUAUAUCUAAAUAUUUACUUAAAAAUGUUGAAAUUAAUAUUUUUUACGUAUAAGUAACUUUUACAAUUAUAAUUUUUUUUAUUACUUUUAAAUAACUUGAAGUGAUUUGUUUAUUUAUAAAUAACUUUUUACAUUCUCGAUAGUUUAAUCUUUUUAUUAAUAUUUAAUUUUAAAAACUAAAUAUAUCUAAAUAUUUGUACUUAAAAAAUUCACAUUUUUUUAUAUAAGUAGCUUUUGCAAUUAUAAGAGAAUGAGGGAUUAAUAUUUUUUUAUCUUUUAGAUAGUGUAAUCUCUUUUUUUACUUUUAAAUAACUUAACCGAUUUGGGAACUGGUUUGGUAACAGGAAAAAUUCUAUUCAAAAAUACUGUAGAAAUUUGUCACAUGCCAUUUGAGUGCAAUGUCACAUCCACUGCAAUAUUUCUCUCUUACUUUGAAUCUGACACACCAUGCUCUUUCUCUUAAUUCUCACGUUAUUAACUAUUAAUCAUAUCCUAUAUAUUUAAUUUUUUAAAAUUAUAUUAAUAGAAAAACUUAUUGUAAAUAAAAUGUAAAAAAAAAAAUAUAUAUAUAUAUAUAUUCACUCCGUGCAUGAAGAAAUUUUUUUACGUCAUACCACAUAAGUUUUCUUAAGCAAAAUGAUGUAUUGAGAAAAUUAUUGCGAAAAAAUAAUAAAUAGUAAUAAAAUAAUUGAUUUUUUUUGAAGAAAAACGAUUUAUACGCAUUUUUUAACACAUAUGUUUAAUGUGCGUUUAACUAUUUUUGAUAUUAAUUUACAUCAUUUGAUGUGUUUAUGAUAUAUUUCUCGAAAUGAGUUUCGAGAGAAUGUAAAACAUUUAUUGAUUUGACUAUCGUAUAGUGGUAGAUGAAUUUUUAAAGUUAGCUUAUUAUCGAAAAUUUCGAAAUACAGUUUGAAAAUGUCUAUUUUGACGUCCCGUGACAUUUGCUACGAUUAGCCGUUUCACGCACCGCUAAUGACGUGCAAUACUAUAUCGCAAGUACUUUAAUAUGAUAUUAAGAAUAUAAUAUUUUAAUUUCGUUUGAUAUCCCCUAAUGAGUCUAAAAAUGAACAUAAAAACAUAAGCUAAAAAAAAAUGAAGCAACAUGUAUUAAACCUCCUCAUGUCCUCGGUGCACGCACCAAUCCGAUUUUUGGUUACCCAUUUUCUCCACCACUUAACCCUAAUUGUUCUCUCUCUCUCUCUCUCUCGAUCGGCACCAUUGUAGCAAGAAAUUCUGGAAAACCUGAAGCAACUGAGACAUAUACUUGUAAGUCUAAUCAUCACUGCUUCGACUUCUUUCUCUUCUCUUCUGUAUAUUGCUUCUAAUUUGUCGAGUUGUAUUGUUCAAUAUAUUCUUAGUUUUCAAUUUUUUUUUUUUUUUUUUGUUUUUUGAAGAGUUCAAGCCCAAAUACGUAAAGUCAUGUUUCAAGGGGGGGUUAGGUUUGGGUUGUUGUGUAUAUGUUUUUCAAUUUAUAUAGCUGUGGUAUUGAAUAUGAGAUUUCUUGUCCAAUUUGCUUUUUUUUUUGUUCCCCGUUUUCCUUCUUCUGAGAGGUCGAACCCAAAAUACCUAAAGUCUAUUAUUUUCAUGUUGUUAUUAUUUUUUUCUAUUAUUAUUUUCAUGUUAUUAUUAUUAUUUUUUUUUGUUCAAUUUCUUCGUGUUGUGUAUAAGUUUUUUUUUAUUUCUGCAGCCGUCAUGUUGAAUAUGAGAUUUUUUGUUCAAUCUGUGUUUUUUUCCUCAUUUUUUGUAAGAAACUGAACUGAAAAGACAUAUAAUUUGUUCUUCCCAUGUUUGGCUCUUUGAUUAUAUUUAACUUUAAGAAGGAGAACAAAAUGUUUCAAGUCGGAUAAUUCAUUAAAUACCCAAAUGCAAAUUCCGAAAAAGGUUAUCAUUGCUUUUCACUUGCUGCAAUUGAUACACAUGAGUGCUUAAUUUGAUGUUUGUGAUUGACAGAUUUUGAUGAAUACUGUACUACCANNNNNNNNNNNNNNNNNNNNNNNNNNNNNNNNNNNNNNNNNNNNNNNNNNNNNNNNNNNNNNNNNNNNNNNNNNNNNNNNNNNNNNNNNNNNNNNNNNNNNNNNNNNNNNNNNNNNNNNNNNNNNNNNNNNNNNNNNNNNNNNNNNNNNNNNNNNNNNNNNNNNNNNNNNNNNNNNNNNNNNNNNNNNNNNNNNNNNNNNNNNNNNNNNNNNNNNNNNNNNNNNNNNNNNNNNNNNNNNNNNNNNNNNNNNNNNNNNNNNNNNNNNNNNNNNNNNNNNNNNNNNNNNNNNNNNNNNNNNNNNNNNNNNNNNNNNNNNNNNNNNNNNNNNNNNNNNNNNNNNNNNNNNNNNNNNNNNNNNNNNNNNNNNNNNNNNNNNNNNNNNNNNNNNNNNNNNNNNNNNNNNNNNNNNNNNNNNNNNNNNNNNNNNNNNNNNNNNNNNNNNNNNNNNNNNNNNNNNNNNNNNNNNNNNNNNNNNNNNNNNNNNNNNNNNNNNNNNNNNNNNNNNNNNNNNNNNNNNNNNNNNNNNNNNNNNNNNNNNNNNNNNNNNNNNNNNNNNNNNNNNNNNNNNNNNNNNNNNNNNNNNNNNNNNNNNNNNNNNNNNNNNNNNNNNNNNNNNNNNNNNNNNNNNNNNNNNNNNNNNNNNNNNNNNNNNNNNNNNNNNNNNNNNNNNNNNNNNNNNNNNNNNNNNNNNNNNNNNNNNNNNNNNNNNNNNNNNNNNNNNNNNNNNNNNNNNNNNNNNNNNNNNNNNNNNNNNNNNNNNNNNNNNNNNNNNNNNNNNNNNNNNNNNNNNNNNNNNNNNNNNNNNNNNNNNNNNNNNNNNNNNNNNNNNNNNNNNNNNNNNNNNNNNNNNNNNNNNNNNNNNNNNNNNNNNNNNNNNNNNNNNNNNNNNNNNNNNNNNNNNNNNNNNNNNNNNNNNNNNNNNNNNNNNNNNNNNNNNNNNNNNNNNNNNNNNNNNNNNNNNNNNNNNNNNNNNNNNNNNNNNNNNNNNNNNNNNNNNNNNNNNNNNNNNNNNNNNNNNNNNNNNNNNNNNNNNNNNNNNNNNNNNNNNNNNNNNNNNNNNNNNNNNNNNNNNNNNNNNNNNNNNNNNNNNNNNNNNNNNNNNNNNNNNNNNNNNNNNNNNNNNNNNNNNNNNNNNNNNNNNNNNNNNNNNNNNNNNNNNNNNNNNNNNNNNNNNNNNNNNNNNNNNNNNNNNNNNNNNNNNNNNNNNNNNNNNNNNNNNNNNNNNNNNNNNNNNNNNNNNNNNNNNNNNNNNNNNNNNNNNNNNNNNNNNNNNNNNNNNNNNNNNNNNNNNNNNNNNNNNNNNNNNNNNNNNNNNNNNNNNNNNNNNNNNNNNNNNNNNNNNNNNNNNNNNNNNNNNNNNNNNNNNNNNNNNNNNNNNNNNNNNNNNNNNNNNNNNNNNNNNNNNNNNNNNNNNNNNNNNNNNNNNNNNNNNNNNNNNNNNNNNNNNNNNNNNNNNNNNNNNNNNNNNNNNNNNNNNNNNNNNNNNNNNNNNNNNNNNNNNNNNNNNNNNNNNNNNNNNNNNNNNNNNNNNNNNNNNNNNNNNNNNNNNNNNNNNNNNNNNNNNNNNNNNNNNNNNNNNNNNNNNNNNNNNNNNNNNNNNNNNNNNNNNNNNNNNNNNNNNNNNNNNNNNNNNNNNNNNNNNNNNNNNNNNNNNNNNNNNNNNNNNNNNNNNNNNNNNNNNNNNNNNNNNNNNNNNNNNNNNNNNNNNNNNNNNNNNNNNNNNNNNNNNNNNNNNNNNNNNNNNNNNNNNNNNNNNNNNNNNNNNNNNNNNNNNNNNNNNNNNNNNNNNNNNNNNNNNNNNNNNNNNNNNNNNNNNNNNNNNNNNNNNNNNNNNNNNNNNNNNNNNNNNNNNNNNNNNNNNNNNNNNNNNNNNNNNNNNNNNNNNNNNNNNNNNNNNNNNNNNNNNNNNNNNNNNNNNNNNNNNNNNNNNNNNNNNNNNNNNNNNNNNNNNNNNNNNNNNNNNNNNNNNNNNNNNNNNNNNNNNNNNNNNNNNNNNNNNNNNNNNNNNNNNNNNNNNNNNNNNNNNNNNNNNNNNNNNNNNNNNNNNNNNNNNNNNNNNNNNNNNNNNNNNNNNNNNNNNNNNNNNNNNNNNNNNNNNNNNNNNNNNNNNNNNNNNNNNNNNNNNNNNNNNNNNNNNNNNNNNNNNNNNNNNNNNNNNNNNNNNNNNNNNNNNNNNNNNNNNNNNNNNNNNNNNNNNNNNNNNNNNNNNNNNNNNNNNNNNNNNNNNNNNNNNNNNNNNNNNNNNNNNNNNNNNNNNNNNNNNNNNNNNNNNNNNNNNNNNNNNNNNNNNNNNNNNNNNNNNNNNNNNNNNNNNNNNNNNNNNNNNNNNNNNNNNNNNNNNNNNNNNNNNNNNNNNNNNNNNNNNNNNNNNNNNNNNNNNNNNNNNNNNNNNNNNNNNNNNNNNNNNNNNNNNNNNNNNNNNNNNNNNNNNNNNNNNNNNNNNNNNNNNNNNNNNNNNNNNNNNNNNNNNNNNNNNNNNNNNNNNNNNNNNNNNNNNNNNNNNNNNNNNNNNNNNNNNNNNNNNNNNNNNNNNNNNNNNNNNNNNNNNNNNNNNNNNGAUUGAGCUGGUGUGACUGCAAUGGUAUAAUUAUUGCAUGUUUAAUUAUUGUACAUGCAUGUAUUAGCCAAUAAUUUUUGCUUCCCCAGAAAAUUCAACUGAUGGGGAUAAAUUGGAAAAACUUUCUCGUUGUCAUUUGCAUCAUCUGCAAUCAAGCGUUAGCAAGCGCAAUCGUGCUUGGUGUACAAUCAUUUUUACAAUAUUGUUGAUAACAUGCCAUGGGUCAUGUUGUCAUUGGAUAAUUUAAAAAACAAUUUAUAUUUCCUACUAACACUUUUAUGACAUAUACAACAUCGUCAACAAUGUUGUCAAAAAUCAUUGUACAAAUGGCAUUAUCCUAGCAAGAAACACAAGGCAUACGGUGAUGCAAAUAAUGGGCAUAAGCCAUUAGCAUACGGAGAAAAGCCAAGGAAGGCAGCAAACGUUCCUUUUGAUAUUUCCUUACUUGAUAAGUUGCUGUCAGCUUUCUUCCCUUCAUUUUUCUUCCUAAAAAAUAAUUUGUUAUUUGUACUCCUCAUACAUGUGGAAUUCAUGGAUCUUAGGAUAAUCCCAACGCCUAAAAUAUUCGUUGAUGACUUUUGCAUUCCCUAGGCUAAAUUUCACUGGUUUUGUUGAAGAUAUCUAUAUAUAUGUAGAUGAAUAAUACUAUUUUUUCGAGUGUAGAUGAUUUCCUUACGAUAGUAGAAUUUGUUGCUCAAUUCUACACUAAUGGUCAUUAGUUGCUUUCUUUGCCAUUUAUGCUUGUUUUCUUAUUAUAUUUCAUUUCGGGUUUAAUUUUAAUUUAGUGAUAUUAUGGUACAUGGUGUUUGUUAUACUGUGGCUAAGUUCUCAUUUUUAGGUACAUUUGGAUUCAUUAACAUUCUUUUACAUGGCUGUUCUUUAAAACUUAGCCAAAGAUGAUGUUGCAUGGUUGAAGUGGCAAGGUUUUCAUAUUUAGGUAGAAUCAUUUUUGUAUCUAAUACUAAGAGUUGUAACCAAAAUGGUUAAAGUAGGACAAAAGCUUUUACUUAGUGUUUCAUUAUGAUACAUGGAUUGAAAUUUAGAUCUAUCCUAUAACCUCUAUAACUGCAGAUAAUGUAUGUAUUAGAUAGUUUUCUCUUAUAAUUAAAUAUAUAUUAAAUUCUUUUGUCAAAGCAAUUAGUUACAAGGUGUAAGAAAUAUUAAUUUUGUAACAUAGAAUGGAGUUAAUUCGUGAAGUUUAUCAGUUAUUAAGUACUAUUAUUUUACAACAUGUUCAUUUUAAGAGAAUUGAUGUUACUUGAGAAAUUGAAGGAAUGCAUUUGUUGCGCCAAAAGGGGAUAAAGACUGAAUAGACAUAGGUAUUCUUUGACCUAACGAAAGAACUGAAAAAUACCAUGCAUGGUGUUUGAUUAAUAAAGUGCUUUCUCUGUGUUGUGGUAUAUCUUAUUGUCUGAUGCAGGCAAUAAGAUCACUAGGGAAAUGAGAGCUUUCCAAAAUACCAUAGAAUCUUGAAGGAAAUUCAAGUUUGAUUACUUCAGGUAUGUUAGUUUCUAUUUUUUGUUGUCAAUCUUCAAAUUGUUUGUUUUCUCUUUUCAGAAAAUUUAACAAACCGUUCCCAAAAUACCAGAAAAUUUCGACAAAAAUUGGACUCCGAGGACCUCGAGUAUCUUCCUUUAUUAUUUUUCUGUGUAUUUUUUGUUGAAUUAUCUUCAUAUCUACUCUGAAGUUUUCGUUCUUUUCCGUCUAUGUUUGAAGUUCUUUGCAAGGAAAGAAAAGAUUCACGUACAAAUUGAAGAGUAUCAAAAUAAGGUAUGUCGAUUUCAUAUUUGCCUUUAAUAAGGUAUGUCGAUUUCAUAUUUGCCUUUUUUUUUCUUUUUUUCAAAUAAAUCAUUCUCACUAUUUGUUAUCUGUUUGUAUUUUAUUUGAUUUCUCUAUUUCAUUUUAUUGCUUUUUGUUGGUUGUUUAACCUAUUCGGCGUUCGUCGCAACUUGUACAAAUAAACCAUGACAAGAAUAUUGUACUUGUAAAUAGGUAAUAUUAUUUCAUUUUUUAGAUAGUAAUUAUGAAUAGGGAGAGGAGAAAGCGAUUAAACUAUUCACAUUCUCCUCUGUGAUUCCUAACAACAAAGGACUGAUGACUCUAUCGAGAAACAAAAGUAGCAACUUCAGAAGGAAAGAAUUGAAUCAAAUUGCCAUUAAUUUUUUUUGGUAAUAAAUGAAUUAAAUUUCGGUUAUUUUGUUAAUUAAUUUAGUGUUGAUUGAUUUUUUUUUUUUACCGUAUUUUAUCUUUAAAUACAUAUGCAAUCAUUUGUGCCAAAAGACAAAAGUGAAAAUUGAUGGGGUUUUAUUUUUUUUUUUUUUAUUUUUUAAAUGGGUUUGCAUUGUGUUAGAAAUGGGAAGGAUUUUGACACCAAACCGUCUGAUUAUGGAGAAAAGAUAAUAAGUUAAGAAAGAACGGGAAGUUAUUUAAAAAAUUUCAAGUUUUUUCAUAUUAUGUAGGAGAUGGGAUUUCUAUUUUUCUGGCAGAAUUUUCAUCAAUUGUCCAAAUUCAUUUGUCAAUGAGGUAAUUGCUAUUCCAUUAUGCCACAUACAAAGGAUAGAUUUUUGAAUCAAUUUUCGUCUAAGGAUUUGGUUCUAUGGUGUCUCAAAUCCAUGCAUUCGCUGCAUAGUUCUAGCCAGUAGUUCUUAGCCAAAGAGAAUAAACAUUCUAUAACUAUUUAUGAUAAAUAUGAAAUUCACUCAUUUGCUUAUGAGCUGCAUUAUUUAGAAAUAGAUUUUUUUUCCCUCUCUCAUUUUCCCUUCAAAACUCCAUUUUCUCCCCUCUUUUCCUUUUUUUGGAUGGAAAUUUUUUUAAUGGAAUUAUCCUUUUCAGACUUAGAAUCUGAUAUAAUCAUUUUCUUAUAUCUUCGAAAGACAAUCAGGUAUGACUUUUAGAUUUCCUUUUGUAAAAAUCUUAUGUUGCAAUGCUAUUGGAAUUUCAAUGAAAGAGAAUUUUUCUAAUACCCUUUUUUUCUUUUUUUAUGGAGAUUGUAUAUUCACCCAAUGGCUAUUAUUUCGAUUAUUUGUUUAAAUUUUUUUGUGUUAAGGUUGCAAUUUUUUUUGCCUUUUGGAAAUCACUUAAUGGGGUUGUCAGUCUCUUUUCUUGAUUUAAAUAUCUCUCAGGACUUAAUUUGAAGGCAUGCAUUAUGUGAGAACAUGUGAAGGAAGUGAUAAUAUUUUAAUGUAGGGUUUUGAAGAAGUUCAAAGACAAGAUAUCUGAGUUCCAGGUAAAUUAGAUACACAAUAUAAUGGAAAGGUUUGAAUUUCUUCCAAUUCUUCUUUCCAUUUCUCAUUAUCUCUUAAUAAUAAUUUUCUAUAGGCUUUAAGACAAAACAUCCAUCGAGAGUAUCGUGAAAGUUGUCAAGAGGCGUGUAUUCACAGGUUUAACCCUUAUUAUAUGAAAUGAACUUGUGUAACUCUGUGUAAUAGGUUCCUUUCUCUUUAUUCAAUUAACAAUUUCCUUUUUCAUGAACCUCAGUGACAGAAAGUCAAGCUAAUGAAGAGGUAAAACUUGCAACCACGUUUUUAUUCUAAUAAUUAGAAUGUCAUGGACAGGUUUCUCAUUGCUCAAAUGUUUUGCCGCAGACAAUUGAUAAUUGACCAGGACUGGGGAUAGUGAACAAAUCCUUAUGACAUUGUUGUUAUGUGUUAAUUGUCUCAAUGGCAUAUUUCUAUUUACAUAUCUAUAUUAAGGAAGUUAGGACUAUUGGAAUGCUACAUGUUGCAACUUAUAAGCUCAAAUUAAUAAGCAAGUAUGAAAAUAAAGCUUAAUAUCUCAUGGCUGAAAAUAAUCGUUUAUUAGAUUCACGUAUUAUAAUUUUCUGGAUGUAUUCAUCUGUUGUUUUGGUUCCAUUAAGCAUGUGACUUCGGGAUUGCCUCCUCUAAAAUUUGUUCACAUCAAAGAGCAUUCCAUGUUUUAUUGUUAUUUAUUUUUGAAACUUUAACUAAUUCAACUAUGUAAUUAUGGCCCCAUUUGAUCUAUGUACAAGGUUCUGAGAAAUUAUAUAAUUGCAACUGUUGGAUUGUCAAAAGCUUCCACAUGUUGAGCUCGUUUUAAUUUUUCAGUAGAAUUUGAAUUGUAUAAAUGUUGUCUUUAGCAUUCCUCUCAAAACGUUUGUUUUUUUAUGUUUCAUGUAUUGCUUUUUCUUAAGAGUUAUUUAGUUUUACUAGCUUCUUUUUUAAUACAUUGGUCCUAAAAUGGUUUUCUACAAUUUCCUUUGUAACAGGCAAGCUUAGUUACUAGCACCACAAGUUACCAUGUUCCACCACAAAAGUAAUUGUCAAAGUGAUUAGGCGAGUGAUGACCUGAGCAUGAACACGUGGAUAGUUAGGAACAUCUCCCAUUGUCAUUCAAAAACCAUAUUACUAGGAUUCAAGGUAAGUAUACCUCACAUUGUCUUCAUGUGCAUAUUUAAUUAUUAAAUGUAUAAAUGUGUUACUUAAAUUUGUUAUUAUGUGAUCUUGAUAUUUAAUUAUUUCGUUUUAUGUCAUUAAUGCUUCUUUAUGACAUAUUCAUACACAUCAAUGCAUCCAUAAGCAUACAAGAAGUUCCAAGAAAAAAUGAAAGUUUCCAAAUGUUAAUGAAGCAAGGAAUGUUUUUAAAGAUAUAUAUCUCGAAUAUUUUCUUACGAGGUGUAUAUCUAUGUCAUGAAGGGUGUGAGUGGGGAACCGGCACACCCGACUAAUGUUCAAUGAUAAUGUUAAUGUUAUUCGUUUUGUGGACCUAUUGGUAGGACUCGAUCGUGUUCCAAAUAAUAAAUGUACACUGCAUUUUGAUUGGCUAGGUGAUACAUCAAGUGAGCUCACGACGUCAAUAUUAAAUUUUUUUUUUUUUUUAAAAAUGAAUGAAAGAGGAUACAUAUUGAGGAAUGAUUUUAUCUUAAAAUAAUUCAUGUGCAUAUCAUAAGCAUAUAUCAUAUGCAUGAGAUUUGCUUCCUAAGCGUUCGCUCAUUUCACGUUAUUCCUCCCAAUUUUUAGAUAAUGAAGGCAACAAUUCAAGACGAUUACUUGUGGUGCAAUGGAUUGAGUACUAAUAUAUUCAAAAAUUGACUCCUUUUAGAAUAUAAAGUUAACAUUUAAUUUUAUUGUUUUUUAAAUUUAAGUGUAAAAGUUUUCUACAAGUUACGCUCAUAAACGAAGUUAAUAAUGUUCAUUAUAUCAAAGAAAAAUUUCGUUGCUUCCGCAUUUAUAAUUUUAAUAGAAAACCUUUAGCACCAUAUCUUAAGACAUCGAGGAUGUCUAGGAUCCAGGCCCCCCCCCCCCCCCCCCCCCCUUCCCCCCANNNNNNNNNNNNNNNNNNNNNNNNNNNNNNNNNNNNNNNNNNNNNNNNNNNNNNNNNNNNNNNNNNNNNNNNNNNNNNNNNNNNNNNNNNNNNNNNNNNNNNNNNNNNNNNNNNNNNNNNNNNNNNNNNNNNNNNNNNNNNNNNNNNNNNNNNNNNNNNNNNNNNNNNNNNNNNNNNNNNNNNNNNNNNNNNNNNNNNNNNNNNNNNNNNNNNNNNNNNNNNNNNNNNNNNNNNNNNNNNNNNNNNNNNNNNNNNNNNNNNNNNNNNNNNNNNNNNNNNNNNNNNNNNNNNNNNNNNNNNNNNNNNNNNNNNNNNNNNNNNNNNNNNNNUUUUUUUUUUUUUUCAAUUAGGGGCAAAAAACGACGCCGUUUGCUUGAUAUAUAUUUUAUUUUAUUGUACACUACCUCCAAAUUUACUGCAACAUGCAAUUUUCAUUCUUCGCCUACUUCGAUAUAGAUAUAUAUAGUAGAGAUAUAAGAAAAAUACCACUUUUAUAUUAAAAAAAAAAUAAAAAAAGAUAGAGAUAAUAUAGGACUGAAUUUUUUUUACAACAUAUUACUUGUAAGUAAAAAAAUUGAAGAGAAACGAAUUAAAGAGAAUUUUAAAUUGAAAAAAAAAUUAUAACGUAAAAACUACACAGCAAAAAAAAAAAGUAAGUAAUCUCUUCGUGCAUGGAGCAAAAGCUCCCGUGCAUGGAGACAUUAGUCAUUUUUUAUUUUCCAUUUUGUUUAUGUCAAACAAAUGUUCUUCUACACAUCAUGUCAUUAGCAUUAAAAAAUAAUAAUAAUUUUAGUAAAUAUAAAUUACCACGAGCAAAAAAAAAAAACUCCUCUCCACACAAUGCGGAGAGAUGGCAAACCAUGUGCGUAGAGUUGACAAACUCUCUGUACAGUGAGAAGUUAAAAAAAAAUUUAUAAAUUUUUUUUUAUUACAAUUAACAUAAAAAAAUCAUUUUUAUCUUCAACAAAAAAACACAUUUAAAAAUUAGCAAUUUCAUAAUCACUUUUUUUUUAUUCCCGAAAAUACAAUUAUAAAAAAGAAAAUAAUAUUGAAUUAUAAAAACCAAUAUCUGCGAAAUACGGUAUCUAAAGACAAUAUGUGCAAAUACGGUAUGAUGUAAAUACAGUAUGAUGCAAAUAUGAUAUACUGUAUAUAUAGUAUGAUACAAAUACGAUAUGUUGUAAAUACGAUAUGAUGCAAAUAUGGUACGCUGUAAAUACGGUGUGCUGCAUAUACGGUAUAAUGCAAAUACAGUAUGAUGCAAAUACGGUAUGCUGUAAAUACGGUGUGCUGCAUAUACGGUAUGAUGCAAAUAUAAUAUGCUGCAUAUACGGUACGUUGUAAAUAUGGUAUGCGUAAAUACGGUAUAUUACAUGUAUGAUAUAUAUAAUGCAUAUGCGGUAUGAAUAAAUCCGGUUUCAUCCACUACAAUAAAUUUCAAUACCAUAUAUGCUGUCUUUCGUAUUUGCAGUUUACCAUAUAUGCAGCCUACCGUAUUUGCAGGCAACUUACCGUAUAUGCUACCUACUUUAUGUGCAGCUUAUCGUAUAUACCAUUUUUGCACUUACAAAUACCGAGAGUGCAGAACACCAUACAUUCACUUAUCAAACGAAUGUCAGAAAAAAAUUUCAGAUUUUUACUUUUCAACAUAAGCAUAAAAUAAAUAUUAAAAUAUAUGAAAGACAAAAUAUAAAACGCAUAUAAAUAUGCAAGUUGAUUUAUAAUUAUGCAGUGGCACAUAUUAUACAUUUAAAAUUUCUUAUGUCGGUGCAAAAUAACUUUGAAGUCAUUCUAGAGCAAAUUAAACCACUGCAAUGUCUAUUCUAGAAAUACAAUUGUGCAAAUUAAUAUGAAUUAAAUCUACAUUACAUUGGACUUGGAUUUAUUUAUAACAAAUAUUGGUGAUUAGUCUAAAGACAAUAUGUGCAAAUACGGUAUGCUAUAUACUAUAUGUUAUAGUUAAGAUAUAACAUACUAUACGUAUAUGUUAUAAUACAAUGUUUAGCAUAAUAUAAUGAGAAAUUAUUGUUGUACAAUUUUUUUUUGUUAUAUUACAGCAAAAUGCAUAUUACAACAUAUAACUUACCGUAUGUGCUCUAAUACAAUCUGUGCGGCGACUUUCUAUUUUUUUUAAAAUUUAAUCAUGUAACCUAAUAUUUGUUUAGUUUGUUAUUUUAUUAAUUAAAAAUAUGUAUUAAAUCUAAUAACAAAAUAUAAUUACAAGAAUAAGUUUAAUUUCAAUAUAAUAAAAAAAAUUUCGAGGAAAUAAUCAUUGCUAACAACAAAAGAAUCUAAAAAAAUGAAGAAGACAAAAACGAAAAAAGUAAAAUUUGUGAAAAGAAGAAAAUGAAAACAUGAUACCAAAAAAUUUGGCAUUAUUGUUUGAAUGAGAAAUGUUUUAUUGAUACACAAAAGACUUUUGCAGUCACCAGGUUAAAAGUAUAGAUUUAUUGUGUUGUGAAUUUUUUUUAAAUAAUCGUAGUAAAUCUUCUUGUUACGAUAAUAAAAUUACAAUAAUUUUUUUUUUACAAAUAGCAUAAAAAAAUCAUUUUUAUCUUCAACAAAAAACACAUGUAAAAAUUUUCAAUUUCAUAAUCACCUUUUUUUUUAAAUUCCCCAAAAUAAAAUUAUAAAAAAGAAAACAAUAUUGAAUUACAAAAACCAAUAUCUGCCAAAUACGGUAUCUAAAGACAAUAUGUGCAAAUAUGGUAUGCUGUAAAUAUGGUAUGAUGCAAAUACAGUAUGCUGUAAAUACGAUCUGAUUCAAAUACGGUAUGCUGUAAAUACGAUAUGCUGCAUAUAUGGUAAGCUGCAAAUACGGUAUGCGUAAAUACGGUAUGUGGCAUAUAUGAUAUGUAAAGUGCAUAUACGGUAUGAAUGAAUCCGGUUUCAUCCACUACAAUAAAUUUCAAUACCGUAUAUGCUGUCUACCGUAUUUGCAGCCUACAAUAUAUAUAGUCUACCGUAUUUGUAGGCAACUUACCGUAUAUGCUACCUACCGUAUUGCAGCUUACCGUAUAUACUGAUUUUUGCGCUUACAAAUACUGAGAAUGCAAAACAUCAUACAUUCACUUAUCAAACCGAAUGUCAGAAAAAAAAUUUCAUAUUUUUAUUUUUUCAACAUAAGCAUAAAAUAAAUAUUAAAAUAUAUGAUGCUCAAUCUUCAAUUUUUCAAUAUUGAAUUACACAAAUUUUAGAAAUAUAAUGUUCACAUUCAAUUCAAUCAUAUCAACACUAUCAAAGAAUACAGGCAAAAUAGUUUGUAUAACCUCGUAUAUUUCUUAUUUAAGUAUGAAAUAUACAAGCAUAUUUUUUUAGAUAACACAAUACUGUUGUAAUUGUAAAAAUAAUUUGCAAUCAUUUUCUUAUAUCAUGAAAAUAUUUCUAGAUAUUACUUCAAAAACUUUCCAAAAAACUAAAAUUCAUAAGCUAAUAAAAAUAUGAUAAAUACAAAAUUCGUGCAACGCACAUGACAGCGACUAGUAUGAAGAAAAAGGGCAAAUGACUAACCUAUUCAAUGUAGUGAAGUGGCUCUUGUAUUCAAUGUUCACAUGCCCAAGAUGGGUUCAAUUCCCAACAUUGUGAAAUUAAUUUUUCCUCCAAUUUUCGGGGCGAUUUUGAGGUGGAAACCUUGUUCCCUUGUAGUGUCUCUACACGAGAUAAGAACUCUUUUCCUAGCCGGGCCAGCCUACCCUAAUUCCUCGAUUAAUCAAGAAUUUUCUGUUAUUUAGGAUAGUCCUUGUUGGCAUCAAGACAAUCGAAAAUAAUUGUCAUCCUAACCUAAAAUAUCAUUUUUGAAUGUUGAGACCCGAAACCAUAUUAAUUCAAAUGUUAUCUAGCACAAAUCUAAUUUUUCUCAUAUUGAAUAGAAAUUCACGUGCCCACCUUUAAACAAAACAAUUGUAGAAGAAAAAUCAAGAAAAUAUAAAGAAUAUCGCAAAAUUCACUUAAAGGCCACUGCCUCCCACUACUGGGCAAAUCUCCUGAAUCGAACCGAAUCGAACCUGACGGUUCUUCUCAAAUUAAAUACCCAAACGGGUAUCUGAAUUAAGAACUGACGGGUACGAUUCGGUUCUCGAUUCUAGACGAAGAACCGAAUAUUCCUAAUUUUUAUUUUUUUAUAUUGAAUAAAUCAAAUUAUUUUAAUUUUUUCCAAACAAAUUAACAAAUUAGGUGAUUAAUUGAUACUUUAUCUCCUAAGCCCUAGCCUAGCUAGCUUGACCUAACCCAACCAAUUUCUAAAUCCAAUUUUUUGGCCCAAUUAUUUGUUUCAUUUCUAUUUUUUUAAUUUUUAGCCCAAGUGUCAUUUUUAGUUUUUAUUCUUCCAUUUUUUUAGCCCAACAUCCAAGUGAUCCAACCCACUAGUGACUAACCCUAAAUAAAUUACACACAUUAUCACCUACACAUAACACAUUUGACAUUCCAAAACUCAAAUAGAUGUAUAGAACCUCCGACUUCGAGUCCGAAGCUAUGACCUCCGGGCUCCGAUGACGACCUUUGACCGUUGAUUAUUUGAAUAAGGUAGUGUGUAAGCUUUCCUAUAUGUGAUUGGUAAAUUAAUCUUGUUGGACAACUUGUUAUAUACAUGUCAAAUUGGAUUACGUUAAUUUAUAAAAUUACGAUUGAAUGUGUUAUUAGUUGUAUUUAUAUAGUGUUGUUAUAAAUGUUAAAAAAUUUAAUUAUAUAGUACAGAACAGAACCGAACCGAACGGAACUGAACCCGAACGGUUCCAUAAUUAUAUUUGGACCCGACAGUUCUAUUUACUAAAUAUCCAAAAUUUUUGGUUCGGUUCUCUAGUGUGUAAGCUUUCCUAUAUGUGAUUGGUAAAUUAAUCUUGUUGGACAACUUGUUAUAUACAUGUCAAAUUGGAUUACGUUAAUUUAUAAAAUUACGAUUGAAUGUGUUAUUAGUUGUAUUUAUAUAGUGUUGUUAUAAAUGUUAAAAAAUUUAAUUAUAUAGUACAGAACAGAACCGAACCGAACGGAACUGAACCCGAACGGUUCCAUAAUUAUAUUUGGACCCGACAGUUCUAUUUACUAAAUAUCCAAAAUUUUUGGUUUGAUUCGGUUCACUUUAAAAUCGAACCGAACCGACUUACGCCCAGGCCUAAUCAUAACAAUAAUUAUAUACAUCUCUACCUUAUUUCAAUACCAUUCCUUUCACACCAUGUGGGACCCAUCUUUAAACUAAUGGUCAAAAAUUGAUUUUCAAAAUAAGCUCCUAACAGGUUCAUAGAGGUAUAAUCAUUAGGCCCUUAUUAAGCCGAGUUACGAACAAUUUUUUUUUUCAAAAUUAGUUUUAAAAUAAAUAAAGUUUAUCUUUUGUAUAUAGGUGGUCGUGGACCAUGAGCCUCUACCUAAGUCCAAGUGGUGUGGUCUCGAGCCUUGGCGGCUAGGUGCACAUUUAUUUUUCUAGUUUUGAAUCAUCCGUAUAGUAAUUAAUUCACAUGCAGAUGCUUAGUUAUAUGCAGACAAGAUGAUCCUCCAUUAAUUUACACAAAUGGAACGAUUCCAACCAUUCGAAACUUGUGCUAUUUGAUGAUGAUAUUAAAUGGUGCUAAAAAAUAUGUCAUUUCAUAUGUGAAUCUAUUCAUAGAUCUUAUCUACACAACUAACACAUCAUAAUCAAUGACUGUCAUUACAAUAUUGCGUGACAAAUUAUCGAACUUUCACAUAACAUUAUUUAGGAAAUCUUUCUUUUGACUUUAUGUUUCAUUGUAAUAAUCUAAAGAUCUCAUGAAUCCAUUUCGAAAAUAGAACAUGACUUCAAUUCAAUUUGGCAAUUUAUACUAAUCUAUCUUUUAAUUUGAGGAAUUUCCUUUAUAUUUUCUUGCUUAACAUAAAUAUACUUUGCAUUUUUAAUUUCCAGCCUAUUUCAUUAUUUUAAUUUUGUGAUUGUCAUCAACAAUGAAACGAAUACUAGUUUUAUUGAAACAAUCUUUCAUGCCUAAUUAAUUUAAUCCUUGAGCAAUAAAAAUCAUAUUUCUUUUGGAAUUUAUGGUUGGAAUGUGAAAUAAGAAUCACCCGAAAAAUAAAAAUAAAAUCAAUUUAAGAAAUCAAGAUCGUUACUGGAUGUUUACAUGUAAAUUUAAUCAAUAAAUAAAAAAUAUCUAAAAUUUACCCAAAUUCGAUAAUUAAUUCUUAAAUCAGAUAUGAAUAGCGAAAUUUCAGUCUUUUGAAUUGUGAAAUUUCAAUUUUGAUUCCAAUAAUUUGAUUUAAGUUUCAAGCCUUCUAUUCAUCAAAAUCAAGAUUACACUAGUGUGUGGACAUCUUCUUUUAAUUACACCAAAAAUUAAAUUAUAGACCUUAGAAAAAUCACUUCAAUCCAUAUAAACUUUUGGUAAAAGUUUAAAAUAUCUACUCAAUAAAUCUUAAUGUCUCUUAUGAUUUUUAUAGUGCUAUGUUGAUUUCCAAAGGGAGUACUAUUUCAUGUUUGACAAUACAUCGUUUUCACAACUAACACCAACAAUUUUAUUUAAUUUCUAAAUUAAAAAAGGAGAUGCUAUUUACAUCCACCAUUAUUAUAUUUAUCUACUUUAAAAAAGAAAAUUAUAUUAUAUUUUUAACCUUAUGUAAAUUUACUUAAAUAUCAUUAUAAAAUUAAAUAAAAAUAUAUUAGUCUAAAUUUAUCCACUAAUAUUUAUUUUCAUUAAAUUCUUCUGGACUUUUUAUAUUCUUUUAAAUUUAUGUUUAAAUAAAAUUCUAAUAUUUAUAAAAUAUCCUCUUCGACUAUAGUCAAAACAACAAUGAAAGACACAUCAUAAGGGCAAAUGCAUAUAGACAUAACAAUAUAUGAAAAAAGAAUUUGAAAAAGUAGGAUUGCCUUUCAUUGUAAGCAUAAUGAAUUUAGUAUGUGAACAAUUCUUAAUUUUUGUUUGGAGUUUUGAUAAUAUGCAUUUUAAACUCAAGUUGUAUCAGUAAGAAAUUUUAUUACAAAUUAUUUUAGUUUUCUGUUGAGAUUAUCUUUUUUUCUCUAAAUUUUUUGAAUUAAAAAUAUUGAUAGUUAUAUUUUCUGUUGGGAUUAGUAAAACAAGAAUUUGAGUUUCCUGCAGGGAUUAUCUCUUUCUUUUUUCCCCUUUCUUUCUUUCUUUCUUGAUUUUCUUUCUAUGGAUUUAUAAGGACAAUUUUGAAAUAUAGUGCUUGUUUGGUAGGGAAUUUUGAUAAUAUAUAUAUGUCCCGUUUGGGAGUGAUUUUUCACCCCAAAAAUAUGAUUUUUUGAUUGUUAUUUUAUUAUUCCAAUCAUAAUUUUUGACUUCUUCUUUCACAGGUGGCUCCCACAUUUUUCCUAACGAUUAAAAAAUCAAUUUUCAAAAUCACUAUCGAAUAUGCCUAUAGAGUGUAAUAAAUAUAUAUCUAAUAAUGAGAGUAAACAGCGACUCUAUAAAAACUAUGACUCUUUGAAUGAACAUAUAUUAUUGAAUGACAAAUAAAGUACUAUAAGUUACAAGAUUAUUCCAAAAAAUGUGAGACUCUAGUUGCACAAUUUGAAUAAAAUUCCAGCAACAGUGACAUUAACUUUGAAAGGGACUCAAUUUUUUUUAUUUUUUUUUCAUUACUAUCUGUGAGGUGACACACUUUUUUAUCCUUAAUUUCAACGACACUUAAAAUAAUUCAUGACAUAUAUUUUUAUAUAUCAUACAAUGUCAACCUUAAUGUAUGCAUAGUUGAUAAAAUAUACAAAUAGCAUUUUCCUUUGAAUAAAUGCGUAAAUAAAUAUUUUCCAAAUAAUUAUUCCAAAAAGGAUUAGUCAAAAUAAAUUGAGAUUGUGGUUGCACGAUUUUGGAUGUUUGGACUUCCUGAAUAAUUGUAAAAAUGUUAAGUUAAUUCGAAGAGCUUUGCUGGGCCACACAAUCCAUUGUUAUUGAUCAGUUUCACUGUUGCCUUCAUCGUGUUCUUUGACCCCACCAUGUUGAUUAAUUGAACCAAUGAAAUUUCUCCGUGUUCAUUGACCCCACCAUUUUGUAUAAUUGAACCCAACCACUGUUGGGUUCAAUUAUUGAUCAGUUUGCUGGGCCAGAUGGAUGCUUGGGUUCAAUUAUUGAUCAGAGACAAUCCAUUGUUAUUGAUCAGUUUCACUGUUGCGAUCAUCGUGUUCUUUGACCCCACCAUGUUGAUUAAUUGAAACCAAUGAAAUUUCUCCGUGUUCAUUGACCCCACCAUUUUGUAUAAUUGAACCCAACAACCAGCAGACGACUUUCAUUUAUACAUUAUACAAGUCAAUCUCACUUGCAUUCAUCCCUCUUAACUCUUGCUUCCUAUCUUACAAAAAAGAUAAUAAUGGCUGUAAUCGAAGUUUUUCUAGGUGCAGUUCUCACUGUUUUGCUUGAGAAGCUGGCCUCUGGUGAGCUACUGAAAUUUCUGCGUCAUGUAGGAAUCGACGCCCAGCUGGUAGAAUGGAAGACAACUUUGAAGAGGAUCCAGGCAGUGCUUACUGAUGCUGAAAACAAGCAAACAACGGACAAAGAUGUGAAAGAGUGGCUAAUUGAUCUGGAAGAUUUGGCUCUUGAUCUUGAAGACUUAGUGGAUGAGUUGAAUACUGAAGCCUUGCAGCGCAAAUUAAAGGAAAAUAAAGGCAGCACCAGUAAGGUAAAAAAGCUCGUCCCCACUUGUUGUACUAAUCUUUCUUUCACUGAUUUCAUGUCUGAUCGCGGGAUUGCUUCCAAGCUAAAAGAGGUCAGUGGCCGGUUGAAAGAUCUGGAAGAACAGAAAAAAUUUCUCGAUUUGGUGGAAAAUGUAAGGGGAAGGUCUUAUGGAAGAUUGCCAACAACUUCGCUCGUGGUAGAAUCGAAAGUUCAUGGAAGAGAGAAGGACAAGGAGGAAAUACUGAAUAUCUUAUUUGGUGUUGAAUCAAAUGAUAGUCAAAUAUCCGUGAUUCCAAUUGUGGGCAUGGGAGGUAUCGGCAAAACAACUCUGGCCCAACUUGUGUAUAAUGAUGAAAGAUUGAAGGACAAGUUUGAUCUUAAGGGAUGGGCUUACGUUUCGGAGGAAUUUGAUGCUGUAAAAGUAACAAAAAACAUUCUUGAGUCAGUUUCUUCUGGUGGAAAGUGUGAUUAUGAAAAUUUUGACACGCUUCAGAACAAACUAAAGGAGAGCCUUUCAAACAAGAAAUUUCUAGUAGUUCUAGAUGAUAUUUGGCAUGAAAAUUACGAAGAUUGGGAGAUCCUAAGCCGUCCUUUUCUUGCUGGAAAACCUGGAAGCACAAUCAUCAUUACCACUCGACAAGAAAGGGUGGCCAAAAUCAUGUCUGAAAUUCCAGCAUACAAUCUGGAUCUGUUAUCAGAGGGCGAUGCUUUAUCAUUGCUAGCUCAACAUGCAUUUGGAGCUAAAACUUUUGACGGUCAUCCAGCUUUAAUAGAGAUUGGUAAGUCUAUGGUAAGAAGAUGUAAGAUGUUGCCCCUGGCAGUAAAGGCCCUUGGGGGGCUUCUUCGAGUUGGUCGUGAAGAUUGGGAAAAGGUGUUGAAAAGUGAAAUCUGGAUGAAUGAAGAAAAUAUUGGAAUUCUUCCUGCUCUAAAACUGAGUUAUCACCAUCUUCCUCCGGAAUUGAAAAGAUGCUUUGGUUACUGUGCUCUCUUUCCCAAGGACUACGAAUUUGACAAGUUCCAACUAGUGUACUUUUGGAUGGCUGAAGGUCUUCUGCAGGAAACAAAGAAAGAUAAGUUAAUUGAAGAUGUUGGUAGUCAAUAUUUUGAUGAACUAUUGGCUAGAUCAUUCUUCCAACAAUCAAGUGCCAAUGCUUCACGCUUUGUGAUGCACGACCUCUUUAACGAUCUAGCUAUGUCUGUUGCUGGUGAUAAAUGUUUGAGGAUGGAUGAUGAACUGCAGGAGAUUUCUGUAAAGGUCCGUCACUUGUCAUUCAAGCGCAGGAUGUUUGAAACUUAUCCUAGAUUUAACUUUCUUGACAAAGUUCAAAAGUUGAGAACCUUUUUGCCACUACCUGUUGAGGCGUCAUUUAAUUACUUAUCCCAAAGAAAUUUGCUUCACCUAUUCGCAAAUUCAUACUGCUUAAGAGUGCUAUCCUUGAAUGGUUAUGCCAUAUAUGAGUUGCCAGAUUCUAUUGGUGAUUUAAGACAUUUAAGAUACCUGGGCCUAGCUGGAACAAGACUGAGGUGGUUGCCUGAAUCUGUGUGCACUCUUAUCAAUUUACAAGUGUUGAUUCUAAGUGGUUGUAGUAGACUUACCAAAUUACCCACAAGCAUGGAAAAUCUUGUUAAACUUCGGUAUCUGGACAUUACUCAUACUUGCAAUUUACAUGAGAUGCCUCAGGGAAUUGCUCAACUAACAAGUUUGCGAACGUUAACUAAGGUGACUGCAAGUAAAAAUAAUGGAAUGAGUUUAAAGGAGUUGGGCAAUCUAUCAUUUCUACAAGGUAAUAUUUCUAUUGAGGAAUUGCAAAAUGUUGUGAAUGUUAAAGAAGCAACGGAAGCAAGGCUAAUGGAUAAGCCAAGCCUCAACGGAAUAAGGUUGGAAUGGAGCGCAGGCUUUGAUGAUCCUCGGAAUAAAAUUUUAGAAUUGAAUGUGCUUAAUGCAUUAAAGCCCCAUAAGAACUUAUCAACACUUGAAAUCAAGUAUUACGGGGGUGAGAAUUUCUCUAAUUGGAUUGAAGAUUCAGCAUUCCUUAAGUUAGCAAGGAUAAGCUUUGAAUAUUGUAAAAAUUGCACGAUUUUGCCACCAUUAGGGCAACUACCUUUGCUAAGAGACUUAAGCAUUCGAGGCAUUGAUCAAGUAAAAGUGAUUGGAGCUGAAUUUUAUGGAAAUAGAGGCCAUGGAGAAUUACCUUUUCCAUCACUCAUUAAUCUGACUUUUAGUGACAUGUCUAACUGGGAGGAAUGGGUUGGAAUAGGAGGUGUUAUCCAACUUCCUAAGCUAUGCUCAUUGAUUAUAACUGAUUGUUCAAAAUUGGUCAGUCUUCCAAAUCUUUUACUGCCAUCCCUACGUCACAUAAAUGCUGCUGGGUGUAAUGAGGUGGUGCUAAAUAGUAUGCAGAAUUUGAAAUCUUUAACCAGCAUAAUAUUGUGUAGAAUUUUCGGAUUAACUUCAAUUAUCAAAGCAUUUGUACACUUUCCUUUUACACUUGAAAGUGUCACAGUUAAUGAAUGUCACAACCUUGUGACUCUAUGGCCAGGUGAUAGUACUGCACGAAACCUAGUUGACCUACAACGCGUGGAUAUUGACAGUUGUCCUCGGCUAUUGUCCCUUCAAGAGAUUGACGUUCUUCCCGAUCUUAGGAGACUUUAUAUAAGAAAUUGUGGAGCUCUGGAGUUGUUGCCUCAUAAAAUAUCUUGUCUUGAGAGAUUGUCUAUCAACAAAUGUCCAUCGUUAAGGACGAUGAUGAAGCUACAGAAUUGCAACAUCUCGCUCGAUUAUCUAAAAAUUUCUCGUGUGAAUUUGAAUUUGGCAAAUUUACUAGGCUCUGGCUCCAAUUACCAAAGUCUCACUCAUCUACAAAUACGGUCUUGUGAUGGUCUAGAAUUGUUUCCCAAUGGAGGCUUGCCCACACCAAAUUUAAAACUACUAAAGAUAAUUGAGUGUCAACAUCUCAAGUCGUUACCUGAUCGGAUGGAUCUACUUUCAUCCCUUUCGUUCCUGGGGGUGUCUUCUUGUGCUUCAUUGAAGGAACUCUUUCCCCAGGAGGAUAUUCCCCCAAAUCUGUGUCACCUUGAUAUCAGAAAUUGCGGAAAACUAAAACCCCCGGGGGAGUGGGGCCUACACAAACUCACCUCUCUUCAAACCUUUGAAUUUGGUGGAUGUCUAGAGCUGGUUUGCUUCACUAACAAUGCUGACGAAGAACACUGUGUGCUUCCUCCAUCUCUAACAGCUUUGUCGUUGGAUGACCUGCCGAAUCUCGAAACACUAUCAAGGGGCUUCCAAAGCCUCACCUUUCUUCAACAUUUAUGCAUCUCUAGAUGCCCAAAGCUUGAGGCGUUGCCUAUGGGAGACUAUCUUGAAAAGCUUUUGAGCCUUGACAUUCAAGGCUGCCCACUUCUUAAGAAACGGUGUUUGAAGAACAAAGGAGACUACUGGCCCAUCAUUGCUGACAUUCCGGUCGUCGAAAUUGAUUCCCGAUCCAUCUAUGAUCCAUGUCCAUGAAUUCAAUUACACGAGGUAACAGAUUUAAUUUGAUACCUAUGAAUCUCAACAUCAUUUCAUGCAAAACACUUCUCGACAUUUCUGUCAAUUUUGUUUUCAAACAGAAUGUGAAUUUUCUGCAGCAAAUAGUGGAUCUCCCUUUCUGCAAUAGCUAUUCAAGUGUUCAUGCCACUCUGUAUCUUAUAUUUGUGCUUCUGCUCUGCAGCAUAAAUCAAUAUCAGAGCCGAUGUACCAACAAUCAAGUAACUGAUCGGCUAUGGCGCUAAAAUUAGCCUCUUUUUGUACUAACAGUAAGAUUCUAUCAAAUAGAUAAAAUCGGAGUGAUAAUUGUUAGUCGAAUGUGGUUAAAUUAUUAAUAUUUUGAUUCGAUCUGCUUUAGCAAACUGGAAAUGCAUUGAUUUGACUUACUGUAUGUUUAUGCAUUUUUGGGUUUUUAUGUGGCAUGCGUUUUUAAACUUCUCUUGUAGAUUGGAGGUUCCUACGCCAUUUGAAUGGAACUAAUAAAAAUGACAUCGUUUUGGUGUAGGCAUUUUCUGAUUACUUGUAAGAACACAAGAUGGAAUGAAUGUGUCUCUUCAUUAGACCUUCAAGUAAGUUUUUUGUUCGAUUCUUUUGCGUUUUAAGUGUUUGUAUAAAUGCCUCAGUGAAAUUAUAUGGCUGGAUCUGUGACUGAAGCUAUGUUCUUGCCUUUAUUAUUAUUAUUAUUAUUAAUUUCAUGAUUUUAGUAAUAUUUUCUGAAUAAUUCUUUGAAUGAACUUUUCCUUUUGGGGGUUUCCUUCCAUAAAUGUCAAGAAAUCUGUUUAGUCUCUGAAAAUUGUCUUGACUGGCCAAAAAUCCUUUCUCGUGUGAUUUUGGUGUGGUUUAAGGUAUGAGGUACCAUGUUUUACAAUUGCUAUUUUAAAAAUUUUCUUGAUUUUAUUAGAUUAACCUCUGCCGAUUGUGUAUUACAUUCAUCCGUAUGAAUUGGAUGUUUUAAUCCAAUCUGAAGAUUUGAAUCAUUGCUUCACAAUUUCAUGCAAUUAAAUUAAGAAACCGAUUAAUUUUUUAUGUGAAUGCUUUUUAAUCGAAAACUUUAUUUCAAUUUGGAAAGUUCAAUCAUUUUAAGUUUGCAGUUAUACCUCUUGCUGGUAUGCAUUUUUUUAAUGUUAUUAAUUCAUUCUAAUUCUUAUGGAUUCUAUUUCUUUGUAUGGGACUUUUUCACUGGUUAUAAAUUUUGGCUUCUUUGAAUUUUCACUUUCGUAUUUAUUUAUUUAUUUAUUUAUUUUUGGUAAAUAUUUUAAAAAAUGAUUGAUAAUAUUGAAUUAUCCUAGACAUUCUAUAACAUAAUAAAUUGAUGUACUAAUUUGUUAAAUUCAAUUAUUCAGUAUUCUGUUUCUUAAUUUAGUUGAUCAAGUAGGUUAUUUUUUUUUUUUAUCCUAAUCUGGAAUAUAUGUGCUCAGAAUGUCGCUGUGAGCAUAUUGCCUGUCAAGAAGAAUCAUUUGAGUUGAGGACGAUAAGAUGUUACAUUUUUUAGCUAUGCUGUUUUUCAGCUUACUCCAACUUGAACUCGGUACAAUUUUAAUUUUUUGAAUUAAUUCAGUUUCCUUCAACUGAUGAAUUAUUGCAGUAUCAGUGUGAGUUUGUGUGGUUAUUUCAUAUUUGCCUGUGAUUUUGUAUUAAUCAUUUGAGUUGAAAUCCUGACUCGGAUUUAUAAUCAUUGUGGACCCAAAUUGCUGAUUUUAAGAUGUGUUUUUAUAGUAAACUAAUUGCUGAUGUCAAAAUUCUUUUCAUUAGUUUUGGGUUGAUUAGUUAAUAAGUUCUUCUGUCUUUUACUGUUUGGGGAUUCAGCAUGUGUUUCAUUAAUUGGUUCUAUUCUUUUUUUAUAUGGUAUGUACUGACUUCAAUUUGGCAAUUUCUUGGGGAUAUCUUUUUUGUCAAAUUGUAUUUUCACAGAGUUCAACUGUAAAAAUGUGAAAUAUGUCCAAUUAUUUGAAUUUUUGUUGAUAUUUUGAAAUUGAUAUUAUGUAUUGAUGAGCCAUCAAGUUAAAUUUAAAACGAAUUCCAUGUUGCAAAUGCUAUUUGGAAGUUGAAUUUGCUCUGCUGGGUUGCAAAGUAUACUUGAAUUUAUUUUAUCAAAAGAUGAAUAUUUAUCAUCUCUUAGUUUCCCCUUCAUUGUCAUAUAUCUUUACGAAAUUCUUGUAGAAGUAUUUAGAUGAUAAUUGGAUUGUGUUGAUAAUGUAGCUGGAAGAUCAUACGAGGAAUUUCAGGAAAAUAGGUUUUGUUGCUUGAGUCCAUUUUAUUUAAGGUGUCCGGAAAAAAAAGGUUGUGUGAGUGUGGAAAGUAUAUCAUCCUUGCGCGUUUGGAUCUGUUAUUCAUAUUGAUAGAUGGCAUUCCGUGUGUGGAAGCAUAUUUCACUUAAAACAUAUAUUCACCUUGUGUUGUUAGGUAACUAUUGUAGCUUUUCACAUCUGCUUUCGUAAUGGUUUAUUGUUGUACAUUUUAUAGGCUAAUGUUGCUAGAAGAAAAUCGAAUUUCUUUCUGCUCAAACGAUGGAAUGAUGAUUGAUGGCAUCACCUGGUUGCUGAAAUGAUAGGAUUGUCGUAAGUUUUAACUUGCUAUGUAUAGCUUCAUUUCUUGCUUUUAGUUUUGGUCGACUUCAACUCUAUUAAGUAUUUUGAGCCAAAUAUUUUUUAUUAACAGCAUCAACAUAAUUAAAUUUAUUUUACUCUUGAAACAACAAAUAUGUUUCCUCUUCCUUUUUGAUGGAAGUUACAUCACAAUAGAUCUGUCUUUUAUAUGAAGAUUUUCUUCUUCUCAAUUGCUAUUGCACACUGUACUUGAUAUUAGUUGUGGGUCUGGUAGCUUUAAUGCUCGUCUUCUAUCGCUUAAGCUGAUGUGUGACAGCAUAUGAGCCAACAGGUAGACAUGUUCAAUUGGCACUUGAUAGAGGUCUCCCUUCAAUCAAAACUUAAUCUAAAGACAGCUCCCUCUUCAUCCUUUGUCAUAUGAAGUGGUUCACUGCACUCAAUGUAGCAUUGUCUGUGAUAACAAAGGUAUGAUCUUCAUUAAGGUUUGGGGUUUUGUUUUUUUCCAUUAAAUCACCAUUUCUUCAUCAGAUUAAGUGCAGUGGUUUUUAUUGAUUUUUCACCGAUGAAAAUUCUUGAAAUUAAUUUGACAUUUAGCCUAAUGUAGUGCGAACUUUUCUGUGGUUUUUGCUAUUUUUUGCGUGCAUUUCUAUUUCUUUUUUGUUUAUCACAUUUUGUUUGAUACUAUAGUUAUCUGUAAUAAAUUUUGCAAUGGUAAUAUUAGGCUUGCUGUAAGGAAGGCCAAGAAGGAAAAGAAAGCGAAUGAUCCAAACAAGCCAAAGAGACCUCCAAGUGCUUUCUUUGUUUUCAUGUAUGCCCAUUUGCAUUUUUGGUCUCUAGCAUUUCUGUCUAUUGUUCUUAUAUAUUAUCUUUUUUAUGCUGCUUGGCAGACUACAACAAUAAUUUGGUAAUCCAUCUAUGAGAAGCACGGUGUUAUACACAGUUUAGUUUGAAUUGUGAUACUGAAACGAUUUGUGCCAAACUGUUUUUAUAGGCUAGAGGGGCUGUUGAAUUCGACAAGGCAAAGUCUGAGGUUAAUGGUGAUGAGGACGAUGAGAACAGUGGAGACGUUAGUUGAAAUUAAGCUCUACAACUUUUUUGUACUUGAAACUUAGCUACUAUGCUGACUUUUUAUUUUGUUUUAAUUAAUUUAGGAGGAAGAUGAUGAGUAAGCACUAUCAUGAAGAAUUAUUGUGUAAAAUUUGGCUUCAGGUGAAUUUUACUGAAAUUAAUUGAAAGUAAUUAUCAAUAAUACUCCUUUUUUAAUUUUUAUUUUUUAAAGUUGCUAAUGUGUUUGUUCUUCCUUUCAGUGAGGGAACAAGCGUCUCUUUGCCAUUAACUUGGGGCAAAAAAAGAGAGGAAACGUAUGCCUUGUUUUUCAUUAUUGCCUAUUGGUACACAAGACGUAUUUAGAGGAAAGGGGUGGAGGAAGAGGGGGUUGAGUGCUUGUAGACCAUGAGCAAAAAAUGGCAGACUACAAUAAGAAUUUGGUAAUUUCAUCUAUGAAAUUCUCUAUUACAAUGCACUACGUGCAUCUCACAUGCGAAGAACUAGUUCGAUAAAUAUUCAAUAUUUUGCAGCAAGCUUCAUAUCUUGUUAAAUUUUGAAGGUCCUUCCUUUUGUGAAAUCAUUUAAGUUAAAAAUGUUAAGAGAGAAAAACAUUAAUUUAUUAAUAUCUUCAAAACUCUUCUUAUGGUGCAGGUAGAUUUAAUUUUUCUAUAAACAUUAAAUUUCUGACUUUGAUGGGGAUGAUGUUAUUAUUUUACAGAUUUUCAUCUGGUCGUCCAUUACCAAUACAAUUUCGAGACUCGAUUUGAUUAGAGACUAAUAGCUCAGUCAUCUACCAGGUCAAGAAAGUUAUUAAUUGGGUUAGUUGCUUUAAGCUUGUGGGCUGACCACCUAUAUGCCUGCUUUGCAUAUAUUUCGUUGCCAGCUCCAAUCCACAUCAUUUGAUGACGUGUUGUUUACACCAAAUUUGACUUGUACACAAUAUCUGUUACUACGAGAGUUAGAGAGAGAGGCCAAUUCAAACCAUCAUUUGGUGACACAUUUUUUAAGAGCAAUCGUGGAACCUAUAUUUGUUAAGUGAAGUCAAUGUUAUGCUGAAGCAAACAAAAGAUUAUGACGAUUGAGGAUGGUCAAGUUCACAUUUCACUUCUUAUCUUUCCAUUCUCUCUCUUUUAGAGUAAAGAUCAUUUGUAGUAUUUCGUGGCUACCAAAUAUUCAAAUACUCCAGGGAACAUUGUAGAUGUAAAAUUCUGCAUUAUAUAAUAGGAGGAAUUUUUUUUUUUUUUUUCCUAAAUGGAUUAUCAGGUAAGUUGUCAUUAUUUGCAAUAGUAAUAGGCUUUUUAUUAUGAUGUGCAGUUGCACAUGUCCAUGUGUGUCCACGUAUACUUGUGUGUGUAAAUGUGGAAUAAUGAUAUUUACAAUCUAUUCUUACCUAUUAGCAAUUAGCAUUCUAUGUAGAUGUAUUGUUACUGCCACAUUUUCCUAUAAUUUUAGAGUAGGGAUAUUUGUAAGCAUCGUACUGAAAACAACAAUCUAUAUGACAAUGAGAUAUCUGUCUUAUUCUCCUAUGAAAUUGAGUUCGUUUUAAUUUAUUGAAGAAUGUGAUAGUGACCCCAUUAUUACAUCAAAUGUUGGUAAUAAGUACUGUUAUAAACUUAGCAUACAUUUAAUUUAUUGAAGAAUGUUACAAUAAUCAACUGUCGCAUGGACGGUUGAUGGAUAAGUACUGCUUACAAAGAGUAUUACUCCUUAAAAAUGGAAAUUUACUCGGGAUAUGAAGCCAAGUGGACAAAUAUCAGACCUUGCUAAAGAAAUUUCACUCUUAACAAAUACGAUUAUCCAUGAUAGACCAUAUGAAAAAUCAAAAUUGAGGAACAUUCUAACAAUAUCCCUCGACACCCAUCUCACCCUUUUAACUAUUUACCCACCAACCCCCACACUUUAUAUAUAAAUGUUUUUUCUUGUUUUUGUCUCAAUUUUAAGGGUCAAAAUGUCAAACAAAGUUAAAAUAUUAGAAUUUUAAUAUCAUUUUGAAGUGCUCAUAGCUUAGUUUCUCGCAUCAUUAACGGCGCGUGAAAUGACCGACCACAACAAAAGUUACAAUGCGUCAAAAUAGGUCAUUCAAAAUUAGUAUUUCAAGAAUUUCGAUAAUAUGCUAACUUUAAAAAUUUGUUGGCGAUCGUAUGCUAACUGAAUUCAGAAAUCGCUUGUCAUCUUGAUCCAAACCGAUAUAGGUUGUACAUUGAAAAUAAUUAAAUUAUUUGAAAAUUUUUGACGUCAUGUGUCAUGUAAAAUUAUCCUAAUAAAAUGAUUAUAAAAUGAUGUAAAUUAUAUUAAUAUAUUUGUUGAGCAAAAAUAAUAAAUGUUAAUGAAAUAAUUGAAAAAUUUUAAAGGAAAAAAUGAGUUAUGCAUCUCUUUUUGAGACGAUCAUUUAAUUAUUUUCGAUAUUCAAAUUUUGGACCAUUCGGUAUGUCUACGAUAUAAUUCUUAAAACUAAAACAAAUUUUAAAAUUAACAUGUUAUCGAAAUUCUCUAAAUACUAGUUUGGAAUGAUCUAUUUUAAGACAUCAUAACUUUCGCUACGAUUGAAAGUUUUACGCGCCGUUAACGAUGCAAAGAAUUAGACUGUGAGCACUUCAAAAUGAUAUUAAAAAUGUGAUAUUUCGAUUUCAUUUGACAUUCCAUAAUGACCUCAAAAAUUGAGACGAAAACAAGGGGGGAAAAAAACCUUUAUAUAUGAAGAAUGGGUGAUAAGAAUGGUGAGGCGUAGGUGUGGGGUGGGGUAAAAGGGGCGGGGGUCGGUAAAAAGUUAAAAAAUUGGGCAAGUGCAGGAGGAAACAAAAGUUGCCACAUUAGUAGUGGGUAGAAUGUUCUCCUGCACACCAUUGCCAGCAGAACAAUUCUACGAAAAAUAAUACGCGAAGAAUUAAUUUCAUAAUUUGUGAUCGAUAAAAAGUUAUAACCUAUAAAAUUUGUGAUUUUAAGUGUAACGUUUUGUAACUGUGACUGAUACGCAACCGUGAUCAUAAACUAUAUGAUAUUGCGAUCUUAAUAUAUUAAUUAUAUAUUUAAUUAAUGUACCAUAUUUAAUAUUUAUGACCCGGGUUUUGGAAAAUAAAAAAAUAAAAAUUUCAAGUUCGUCAAAAUUGAAAUUGUAACUUAAAAUCUAUGUAACUAUGCAUUCUUCCCAUUAUAAAUAGCAGUGGUGGAUAUAAUUUAUCCAUGGAAAAAUGCAAAAUCUCCAUUAGACUAGAGGAACUGGCUGUCUCGGCAGAGUUAUAUAUCGAAUUUUACUUGUCAUGCUGAGGUCGAGGGCUAAGAUCUCUAGCUUACGUGUAUAUAGGCAGGGGCAGAUCCAAGCACGGGCUCCACCAUGCUAUAGCCCGUGUACGGCCCUUAAAAUGUCUACUGUAUUUUUAUUAUUAUUAUUUUUUUUUAUUGAAAGAUAAAUCCAUGUAUAUUUGUAUUGUAACCCGUGUUCAAACUCAAGACUGAAUCCGCCACUGACAUAGGCGUUUAUUUCUAACCAAGUUACGAACACCAUCACUACUAGUAGUCGAAGUGGGCAGAUAUACAACAGUUACCAUCUAAAAAUGGACCAAAAAUAGUUCAGUGUGUUAUAGCAGAUCGAUGACCACACACUUUGAGCCAUCUAGGUAUCAACUAAUCAUUUACUAUCCUAGAUUAAGAAUAAGUCAUUAUAAGUGAAGUGUGACCUCCCAUUUCCCUUGAGGAGACCCAAACUAACCAUAAUCGUAUAGAAUAGAUGUAGUUCAUAAUCACAAAUCAACAUAGAAUCAAGCAGAAAUAAUACAACCAACAGACGGUAUACUCUGUUACAUUAAAUGUUGCUUUAUUGAAUUCCUCAACAGAACGUGAAAGUGUUCACACCUCUGUUUGAGUCUCAUUCUUUCAAAAAUUCAUUUUUUCAAAACUCAUUUUCAACCACACAUCCUUCAAUAAAGUAAUAUUACACGUAAAUUCAAAACUUUUCUUUACUUGUUAACCACAUAUUCUCAAUCAAUCUACUAUUCAAAAUGCAUUCUUUUCAAAAAAAUGGGGCUCAAGCUAAGUGAAGACUUCACAACAAUGUAAAUGGUAUUCUAGCAAUCAAUAUUCCAGUUUCAAGUUGAAAUGAAAUUAAGAAAAGAAACAUGUUGAUCAGUCUUAGAAAACGGUCAUAUAAAGAUAUUAGAAAGCACAUAACAAUCAAGUGUAUGGAUGGAACCACCUUUACAACAACAAGAGAAACUGGAUGACAGGCAACAAAUACAGUAUCAUAAAGCACAACUAAUCGAAGCUAUAGGAAUUAGAAAAAUACAGACCUCGAUCGAUUGUAUGAGACUCUUAUUAUGUAUACGUAAUAGUCUAGUUCAGUACAUUUGAUCAGCCAAGAAGAGGAUUAAGAACGUGCCCAAUGAAUAGCACUACCCCCGUCAUAUCUUCUCUGAUGAUGAACAAAAAUGGAUGAUCGGCAACAAAAUCGAACUCAUCCUCGACUAAUAAACCCCUCAGUUUAACAAGACCAGCAGAAGCAGCAGCAGCUUCCGUGCCUUCCUCAUUUACCUCGAUAAAUGACUUGUGGAAAAUGCUAGAAACAUAAAGGUUCUGACCAACUUGUGAGUCCACCAUAUCUGUGAGACCACCACCAGAAAAAGGCAACACGACUCCCAGUCCCUUGAGAACUUCCGAGGCUUCAAACCCAAAUGACAAUUUGAAUUUUGGGAUACGGAAUUCACCAACUUCGACCUUUUGAUAUGGGAGGUGAUGCUCCAAGAAUCCUGAUUCCGAACUGACUUUCUCUACCAAAGCCAGCAAUCCAUCUUUGGUGUCUGGAAGAAGGAAGUUCAUAGAGAACUUGCGCUUAUCUUCACCUUGCUUAUACGGAAGGCUCAAAAUUUUGAAACCAUCAAAGGAACGUAUAUAUUGCUUCUUCUUGCUACUCAUGAAGGGUACUUGUACUGAGCUCCCAUCUAGGAGGAAAAAGUCAUGGUCCUUUGUAAUUGAUGCAUCAAACUUCUCACUCCAAGCUCCUUUGAAAUACACUGCAUUUGCAAAGAUGAGCCUCGUGGAAGCAUCAACUGAGCCAGGUGGAAGAAUUUCUUCGACAAGGCCACUUGUUUCCUUUUCAGCCCAUUGAUUGACUUCACCGAUUACCUCAACAGCCUUCAGAAAUAUCAAGAAUAAAGAACAUAACAAUUAAUACAUUGUUAAAGAAAUUUACUUGCAGAAGUAGAAGUUCUACAACAUGAAUGAUUUCACCCAGCCAGUUCCUCUUUCUCCUACAACUCAAGGUGUACAAGCAGAUAAAUAACUGUUUACAUCAUGAAUUCGUUGACAUUACAAUAGAGACUAUUAUGUGUAAGGUUUAUUCUAAAUGUCAUGGGCCAUGAAUACCAUUUACAGAUAUACUUGAAACAGAAGUUGGUUACAUGCUUAUGAACAUAACCACCACCAAAAAACAAAAGCAAAAGCAAAGCCGUCCCCAAUAAAUUUGGAGUCAGGGAGCUAGAAGCAUUUUUCAUCCAUUCGACAGGGAUUUCUUGGUGACCAAUACUAACAUGAAGACAAGAAUAAAUCGGAUGUUAUCCAUUUGAUAUUUUCAUAAUAUCAAACUAUCACAAUUCUGUAAACAAUUACAGAAUUUACAAUUUUAAAAAAAAAAAAAAAGGAGGAUAAAAAUAAUGCAAAUUUUCUUACAAUGUGAAGCACCACAUGGAUUUACAACCACUGGUGUAUGGCAAGUGUUUUAAAGUUUAAAAUUACAUGUCAUUCUAUUUUGGUAUUUGGGAAGAUGAAAUCGAAGUAAUUAGGAGAAAAUGCCUCCGGCUUGGUUGGGCUUAGUUUAGCAACUUUUGAACGUACAAAGGUCAAGUUUUCAGUUAGAAACAGAAAAAAGUGAAAAUUUUUAAAAAAUGANNNNNNNNNNNNNNNNNNNNNNNNNNNNNNNNNNNNNNNNNNNNNNNNNNNNNNNNNNNNNNNNNNNNNNNNNNNNNNNNNNNNNNNNNNNNNNNNNNNNNNNNNNNNNNNNNNNNNNNNNNNNNNNNNNNNNNNNNNNNNNNNNNNNNNNNNNNNNNNNNNNNNNNNNNNNNNNNNNNNNNNNNNNNNNNNNNNNNNNNNNNNNNNNNNNNNNNNNNNNNNNNNNNNNNNNNNNNNNNNNNNNNNNNNNNNNNNNNNNNNNNNNNNNNNNNNNNNNNNNNNNNNNNNNNNNNNNNNNNNNNNNNNNNNNNNNNNNNNNNNNNNNNNNNNNNNNNNNNNNNNNNNNNNNNNNNNNNNNNNNNNNNNNNNNNNNNNNNNNNNNNNNNNNNNNNNNNNNNNNNNNNNNNNNNNNNNNNAAAAAAAAAAAAAAGAAAUUUGACAGCACACAAACCACCUAUAGACACCAAUAAUAAGCAAAAAAAUGUUAUAAGGAAACAAUCAAACCUUGAUCAACGAUAAACAGAUUAAUGAGUUCUACAAUUGAAAAUAGAAAUUAAACUAACCUUAGUUUGAAAAUCAACAGGAUUAGAAGCAGCCUUGUAAAUAUUAUCAACAAUUUCUUUAAAACUGGGCUUGAAGCUGAGACUCUGAUCUAUCCAAACCCCAUUAGCGAAUGACAAGCAAGGCCCACCAAGGGGGCCACCGUCAGCGAAAAUGAGAGUUACAAGCUGAGAGGAGAGUGAGUUGAGUUCAUCAGUGGACUUCGAUUUGAGGAAAUUAAGCAACUGAUUAAGGGUUUGAUCUUUGGAUCCGGCCGCGAUCAGACCCAACACCACGUGAAUCGAGAGCGGCGAGAACACCAAAUUCUUUUCCUUGGCCUCAGUCGAAACCAAGUGAUGUGCAAGCUGAAGUGAUGCUUGUGUUUGGUUCUUGAUGGAUUCUCUUAGGUCCAUUUCUGUGUGCGUCGGCGUGUGGAAGAGGUGAUUGAAUCAAAAUUCGUGCGCGUUUGGACGUUCUGAAAAUCUGCACUGUGUUCACCGACACAUCAGAGGCAAUUUAUAUGUGCCACUUGUGAUGGUUGACUCAAGCGUGUCUUUCAAUGUCUACUCAACACGUUAGGAUUCGUUUCUUCGGGAUAAAGAUAACAAAUUGGGGGAAUCCAUUGUUUAUCCAAACGACCUUGAAGAAUACUUCGACGUAGAUGUUUUGAAAUUAAUUUUGUGAAUAGUGAUUAAUUUAUAGAUUGUAGGGUUAAAAUAGAUAUAAUUAUUUACGUAUAAAAUUAUUUUACCAAAAGAAUGUGUAAGAAAAAUUAGGUUUUAGGAAAAUAUAAUUUUUUUAGUAACAUAACCAACCAUCCAAUAAACUUCUCUAGGGUCUAAAAAAAUUAUAGUAUCGUAACCAACCAUCCGAUAAACUUCUCUAGGAAUUUAAACCCUGAUUGUCACCCAUUAUUUGGAAAAUUAAAAAGUUAUGAACAGUAUUUUUUGAAGAAUAUGUUGUUAAAAAUAAAGAAACUUUAUUAAUUUGUGUGUAGAAUAUUUUAUUGUGUGAAUGUGUAGAGUAGAAUGGUAACGUAACAACAACAAUUUUAAAUUUUAAAUGGGGCCAAACAAGUUUCUUUUACGAUGGAGAUUUCUUGCUUGUUUGACAUUCUUUAAUUUAUUUUAUGGAUUGUAACAUGAUCAUUUUCAAUAUAUUCAUACAAUAAAAUAUUAUACACAUAUACUGCAGAUUUUCUAUACUUUUUAAUCAUACACUUCUAAAAAUUAUUAUUUAAACUCCGUUUUUUUUUUUUUUUUUGCCAAAAUUGUUGUCAAAUAGGCUUCAUCUUGUGUGAUUUUUUGAAAAUUACUUUUUCUGAUAUUUAUUUUCAAUAUAUAUUCUUUAAAAUUACUUUCACGUUUUUCAAUUUUUUUAAUAUUUUAACUGCACAUUUUCCAAGAAAAUCACAUUUCAAAAUCUCCAUCCCACACACUGAUUUCUUUAUUGAUUUUGAAUAUAUAUUUCGACUUUUUUUGCCUUUUUCUUUUCUCCCUAAGAUGAAGUUUAUCAGCCUAUUUGGGAGUGAUUUUUUUUUCUAAAAAAUUGAUUUUUUGACCAUUAUUUUACUAUUACAGUUGUCAUAUUUGACUUUUUCUCUCACGGAUGGACCCCACUUUUCUCCUAACGGUCAAAAUAUCAAUUCUCAAAAUCACUUCCAAACAGGCUCUAUAUCAAGGGCCUGUUAGACAUAAAUUUUCCUAAAUUUUUUUUUCUCUAAUUAUUGUAUAUGUUCCAUAACUUUUUCUUACAUUUUAAUUACACAUCCUCUAAAAAUUUAUAUUUCACUUGAAAAAUCCAUGUCAAACAAACUCUAACAGUGACAUGAUUGAAGGGAAUUCUUCAAAGCUUUCACAAGAACAUAAAGAGGAACUGUGGGCUUUAGCUCCAGGACCAUACCCAUUUAUUUUUGUAUUAAUUCAGUGAAAAUAGUUUUUUAUUAUCCCUUGACUCCACCACUAAUAUCAACCCAUGAUGCGCAAUUCUAAUUAUCACACUAUGCAAAAAUCUAUUUUUGGUUGAGACAUACUUCUCAUUUGUAGUAUUCAAAUUUAUAUGAUUAAAAAUAGUUUAUACGUUUCCUAAAAAUAAGACAAAAUAAUGCAAAAUUUUGGACAAAAAAUGAUUAAUAAAGUAAAAUAAUUCUUCCCUGGAAAAACAAGGCCUAUGUGUCCCUGUUUGAGAAGCAGAACCCUCGUAUAUAAUGUUUACUACCUUGAAAUGUCAUUUCUAAACAUGCACCUACUUGACACCUCCUUAUGAUAUUUUGACUAUGCUUAAGAAGCUCAAUUAUUAAAUAAAAAAAAAGCCUUCUAAAAUAAAUUUUUUAUUGGUAAAUGUUUAACAUAUUUAUAUUAUUUAUUAUAAGUUUUUAUAUAGAAAUGUGUGGAGGGUAAGUUGUUCGUCGAGCCAUGAUUAAAGAGGCAGUUUCGACCUUCUCUCUCUCUACUGUUAAUUUUGAUAUAUUUUUCACUCGAAAUUUGUUUUACCCAGUUUUCAAUUUAUUUAUUUCUUUAUUAUUAUUAUUAUUAUUAUUGUGCAUUUGCGCAUUUUACAUAUUGGUUAACUCAAUAUCUUCAUCUCACAAAAUAUUUACAAUUUCUUAGAGAUUUCAGAGAUCCAACGAAAUGAAAAUUUGGGUUACAAUGUUAGAAAAUGAAAUAUUAGUUAAAAGUAUUCUUCCUAAACUAUUGAUAUAGUAUUUUUUUUGACAUUUGAUUCUACUUAUUCUGGUGGACAUCAUCUAUACGUGUUUUUAGUAGUAUUAUAUUUUGACAAUGAUCAUUUGACUCUUCAGAAGAAACUAUUUUAUUUUAAAUCAGCUCCAUCAAAUGGACCUAACAUAUCGUCACGUCGCACAUACUUUACAACAGUAUUAUAUAAUUAACAAAAUAUUUAACAUCUUUUCUUUUGAUUGNNNNNNNNNNNNNNNNNNNNNNNNNNNNNNNNNNNNNNNNNNNNNNNNNNNNNNNNNNNNNNNNNNNNNNNNNNNNNNNNNNNNNNNNNNNNNNNNNNNNNNNNNNNNNNNNNNNNNNNNNNNNNNNNNNNNNNNNNNNNNNNNNNNNNNNNNNNNNNNNNNNNNNNNNNNNNNNNNNNNNNNNNNNNNNNNNNNNNNNNNNNNNNNNNNNNNNNNNNNNNNNNNNNNNNNNNNNNNNNNNNNNNNNNNNNNNNNNNNNNNNNNNNNNNNNNNNNNNNNNNNNNNNNNNNNNNNNNNNNNNNNNNNNNNNNNNNNNNNNNNNNNNNNNNNNNNNNNNNNNNNNNNNNNNNNNNNNNNNNNNNNNNNNNNNNNNNNNNNNNNNNNNNNNNNNNNNNNNNNNNNNNNNNNNNNNNNNNNNNNNNNNNNNNNNNNNNNNNNNNNNNNNNNNNNNNNNNNNNNNNNNNNNNNNNNNNNNNNNNNNNNNNNNNNNNNNNNNNNNNNNNNNNNNNNNNNNNNNNNNNNNNNNNNNNNNNNNNNNNNNNNNNNNNNNNNNNNNNNNNNNNNNNNNNNNNNNNNNNNNNNNNNNNNNNNNNNNNNNNNNNNNNNNNNNNNNNNNNNNNNNNNNNNNNNNNNNNNNNNNNNNNNNNNNNNNNNNNNNNNNNNNNNNNNNNNNNNNNNNNNNNNNNNNNNNNNNNNNNNNNNNNNNNNNNNNNNNNNNNNNNNNNNNNNNNNNNNNNNNNNNNNNNNNNNNNNNNNNNNNNNNNNNNNNNNNNNNNNNNNNNNNNNNNNNNNNNNNNNNNNNNNNNNNNNNNNNNNNNNNNNNNNNNNNNNNNNNNNNNNNNNNNNNNNNNNNNNNNNNNNNNNNNNNNNNNNNNNNNNNNNNNNNNNNNNNNNNNNNNNNNNNNNNNNNNNNNNNNNNNNNNNNNNNNNNNNNNNNNNNNNNNNNNNNNNNNNNNNNNNNNNNNNNNNNNNNNNNNNNNNNNNNNNNNNNNNNNNNNNNNNNNNNNNNNNNNNNNNNNNNNNNNNNNNNNNNNNNNNNNNNNNNNNNNNNNNNNNNNNNNNNNNNNNNNNNNNNNNNNNNNNNNNNNNNNNNNNNNNNNNNNNNNNNNNNNNNNNNNNNNNNNNNNNNNNNNNNNNNNNNNNNNNNNNNNNNNNNNNNNNNNNNNNNNNNNNNNNNNNNNNNNNNNNNNNNNNNNNNNNNNNNNNNNNNNNNNNNNNNNNNNNNNNNNNNNNNNNNNNNNNNNNNNNNNNNNNNNNNNNNNNNNNNNNNNNNNNNNNNNNNNNNNNNNNNNNNNNNNNNNNNNNNNNNNNNNNNNNNNNNNNNNNNNNNNNNNNNNNNNNNNNNNNNNNNNNNNNNNNNNNNNNNNNNNNNNNNNNNNNNNNNNNNNNNNNNNNNNNNNNNNNNNNNNNNNNNNNNNNNNNNNNNNNNNNNNNNNNNNNNNNNNNNNNNNNNNNNNNNNNNNNNNNNNNNNNNNNNNNNNNNNNNNNNNNNNNNNNNNNNNNNNNNNNNNNNNNNNNNNNNNNNNNNNNNNNNNNNNNNNNNNNNNNNNNNNNNNNNNNNNNNNNNNNNNNNNNNNNNNNNNNNNNNNNNNNNNNNNNNNNNNNNNNNNNNNNNNNNNNNNNNNNNNNNNNNNNNNNNNNNNNNNNNNNNNNNNNNNNNNNNNNNNNNNNNNNNNNNNNNNNNNNNNNNNNNNNNNNNNNNNNNNNNNNNNNNNNNNNNNNNNNNNNNNNNNNNNNNNNNNNNNNNNNNNNNNNNNNNNNNNNNNNNNNNNNNNNNNNNNNNNNNNNNNNNNNNNNNNNNNNNNNNNNNNNNNNNNNNNNNNNNNNNNNNNNNNNNNNNNNNNNNNNNNNNNNNNNNNNNNNNNNNNNNNNNNNNNNNNNNNNNNNNNNNNNNNNNNNNNNNNNNNNNNNNNNNNNNNNNNNNNNNNNNNNNNNNNNNNNNNNNNNNNNNNNNNNNNNNNNNNNNNNNNNNNNNNNNNNNNNNNNNNNNNNNNNNNNNNNNNNNNNNNNNNNNNNNNNNNNNNNNNNNNNNNNNNNNNNNNNNNNNNNNNNNNNNNNNNNNNNNNNNNNNNNNNNNNNNNNNNNNNNNNNNNNNNNNNNNNNNNNNNNNNNNNNNNNNNNNNNNNNNNNNNNNNNNNNNNNNNNNNNNNNNNNNNNNNNNNNNNNNNNNNNNNNNNNNNNNNNNNNNNNNNNNNNNNNNNNNNNNNNNNNNNNNNNNNNNNNNNNNNNNNNNNNNNNNNNNNNNNNNNNNNNNNNNNNNNNNNNNNNNNNNNNNNNNNNNNNNNNNNNNNNNNNNNNNNNNNNNNNNNNNNNNNNNNNNNNNNNNNNNNNNNNNNNNNNNNNNNNNNNNNNNNNNNNNNNNNNNNNNNNNNNNNNNNNNNNNNNNNNNNNNNNNNNNNNNNNNNNNNNNNNNNNNNNNNNNNNNNNNNNNNNNNNNNNNNNNNNNNNNNNNNNNNNNNNNNNNNNNNNNNNNNNNNNNNNNNNNNNNNNNNNNNNNNNNNNNNNNNNNNNNNNNNNNNNNNNNNNNNNNNNNNNNNNNNNNNNNNNNNNNNNNNNNNNNNNNNNNNNNNNNNNNNNNNNNNNNNNNNNNNNNNNNNNNNNNNNNNNNNNNNNNNNNNNNNNNNNNNNNNNNNNNNNNNNNNNNNNNNNNNNNNNNNNNNNNNNNNNNNNNNNNNNNNNNNNNNNNNNNNNNNNNNNNNNNNNNNNNNNNNNNNNNNNNNNNNNNNNNNNNNNNNNNNNNNNNNNNNNNNNNNNNNNNNNNNNNNNNNNNNNNNNNNNNNNNNNNNNNNNNNNNNNNNNNNNNNNNNNNNNNNNNNNNNNNNNNNNNNNNNNNNNNNNNNNNNNNNNNNNNNNNNNNNNNNNNNNNNNNNNNNNNNNNNNNNNNNNNNNNNNNNNNNNNNNNNNNNNNNNNNNNNNNNNNNNNNNNNNNNNNNNNNNNNNNNNNNNNNNNNNNNNNNNNNNNNNNNNNNNNNNNNNNNNNNNNNNNNNNNNNNNNNNNNNNNNNNNNNNNNNNNNNNNNNNNNNNNNNNNNNNNNNNNNNNNNNNNNNNNNNNNNNNNNNNNNNNNNNNNNNNNNNNNNNNNNNNNNNNNNNNNNNNNNNNNNNNNNNNNNNNNNNNNNNNNNNNNNNNNNNNNNNNNNNNNNNNNNNNNNNNNNNNNNNNNNNNNNNNNNNNNNNNNNNNNNNNNNNNNNNNNNNNNNNNNNNNNNNNNNNNNNNNNNNNNNNNNNNNNNNNNNNNNNNNNNNNNNNNNNNNNNNNNNNNNNNNNNNNNNNNNNNNNNNNNNNNNNNNNNNNNNNNNNNNNNNNNNNNNNNNNNNNNNNNNNNNNNNNNNNNNNNNNNNNNNNNNNNNNNNNNNNNNNNNNNNNNNNNNNNNNNNNNNNNNNNNNNNNNNNNNNNNNNNNNNNNNNNNNNNNNNNNNNNNNNNNNNNNNNNNNNNNNNNNNNNNNNNNNNNNNNNNNNNNNNNNNNNNNNNNNNNNNNNNNNNNNNNNNNNNNNNNNNNNNNNNNNNNNNNNNNNNNNNNNNNNNNNNNNNNNNNNNNNNNNNNNNNNNNNNNNNNNNNNNNNNNNNNNNNNNNNNNNNNNNNNNNNNNNNNNNNNNNNNNNNNNNNNNNNNNNNNNNNNNNNNNNNNNNNNNNNNNNNNNNNNNNNNNNNNNNNNNNNNNNNNNNNNNNNNNNNNNNNNNNNNNNNNNNNNNNNNNNNNNNNNNNNNNNNNNNNNNNNNNNNNNNNNNNNNNNNNNNNNNNNNNNNNNNNNNNNNNNNNNNNNNNNNNNNNNNNNNNNNNNNNNNNNNNNNNNNNNNNNNNNNNNNNNNNNNNNNNNNNNNNNNNNNNNNNNNNNNNNNNNNNNNNNNNNNNNNNNNNNNNNNNNNNNNNNNNNNNNNNNNNNNNNNNNNNNNNNNNNNNNNNNNNNNNNNNNNNNNNNNNNNNNNNNNNNNNNNNNNNNNNNNNNNNNNNNNNNNNNNNNNNNNNNNNNNNNNNNNNNNNNNNNNNNNNNNNNNNNNNNNNNNNNNNNNNNNNNNNNNNNNNNNNNNNNNNNNNNNNNNNNNNNNNNNNNNNNNNNNNNNNNNNNNNNNNNNNNNNNNNNNNNNNNNNNNNNNNNNNNNNNNNNNNNNNNNNNNNNNNNNNNNNNNNNNNNNNNNNNNNNNNNNNNNNNNNNNNNNNNNNNNNNNNNNNNNNNNNNNNNNNNNNNNNNNNNNNNNNNNNNNNNNNNNNNNNNNNNNNNNNNNNNNNNNNNNNNNNNNNNNNNNNNNNNNNNNNNNNNNNNNNNNNNNNNNNNNNNNNNNNNNNNNNNNNNNNNNNNNNNNNNNNNNNNNNNNNNNNNNNNNNNNNNNNNNNNNNNNNNNNNNNNNNNNNNNNNNNNNNNNNNNNNNNNNNNNNNNNNNNNNNNNNNNNNNNNNNNNNNNNNNNNNNNNNNNNNNNNNNNNNNNNNNNNNNNNNNNNNNNNNNNNNNNNNNNNNNNNNNNNNNNNNNNNNNNNNNNNNNNNNNNNNNNNNNNNNNNNNNNNNNNNNNNNNNNNNNNNNNNNNNNNNNNNNNNNNNNNNNNNNNNNNNNNNNNNNNNNNNNNNNNNNNNNNNNNNNNNNNNNNNNNNNNNNNNNNNNNNNNNNNNNNNNNNNNNNNNNNNNNNNNNNNNNNNNNNNNNNNNNNNNNNNNNNNNNNNNNNNNNNNNNNNNNNNNNNNNNNNNNNNNNNNNNNNNNNNNNNNNNNNNNNNNNNNNNNNNNNNNNNNNNNNNNNNNNNNNNNNNNNNNNNNNNNNNNNNNNNNNNNNNNNNNNNNNNNNNNNNNNNNNNNNNNNNNNNNNNNNNNNNNNNNNNNNNNNNNNNNNNNNNNNNNNNNNNNNNNNNNNNNNNNNNNNNNNNNNNNNNNNNNNNNNNNNNNNNNNNNNNNNNNNNNNNNNNNNNNNNNNNNNNNNNNNNNNNNNNNNNNNNNNNNNNNNNNNNNNNNNNNNNNNNNNNNNNNNNNNNNNNNNNNNNNNNNNNNNNNNNNNNNNNNNNNNNNNNNNNNNNNNNNNNNNNNNNNNNNNNNNNNNNNNNNNNNNNNNNNNNNNNNNNNNNNNNNNNNNNNNNNNNNNNNNNNNNNNNNNNNNNNNNNNNNNNNNNNNNNNNNNNNNNNNNNNNNNNNNNNNNNNNNNNNNNNNNNNNNNNNNNNNNNNNNNNNNNNNNNNNNNNNNNNNNNNNNNNNNNNNNNNNNNNNNNNNNNNNNNNNNNNNNNNNNNNNNNNNNNNNNNNNNNNNNNNNNNNNNNNNNNNNNNNNNNNNNNNNNNNNNNNNNNNNNNNNNNNNNNNNNNNNNNNNNNNNNNNNNNNNNNNNNNNNNNNNNNNNNNNNNNNNNNNNNNNNNNNNNNNNNNNNNNNNNNNNNNNNNNNNNNNNNNNNNNNNNNNNNNNNNNNNNNNNNNNNNNNNNNNNNNNNNNNNNNNNNNNNNNNNNNNNNNNNNNNNNNNNNNNNNNNNNNNNNNNNNNNNNNNNNNNNNNNNNNNNNNNNNNNNNNNNNNNNNNNNNNNNNNNNNNNNNNNNNNNNNNNNNNNNNNNNNNNNNNNNNNNNNNNNNNNNNNNNNNNNNNNNNNNNNNNNNNNNNNNNNNNNNNNNNNNNNNNNNNNNNNNNNNNNNNNNNNNNNNNNNNNNNNNNNNNNNNNNNNNNNNNNNNNNNNNNNNNNNNNNNNNNNNNNNNNNNNNNNNNNNNNNNNNNNNNNNNNNNNNNNNNNNNNNNNNNNNNNNNNNNNNNNNNNNNNNNNNNNNNNNNNNNNNNNNNNNNNNNNNNNNNNNNNNNNNNNNNNNNNNNNNNNNNNNNNNNNNNNNNNNNNNNNNNNNNNNNNNNNNNNNNNNNNNNNNNNNNNNNNNNNNNNNNNNNNNNNNNNNNNNNNNNNNNNNNNNNNNNNNNNNNNNNNNNNNNNNNNNNNNNNNNNNNNNNNNNNNNNNNNNNNNNNNNNNNNNNNNNNNNNNNNNNNNNNNNNNNNNNNNNNNNNNNNNNNNNNNNNNNNNNNNNNNNNNNNNNNNNNNNNNNNNNNNNNNNNNNNNNNNNNNNNNNNNNNNNNNNNNNNNNNNNNNNNNNNNNNNNNNNNNNNNNNNNNNNNNNNNNNNNNNNNNNNNNNNNNNNNNNNNNNNNNNNNNNNNNNNNNNNNNNNNNNNNNNNNNNNNNNNNNNNNNNNNNNNNNNNNNNNNNNNNNNNNNNNNNNNNNNNNNNNNNNNNNNNNNNNNNNNNNNNNNNNNNNNNNNNNNNNNNNNNNNNNNNNNNNNNNNNNNNNNNNNNNNNNNNNNNNNNNNNNNNNNNNNNNNNNNNNNNNNNNNNNNNNNNNNNNNNNNNNNNNNNNNNNNNNNNNNNNNNNNNNNNNNNNNNNNNNNNNNNNNNNNNNNNNNNNNNNNNNNNNNNNNNNNNNNNNNNNNNNNNNNNNNNNNNNNNNNNNNNNNNNNNNNNNNNNNNNNNNNNNNNNNNNNNNNNNNNNNNNNNNNNNNNNNNNNNNNNNNNNNNNNNNNNNNNNNNNNNNNNNNNNNNNNNNNNNNNNNNNNNNNNNNNNNNNNNNNNNNNNNNNNNNNNNNNNNNNNNNNNNNNNNNNNNNNNNNNNNNNNNNNNNNNNNNNNNNNNNNNNNNNNNNNNNNNNNNNNNNNNNNNNNNNNNNNNNNNNNNNNNNNNNNNNNNNNNNNNNNNNNNNNNNNNNNNNNNNNNNNNNNNNNNNNNNNNNNNNNNNNNNNNNNNNNNNNNNNNNNNNNNNNNNNNNNNNNNNNNNNNNNNNNNNNNNNNNNNNNNNNNNNNNNNNNNNNNNNNNNNNNNNNNNNNNNNNNNNNNNNNNNNNNNNNNNNNNNNNNNNNNNNNNNNNNNNNNNNNNNNNNNNNNNNNNNNNNNNNNNNNNNNNNNNNNNNNNNNNNNNNNNNNNNNNNNNNNNNNNNNNNNNNNNNNNNNNNNNNNNNNNNNNNNNNNNNNNNNNNNNNNNNNNNNNNNNNNNNNNNNNNNNNNNNNNNNNNNNNNNNNNNNNNNNNNNNNNNNNNNNNNNNNNNNNNNNNNNNNNNNNNNNNNNNNNNNNNNNNNNNNNNNNNNNNNNNNNNNNNNNNNNNNNNNNNNNNNNNNNNNNNNNNNNNNNNNNNNNNNNNNNNNNNNNNNNNNNNNNNNNNNNNNNNNNNNNNNNNNNNNNNNNNNNNNNNNNNNNNNNNNNNNNNNNNNNNNNNNNNNNNNNNNNNNNNNNNNNNNNNNNNNNNNNNNNNNNNNNNNNNNNNNNNNNNNNNNNNNNNNNNNNNNNNNNNNNNNNNNNNNNNNNNNNNNNNNNNNNNNNNNNNNNNNNNNNNNNNNNNNNNNNNNNNNNNNNNNNNNNNNNNNNNNNNNNNNNNNNNNNNNNNNNNNNNNNNNNNNNNNNNNNNNNNNNNNNNNNNNNNNNNNNNNNNNNNNNNNNNNNNNNNNNNNNNNNNNNNNNNNNNNNNNNNNNNNNNNNNNNNNNNNNNNNNNNNNNNNNNNNNNNNNNNNNNNNNNNNNNNNNNNNNNNNNNNNNNNNNNNNNNNNNNNNNNNNNNNNNNNNNNNNNNNNNNNNNNNNNNNNNNNNNNNNNNNNNNNNNNNNNNNNNNNNNNNNNNNNNNNNNNNNNNNNNNNNNNNNNNNNNNNNNNNNNNNNNNNNNNNNNNNNNNNNNNNNNNNNNNNNNNNNNNNNNNNNNNNNNNNNNNNNNNNNNNNNNNNNNNNNNNNNNNNNNNNNNNNNNNNNNNNNNNNNNNNNNNNNNNNNNNNNNNNNNNNNNNNNNNNNNNNNNNNNNNNNNNNNNNNNNNNNNNNNNNNNNNNNNNNNNNNNNNNNNNNNNNNNNNNNNNNNNNNNNNNNNNNNNNNNNNNNNNNNNNNNNNNNNNNNNNNNNNNNNNNNNNNNNNNNNNNNNNNNNNNNNNNNNNNNNNNNNNNNNNNNNNNNNNNNNNNNNNNNNNNNNNNNNNNNNNNNNNNNNNNNNNNNNNNNNNNNNNNNNNNNNNNNNNNNNNNNNNNNNNNNNNNNNNNNNNNNNNNNNNNNNNNNNNNNNNNNNNNNNNNNNNNNNNNNNNNNNNNNNNNNNNNNNNNNNNNNNNNNNNNNNNNNNNNNNNNNNNNNNNNNNNNNNNNNNNNNNNNNNNNNNNNNNNNNNNNNNNNNNNNNNNNNNNNNNNNNNNNNNNNNNNNNNNNNNNNNNNNNNNNNNNNNNNNNNNNNNNNNNNNNNNNNNNNNNNNNNNNNNNNNNNNNNNNNNNNNNNNNNNNNNNNNNNNNNNNNNNNNNNNNNNNNNNNNNNNNNNNNNNNNNNNNNNNNNNNNNNNNNNNNNNNNNNNNNNNNNNNNNNNNNNNNNNNNNNNNNNNNNNNNNNNNNNNNNNNNNNNNNNNNNNNNNNNNNNNNNNNNNNNNNNNNNNNNNNNNNNNNNNNNNNNNNNNNNNNNNNNNNNNNNNNNNNNNNNNNNNNNNNNNNNNNNNNNNNNNNNNNNNNNNNNNNNNNNNNNNNNNNNNNNNNNNNNNNNNNNNNNNNNNNNNNNNNNNNNNNNNNNNNNNNNNNNNNNNNNNNNNNNNNNNNNNNNNNNNNNNNNNNNNNNNNNNNNNNNNNNNNNNNNNNNNNNNNNNNNNNNNNNNNNNNNNNNNNNNNNNNNNNNNNNNNNNNNNNNNNNNNNNNNNNNNNNNNNNNNNNNNNNNNNNNNNNNNNNNNNNNNNNNNNNNNNNNNNNNNNNNNNNNNNNNNNNNNNNNNNNNNNNNNNNNNNNNNNNNNNNNNNNNNNNNNNNNNNNNNNNNNNNNNNNNNNNNNNNNNNNNNNNNNNNNNNNNNNNNNNNNNNNNNNNNNNNNNNNNNNNNNNNNNNNNNNNNNNNNNNNNNNNNNNNNNNNNNNNNNNNNNNNNNNNNNNNNNNNNNNNNNNNNNNNNNNNNNNNNNNNNNNNNNNNNNNNNNNNNNNNNNNNNNNNNNNNNNNNNNNNNNNNNNNNNNNNNNNNNNNNNNNNNNNNNNNNNNNNNNNNNNNNNNNNNNNNNNNNNNNNNNNNNNNNNNNNNNNNNNNNNNNNNNNNNNNNNNNNNNNNNNNNNNNNNNNNNNNNNNNNNNNNNNNNNNNNNNNNNNNNNNNNNNNNNNNNNNNNNNNNNNNNNNNNNNNNNNNNNNNNNNNNNNNNNNNNNNNNNNNNNNNNNNNNNNNNNNNNNNNNNNNNNNNNNNNNNNNNNNNNNNNNNNNNNNNNNNNNNNNNNNNNNNNNNNNNNNNNNNNNNNNNNNNNNNNNNNNNNNNNNNNNNNNNNNNNNNNNNNNNNNNNNNNNNNNNNNNNNNNNNNNNNNNNNNNNNNNNNNNNNNNNNNNNNNNNNNNNNNNNNNNNNNNNNNNNNNNNNNNNNNNNNNNNNNNNNNNNNNNNNNNNNNNNNNNNNNNNNNNNNNNNNNNNNNNNNNNNNNNNNNNNNNNNNNNNNNNNNNNNNNNNNNNNNNNNNNNNNNNNNNNNNNNNNNNNNNNNNNNNNNNNNNNNNNNNNNNNNNNNNNNNNNNNNNNNNNNNNNNNNNNNNNNNNNNNNNNNNNNNNNNNNNNNNNNNNNNNNNNNNNNNNNNNNNNNNNNNNNNNNNNNNNNNNNNNNNNNNNNNNNNNNNNNNNNNNNNNNNNNNNNNNNNNNNNNNNNNNNNNNNNNNNNNNNNNNNNNNNNNNNNNNNNNNNNNNNNNNNNNNNNNNNNNNNNNNNNNNNNNNNNNNNNNNNNNNNNNNNNNNNNNNNNNNNNNNNNNNNNNNNNNNNNNNNNNNNNNNNNNNNNNNNNNNNNNNNNNNNNNNNNNNNNNNNNNNNNNNNNNNNNNNNNNNNNNNNNNNNNNNNNNNNNNNNNNNNNNNNNNNNNNNNNNNNNNNNNNNNNNNNNNNNNNNNNNNNNNNNNNNNNNNNNNNNNNNNNNNNNNNNNNNNNNNNNNNNNNNNNNNNNNNNNNNNNNNNNNNNNNNNNNNNNNNNNNNNNNNNNNNNNNNNNNNNNNNNNNNNNNNNNNNNNNNNNNNNNNNNNNNNNNNNNNNNNNNNNNNNNNNNNNNNNNNNNNNNNNNNNNNNNNNNNNNNNNNNNNNNNNNNNNNNNNNNNNNNNNNNNNNNNNNNNNNNNNNNNNNNNNNNNNNNNNNNNNNNNNNNNNNNNNNNNNNNNNNNNNNNNNNNNNNNNNNNNNNNNNNNNNNNNNNNNNNNNNNNNNNNNNNNNNNNNNNNNNNNNNNNNNNNNNNNNNNNNNNNNNNNNNNNNNNNNNNNNNNNNNNNNNNNNNNNNNNNNNNNNNNNNNNNNNNNNNNNNNNNNNNNNNNNNNNNNNNNNNNNNNNNNNNNNNNNNNNNNNNNNNNNNNNNNNNNNNNNNNNNNNNNNNNNNNNNNNNNNNNNNNNNNNNNNNNNNNNNNNNNNNNNNNNNNNNNNNNNNNNNNNNNNNNNNNNNNNNNNNNNNNNNNNNNNNNNNNNNNNNNNNNNNNNNNNNNNNNNNNNNNNNNNNNNNNNNNNNNNNNNNNNNNNNNNNNNNNNNNNNNNNNNNNNNNNNNNNNNNNNNNNNNNNNNNNNNNNNNNNNNNNNNNNNNNNNNNNNNNNNNNNNNNNNNNNNNNNNNNNNNNNNNNNNNNNNNNNNNNNNNNNNNNNNNNNNNNNNNNNNNNNNNNNNNNNNNNNNNNNNNNNNNNNNNNNNNNNNNNNNNNNNNNNNNNNNNNNNNNNNNNNNNNNNNNNNNNNNNNNNNNNNNNNNNNNNNNNNNNNNNNNNNNNNNNNNNNNNNNNNNNNNNNNNNAGUGGUGAUGUUUUUGGUUUCGAAUGGAUCUAAUCAUUCCUAAACUUAUUCUAAAAGGAUUUUCAAUAUGGUUCUAAAUGAGUGGUUGGUUUAAUAAAUAUGUUCUAAGGUCUUAAAAAAUUCUGAGGUGAUUGACUUAUGCAACUCAAUUUUUAAUCAAUUAUAAGUGUAGUCAAGAAUGAGUACGUGCUUGAAUUGUUCAAAAGACAAGUAUAAAUUAAUAGGAUUCAUAAAUAAUUAAAAAUCUGAGUGUCCAUAGGAAUCGAUUUACAUUUUCAUCAGUUGAUAUGAAUUACUUUGUCCAAGUCAAAUCACACAGAAGUAUACAUAAUAAAGUUAUUUAUUUAUUUAUUUUUUUCAAAAUUUUUAACGAGUUUUCCUGUUUUGACUCAAAAUUAAACCUAAAUUAAUCACACACAAAUUAUUCAUGUCCUCCAAAUUUAAUUUCUACAUUGUCCUCGUAAUGCUAUAAAGCCUAAAUUAUCGAAAUUAAAUAAAAGAUAGAAAAUUUGGACUUGCCUGAUAAGUUUUGCGAGAUGGAGUUAGCCUUGAAACUAGAAGAAUAUUUUCCUUUACUUUAUCUUCUCUCCUCCUUCAAAGGAAUUUCUCGUUCUUUGUGCCUAUUUUCGACGAAUAAGAUUGUAAGUUACUUUAACAAAAAAAUAAUAAGUAAUUAUAAUCAAGAUUCCAAUAAAAGAGCAACACAUCAACUACUUAAUCCAUCUAUCUCAAUUUAGUAUAACAAAAUUAGAAAAAUUCCAAAGAAAAAAAUCUUAUGUAAUACUAUUGAGUGAAACUUAAACUUUUCAUGAUUUUUAAAAACAUUGAACAUACUGAUGAUGAAAAAGUUGGUGAUUAUGUGAAUUUGGGUGUCAAAUAUAUGGAGGAGGGAGAGAAUUUUGAAAUUUUGAAGUUAAAACUUAUUAAAGUUAAAAAAAUAAAUAAAUAAAAAAUAGAUCUCUUAUACCAUUUCCAGCACUGCACCAAAUUUUGCAUCAAAUUUUACACCAAAUCUUACACCAAACUAAAAUUUAUCUCCAACUAUUACACUAAAAUUUGCACCAAAUGAACAGUAUUUAACCAUUUUCUUCCCCUUUUUAUUCUUAAUAAUUUAUUUAUUUGAAAUAUUAUUUACAUAAUAUUUUAUAAAUACAAAAAUUACUAAAUAAAUAAUUACAUUAAAUUACAAAAAAGAUUAAAUUCAUUAAUAAAUAUAAAAAAAAUAGUACAAUUAAUAAAAACACUACAACAAUGAUAAUAUUAAAUCAUGCCAUUAAAAAAUAGUGCAAUGCAUUUCGAAUUAAGAUAUUACGAUAUUACGAAGUCGAAAUAUUAUUGCAAUUUAAUUCUCUGAAUUCAUAUCGUUUUCUUUAAAUAAAAUUAGAUUAUCAUACGUAUGUCGUCAUUUAAUAUAUUUCAUUUUUAAUUUAAGAAACAAUCGUGUUUGUUAUAUUUUAAAUUUUUUCUUCUUUUAAUUAAUAUAUUGAUUAUUAUUUUUUAUAUUUAAAAUACAAAUAAUAAUAUUAAUAAUUUAUUGUAUUAAAAAAUAUAUAGCACAAGACACAAAUAUCCUUAAUCAAUUUGUUUGGAAAAGGAAAAGCAAGGGCAAAAAUGAUAUUAUAUACUUUGCACCAUUUGCACCAAAAUGGUGCAAAGCUUGGUGCCACAUUGGAGGAAAUUUGCACCAAAAUUUGGAGCAUUUUAGUGAAAUGGUGCAUACAUUGGAGAUAGCCUUAGUUCAUUUUCUAUGUUUGACCACGGUUGACCACGAUAAACAACAAACUUUUAGUGAUUGUAUUGCAUCGCAGUUGACCGCGGUCAACCAUAUUGUUUAUUUUAAUUUUUUGCAGUGGUAUUAGAAUGACGACUCCAAAAAUAAUAAAAAAAUUUAAAACAAAAUUUAUUUUAACUAAAUAAUAAUUAAACAUGCCUAAUACUAAAUGCAAUUGUGUUAUUUAUAAUCUUGUACAUGUCUAAUUCCUGAAUUUGUCUUGCAUCUUUUACAUGCUUCAUGAAAACUCCCUAAAUUUGCCUGUUGAAAUGUCGAGAUCUCAUGACUUUUAGUUACCUUUGACAUUGGAAAGUACUCUGUGAAACACUUAUGUACCAUAUCAUCAUCCUAAUGCUUUCUUCGCCCGGUGAAUCCAAUCAUUCUCUGGCUUUAUAACAAAGAGUAUGUAGGAAGAGUCUCAAUUAAUUGCUUCAUUGGAUACUCCAUGAAAAUUGUAGUUUUAGUAGAUGUCCAAGAAGCGUGAGAUAUAAUUAUGUAGAUUCCCAUAAUGUUGAAAUAAAACAAAAAAGAUUAAAAGAUAUCACCGAGUUUAAUUACAAUAAACAUGAUAAAAGUUACUCCUCGCUUUCAUUGAUUUUUGCCAUACGAUUCCAAAAAUAUUUUUCGUUUCCUUCCUUGUGUAUCGUAAAUCUCUCGAUAAUUAGUUGAUGUAAUAUGAUAUAUUUUCUUCAAUUUUGCUGUCUAGCCAUCUUUUCUCUUCCAUCACAUUUUUCUGCGUCUUCCUUUUUGUCAUCCUUCCUCUAUGUCUUCUGCUUUUUUCUUUUAUUUGCCUAUCGCCAGCUUCUGUUUACUUUAAAAAAGGAUUCUAAUUCCUUUGGAUUUGAUUCCCAACUAAUUCUAUGUUUCAAGGCCCAUUUGAUGUAUUAUUUCUCUCCAAGGCCUCACUUUUUUCGAAUAAUGUAAUUUAGUCCUUGAUAAAAAUUCAUUUGUGCAGCUCACAUCCUCUUUAUUUCAAAUCAAGCCCUUCAAUUUCUAAAGUGCUGAAUUUGAUCUCAAAGCUGUAGAUUUCAUUCAUUUUCGUCAUUCUUAACCAAUAUUUAGUCCAAUCCCAAAUUUUCUCCUGACAUAAUCCAAAAAUACGAAUAAUUAAGUGUUAAGUUCACUAUAAUACUAACGAAAGACACUUUUUGUGGCUUAAAUAAGUGUAAAUUUAAUACUUAUUCAUAUCCACCUUCACAUCUACUCCUUUAUUUUUAUUUUUAUUGUUUUUUUACUCAUUUGCACACAAUGAAUUUUGUCAUUUCCAGUGUGUCUUCAAUUUCCUAGACCUAAACAAAAUGCAUGGAUUCCAUAUUAGCAUUUAUAUCUUGUUGCCAUAAAUCUGCAUUGACAUAAUCUAUGGCCUCUUCAUAUGAAGUCUUAUUAUCUACUUGUAUUGUGGACAUCAUCUGUUUGGACUGUCCAACUAACAAGUACGUGCAAAGUCUUUUAAUGACCUUAUAACCUUAGCUAAGAGGUUGUAGCUCCUAGAUUGUGGCGUUAUAUGGAAUCACAAUGUUUUCAUCAAAGCGAGUAUCACCAUCAGGUUGACUCCAUUACUUCCUCAUUACUUUUGACAAUUUCUUCAUCUAUAGGAUCAUAUGAAAGAUCAUAGCUCCUACUCUGAUCAUGAUGUCUUAAUAUUCCUAAAACUGUAGGUUGGUUUUCAUCAAAGCUAGCAUCACCAUUAAGUUGACUCCAUUACAUCGUCAGUUUCAACAAUUUCUUCAUCUAUAGGAUCACACGAAAGAUCAUCCCUCCUACUUUUAUCAUGUUGUCUUAGUAUUCCUAAACUGUAGGUUUGUUUGUCACCGGGCUGUGUUUCUAGAAUUGAUAUCGUAGAAUUAUCCUCACUCAUUUCUUCCAAAACAACCUUAUUUUGGUUUGAAAGGACAUAGAUUGAACACAAAGUCAUAAAUAUUAGUCUAGAAUUUCAUGUUAAAACUAAAUAGUGACAUUACAAAUAUUAGAAAAAUCAAAGUUCACUUAUAAUCAUUACAUGCAAUAAUAUGAUACAAAUAUUUUAGAGCUAACCUAUUAGCCAAUGCCAAUUUGAGCCACAUUCGCAGCUGUAACACAUUAUUGAUUCUCCAUAUAAAGAUAAGAAUAUAGUGAAUGUAUUCAUUAAUUACAAUCACAAUAUAAAGCAAUUAAUAAAAAAACGAAUAAGAAGAUCAAAUACGAUAAUUUAUUCUACAGUUUUCUGUGAUCAUCCAAUACUUCUACAUUAUUCAAAUAUUGACGAAUUGUUAUAAGUUCCUUAUUACUCUACAACAUUUUAGGGCAAAUCAUCGCCUCAACCAUCUUUAAGCUCAACCAACUCCUAAAAGAAUAAAAAAAAAAAAAAUUCAACAACUAAUAGGGAAUAUAAAUUCAGUAAUUUUGGAUAUUUGAAUAGCUAACACAUAUUUGACAAUUUUCGAAGGUAAUCUCAUACUUAUUUGCAUUCAAUUUCCACCAAAGUAAUAGGUUGAAAGGCUCAUUAGUCAAAUCUUGACAAUAAUCAUUUAAGUAAUCUAUCAAAUUAUUCUAUCGAUUAAUAGUAAAAUUCAACAAGUAAGUUUAAAUAUAAAUAAUAAAUCAUAUGAUCUAACCAGAAAAUUGAGAUGUAAAUAAACAAAUAGUAUCGUCUAAAAAAGUUAAGGGCUUGGACAAAUCACAACAAAACAAAACAAUUAUCAAUAAAAUAUAAUAAACAAUUACAAAAAAAUAAGAAAAUUUGGAUAAACUUACAUGGAAAUUUAGGCAAAAUUUGAGAAAAAAUAUUAAUAGAAGGAAAAGAAAUGGUGUGAGUUUAUUAAAAUUUAAUUGUCUACUCAAUGCAAUGGACGGUUGAUGAUUAUGGUUUGAAAAAAGUUCAAUACUUCAACCAAUUUGAGGAGUUUUCUUUCACAAUUGUGAUGACUUAUGGGUACUUAUUAUUUUAUUCAUUGGAAUGGAUAGUUGUCUAAUUGGGUAUUGAAUUUAACUGGGUUGGAUAUAAUAUGGAUAUAUAUUUUGAAUUUGGAUGCUUUAAGUUUCAGUUGUGUUGAAUAAAAUUUAAAGUCACUUAUUUUUCAAUUAUUUUUACUUGUUGUAUUGAUUUGACAAUUUGAAAUGGUUUGCAAAAAUUGAAAUCUAAAUAAAACUAAUUUGAAACGAUUUGGUUCAAUCCAAAAUCAAAAUGUUGAGGGAUCUAUGUGAACCCAAUUCAGCGAUUUCAAAAACUAGUUUCAGUUGAUUUCACGGUUUGACAAUUUCGCUAUCCGACCCUAGUAAUAGCUGUUUUUAUUAAAAUAAUGGAUUUUUGCUUAAAGUUGAAAAGUGCUUGUUGACCAAUAAAAUUUCUUUAUAAGUUAUUUUAAAGAAGCUCAAAUUCUUCAGAAAGCUUUGUAUCUAGGGAUGGCAAUGGCUCAACUCGGCCCGUAUACGCAUGAGCUCGGCUCGCACUCAUGGCUCAUUUUCAACUAGAAGAGUUUGAGCUCGGCUCGUUGCUUCUGUGCGAGCUCAACACGGCCCACGAGAGUCGAGCUUUGGCUCACGAGCUCGUCCUUUUUUUUUUUAACGGAAAAAACAAAUGAAUACAAAUGUAUUUUUAAAAAAAAUAAUUUAAUAAGGACAAUUUAUUUAUUUAUAUCAUAUAGUAAUAUUUUCUAUAAAGUAUUAAAUAUUUAUAUAAUGAAAACAAUUUUUUUUUGAAAUAUAUAUAUAUAUAUAAAAUACAUUUUUUUCAUUUUCUUUUUGAAAUAGAUAAAAUAUAAACCCUCCUCCUUUAUUCGGGUUUGGGAUCGAUUACAUCAAUUUUAAGUAAGUGGAUUUAAAAAUUAUACACGAAAAACUUGUUGGUUACGUGUACAAUUUUUUAAAGAAAAUUAAAUAUAACAAUUAAAAAAUAAGAAAUUUUGAUUAAUAUAAUUAAAUCAAAUAUCACUUACCUGACGACAUACAGUUUCAGUAUAUUUAUCUUAUAGUCGAAAAUGAGCGUUCUGUCAAUUCUUCAAGCAUAUUAGAGCUUCCAAAACAUAUUCUUUCAGCCAGCUCCUGACAUCGGUCAAAACCCCUUUUAUCUGCACUAAAAACAGGCUCAGAAAUACCAGUGCUAAUCGGAGGUGUCAGUAGAUCUUUCGCAAUUGCAGAAACAAUUGACCAACGUCUUUCAUACUUUUGCCAGAAUUCAAUUACUUCUUCUGAACUUUUUUUUAAUUUUUUUGUUUGUUGGCAUAUUCUGAUUGAAGUAAUCAAUUAAUUUGGCAAACAUCGCAUUUUGAGUUGCGACCGAUGUUUGAUGAGAUGCAAAUGUAGACGACAUGGCACUAGAUGAACAAAUUGUAGUUGCAUCAUAUCUAUAUGUAUUAAUGCCUUGAAAUAAAUUCAUUAUUUCGACAUCAUCUUUUUCAAUUUCAGCCGAAGACGUAGGUGCAAAGAGUACCCGACUAACAUUCACACACAUUCAGUCUGUAUAUAAUUCAUACAUUUUACAUAAUGUUUGUUCUAAAUUCCUAUAGGUGAUAGGUGUAUCAAAUGUUAAUGCUUUAUUGAUUUGAUCAAUUAUGUAUUUAGUUUCCGAUAAAUUAUAUCGGGGGUCCAUUACGCAUGCUAAAAGAAAUAACAUAGGCAGGUCUUCCAAAUAUUUUUUAAACUUUAAUUCCAUCACAAUUAUAAUUUCACUAAAAUCAUGAUCAUUUUUAUAUUUUUGGAAUGUUCUUGUAAUUAUAUAAAGGCGUUCAAGUACCAUAUAGCUUGUGGGGAAAUAAACGCCCGAUAAAAUUUUUGUGGUUUCAUAAAAUGAUGUCAAAAAUCUUUUAACUUUCAAAGCUAGUAUCCAAUUGGAUCAUUCAACAUAACAUCGCCAUCGCUUCUAACGUGUCUGUUGUUAUAAAAGUUAGUUAUUAAAAUAUUCGAAACAUUCACAUGACUUUAAUAGCAAGUAAGUAGAGUUCAUCUAUGGCUUACAUCGCUAACAAAUGUUUUAACAGUUGUCACUCCUAUUUCGGCACAAUAAUCUUCAAAUGCUUGUUUUCUACUAGAAGAGAUCGUGAUAUAUACUAGUGCAUUCCUAAUACUUUAAAGUUCAUCCUUUAUAUAUUGAAAGUCACCUUACACAAUUACAUUCAAAAUAUAACACACACAACGAAUAUUAAAUAAAUACUCAACGAAAUCAGGUUGCAGUAUCCUACACAAUUUAUCGACAAUUACCUUAUUAACACUAGCAUUAUCGAAAGUAAAAGACCGAAUUUUAGUCUCACAAUUAUAUUCUCUAACAAUAAUGAUAAUAUCAUUAUAUAUAUUAUUAGUAUUGCGAGGAAACUUAAUAAUUCUAAAAGCAAUAAUUUUUUAUGCAUGUACCAAAGUGGGUCUAUAUAGUGUGUGGUUGCAGCUAUAUAGGCUUUUUUAUUAACCACUUCCCAUAUAUUUGAAGUUAAAGAUAUAACACCCCCAUAUUAUUGCAAAGCCAUAAUUAAUUGUUGUUUCGAAUUAUUGAAAUAUUGUAUUGUAUCGACGCGAAGAGCGUUUCGAAUUACCCCAAAGUACAUUGGUUGCAAAUAUUCUUUUACGAAUGAGAUGAAGUGUUGGUUGUCGACAAUAGCCAGAGACAACUCAGUGGCUGCAACAAAUUUCACCAUUCCAGUUUGAUCUUUCUCCUCCGAAUACACUCACGUGGAUAGGGGUAAAGUCGUAGAAUCGAUCCUUAGACUGCCAAAUUGCAAUUGUAUUUGAUCGGCUAGAAGAAGUCCAUGUCUGACCAUACAUGCUUUGUAGUAAUGGUUGAGAUGGGUGGUACCAAUUCCUUUUCACCAUGCCAAUAUUUGUUGGCAGUAUUUAUAUACUGCUUUAGAUUCUAUGAGAUUAUUGACGACUUUUUCCGUUGAAAUCAAUUUAAAGUAAUCCCAACAUUUUUCCUUUUUUCUUCCUUUCGUUUUUCCCUAGCAUCUGGAAUGUUUAAUUCGGGCUCUUUAUUCUCAUGUUCCGCUUCGGGAACAUCAAUAUCAUCCAAAUCAAUUAAAUUGUGGCUUCCAUGACCGUGAAUGUCAACGUCUUCAUGUAUGAUUACGUCAUUUAGACCGGCAAAUUCAUUCUGAAAUUGACUUUGUGGCGUCUUAGGUGAUUUGUCAUGUGGCCCACAUUCUGUAUUGAACAAGCUCUCAACAAAUGAGCGUUAAUCCAUUUGUUUGAUUAUUUGUGAUAAAAUCUAAAUAUAAAACUAGUAAAAAUAUAAAUGUAGUGAGAAACGAGAAUUGGACGAAUUUUCAAUAAAUAAAGUGAGAAAUGAGAAUUUGAUGAAUUGAAACUAAAUAAACUGUAAAAAAUGAUCAAUAUAAUAUAAUGAUAGAUAAUUGACUAAGUAAUCGAGGCUGUUUUGCACAAGAGAGUUGAAACUUGAUAUAAAGAGAGUUGAGAAUUGAGAUGAAAAAAUUGGGUGUUAAUAAGACUAUUUAAUAGAAGUGAGAAAAAAAAAAUCAGUGACCGAAACAGUUACUUUUUCAAAAAAAGUGACCAUUUCGAUCACUUACAAUUAAUGAGCCAGGAGCCGAACGGCUUACCAUUGUGCAGCCAAGCGGGCUUAGCUCGACCAACACACCGGCCCUCUCUGCUCGCGCUUGAGCUCGUAUUUUUACGAGUCUGAGCCAUCCACAAGCCCCCCGUUUUCGCGAGUCGACAAGCCGCUCGACCCAAUUGUCAUCCCUAUUUGUAUCCAAGAAAUUUGAAAUAUGUAUUUAAUAUAACUUUUCAAUUAAUGAAAUUAUCCUUAUUAAUAUAUUAAAAUACAAAUAUAUCCAAACUAUCUUAACAUCGAAAUAACAAUGGAAUAAUAUAAGAACUUUUAUAAUUUAAACUUUCCUUUUGAAAGGUUUACAAAUAUGUUUCUAUCUUAUUUUUAGUAUUAUUUAUCAUUUUAACUAUUAAAUGUCACAUACAAUCCCCAUUUCAAUUAGUUAAAAUAUAUAAUAAAAUAAAUAAUGUGAUCUACACAAAUAAAUAACUUGAUAUUCAUUUACAUAAUAAUACUUCGUUAUUUUAGUUAAAAUAAAUUUUAAUAGUUUCAAUGAAUGGAAAUAAAUAUUAUAUAUUAAUAAAUUAUUAAAAUUUAGCCACAUAAGUAUGUGGUCAGCACUUUUUAGUUACACUACCAAACAAUCUAUUUAGUACUCACAACAUUUUUCAGAUUGACUAUCAAACGAACAACUUUUUAUUAAAAGAUUUUCUUGAAAAGGCUCUACUAGUAAAAACUCUAUUGAUAAAGUUUUACACACAAUAGUCGUACUUAAUAGACCCUAAAAAGAUUAGAUGCAACGUCAUUCUCCAAUUUGACACAAUAACAAAGAUGUUGAUUUUUCAUUAAAUCUUAGUAGAUGGAAUGGCUGGGAUAUAAAAAGCAACAGUGGCUUAUUUAACACAUUUGAAAUUUAUUGACCAAAUAGUAACAGGUGGGAAAGUUUAGUGACCAUUUCGAUAAUUAACCCGACAUUACUCUAAAACAGAGUAUUAUUAUAUAAUUUUUGACCACUUAUAAUAAUGUUUUGUGUUUCUUGAUAGAUCCUUCUAUGACCAGUUUUAGUACUUUUCCAAACUAAAUAUUCUAUGACAUUUGUGGGACAUAGGAAAGAUAAUUGACAAUUGAUAUAUACAAAAUGACAAUUAGAGUCGUUAGGGUGAUUAGUGGUUAAAUAUGAACAUUGCGGGAAGUCUAAAAGCUAAAAUAUUUUUUUUAUAGAAGUCUUGCCAAAUGUUGAACGGCUUAAUUGCAAUUUGUUGGAGGAACUUUGUGAAUAGUGACGCCAAAAUAAGUAUAAUGAUGGUUUGUAAAUCCGUGCCGAAAGUUGGACAGAGUAACGGCAAAAAAAACACAAACAAGAAGAAGAAGAAAGUAGGGACAAAGCCGAGGCAAGAGUUGGACUCUUUGUCCUUAAGUCGAAUUUGCCCCGCAACGGUGCCUACGGAUUUCGGCAAUCGACUCCCAAGAUACAAUGGCUACACUUGUGUUUGUAGCACUCCAAAACACAAGUACAACGAACCAAAUUUAGGCUUAUGUACUCCAAGGAUGAAAUGAAGGAAAAUCAAAAUAAAUGAAAUGAUUUUGAUUUUGGAUAGAAGAGAGGAUGAGAGAUGUUUUGCAUAUCAAAUUGUGAGAAAUAGGACACCCAAAGGGUCCUAUUUAUAGACCAUGAAAGGGUGUGGACGAAAUGGUUGAUGCCAAACCAUGCACCCUUUCCAAACAAUGCACCUUUAUGAAAAGGUGUCUAUUCACCGGACAACCGUGCGGUUUACCAACCAUGCGGUCGCACGGUCCUCAAAAGGUCGAUCCCCGUUUGUGCGCCCGGAAGCGGCGAAGUGGCAAACAAAUUUGCCUAAACGGAUUGAGUCGAGCUUUUGAGUUUUUGGCCGAAGUCGAUACGAAGUCACUUUAAUCGAUUUUCAAUUCUCGAUUUAUUUAACCAAUAUCCAACACAAUUAAAUUACUUAAUUGUGAAAGGAGAUUUUGACUCUUCAGGAUCAUAUUCUCAAAAAAAUCUCCACGACUAGGGAAUUAUUUUCAUUUUAAAUAUAACGGAGAGAUGUCUAAUAAAUAAUAUGCCAAGGUUCGGGAAUUUUAUCGUGUCAGAGAUCUUAACUUUGUGAUUCUCACCUUAUUUUCAUAUAUAGUAAAAUUUUGUUGCAACACUAUUUUGUCUAAGAAUAUUUGAUUAAUUUUCUCACCACCUUUGUAUCUGAAAUUGAAAAAUUCAUAAAAUUGAAAAUUAUCAAACGAUAGAAGGAUUGUGUGCAAUAAAUAAAUAUUAUUGUUCCGGCAUAAUGCAUUAUUUUUCUUUCCGUAGCAGUAAUAUUAUGAAACUUGUACAAAAUAUUUUUCACAAAGUAAAUCGUUAGUUUUUGGUUCCUUUCAAGAAAAAUAGUAAAUUUUAAUCUAGAAUUAUUUAAUAAAAAAUUAGAAGUAAAUAACUUUGGGGACCAAUUUAGAAAUCUCUAAAAAAUUCCUCUCCAAUUUUAACAUUUUAAGAUUUAAACGGGCCAGUUACUAAAUACGUCCAUUUCUUUAUUAACAAACAAAUGUGGAACUGUGGAAGUCAAAUAUAAUAAAAAAUACAUAUCUAAUAAUUAACAUUCAAGGUUGAAUGUCAAAUGUUGAACGAAAUCUUAACAUUUCAUAAGAAUUUAGAGGAGAGAUAAAUUUAAGUCAAAUCUUGGUUGUUAAAAGGGAAAAUUUCAAAUAAUUAAAUCCAUCCUCUAUAUAUCUAAUAAUUUAAGAAUUUAAAUUAAAUUUUAAUAUAUAGUGUCGAAAAAUUAGACAAAAUGUCAUCAACUAAAGUCUCAUUGUUACUUUUAAAAUUUGUAUAUGUAUAAGAUCUUUAAUAAAAAAAUUAAUCCAAAAGUUGUGAAGAAUUUGGUCAAGCAAAAUGAAGAACCCAUUUUGCAAACUCAUAUUUGUAAAUGCAUGUUUUAUAAGCACCAGAGGCGGACCCACAUGGUGUCAUGUGGGAUCAAAUGACCUCACAGUUUUUUUCCCCCUGCUGAAAACGUAAUUUUAUGCUAAGUUGGUAAGUCAACCUAAUUAAUUUUCCUAGUCCAAUACCCAAAAAGCCUAAAUUCUAAAUCUAUAUCCAUAUCACAUUGUCCAUAUCCAUUAAUUAGUCCAUAAAUAUAUCAUAUAAUCCACCGAUUUCUUUCCAAAGUACAAACACCGAACAUGAACAGCAAACCACCGAUUUCUCCUUUUUGUUCAUGAUACAUUGUUCGAAAAAAAUUUCAUUUUUGACUCCACAGUUCGAACUGUUUGGGUCUGCCCCCGAUAAGCGCGUAUAAUGAAGAUUGAGAUGUAAACAAACUGGUGCAAGCCUCAUCCUAACUGUAAAAAAAUUGAAACUUCGACAAGGGAUCCCAACAAGUUGGUCCCACUUCUUUUUCCUAACUUUCCUUGGACGAUAACAAUUAAAAGUGAAACACUAACGAAAAGUUGGGGACCAACUUGAAAAAUGAGGCAAUAUGUUGGGGACCAACAGUGAAAUUUUUGCAGAUUUUGACAACUAUAUAUACGGGUCACAAGUGAGUCAUCUGAUAUUCCAAAAAUUUCUCAAAGCUAAUUGUCCCCUGCAUUCAUUGUCCCUAUAUUCCACGGAAGAAUGAAGGUACGCACACACACAUAGUUGACAUGCAAGAAAUGGAAAAGAAACCCUUGAACCUUCUUAUAUGUAUAUUUACUCUUUCAAUGUUUUUCAUGAUCAGCAAAAAGUGGUCAUUGAGAUCUCGUUAAAUGGCCAUAUCUCUCAAGGCAUCAUUGAGAUGUUGAUGUGCUGCGGAAGUCAAGAGUCGAACCAAGCUACGAAGAUUAGAACGAAGGCCAUGAAGAUUGCAGUUUGCAUCCCACGUAAGUUAAAUCUUUUUUAUGAGUAACAGAGACUGUGUUUGAGCUCUUUUUUUGGUGAAAAUGAGUUUUAUAAUAGUGAUUUUUUGGAGAAUGUUUUGUUAAAAAGUUUUAGAUUUAUGUAAGAAUUAUUUUAUUGAAAGAGUAGAAAUAUGUGGUUAAAAAUAAGUUUGAGAAAAAAAUAAAUUUUUAGAAAAUUGAGCUCAAAGACGGGCUGCAAAAGUAUCUUGCUUAGUACUUGAGACUUACACAUACAUCUAGGAAAUCAAACAAGUCCNNNNNNNNNNNNNNNNNNNNNNNNNNNNNNNNNNNNNNNNNNNNNNNNNNNNNNNNNNNNNNNUUCAAUAUUGUCUAAUCAACUUUAUCAGACAUGCAAUUAGAAAACUUCAACUUAGACAGUGUUAUUCACGUUAUUUUAUAGGGGUAGAGUCAGCAGCAAUGGAGGGGGAGGAAAUGAACAAGCUAACAGUGAUUGGCGAAGAUAUCGACACGGUGACUCUCGUCAAAUUGCUUAGGAAGAAUGUGUGCUUCGCGAAGAUCGUCAGUGUUGGCCCUACAGAGACUGCCAAUACUGCCGAGGACAAGAAUGAGGCCGCUGUGCAUCCCAAAUGCUAUAAUCAUGUGCCUCAUUAUCAAUUAUUGGAAAUCAGAGAACCCUACUAUACCCCCUCAUGUUUCAACUUUUGAGUGCUUAUUGGUUUUGAAUUUGUCCAAAAAAAAAAAAAAAUUAUAAUAAUAAAAUUAUGUUUUGCAAUGGAAAUUAAUAAAGUGACAAAUUUUGCUUGAAAUAAUCUUACAGAUAGAACAUAUUGUAUAAUUAUUGUUUGUUGUGGAAGCUCGCUUCAAGAUCUUCGAACAGUGAUUUUCUUGUUCAGUUUCGCAUUGGCUUUCUCUGACCCACAACCAAUCUAAACGUUUUCGACCCUCAACCAAUCUGUUUACCUUGAUUGCUUCUCAAUCUCAUCCAUAAAGAACAAGAUAACGGUGUUGAUUUGCAAGCCACAAAGAAACGAGAAAAAUAAUGAAUGAGGCACAAAGAAGAGACCAAAACGAAGGUGGAAGUCACUGGCUUUCACUCUCAAUUGCGCACAUUUUUCUCCAAUAGUAGGCAGCCAUGUUCUCUCUUUCAAAACAAAUCACACACUAAAAAAUAGCUAGCGCAAUACACCAGAUAUAUAGAUAUGGGUUAGGUUUUAGUCGGACCAAGAAAGGGGUUAAAUUGACUAAGAUUUAAGAGCCAUCCAAUAGAUUAUUAUAUGGGCAGUAAAUAACAUUAAUUUCUUAAGCUACUUUCAACUGUCCACGUUGUUUUCGUGUUGAGCCUUUAGACUUGGUUGUUAGCAAUCAAUUCAUCAUUGGCUGAGACCUGUGAAAAUAUAUUCCAACGUUUUACAUCAUCGCCCAAGAUUUAUUGGUUAUCAAAACCUAACAAAUUUUCACCUUGAUACCCAAUCAACCUGUAAGCAAUCAAAACCCAAAAUUAAUACUCACAUAAUCAAUGUAACCAAUAAAAUUGGAAUCAUAGACCUUACCUCGUGUUUCGGACCCAAAGUACAUACCAUACCUACUUCAUAUACUUACCAGGGCUAAGGUUAAAAAUUAUCCAAGUAGGAACAAGUAAUCACUGUAAUCAGUCAAGAGCAUAUAAACAUACAAUGAAAAUAUAAUAUAGGAUAACACAGAUCUUUUCAAACAUGUUCACACAGAGCAAUAGACUAACACCAAGUUAAUCAAUCUAAUGGCCAAAUGCUUAUGUAACAAAUGCAUAAAUUGACCCCAUGAAAAGAUCUUACCAUACUUAUCUUAUCCCAUUCUAUGUUGCUCACACAUCAAGAACAUAUAUCUCCUUCCAUCGCCCACCAUGAACACUAAAUUGAUUACUAAACUUAUGUCAAUUUGGUAAAUCAUAAUAGAUCCUAAGUCCACAGAAUAAUCCUCUAUCACCACUCCACUGCUCCCAAUCUAAGUGGAUAAAUAGUCUCCACCUAACAUAAGCGAUAGAAGUGUCUCUUUGACACUUUACCUGAUCAAAGUUUUCACAAAUAAAAGAUUCCAACAUUUAAUUACAUCUCCACUCGUGAUCCACAAAUCACACUCCUCAUCUUCUGUACAAACAACCAAUGCACGUCUUGGCAUCUAUAAUCUACCUUACCAAAAGACACUGCUAACGCACCCAACCUACUAUUCCUGCAAUCACAUUAUACCAAAUAAUCAAAUUGCUCUCAAAUUCAUGCAAAUAUAUAUAUCAAACACAUUGAGAUGCAAAAUAUAACCAUGCAACGGAUUUAAGCAAUCACACACAUGUAGAAGGAAUUACACAUAGAUGCACAUGUAGUAACUAGGUUUAUCUCAAUAAAUCUCGUUAGGGUCAUCACUCGAUCCAAAAGCAACAUUCUCCUCACCUUUCGUCUUACUCUUAUGCUUAUCCUUCUUACUGGGACAGUCCCUCACAAAGUAUAUAGACUUACCACAGCUGUAAACAGCUUACCAACAAGCUCGUCCCAACCCUUACCCUUCUAUCUCCAUCACCACCUGAGUCACUACUCAAAUCAGUAUUGUUUCAAGCUAUACCCAAACUUUUUUGCUUAAACUUCAUUCUACUCCUCAUUAUAUGUACCUUACCACUCCUCCUAUUGUUUCUUUAAGCCUUAAUCUCAAUUUCUUUAUUUAUAAGAGAAUCAAUGAUAAUCUUAGGUGUUAGGGUGUCCAUAUCAUACUUAAUCUCAUUCUUAACCUCCCUAAACAAGUUGGGCAUACAAUUCAACAAAAUAAUAGCACUAUAUGUUUUAGAUACGUUUUCAUCACAAUUAACAAUGUCUUAAACAAGUUUGUUUAAAAUAUCCAAUUUAUCGUCAAGAUCCUUUGAAUGAUCCAUUUUAAAACUGAAAAAAUCUUUCAAACAAGUACAACUUAUUAGAAGUAAACUUAAGCAGAUGUAAGUCCAACUUUUUUUAAACUUCUUUAGUAGAAUCAAAAUUUCCAACUUUUCUCAAAAUAGUAUAUGACGGAUGUAAAAUAGUUGAAGUGUAAGCAAAUUCGUCAUUUUUUUUUUCUUUUUGUGCUUUUGUCAAAUUAGCUUAAAAAAAUUACCAUCUUCAGCUUUUGAAACUUUUUGUUGAAUUAAAAUUCCCUCAACCUUUUAUUGCCAAAUUGAAAAAAUUCCCUUUCUAUUGAAAAUUUCAACUUCGAAAUGUGAAUUCAUUUUGAAAAUAUAGGACAACCAAAGUGCACAAAUAUGUCACACAAAGUGAUCUUAAAGCUGCAAUAUAUACCAUUCUCUAUUCUUAGGGUUUCAUUAGAUUCUAGAUCUCAGCAUUAAGGGAGUGACCAAAUGGGUCAAGUCCAGUGUUCUAAUAGAAUAAUCAAUAUAACACAAAUGUAUGUCAACAAAAAUUUAAUUUUUCACAUAAUGCAGUCUCACACAGUGAAAUUAAAACACAAAAGCAAUUAUAAAUUUGCAAUUAAAUCCGACAAUUUAAAUAUGGCGCAUAAAUCUUAAUUUUCUAGCACAAGGAAUGAUUAACACACACAGUAAUCCUAAUCCUAAUGCCACCCACAUGAUGAUUCGCUAAUACUGAAAUUUAAAUGAAAUAAGUCAAUAUACCAUAACAGACCAAUCUGUAGUCCAUAAAUAAUGAGAUGAAAAUUUUACUACUUUACAACCAACACUAUUCGCUAAUCUCCAAUAACCACGCCAACCAAUUGAGAAAAAAGAAUCCUAAGUGCACAAGGGGCAAAAUUGUCCAGAAUCUCAAUUUUUGCCUAAAAUAGAAAUCAAACACCACAAGGUCCAUCUCAUCAUGUGGAACAAUCUAUUGGAAGAUAACGUCAUUGGAAUCACCUCUACGCGUUCUUACAUGCAUUUAGUGGAGUUCCACGCCCUAUCUGACCACUUCAUGCGCCGAUCAUGGAGCUGUGCCUCCACCUAAACGUGAUUGCCAGCGGUUUUCAUUUCACCAACCAGUCAUUGGAUUGGCUCGAAACACAGAAAUAUGUUUUGUAGCCUUGAAGAAACUGGACAAAUCUGGUUUCUAUUUCGAUUCUACAAAUUUUCUAGUAUGUUGUUAGUCAAAAUUUUGAGCCACCUUGAAGCUCUAACCAAUUGUUGCAAAAGCUCGCUCCAAUAUCUUCAAAAUUGUUAUUUUUUAGCCCAGUCUCAUAUUAUCUUUCUCCAGUUCAAAUGGCACUAACUCACAAUCAAUCCAUUUACCACGGUUAGUUCUCAAUCUCACCCAUACAAGAUAAAUAAUGGUGUUGAUUUGCAAGCCAUGAAGACACGAGAAAAAAAUGAAUAAGGCACAAAGAUGAGACCAAAACGAAGGAAGAAGUCAUCGAUUUUUCACUCUUCAUUGCACAUGUUUUUCUUCAACAAUAAGCCGGCAUUUUUUUCUCUCUUUACUCUCAAAUCACACACUAAAAAAUGGCUAGGGCAAUACACCAUAUAUAGUGAUAUAGGUUACGCUUUAGUUGAACCAAGAAAGGGGAUAAAUGGGCCAAGAUCCAAGAGCUGUCCAAUAGGUAAAUAUAUGAGUCGUAAAUAGCAUUAAUUUCUUAAGCUACUUCCAAUGGUCCUUGUUGUUUUCGAGUUGAGCCACUAUACUUGGAUAUAGGUAAUCAAUUCACCAUUGGUCGAGGUAUGUGAAAAUACAUUCUGACGUUUUAUAUCAUUGUCCGAGAUUUAUUGAGUAGUCAAAAUCCAGCAUCGUUGAAAGAUAAUGAGAAAUAGGUAAAGGAGAGAACUCAACAAAUUGCAGAACCAAUAGGUUUUAAUACUUAAUUGUUGUACUCAAACGGUGUAGGAUGUUUUAUAGUGCUUAAAGAGAUUCACCAGCAAAUGAUUUGUAGAAUAAACAAGUAUUUAAAAAAAUUAAGUACGUGUGUUUUCUUCCAAGACUUGAUGAACAUUAAAAACAUUGAAUAUGUAUAAAAAUGGGAGAAAGAAACACUUAAGUGGAGUUUAAGAAUUGAUAUAUUAUGGUUAUAAUUGAAAACACUUAUUAUAGUUUUCCUAAAACAGUACACAGAUUAGUGCAUAACUUUUUUGAAAAGUUGUUAAUUUUCAUGAAAGCUACCAGGAUAUCAAAAUUGAAAACUAGACUAAUGACUAGUUCUUGUAACCAUGCAUACGCAUUGUUUAAGAAAUACAUGGCACAAAGAACAUGGGUUUAAAGUUGCCCACCCUCCAAUUUCUUCCCAUUUUGAUAUCAUAUUGAUUUUUCUUUUUCAAUGGUAAUUAAUUUUUCAAUUCUCCCUUCCAAUAUAAUUUUUGAACAAAAUAUAACAAUCCUCCAGUUGUUCAAAAUUAUAUGGAUCACAAAUAUAAAUUAUCAACAUUUACACAUAAGGUUUAGACAUCUUUCAAUUUGAAUCUUACUUUAGUGUAAUUCCCACAAAGUAUAAUCAAAAUUUCAGGUAGCAUAAUAGCUUUGAAACAAUUAUUACUUGUGAUGAAAUCGAUAAAAAUAUAUGCAUAAGUGUCAUGUGUUUCAUAGUUCCUCAAACUCGCUUAGAGCUAAUAUGAACUUAUGUUUAUCCUAUUCGUUGAGCUUUUAAGAGAGAAACUCUAAUUCUCUAUUGAGUUGCCUCAAAAUUUAUUUAGAUGAAGUUAUUUUGUUGCUUUGUUACUUUUAGAGUUACUUGUACUUUGUAUUGAAUUUCAUUAAGAGCUUAAAGCUCAACCCUCCUUUAAGUAUAACCAACAUUAUUACAUUUUAGGAUAGAGUUCUCGCGAAUAUAAUAAUGCUGAAAAUAUUCACUUAUUGAAUUACUUAUUUUUACCCUUUCAGCCCAUAGUUAUUAUUUUGAAAUGACAAAUAAGAUUACCUUCAUUGGUGGAUCUUUUAAUUUAGGAGUUUUAACCCCAUCCUACUCAAUGUAGAUAUUACUAAAUCUUUAUUAAGAGGUUUAGUAAAAUGAUCUACUAAAUUCUCAUUUAAAUUAAUGUAAUUUAGGGAAAGUAUUCCAUCUCUGAUCAAUUUUCUUAUGUAGUCAUGUUUUAGACUUGUAUAUCUAAACUUUCCAUUGUAUACCUCAUUGUAUGCUUUUAUUAAUGUGCCGUGACUAACACACAAAAUAAAUAUGGAAAAAUAUAUUCAUUAUUCCCAAAGAAAUCUCAUAUAUAUCUUUUCUUAAGCAACAUAACCCCUAUGUAGGUGUCGGUUAAUCCCACUAAUUUAGAUUCCACGGUUGAAUGUGUUAUACAUGUUUGUUUCUUAAACUUUCAAGAAAUUACACCAUUUCUAAGAAUAGAAACCCAACUCGAAGUAGAUUUAUUUUUAUCAGUGCUAGAUAUCCAACUAACAUCAAUAAAUCCUUUUAAUACAGUAAAAUAUUUAGAAUAUUGUAGAUCUAUAUUUUUGGUUUCCUUUAAAUAACAAAUAACUCUCCCGAUGACCUCCAAUGUUCCUUCUUUGGAUUACUAGUAAACCUACAAAGUUUACUAAUUGCGAAUGUUAUAUCCGAUCUUAUGUAUUAAGCUACAUAAUAAGGCUGUCUAUAGCCCUUGCAUACUCUAGUUGAACAAUUGCACUUCCAACAUUUUUUUUAUAAGUUUAGAGUUUGUAUCAAGAGGGGUACUAAACUCUUUUGUGUUCAAGUGAUUACACUUAUUAAUUACAAUCUCUAUAUAAUGUAAUUGACUUAAAAUUAGCCCUCACUAGUUUUUGUAACUUUAGUACCUAAUAUGGUGUGAACUUGUCCAAAAUCCUUUAUCUUCAAUGUGAAAAAUAGAAACUUGUUGUUUCUUUUAUUUCAUUUAUGUAAUUACUCAAACUCUACACAUCGUCAACAUAAAAGGCAAACAAACACAACAAAUUCAUCAUACACUUUGAAAUAUAAACACUUAACUACACUAUUAUGUAUGAAACCAAACUUUUCAUGCCAUUUCUUUGGUGCUUGUUUUAAACAAUAUAAUGAUUUUACUAACUUGCACAUUUUAUGUUCAUUACUAGAGCGACCAAAGCCUUUCGGUUGUUCUAUAUCAAUCUCCUCUUCCAUAUCCCUAGUUAGGUUUUUAUAUCCAUUUGAUUUGAUGAACAUUCAAGUUAUAUAUGGAAGCUAAUGUAAAUAAUAUUCUAAUUGAUGUAUUCUAGGUACCGAUGCAUAUUUAUCAAAAUAACCAAUUCUUUCUUUUUGUCAAUAAUCUUUAGCUACUAAUCUUACUUUAACGGUAUUAAGAGUACCAUCUACAUUGUAUUUCUCCUAAACACCCAUUUACAUCAAUAUGUUUAAAUUCAAGUGGCAAAUCGACAAGUUCCUACAUAUUGUUUGACAUAAGUGAAUCCAUUUUGUCUUUUGUGGCAUCUUUACAAAAUAUAAUAUCAUAAGAAGCCAUAUUUUCUUUACAAGUCUUAGAAUCGGUCUCUACUUGUGGAAUAAAAGGCACUGUCCUAAUAAAAUUUUUAUUAUUUUUCUCUACCAUGUAAAGUGAAAUGAGUUCAGAAUCUAUCUCAUUCUGUCCGAAGGUUUUUUUUAUUUCCGAGUUCUUUUGCUUCUUUUAAACUCAAUAGAUUUAUCAACAUCUUUAGAAGAUGUUUCCUCUUGUUUUCCACUUUACACUAGGAAUCUUUUCUUGAGUUUCCUUAAGUCAUUAUCCAAAGAUAAUAAAUUCUCAAAGAACUCAACAUCAUUUGAUUCGAUUAUUACAUUUGGUCUCCAAAUUUAACAAUACAUAGGAUUUGCUAUUACUAGCAUAUCAAACAAAGGCAAUUUUGAUGCCUCUUGGUCCCAAUUUGGUCUUUUCCAAGUCUAUGUUCUUAUAAUAAUCGAGACACUCUCACACUUUAGAAUAUUCAAUGUUUUGGUAUUCUUCCUUUCCACAAUUCGUAAGAAGAAAUUUUUUUGAAUUUUAAAGGAAUUCUAUUUAAGAAUCUAUACGCAUAUAACAAAACUUAACCCCACAAGUUAAAUAGCAACUUAACAUAUGUUAAUAUGGCAUUUAUCAUUUCAAAAAACUUCCUAUUUUUUUUCUUUCCCUCGAAAUGUUAUGCCCCUCACAUAGGCACUGAGGCAUCUUCACGUGCCGAAACGUGUAAGGAGGAGGUGCUCCUAAAAUACGAUAUCGUCUGAGGUGUCUUCAAGUGCCACGACAUUGCUUCCAAAAUGUGAGGGCCGAGCCGCAUUGACUGAGGCACUAUGUCUAAGGUGCUAUGUCGCGGAGAAAAGGAAAAGCACCUUUCCUUCGCAAAUUUCAGAGAUCUUCUGGCCAAGAUCUGCUCUGUAUCUUUAGAAAUGAUUGAUGUGAUGUCUCUGCCGUGUGUCAACUUAGAAUCAGUAGAAUUAAUUGCCCACCCUUCUAGGAAGCGAUUGGUGGAGGCCUACGAGCGACGCCUCGCACUGUUGGAUGAUUUCACAUGUCACGCAUCUAGCGGUGCUCUUUGCCUAUAAAUACCACACGUUUGACCAAGAAUAAAGUAACCAUUCCACAACAAAGCAAUUAUAUUUCUUCCUUCCCCUAUUUAGCUGGCACAUUCCAAUACCGUCACUACCACCGUCGAUUGACUUGAUCAACGGAGUAUAUGUGGCUGCCAUCGUCACCACGGGGAUCGGACAUAUAUGCCUGACCAUUUGUUGUUGUACACAGGGAGGAACACGUGGAAUAGCUCUCAAUUGGCCACAUUGGAGGUUCAAUUCAUGGGGUCAACAUGAACCAUUUUUGUCGAAUAUUUUGGGUACAGAACGUUGAUGUAUUAUAUCUCGUUGUUCAUAAAAUGAAUUAAAAAUUACUUGAAAAGUAUUUACCACCUCUAUCACUUCUUAAUUUAUUUAUUUUUAAUUUUCCGUUUAAGUGAUUUUCAACUUCAUUUUUUUAAAGUUCUAAACAUAUCAAAUGAUUCGUGUUUAUGUUUCAUCAAAUAAAUAUAAGUAUAUCUUGAAUAAUCAUCUAUGAAGGUGAUAAAAUACAUAUUUCUCCCAUGUAUAACGUGUCAUUUAAUUCACAUAUUUUCAAAUGAACAAUUUCUAAAUAUGUGAAGUCCUAUUCACACAAUGAUAAAGUUUCUUAGUCAUUUUCGAUUCCACAAAAUUUCUAUAUUUAUGUGUAUAUUUUAUAUUGUAAGAUUUAUAUUGUAAGAUAUCAUAUCAUAGUUUAACAUAAGAAAGAAAAAUUUGAUCACAAGAACUUAAUGUUAGGCCUAUUACUUUAGUACAAAUAUACCUAAACUGAAUUGAGAACGUUGGAGUGCGAGUGAAUGCUAAGUUCCUAUUCAUGUUGGAAACAUGUAAUACAUUUAUAAGGGUAAUUGUUUUUCCAAAAGUGAAGACAAUAUCAACAUUUCAUUUACCAACCACUUUGAAGUAGCCUUCAUUACCCAUUUGCAUCUCUUGCUCACCAUUCGAUUCGUGACAAGUCUUGAAAAAUGACUUAUCAUAUGAUACAUGAAUGUUGUUGCACACGUAUCAUACUUCCAAUCAGGAAUAUUUUAUUUGAUAGCAUUGAUUUCACUCACAGUAGACGCAAUGUUAUCUUCAACAAAUGAUUUUAUUUUGCUCUCAUUCUUGUUUUGUUUUCGAUGCCAACAAUUUUUCACAUAAAUUUCGGGUUUUCUUCCCAAAAAAAAAUCUCUCUUGGACUUUUUGUGAUCCUUAUUAAAAGAAUUCCUUUCGUGUAUGUUAACCUAUGGUUGAUUGUAACCUUAAGCUUUUGAUUUAUAUCAAACAAGUUAAUUUCGUUUACUCAUAAAUUGAAUUCAAGUGAUUAUAGUUUUUCAAAGCAUACAAUGAAAAAUUGAUCAAUGAUGAUUGAAAGAUCAAAAGCUAUUAUCAUAAUCGGACUUCUAAAGGAGGUCAAGAUUGAAGUCACACACUCAAGAGCUUAAGAGCCAAACUUUGAAGCAGAUCAAUGACUAGAUUUCUUAGAUAAAGUUCAAAGAUAUUGGUACUUUGAUAUUUAGCAACGAACAUUUAGGCUCCAAAUCCUUCUCUAUAUUAAAAAUAAUUUUAUGCAUUAAAAGUUAUUUGUGAUAUAACUUUUGAUCAAAUAUAAAAAUGACUUUUAAAAUGGUAUUUUAACGGGAAAAAUAUCUUUUAUCUUGAAACGAUAGUUAAAAAUAUUUUGCAAAAGUCAAACACUUUUCAAAACCUUCAAAUUGGAUCAAAUAGGGCCAAAACUUAAAAAUACCGAAAUUGUCAAACAGUUGACCAGCUAGAAGAAGCGAUCAAUCAAAAUUUUUCAACGGUCCAAAAUUUGACCGUUUUGACCUCUAUAUUUUACUAUACAAAACGCUAUAUUUAUCAUCCAAACAAGACACUAUCGACCGGACAUGUCAUCCGAACAUACAAUUUUGACGUUUUGAACUAUAUAAAUACCUCCAUUUCUUCAUUCAUUACUGCAAUCUUGGAGAGCAUUAAAAGUGAAAAAUUACUAAGUAUAUCUCUUGAGCUUACAUCUCAUUUAUUCUAUCAAACAAUUACUUAGAAAAUCUUUAAUUUAUUCAACUUUUUUAAAAUCAUCUUUUUAUCAAACUUUUUUUUAUCUAAUACUUGAGCUUCAUUUAUUGCUAUUCAACUGAAGUGUUGAAUUCAUCCUUUUUUUUUUUUACUUUCCAUUCACUCGGAUUUCUGGCUUUGGUUUUUUCAUAAAAGUGCAGCCGUAGUAUUCAGAAAAUAGAGAUCUUUUUUAGUGUUUUUCCAAGAAAUCUCUAGCCUACCCAACGCGUUUCGAACUAUUUAAAAUCAAAAUAUCUUAAUUUUCGAUUCCAUUGGACUCCUAUUUCUCUUUUAGUACUUAAUUUAUUUAUAUUAUUUAUUAAGAGAGAAGUUUCAAAUUGUAAAAUCAUUUCUUAUCAAAUUUGUGGAUCUUAUUGAAGUCCUAUAAAGCUCAAUAUUAGAUAAAGAACAGAGCUGCUUGUUUGUAAGCCAUCGAAAGUAUUGUAAGGAUUUGGAUUUUACCAUAAGUUAAUCAAAUAUAGUGAAUUGGUCUUGCUCGUAACUGAGAGCUUGGUAACGUAUGAUAUAGAUCAUCAUUUUGGAUCAAAUCUGUACAUUUAUAUAAUUUGCAUUCUCUCUUCUAUUUUAUUUAUUGCUUUUGUAUUUGUGCAUUUUGUUUGAUUGAUUUAUUCAUUCCCAACUUACUUGAAUUUGAAUCAAUUUUUCGAAAACAUUUUGAAAACCAAUUCACUCCUCUCUUGGGCUAUCAAUUUGAUUUGUUGGACAAUUCAUUCUUUUUCAUGUCAUUGGCUUUUAACAUGACUUCACAAGAGUUUUCAUUCUUAUCUCUUGCCCUCAAUUCUUCUUCAUUUUGGAGAUGUUUUUGAAUUUGGAGUAAAGAAAAUGAAACGAUGAGGGUUCAAUUUAUAUAUUCAAUGCAUCUAUCUUAAUAGUUACACCUUUCUACAAAAAUCCAUUUUGACCAUUAAAUCAUACAUUUUUUAUUGGAACAUGGCCUGAUGGUCUAUAUCGCACACUUUAUAAAGGUAAUGACUCUUCACUAUGCACCAAUAACAUAUGAAGAGUCAUACCUAAUCAUCACAACUAUUGGAGACUUAUUCCAAUUCGUAUAUUAAUCAUUAAAUAACCCGAUAAUUCCAACAAUCGCAAAAUGAACAAAAUAAGUGACUCACCACAAGCAAAAAUAAGAAAAAUUCUAUCUGCGAGAUAAUGAAUCAAUAUAGGUAACUUUUCCUUUGAACCUCCCUUAGUAAGAAAAUUCAUCAGACUUGCUUCGGUAAUAAGUGAAACAACAUUUCAAACUAUCAACCAUUAUCACAAGUUUAAACAAUAGAGCAAACACAUUAUUUCUUAUAUUAGACCUGAUUCUUUAUUAUAUUCAUGAAUUUGACCCUAAACUCUCUUGAGUUCUAAGUACUCUGGAGAAUUCGCCUAAGUAAAAUUUUUCAUAUUUUAUGUUCAUUGAGAUAGUUAAUGAUUCAUUUAGUGUAAAUUGAGUUCUUUGACUUCAAUUGGUCAACAUUCAAAGUAAUUACCAAGCAAGUUAAACUAACAAAUUAUCUAUAUUCCCUUUUGUGUUUGAGACUUAGUUUGCACUUUCCUUAUCCUCAACAAUAUUUGUAGACAUCACUUAUUUACGUUAUAGAAAUAGGGAGAAGUUAAACUCCUAAGUGCUUCUUGUCAAGUCAUUCAUAGUUAGUUUAACUAUUAAAUCCAGUGUUCUAAGACGUGACAAAAACUCCACACUUAAGACCUAUGUGCUAAUUUUUUGGUCAAGGGAAGCAUUGAACGCUUUAAGGCGUUAUUUUUUAAUUAAAUUUUUGAACAAUUUUUAAAAAGCUCGUUUGUCCUACCCUACAUAAAGAUUUCAACUUUUAGGCCAAUUGGAUUGAAAGACCCAAAAAUAAAUAAUUAUAAAAUUUUCAACUUUUAGGCCAAUAGAUUGAAAGAUCUAAAAAGUUGCUCACUUAUUAGUCCACUAAUUUAUAGAGGGCAUCUCCAACGAUUUUGUUACAAACUUUCGAUGUGGGAUAAAAAUUCCUUCAUUUUGGCUACAGUGCAUUAUAUCUUUGAUUUGGUUGUAAUGUAUUGUACCUUCAAUUUUGACAAAUUUAAAAUAAUAUUAAUGUAAGAAAAUGCUUUUUUAACGCCUAAGACUCGCCUAGGUGCGCAUCAUUCGAAGUUUGACCUUCACAUAUCGUCACGCAUGACUUUUUUGGAACACUGAUUAAAACUAGUUCGUAAGAUCUAUAGUAGUUAGGUUAGGUUUUUUAAGAUAUCUCUUUAAGUUUUAAACUCAUUUCCCUCGAUGUACAAUCUAUUCGCUCUCUAGAUAAUCCUUUUUAUAAAUUAAUUGCUAGGUUUUCUCUUGAUUUAUUGGCCUUUGUGUGAACUUCGAUCAAAUAUCCAAAUUCAAUCCGAUAGUCAAAUUAUAAAUAUAAAUAAACUAAUUCGUUCCACUCGUCGAGUAGAUCUUCUUGAUAUAUUUGAAUCUAAAAAUCAAUUUCGGAUGAAUAAGAAAUUGCGGUCUAAAUUUGGAAGAAAAUAGAAAAACUGUCCUGGAAAUUUGCCUAAUAUCAUCGCUCGCCUAACAUUUGAGCGAGUCUGGUGAAAAGUUUCUGUUGAAAAUAUGUCACUGAUUUUUUGAGUGACAGGCUAGACACAAGCUAAGAACAGCAAGGAUGCUUCCCUUCGUGAAGGUUGAUAAGUUCGGAAUGUGACACUUCACUCACAACCUCAUCUUCUAUAAAUAGGACUCUUUGGACGACCAUUAUGCAUCCCAUAUCAUUUUGCAUUGAGCAUUAUAUAAAAAAUACUUGCAAAAACUCUCCAAAAAUCUUUCUAAAAAUUAUUUUCUUGCAGAGUGAAGAAUUUCAUUUGAGUUUGUUGUUGCUUGUAGUUUAAAGUGCUUCUACCACAAGUCUAAUUCGUUGUAUCUUGGGAGACAAAUGCAAUUAUUUAUUAGCACCGUUGUGGGCAAUUUUGUCUUUAAAAAAAGUAUUAAUCAUUUGCCUCGGAUUUCUUUUCCUUACUUUCUUUUUAUUCUUCUUCUUUUUUUUCGUUUCUAAUCUUCAUAGAGUUUAAUUAUACUCCUGCGACUUAAACUUAAUCAUUUUUUUUUUUGUGUUGAUAAACAACCAUUUCCCUACACAUCUCAACAAAAAUUUUAAGACAAAUUUUUUGUGGUUGUUUGUUGAAAAAAAAAAUUAGAAAAAUUAAAAAAUUAAAAAACCCACUCUUCAUCUUUGGAAUAAACCCAUCACAUGCUUUUCCUUUCAUUCGUUCUAUGUGUUGAACUUCUAUUUAUGUAACAUAAAUGAAUACUCUUAAGACUACUUAGAGUCAAGCAACAAAUAAUAUGAACCAUGUGGUUCUGUCUCUGGCUAUCUCAAUAUCAAACUCUCAUAUCUCACAUGGGGAAAAUCGAAAAAGUUUAGAGGUGUGGAUUUCAAAAGAUGGCAACAAAACAUGUUGUUUGAUCUUACUACUUUGAAUUUAACAAAAUUCUUAAAAGAUAACUUUCCUAUUGUAGAAAAAAAGAAGAAAAUAAUCAUGAGUCAAUUAUUGAAUUGGAUACAUGGAAGCACUCAGGUUUCCUUCGAAAGGAUUACAUCCUAAAUGGAUUGGACAAUACAUUUUAUGAAGUGUAUAGUUCGAAGGACUCCGCCAAGGAUCUAUGGGAUUUAUUAGAGAAGAAGUACAAAGCUGAGGAUGCCGAAACAAAAAAGUUUAUUGUCGACAAGUUUUUGGAGUACAAAAUGGUAGACCCCCAAACUGUAAGAAGUCAAGUGCAGAACUUCAAGUUCCACUUCAUGACAUACACAAAGAAAAGAUAGAAUUGAGUGAAUCCUUCCAACUUGCAGCCAUCAUUGAGAAAUUCCUCCUUUAUGGAGAGAUUUUAAGAACUAUCUUAAGCACAAAUACAAGGAGAUGAACUUGGAGGAAUUGAUAGUUCAUUUGAGAAUUGAGGAAGCCAAUAGAAAAAUCGAAAGAAAGUCAAUUGUUCAACUUGGAGCAAACUUUGUUGAAAAUGGCCUGAAGGGCACCAAGAAGAGACAACUCCAAGAGUACAAAAAAAUAUAAAGGCAACUCUUACGAUUGUGGAAAAGUCGGACAUCGUUCAAAUGAGUGUCGAAAGUCGAAAAAGACUACACAAGCAUAUAUUGUUGAAAGAGACACCCUCUCUAAAGGAAUUCAAAGAUGAGUCUAUCUACUGUUAUUUCUAUAUGCAAUAUGGUUAGUAAUUCAAAGGAUUUGUGGGUCGAUAAUGGUGCUACCGAUUAUAUUUGUGCAGAUAAAGCCAUGUUCUCAAACUAUUAUGAAUCAAAAGGACAACAAUUGUUCAUGAGGAACUCUACGAGUUCGAGCGUUGAAGAACUUGGAAAGAUCACAUUGAAAAUGACAUCCAGGAAAGAACUAAUCCUCAAUAAUGUCCAUGUACUAGACAUUUGCAAGAACUGGUUUCGGAGUCUUUACUUAGCAAGAAUGACUUUAAAUUUGUAUAUGUAUCGGACAAAUUUGUACGUACCAAAAGCAAUAUGUAUAUUGGUAAAGGUUAUCUUUGUGAAGGAAUGUUCAUGAACAUCCCAACAAUUUUACGAAAAAGCAUUAUAAAUAAAAAUUCUAAUUAUGUUUAUAUGCUUGAAUUGUCUUGUUUAUGGCAUAGUCGAUUAGAACACAUCAAUUACAAAUCUAUGUUCAAACUUAUGAAUGAAAGUUUAGUUUCGAUGCUUAAGAUUGAUCUUAAUCAUAAGUGUGAAGUAUAUGUUGAAACAAAGUUGACCAAAACACCUUUUCACUCAAGUCAAAGAGUGAUUAAAGUAUUAUUUUCAUGAGGACCAAAUAUCCAAUUCGAUUUUUAAUUAACAUAUAACUAUCUAAAUGCAAUGCUAAGAAACUAGUACGAAGCAUUUAUGAACUCGAUUAACAACAAUCAAUAGGACUUCGAAUCUCUCUUUAUAUUAUGUUUUAACAACCAUCGAAGAUAUUGACAACAUGUUUAAACUUGAUGAUUAAUGUACUUAUUGCGUUUAGUAAUCUUUCUCGAUUAAUACUAAAUAUAUUCUCACAUGUGAACCUACAGUAUGUCUAUGAAAAUUGUGAACGCGUGACAAUGCAUUUAAUCACUAUAUAAUAAAAUCAUGCAAGAUAUAUGGUAUGGGUAUAUAUCUCUAUCACAUAUCGAACCCUACAAAGAUUAUUAUCAUGUGCAUAAUCCUUAUUCUUUCUAUCAAACAUAAUAAAGAUCAUUAAUCUGUUCAACUAAUGAUCAAUUAAUUGAAGCAUUAAACAUGUAACAUACUAUUCAAGCUAAAUAAGAAUUAAUAGUUAGAGUCUCGAAAUUAAAAUUAAAACAUUAUCCUAGUGACUAGGAAUUUAGUCAAGCAUCAUAAAGUUACAAAAACAAAUGCUUGCAUAUUUAGCCAUGUCUCUUAUUUUAAUUGUAGAAAAAAAAAGGAAAAUGUCUUGAACUCAUGAGUUUCUUCAACUCUUAAAUAAUAUCCGUGUACGAAGAAGCCAAAAUCUAAAUUAUAAUCUUCAAUUUUGGUAGAUGAUUGUGUGUUCUUGUAUCAAGCUUCUUGAUUUCUCUCUAACGAAUGGUCCUCCAAGGUAAGGUUUUAUUCCAUGUAGAAGUUGAGUCAAAUUAGGAAACGAAAUUUUUGUUGUCAGACACUACCAUGCAAUCGUACAGUGUCAAGUUUUCACUUGCUAGAAUUCAUGUACCUUGUGAUAGCAUGUAAGGACCCUUGCGGUCAUAAUGCCUUACUUUUCAUUCUUGGUUAAUUUUGGUUUCUGAAUUCCUUCUUCGGCUCAACUUGAUUCAUCUUCUAUUUUCUCCAUAAGUUCAACUUUCAGUUCUUCUCACUUUAACAAAUGUUAUCCACUAUUACCCAUUCUUGGUCUGUCUCAAGUUUUGGAGAUUUACAAUUUAGUCCCCAAACUUUUACAAUUGUUCUUCUUUUGUACUCUUCAACUGACUUUCACUUCUUUUUUAAUCUACAAUCCAAUAUCAAAACUUUUACAUAACAAUCAAUAUUUAACUAAAAUUAAGUGGAAAUUCAAUUGAAGUGACUCCCAAACAUCCACUUUUAAAAGCUUGGAUAAGUGUUCAAAAUACUCUUAUCAAUAACAAAAAUUAUUGGUUUGAGAAUUUUAAAAUUUCGGGAGUUUUAUAGAUUGUCUUUCCUGAUUCUAACUUAGUAUAUACUUAAACUCAUUAAUUUAAUUCUAACAAUUAAUUAUAUAUAAAAUGUUGAGGAACAUAUAUUGAACAACACCAGUACUUAAAAAAUAAAUGAAAAUCUUAUAUAUCAUAGAGUUUAGUAAUCUCCGACGUUUGAUUUCAUUUGCAGACAUCCCAUAAAUACAUGACUCGGUCCAACACCCUAACUUAAAGUAUAGGUAUGGAAUUUUCGACCACUAACAUAAUUUUUUGGGUGUCUUGUUGAUCAGUUAUACAGCUUUUCCACAUUAUGAAAUUUGUGGGACAGUGUUUUUAGGUUGAUUGAUGGUAGUUACAUAUAAACAAUAGGGCCAAGGGGAACCUUAAAAGGCACUAGGGCCUAGGGGAAUCUUAAAAGGCAAAAGCUUUUAUAUAAAAGUCUCGUCGAGGGUAGUUGAAUGGCUUAUUAUAAUUAAAAAACUAGAUUAUGAUUGGAGAAUUUGAACCUUAAAUGCAAGUUCUCGAUUAUUUCUGACUUUUGAAUUAUUUUCAUAUUUUUUUUUGCGAGUCAAGUGCCCGAGUUUCGUCCGACUAAUUUUGAGGAGUAGUUCCUCCCGGUUCGGUUCACCGCCCGAGUAAUUUUGAAUGCGGUUACAAUUAAUGCACACUUAGACCGGACAUUCGGGAUGCAGUUUUCACGUGCAGACAGGACUCUUGGAGGGAUGACUAAGCACAUCAUAACUUUGCCUUUACAAGACAUCUGCCUUCCAACAUAACUAUUGCCUUCCAGCUGCCGCAUGGAUUCGAACUUCCGAUACUCCGUAGAGAACUCUUCUUUUUUACCACUAAACCAUGCUCGGGGGGCUAAUUACUUUCAUUUUAGAUAUGGAAUAGACAGGUGUAAUUAACUAUCAUGGGUCCAUUGAGAGCUGGGAUAUUUUUUGAGUACGAGAGAGACAGAGUCAACCUGUAUUAUGUUUCAAUAUCUUAUUGACUCAUCCAAUUGCUUUUCAAAUAUAGAAUUUCUUCUUUAAAGGCAUUUCUGUCACAAAAUCUCCACUAUGACAAGUAUAACUUGGCCUUUAAGUGUGAAAGCAUGAUAUUAUUAUAAAAUUUUACAAAAUGAGAGCAAGAGUGCAAGACUAAAACUAUCCAAGAUCAAAGAUGAUAUAUGUGAUGGAUUUUUCAUCACAAUUUUGUCUAAAAUUUUAAAACUUAUAAACUAGAAAAUUAUAAUAUAAUAUAGUAAUUGAGGUGCAAUAAUUGUGGGAUGUCGUUAAUGAAAUUGAAUAAGAUUACGGAGAUCGUCGAAGAUUACGCCUUGACGUCUAUUUUAUCAUUAUAAUUGUAUUAUAUAUAGAUAGAUUAUUUUUACCAUAUUUAUAUUAUAGGAUAAUAUUAAUUAAUAUUGUAAUAGAUUGCUACCAUAUUUAAUGGUGAUUUUGCUCCAAUAUAAUGAGAGAACCUCUCACAUUUAGAGGUAUCGAGUCUUACUGAGUAUAUUUGACAUGGUAUUAGAGCGUGUUUAAUUUUAUUUAGGUUAAACUUACAAACUUCUGUUCUCCGGCAAGCGGCAUUGUGCCGCUCCUCCAGUCAAAUUUUCUUGUUUUUGUUUUACAUUUUUAGACCUUCCAUGUCAUGUGAGAGGUAUGGAGUCUUAUUGAGUAUAUUUGACAUGAUAGCAGAGCGUGUUUAAUUUUAUUUAGGUUAAACUUACAAACUUCUGUUCUCCGGCGAGCGGCAUUGUGCCACUCCUCCAGUCAAAUUUUCUUGUUUUUGUUUUACUUUUUUAGACCUUCCAUGUUGAUGUAUUAUUGAGCAUCACCAAGCAUGCAAAUAUAUAGCUUGGACUGAGGGAUAUGAAACCCUUGUCCUUAGGAUCAUACUUUUUUUUUAUCAACCCAAUAUAGAGCUCAAUUGUCUAGUCAAGUUUUAGUUGGAGUUAUUUUGGAGAAGAUUUUGUGUUCUUUUGACUGACCAAUUCGAGUAAUACCCAAUUUCAGGUGACGUGAUUAAUGGCGAUGUUGGGUUCGGCUAUCGAAGGUUCAAGUUACAGAUUUAGGAGUUUGGCAUUAUCGACGCCAGAUUGUGGUCGAAAUGGCACUGCUUUUGGAAAUAGCUUGGAACACCAAAACAGAGUGGUGAGACACAAUGGCACGGUCGCUUUCACUGCAAAUCACGGGAUGCUUCACAGCAGUACGUUCACACACGAAUUUUACAGCUCGAGCAACAACAUAAGCAUAAUCUUCAACACUGUAACCAACAAAAAUUUCAGAGUUCCGGGAUUUUGAGCCGUCAUAAUCAAUUCCAAGACCACUGCCAUUGUCAAUGACUUUCAUACAAGUACCGAGGUAGAUUAAUUCACAGUAGAUUGGGGAUGCUUCACGUACUCCUUCAGAUGUUGUUGAACUCGUCGUGGAUCUGCACUCGCUGAGAAUGGAACGGUGGAGAUGGAGGCUAGCAUCAUGGAUGGUUCUGGCAAGAGAUGUGGCGUCGUUUUUUGUAUCACCACCGUGAAGAACCCUAUUUCCCUUGCCCAUCUCAUCAUGGAAAAAUCUCCCUAUUCUUAUCUUGCAUUCUCUAGAGCCGAAGAAUAUGCUAAACAACAGGAUUGUGGUGUAGAAGAGAGGUUUCGAUGGAGAACAGAGGCAUUGAUGCAGAUCUGUUUAAGGACUUGGGCUAAUUCUAGUGGGCUUCUAUUAUCUUGGGUUAGCUUUGCAAUUAAAUCUUUUGGGCUGUAUGUUAUUUAAGGGUGUUUAUUUGAAGUGGGCUUAUUUUUUUAUUUUUUUGUUGUGUGGGCUGAUUUUGGAGUGGGUUGAAUUUAGGUGGGAAUUUGGUUGGCUUGGAUCUGAUUCUAUUGGGACUUCACGUGGAUUGUGUCUAUUGAUUUUAAGCUUAGUGGGUUUACAUAUAAAUUAUAGAUUGUUGGGCGUCAUAGUUUUAUAGGGCCUACUAUCAUUUGGGGUUAUUGGGUUGUAAACUGUGGAAGCAUGGGAACAUAAGGAGCUGAUGUCUGCUAGUUUUGAAUUGUGUGGAAAAUUCUCUAAUAUGUAUCUCAUGGUUUUUGCAAAGGCGCUGCUAAACAACAAGGAUUUUCAUUUUUUGGUUGAAGAGACAGAGACAUGGGAGUGCAGACUAUUGAGUUCUUUAGUUGCUCGGAUAAUGAGCUAAAGCUUUGGAUUCUCGGUGGAGGAUUAUCUUUGAAGUUUUUAGUAUUGGCUAUUUUGUGGAAUUUCUUUGAACUACAGUACCUUGGCUAGCAAUAUAUUGCUGAAAUUUUGGCCAGUGUAUUGGCGUUAGAACUUUUGUUGGAACACAAAUUUUGUGUUCAAUCUAGUUUUCCCAACAAAUAGAGCUCAUUGUGUAUCGGCACACUUCAUGAAUUUCUUUUGGAAAUUUUUCUUAGGGUAUGAGCUUUCUGAAGUGGUUUUGGAGUAGUUUUUAAUUGUUUCUACACAAUUUGUUAUUCUUGGUUUCUAGUCGUUACUAAUUUUCGUAGAUGGUUGCUCUGAUUUGGGUUUCUUCUUUGUGAGCACAAGUAUUGUCGUUGUCGUCAGUUCAUGAUUGCAAAAUGAUACUUUUACCAACAUCAAUUUGAGGGUGAUGUCAAUAAGAUUGAAUAAGAUUAUAGAGAUUGUCGAAGAUUACGACUUGAAGUCUAUUUUAUCAUUAUAAUUAUAUUAUAUAUAGAUAGAUUAUUUUUACCAUAUUUAAAUUAUAAGUUACUAUUAUUUAAUAUUGUGAUAGAUUGCUAAAAUAUUUAGUGGUGACUUUGAUCCUUUAUAAUGAGAGAAUCUCACUUUGAGAGGCAUCGAGUCUUAUUGUCUGACAUCUCCUAUGUUCAUACAUUUAUCUUUUGCUAUUCAAUAAAUUAUGCCACCUUGCGUGGAUUUAAUUUUUAAGAAAAAUAAAAGCUAAGCCCUACUGAUACGAUUUCGGCACAAUAUUGGUGAUUCUUCUAUGAAAACAAUAUUUUGAAACUUUUUGAAUAUAUUUAUUUUAUGUCUUGUAAAGUAACUAUGAGUUUUUGUCUCUUUCAAGAAAAUAGUGGUGGUGUUUCAAAGAAGGAAAUAAUUUUAUCUUUUUAUUUACUUAAAAAAUGAUAAUAAUUUUUUUAGACCAAUAUAGAGAUUUCUAAGUAUUGUAAUUCCUUAACAUUUUUUUAAGAUUACUAAGGUUGAAUGUGAAUUUCAAAUGUUGAUGAAAUCUUGAAAUAUAGAAUUUACGAUUGAUUUGGUCGAAGUUGGGGUUGUUUUAUAUAUAUAUAUAUAUAUAUAUAUAUAUAUAUAUAUAUAUAUAACUAAAAUUUUCAAUUUAAGUCUCUCUAUUGCUUAUUUAUAAAAUUUGUUCGUGUAUAAGAUCUUCAAUGAACUAUAAAUUUACUUGCACAUUGGUGGUGGAUAAUCUACUUUUGUGGUUGUUGGAUAAGUAAAGCUACUAUUUUUUACCACAAAAGGAUAAGUUUGCAAUUUCUUAAUUGUUAAGUUAAGCACAUGCAUGCAUGCAUAGAAUGGAGGUUGGCAAAUUCAAGUUUUUUUCUCCUGCAAGUGGUAGUCGAAAUGCUUGAAAAAUUCCAGCCACUUGACAGGCCGAAUGUGUAGAGAAUUCCAACAAAUGAAGGUGUUAGAACUUUGACUCUUUGAAGCAAUUAAAGGUGGUAAAACUUCCAGCAAUAUCCAGCCCAUUUACAGCCAAGUUUAGCCAUUAUUCUUGACAAUUGAAGGUGGUGGAAAUCCUACAAAUGACAAGCAAAGUUGUAGAUAAUUUUCUUGAAUUUUUCAAGCAAUUAUGGCGGCCAAAAAUCUCUAUAAAUAUGGGCAAGAGUUUGAGAGAAAAGUAUGCCGUAUGUAGAAGAAAAAUUGAGAGAAAUUAAAAGUAGAGAGUAGAGAGAAAAUUGUGGGUGGAAAGAUAAAAUUAUAGAGAGAAAAUUCAUUAUUUUUCUCCUAAGUAUUUCCUACUUGUAUUUUCCUAUUACAAAAGAGACUAAUUGUUGUUAUCUCCUUGUAUUUAGAGAGUGUGUUAUAAUUCUCCGACUAUAGUGAAAUCCUCCUAUACUUGCUCGUGGACGUAACCUAAAUGGGGUAAACCACGUAAAUACUUGUAUCCAUUUUUAGCUUCGUUUUCUUAAUUCCAUUUUUUGUCAGCCAAACUCGACCCACGUUUUUCCUAAUAGUGGUAUCAGAGCUAGGUUCUAUGCAGGGUCUUUGUUCACUACUUACUAUUUUUAAUUAUAGUAUUCGUGAGCAAAAUGGCGACAAAGUAUGAGAUUGAAAAGUUCAAUGGGAACAAUUUCUCAUUAGAAAAAAUGAGAACAAAAGCAGUUUUGCGAAAAGAUAACUGCUUGUCAAGUGUGUGUUGCUAAUCUGCAUCUAGCACCAGCUGAUGGAGUAUUGUCAAGUGUGGUGGAGAAAAAGAUAGCGAAAGAAAUAUGGGAUACGCUGACAAAGUUGUACGAGACCAAAUCAUUACACAACAAAAUCUUCUUGAAGAGAAAGCUUUACACCUUUCGGAUGAUGGAGUCAACUACGGUGACCAACCACAUCAACACCUUCAACACUCUAUUUUCACAAAUUACAUCAAUGGAGCAUAAUAUGGAGGCAGGUGAGCGUGCUGAGAUCUUACUUCAAAGUCUACCAGAUUCGUAUGAUGAACUCAUCAUCAACUUAACCAACACCCUUAAAACUCUAGUCUUUGAUGAUGUUGCAGCUGCUAUUCUUGAAGAAGAAAGUCGACGCAAGAAUAAGGAGGGCAAAUUGACAAUUUCACAUCAGACGGAAGCUUUAACGAUAAUGAAAGGGAGAUCAACGGAACGUGGCUCCAGUGGGAGUCAAAUCAGAAUAGAUCAAAAUCCAGGAGUAAGAAAAAUGUCCAGUGUCAUUAUUGUGGCAAGAAUGGGCACUUAAAAAGAGAUUGUUGGAGUCUCAAGAAGAAUGAAGAAGCCAAAAGAAAAGGUCCUGAGAUGUCAAAAGCUCAGGGUUGUGUAGCAAGCACCUCAGAUGACAGGGAAAUUUUAUACAGUGAGGCAACAACAAUUGUUGAAGGCAAGUAAUUUUUUAAUGUCUGGCUUAUGGACUCAGGAGCUAUAUGGCACAUGACAACAAGGAGGGAAAGGUUCUAUCAAUAUGAACCUAUCCUAGGAAGAUCCAUGCUUAUGGAAAAUGAUCAUGCCUUGGAAAUCCCUGGUAUUGGUACAGUCAAAUUGAAAAUAUAUGAUGGUAUAGUUCACAUUAUCCAGGAAGUACGACACGUAAAAGGCCCGAAGAAAAAUCUAUUAUCUCUAGGACAACUGGACAGCAUUGGAUGCAAACCCAUAUACAAGAUGAUAUCACGAAAAUUAUCAAAAGUGCACUUGUGGUGAUAAAAGUGAAAAAGAUAGCUGCAAAUUUGUACAUGCUUAAAGGAGAGACACUACAAGAAGGAGAAGCAUAUGUCACAUCUACAUGUUCAGUAGAAUAAUUAACGAUGAUGUAAGCUUGGCCACGUGUCAGAACGUGGUUUGAAAAUUCUCUCAGAACAAAAGCUUCUUCCAGUGCUAAAAAAUGUUUCAUUACCCUUUUGUGAGCAAUGUGUUACUAGUGAGCAGCACAAAUUGAAAUUCAGCAGUUCCACUGCUAGAAGUAAAUUUAUCUUGGAGCUGGUCCAUUCUGAUAUUUGGCAAGCACCAGUUAUAUCCCUAGGAGGUACAAGAUACUUUGUAUCUUUUAUUGAUGAUUACUCCAAGAGAUGUUGAGUGUAUCCAAUAAGAGCAAGGCAGACGUGUUCACAAUCUUCAAAAUGUUCAAAACGCGUGCGGAGGUUGAAUCUGAAAAGAAGAUCAAGUGUCUGAGGACUAACAAUAGAGGAGAAUAUACUAGUGAUGAAUUUGAUAACUUUUGUCAACAAGAAGGUAUCAAGAGAUAGUUCAUGAUGGCAUACACUCCCCAGCACAAUGGAAUGGCAGAGCGGAUGAACAGAACAUUGUUAAAAAGAAUAAGGGCAAUGUUGAAAACUGCGGGGCUAGCCAAGUCGUUCUGGGUAGAAGCAAUCAAAAUUGCUUGUUAUGUGAUCAAUUAGUCGCCAUCAACCGCAAUUGAUCUGAAAAUGCCUAUAGAAAUGUAGACUGUAAACCACCUGAUUAUUCUCGUUUACAUAUAUUUGGAAGUCCUGUGUACGCUAUGUACAGCAGCAAGAAACGUCAAAACUGGAUCUAGAAUCCAGAAAAUGUAUUUUCUUAGGAUAUACUGAUGGAGUCAAGGGGUACUGCCUGUGAGAUCCCACUAUCCACAAGGUGAUAAUCAGCAGAGAUGUGAUAUUUUACAGAAGGCAAGGUACAUGAAAAAGAAAAUGAUAGCACUUCAAAAGAAAAAUAAAAAACUACUACAGUCGAAGUUGGAGAAGAACGAGAAGUUAUAGAUUCUUUUGAAACAAAACUAGAGCACGAAGAAUAAGAACAGGCUGAAUCUAGUGCUCUGAUACUCGACGAUCAACACAGGAAAAAAGAGAGCCGGCUUGGCACUCAGAUUACAUUAUAGAGGGCAAUGUUGCGUACUACUUACUGACAGAAGAUGGAGAGCCAUUAACUUUCCAUGAGGCUAUAAAUGGCCAAGAAAUUUCUCUGUGGACAGCAGCAAUGCAAGAAGAAAUUGAAGAUUUUCAUAAGAACCAGGCAUGGGAUCUUGUUCCACUACCACAAGAAAGGAGGGCCAUUGGGAAUAAAUGGGUUUACAAGAUCAAGCGAGAUGGUAAUGAACAAGUGGAGCAGUAUCGUGUGAGACUGGUGGUGAAGGGAUAUGCUCAGAAAUAAGGCAUUAACUUUAAUGAAAUAUUUUCUCCUGUGGUUUGACUCACAACAGUUCGAGCAGUCUUCGUAAUGUGUGCUACAUUUGACUACACCUGGAGCAAUUAGAUGUGAAAACUACAUUUCUUCAUGGAAAACUUGAAGAAGAGAUUUAUAUGCUCCAAUCAGAAGGUUUUGAAGAAAAAUGAAAAGAGAACUUGGUUUGUAGGUUGAACAAAUCUCAAUAUAGUCUGAAACAGGCACCGAGAUGUUGGUAUAAGAGAUUUGAUUCCUUCAUCAUGAGCCUUGGAUACAACAGACUCAAUUCAGAUUCAUGUGCAUACUACAUGAUAUUUGGAGAUAAUGAUUUCAUUACUCUGCUAUGUUGACGACAUGUUGGUAGCAGACCUUAACAAAGAUCGUAUUGAAGACUUGAAGGCACGGUUGGUUAGGGAGUUUGAAAUGAAGGACUUGGGACCGGCAAACAAGAUUCUAGGGACGCAAAUUUACCGAGAUAGAAAUAAUAGAAAGAUUUGGCUUAGUCAGAAGAAUUACUUCAAAAAAUCUUGCAUCGCUUCAAUAUGCAAGAUUGUAAGCCAAUUUCUACCCUUCUUACUACUACUUUCAAGUUAUCCUCAAGUAUGAGUCCUAGCAAUGAAGCAGAGAUGAUGGAUAUCUCUCGAGUAUCGUAUGCAUCAGCAGUUGUUAGCUUGAUGUUUGCUAUGAUCUGUACAAGACCAGACAUUGCACAAGCAGUGGGAGUGGUCGGUUGAUACAUGACAAAUCUUGGUAAAGAGCAUUGAAGUACUGUAAAGAAGAUCUUGAGAUAUGUCAAAGGUACCUCAAAUGCUACAUUAUGUUAUAGAUGAUCAAAUUUUAUUGUCAGAGGCUAUGUUGAUUCAGAUUAUGCAAGUGAUCUUGAUAAAAGCAAGUCCACCACAAGAUAUAUAUUUACUCUUGCUGGAGCAUUUGUAAGCUGGGAUUCGAAACUGCAGUUUGUAGUGGCUACUUCUACAAUGGAGGCAGAAUACGUAGCUGCUACACAAGCUAGCAAAGAGGCAAUCUGGUUGCAAAUGUUAAUGGAAGAGCUCGAACAUAAACAAGAGAAGAUUGAUCUAUUUUGUGAUAGUCAGAAUGCUUUGCACUUGGUAAAGAAUCCAGCAUUUCAUCAGAAAACAAAAUCUAUUCGAGUUCAAUAUCACUUUGUUCUAGAAAAGGAUGAGGAAGGGAGUGUAUAUAUACAGAAGAUCCAUACAAUAGACAACCUAGCUGAUAUGUUAACAAAGCUGAUCAAUAUUGACAAGGUUAUAUGGUGUCGAUCCUCCAUCGGCCUAGCAGAAAUGUAGCAUGGAAAUGACAAGUAUGGGAAGAAUUGAAGUGGUCAACAAAAGUGACUUUAGGAGGGAGAUGAUAUGUUAAAAAAGCUGAUCAAUAUUGACAAGUUUAUAUGGUGUCGAUCCUCCAUCGGCCUAGCAAAAAUGUAAGUAGCAUGGAAAUGACAAGUAUGGGAAGGAUUGAAGUGGUCAACAAAAGUGACUUUAGGAGAGAGAAAUGUUGGAUAAGUAAAGCCACUAUUUUUUACCACAAAAGGUUAAGUUUACAAUUUCUUAAUUGUUAAGCUAAGUAUAUGCAUGCAUGCAUGCAAAGGAACUUGGCAAAUUCAAGUUUUCUUUCUCCAACAAAUGGCAACCGAAAUGCUUGAAAAAUUCCAACCACUUGACAGGCCAAAUGUGUAGAGAAUUCCAGCAAAUGAAGGUGGUAGAACUUUAACUCUUUGAAGCAAUUAAAGGUGGUAAAACUUCCAGCAAUAUCGAGCCCAUUUACAGCCAAGUUUAGCAAUUAUUCUUGACAAUUGAAGGCGGUGGAAAUCCUACAAAUGACGAGCCAAGUUGCAAAUAAUUUUCUUGAAUUUUCAAGCAAUUAUGGUGACCAAAAAUUUCUAUAAAUAUGGGCAAGAGUUAUAGAGAAAAGUAUGCCGUAUGGAAAAGAAAAUUUGAGAGGAAUUAAAAGUAGAGUAGAGAGAAAAUUGUUAGUGGAAAGAUAAAAUUAUAGAGAAAAAAUUGUGAGUUUUUCUCUUAAGUAUUUUCUACUUGUUUUCUCUUAUUACAAGAGAGAUUAAUUGUUGUUAUUGUGUUGUAAUUCUCCUACUAUAAUGAAAUCUUCAUAUACUUGCAUGUAGACAUAGUCUAAAUUAGAUGUACCACGUAAAUACUUGUGUUCAUUUUAGCUGCAUUUUCUCAAUUCCAUUAUUUGUUAGCCAAACUCAACCCAUGUUUUUCCUAAUAGUGGGUAAAAAGGUUUCCAUUGUAUUGACUUUUAUAAUGGCUUAAUAGCACAAAACAUCACUACGUUUGAUUUGCAGUGUGCAAAAUGUCCCCACAUUUCAAUUUUUUACAUUUUCACCCCAAUUUUCACGUUUCAUUGUGAAAAAUGUCAUUUUUACCAAUUUUUAAUGUAAAAUGACCAAUAUACCCUCCUAUUUAAAUAAAACAAAAAUAAAAGAAAAUUAAAGAUCAAAUUGCAACUAUAGGCCCAAAUUUUUCAAAAGGCUCAAUAGCACAAAAUAUCCUUACUUUUUUCCCACACCCCAUCCCACCCCAUGCCAACCCAACCCAACCCAACCCAAUUCACUCAUUAUUUUGAAGAUUCAAGGAACUGUCGGCCUCCAUCUCAUCAACUUCCACCUAACCGCCACCUAAAAUACUAGAGCUCAUACUACAAAUAGCUGUCAUCAACACCCAAACACUUUCUUAUAAACAAAUUGAACAAACAACAAAUUUAUAAGGUCAAAAUCAACAAAAAAUGUAACUAUCGCAUGAGCAACAUGUUGCCUUUUUCCGUCAAUUUCGACACAGGUAAUGCUUCUCACCAUCGCAGACCACCCAUUUCAACUUCACCACAUCAUGCCACACUGCUACAAUAAUAGGUUUCCAUCAAUUUCAUCUAUUAUUCCCCAGAAUAUGUGGCCAUUUAUUGCCCAAUAAGAAAUUGAAAGAUGUUGCUAUAGAUUUUGAUUUUGUGCACCUGUUCAAGUUUUAAGUCUAUGAAGAGAGGUGCUCCAAUGAAUAUAGUUGAUUUAUAAGUUGGGAAUGCAAUGGGUCUUGUCGGAACAGAAAAAGAAAAGAAGAGAAAAAAGAAUUUUUUUUUCCAAAAUUUUUUAUUUGGACUCAUUUAUACUUUUUAAAAAGUUUAGGAGUAAGAUUGCAAUUUGUUCUUUAUUUUUCGUUUCUUCUCUUUUUGGUUUUAUUUAAAUAAGAGGGUAUAUUGGUCAUUUACAUUAAAAAUUGGUGAAAAUGAUGUUCCGCAACGAAACGUUAAAAUAAGUGUGAAAUGCAAAAAUUUGAAACAUAUGGACGUUUUGCACACUACAAGCCAAACAUAAGGAAGCUUUGUGCUAUAAAACCUUUAAUAAUUUCUUUAUGACUUUGGUAGAGGGUCUAGAGGUGUAAUUGGUCUAGCCUUCAGUCUGUUCACAUUUAAAAUCAAACGACAAAAUCAGACAUCAUAGGCCUACAAAUAUAGAUAAAUCACACCUUUGGUCUUGAACCAUUUUUCGAAUCUUGAACAAAAUUUACAAGCACCAAAAUAUCCAUUUAUGCUGCACCAAAAUCAAGUCAAGGAAGAAUCUAUUUUGCAAAUCUAUAAACAUAAUUUUUCACUACACAUGCCAACGAGUUGGUCAAGUUUUUUUCUUCUUGAUCUUGCUAUUAAAUUAAAAAUUUGUCGGAGUCAUCUAGUGGGAUUAAGCUCUUGUUUGACAACCUUUAAAGCAAACGCUUUUUUUCUUAAACUAAAUUUUUAAAAUAAAAUAUUCGGUACAUAAAUCUAAAUUUUUUCCUACUUUUGUUUAUAUAUUCCUCAAAAAAUCACUAUUCAAAACCUUGCUUUCUCCAAAAUACUCAUUUUAAUGAUUGUUAAACAGAGGCUAAUAUUGCGACACCAGAGGCUAAUAUUGCGACACUAAUGAAAGGUUGAGGAAAUAUUUGCUCCUAUUCAUAGGCUGGUGACUAACAUGCAACUAACACAAUAGAUUGGGGCUGCUAACUUACAACUUUCACAAUAGGUUGGAAAGGAAGGUAGAAAUUUUUGAAUUUUUCCACAAGUAUAUAUAGGACGCAAGUCACUCAUAUUUUAUUAGAAUUAAUUGUAGGCAUUGUAUGUAAUUGCACUGUAGCUUAGUUUUAUUUCAAUUCAUUAGUUGGCCAGCUGUGUUUUUUUCCUUUCAUUUUUGGCGCCAAGCUCCAUUGCUAUUUAUGUAUCUCUGAACAUUCAUUCAAUUGAUUGAAUGAUCAAUAGAGUUUCAAUUCAUUUUCUCUCUAUAAAUCGAAGAUGGUAUCAGAGCAAAAUCAUUUCCACGCUCUUCUCUCCUCAUCACAGAUUUAAUCUGUUGCUGGAUCUCCUCUUCAUAUUUCUUUUUUUACUUUCACAAAUUCAAUUAAUCUGUUGUUCGAUCUAAUCUCCACAUAGAGUUAUUACAGUCCGGAAAUUGGUUUGAUUCAAGGUCAUCAAUGAACAAAUCAAGUCCUUACUUCUUACUUCAUUCAAUGAGUAAUUUCCAGAUCUCCAGAUCUGCACCGAAUGAAGAUAAAAUGCAUAAUUCACAACAACCUGGGAUUGGAAAUUUAAUUUAGAGCUUGAAUCCUGCUCAAUAUCAACAAUUGAUGUCGACAUUGUCCACUCAUCUGGCAUCAAACUCACACACAGCAGCUUCUGAUUAUCAGGACAACAAAAUUACAUUAUAUAAUGCAGGUAUAUGCCAUUUCAUAUCUGUUAAUCCAGUCUUGUAUUCCAAAGAAAUUUGGAUAGUGGAUUCGGGAGCCACUAAGCAUGUGUGUUCUAUUGCUGCUUCAUUCAUGAACAUGAGGAUUAUUGAUGGUUCAAAUGUGACUUUAACCAAUCGCACACAAAUUCCAGUUAGAUUGUGUGGGAAUAUCAGGCUGAGUCCAAAUAUUGUGCUGCAUGAUGUGUUAUUUGUACCACAAGUUUCAUUAAGUUUCUCUCAUGAUAACUUCAUUAUUCAAGAUGCCAAAACCAAGAUGAUGAUUGGUAGGGGUGGUCAAAUGCAAAAUUUGUAUGUUCUAGAUACCAGAAUUCCGAAUUCCGUUUCUAAUGCAUUUGUUAAUACUGUGUCUAUCCAUGUAUGGCACAACAGACUUGGGCAUCUUUCAUUCAAAAGGCUAGACUGGUUGAAGGAACAAUUAUUGUGUGAUGUUAAAAAAUUUAAGAGGCAUAUGCCUUGUUAUGUUUGUCUACUUGCUAAACAGCGGAAAUUGCCUUUUGAAUUGAAUAAUAGACCGUUAAAUGAUCCCUUUGAUCUCAUACAUUGUGAUGUAUGGGGACCUUACCAUGUUACUUCACACUCGGGAUACAAUUAUUUCUUGAUAUUGGUGGAUGAUUGUUCAAGGUUUACAUAGGUCUAUUUGUUAAAUCACAAAUCAGAUGCCAAGAUUGUUAUUCCCAGAUUUUUCAACAUGAUUGAUACCCAAUUCAAUGCCAAAAUAAAGACAUUCAGAUUUGACAAUGCUUGUAAAUUAACCUUUAUAGAUUAUUUUACUAAAAAGGAAGUAAUGCAUCAGUUUAGUUAUGUGGAAAAACCACAACAAAACUCCGUCGUUGAGCGCAAACAUCAGCAUUUGUUAAAUGUGGCUAGGUCUCUGUACUUCUAAUCACGAAUCCCCAUCAGUUUCUAGUUUAAAUGUGUUUUGAUAGCCACAUUCUUGAUAAAUAGAACUCCAUCUUCUGUGUUGAAGCACAAAAUGCCAUAUGAAGUUCUAUAUGGAAGACCUACAGAUUAUUCCUCACUUAGAGUUUUUGGAUGUCCAGCUUUUGCAUCUACUCUAACUACACAAAGAAACAAAUUCUAGCCACGAGCUAGGCUAUGUGUGUUCUUGGGAUAUCCAUCUGAAGUUAAAGGUUACAAACUCUAUGAUGUUGAGUCAAAACAUUUCUUUGUAUCACGUGAUGUUGCGUUUCACGAAAAAAUCUUUCCUUUUCAUACAGUUAUGGCAAAUGAUCAACUGAUAGAUCCGUUCCCUGACUUAGUCUUACCAAAUCAUUUUUUACAUCUUCAUCAAGAUUCACAUGCAUCCUCAACUCAGUAUAACUUACCUCAUAUUUCUUCCUCUGAAAGUCAUAAUUUGCAUCAAGAGUUAUUCCCUACAUCACCAUCCCUUGAUACAAUGUCUGCACCUGACAGUCCUGAUAAAAAUGGCACUCCACAUACUGACAUUAGUCACACAUGUCAACCUACUACUAUCACUAAUUUGAGACGUUCACAAAGAGCUGCUAGACCCCUACAAUGCCUUAGAGAUUUUCAUUACAACUCUUUUCUCAACAAGAUAACUCCCAUCUUCAUUCACUCCAUCAUGUUAGCCAAUUUAUUUUCUAUAAUCAUUUAUCCCAAAACCACCGGCAAUUUGUAUUGAACGUGUCCUCUCAAUUUGAGCCUCAAUUUUUUCACCAGGCGGUUAAAUAUCCACAAUGGCGUGAAGCCAUGAAAGCUGAAUUGGAGGCUAUGGAAGCCAAUCACACUUGGUCAGUAGUUCCUUUACCAGUUGGUAAACAUAUUGUUGGAUGAGGGUGGAUCUUCAAGGUAAAACAUAAUUUUGAUGGGUCUAUUGAAAGGCACAAAGCACGUCUUAUAGCUAAAGGUCAUACACAACAAGAGGGCCUUAAGUACUUUGACACUUUUUCCCCACUAGCAAAGAUUGUCACUGUUAAAGUAUUGUUAGCUCUUACAGCCUCUCAACGGUGGCACUUGUUCCAAAUGGAUGUAAAUAACGCCUUCUUGAAUAGUGAUAAGUUCGAUGAAGUUUACAUGGAUCUCCCGCCUGGUUAUGAGGUUCCCAAUGCUGUCAAACAAGUGAAGAAAUUGGUUUGCAAGUUGCAAAAGUCAAUUUAUGGCCUCAAGCAAACGUUAAGGUAGUAGAAUUCUAAAUUCACCCAAGCAAUGGUCCAUUGUGGUUUCAAUCAAUCAAAGGCCGAUUAUUCCCUAUUCACUAAAGGUUCUGGGAAUGAAUUUGUGGCAUUGCUUGUGUAUAUAGAUGACAUUGUCAUCACUGGACCAAACAUUCAAGUUAUUGAUUCUUUAAAGAAGUUCUUAAACUCUCAGUUCAAACUUUAGGAUUUAGGGAAGUUGAAGUACUUCUUGGGCAUAGAAGUGGCUCGUUCUAACUCUAAGAUUGUCAUAUCACAAAGACAUUACGCCCUACAGUUGCUUGCGGAUUCAGGUUACCUGGACUGCAAAUUAACAAAUACUCCUAUGGAUCCAAAGGUUACCUUAAAUAUUCAUGAUGGAGACCUUCUGCCAGAUGCAUCUUCUUAUCACAGGUUGAUUGGAAAAUUGAUUUACCUGACAAUAUCACGACCAGAUAUUACUUUUGCUAUCUACAAGCUGAGCCAAUUUUUGUCAUAGCCUCCACUACCUCAUCUCAAGGUAGCUCACCAUCUUCUUCGGUAUUUAAAGGGUAGUCAAGGUCAGGGACUAUUCUUUCUGUUCAAGAAAUAUUUUCUUUCGAUUUAAAUCACCGCAAGUGUAUGGUUCGUUAACAAGUAAUAAAAUGGAUCAAUUGAGUCCAAAUAUUGUCCCAUAGAGAUUGACUAGUUUAAUUUUACUUAACUUGGCCUUAACUGAAACCGAUUUGUCAAACGUGAAUUGUAGUGCCUUAAAUUAACCUUACUUGGACUAAAUAUGCAAAUAUGUAUGAUUUGAAUGAAUUAAAAUGCAAAGUGAAUGUGUUAAUUGCAAGUUGGUGUACUAAAUCAAUGAAUAUAAAAGCGCACUAGGACCACGAAUCCCCAAGCAAUGCUCAAUUUAACCUUAAUUUCACACUUUGACAACAUGAUGACAUUGUAAGAAUCAAUACUCCUAAAUCUAUCCAACACUCUCUCUCGAGAUGAAUUGAAUCUAUUCUCAUACACCACCAACCUAUAUCUCUAUGACGGAUACAAAUAUAUGAGAAUGCAUGUAAUUUUAUGAGUACUUAGAGAUUCACCAAAGCAUAGGGGUCUAGUCCUAUCCUCUAUCGGACUCUAUGAUGAUUUAUACCUUGUCGAAUUUAUUCCUCUUCUUUCGAAUAGAUGAAACAAACCACCAAAACUCACACAAUUACGGGCCCAUAAUCAUGAAAGCAAUUAAAUGAAUAUAAAUCAUUCAAAACAAUUAAUACGUGCUUUAAUGUCAAAAUACAGAACAAAGAAUUAAAUAUCAAAUUACAAAGUUCAUCGAUCUCCUAGUAUAGAUUUUUCUAGCCUAACAUGAUGGGAAGAAGAACAUAAUAACAAGAAUCUAGAAAAGACAUCACUCUAUCGCCCUUUAAUUUGAAAUCUUGAAUCUUGGAAUGAAUCCUCUCAUUCUUGCCUUUUUCUUGCUCUUCAAAUCCUCCCAAAAUAAUGUAUAAUGCAUGUUGUCUGUUUUUGGACAUCCCUAGAACUUUAAAAGACUCUCAAGAUUUAUUUCCAUAAGAGUUUUAAUCAAAAAAAUCAGAAAAUUUUUGUCCGCUAUUGGCCUGGGCUAUCACUCAGGCCAACAUUUUCUUCUCAGUAAUAAGAAAAACAUAUGGGGUGAUCGCCCAGUUUUUAUAGCUGAGUUGUCAUCCAUGCAAAAUUUCUUCCAUAUGUUGUAUUUUAGCCCCCGAAGUCAAUUUUUGAUUUUUUCAAGCCCUUUCUCUUGUAAUUUCAACUCUUUGACUUUCAUUUGCUUCCAAUUGAACUCGCAACAUCUUUAAUCUUCAUUUUGUGAUCCUAACAACUAUUGAAAUAUUUGAAUUUAGUCCUCAUACUUUUGAUUUUCUUCCUUUUUGGCUCUUUUUCUUUUCUUUUCUCUUGAAGUCCACCACAUUUAUCAAUAUAGUCCUACAAAACAUAAUUAUAUAGAAUUAAGUCAUAAUUCAAACUCUUUGACCAUAAUUAAGUCAUGUUUGUGAACUAAGUGUGUAAAAACACACUUAUCAAACCCUCAAACUUGAACUAUUGUUUGUCUUCAAACAAGAUAGUGACUCAAUACUAAACAAACAUGUCUUAAUAACCUGUCGUGUCUCGAGAUUGGACUAAGUAUUUGACUUAAAUAAAUUUUGAUUAGUGUAAGAAUGAAAUCAACAGUUACCUGUUGAUUGCAUACCCGACGUGCAUGUAUGAAAUCAUGCUAACAUAAUUAGUUCAUGAUGGAGUUAGUCCUGACCCAAAGUGGUCAAAUAUGUCCUUACUUCGCUCGAGAGGUACACAAAACCCCAAACUAUUUCUUUUCACUCAGUUAACCCGGGGUUGUGUUUUGAAGUUAGGAUUUUAGGCAACUGCAGUCCUUACCCUCUCUUAAUUUGGAUAGAUCUCACUAUCACAAGUUCACAUGUCAACAAAUGAAGGCUCUCCUAGAUUUGUUUGCUUCAACACCUAAGAUUAAACUAAGUUAUUAGGCUCGCAUCAAAGGUAUAUUUUCUUCAACCAAAUGUCCAAGGACCUCUUGAUGUUAUCGUGUCUUUUCUCACUUAUUUUCUGAUAAUUUUUUUUUGUCAUCUUCUCAUUUGCUUUCUGUAUAACUCCUAUAGCGAGCUUUAAAUCGAUGACUCCCAAACCAAUUGGCUUUAGGAUAUCAAGUUUUAAACCCUUGCCGGCUUAUUCACUCGAUUUAUAAAGGCUCGAUCAGAUGACUUUUUAUUCACCUCUUCUCCUAUUGCUUUCUAUAUGACUCAUGUAACAAGCUUUAAGCUGAUAACUCCUAAACCAGUUGGUUUUGGGGCACCAGAUUUUGAAAUAUGCUUAUAAGCUUACUUACUCGAAUCAUAAAGGCAUGGACAAAAGUGUCCUAUUUUCACAAGUUAGAUUUAUGCCCUUUAUUAUUUUUCUAGACAUUUGGCUUCCAAGACCAACCCCCAAUUUAAAAUUUUCAUCUAAUUUUUAUUUCACUGGUCUAGGCAAUCCACACAAUAAAAUUCAUGCACGGAGCCCCCACUUAUCUCGAUGUUUUCCUAUGAUUGCUCAACCAUCUCCAAACCGUCUUAAGGUGGUUUAUUAUUUGAUUUAGUAGAGGGUUAUAACUCUUCUCCUACUUUAUGUUCAAAACCCCAAUCACUAGCCUGACAUGUGAGCAUGAGUGGCGUGCAUAAAUAAUGUUAAGUAUUACAUCAAUAAGUAUUGGCUAAUUUAUUCAGCACCAUAUCCACAGUUUAUAAUUUAUACCAGUCCAAUAUUCACAUCAUAGCCGACAAGACAAUCAAGCCCACACAAGCAUGCAAAAAAUGAAAAUACAGCAAACUAAAUAAAAUACAAAGAAUUAUCUUUUUAACACUCAUCAAGCACAUAAUAUGCACUCAUGAAAUAUAGAUAUUGAUGACCAUAGGCAAAAUGAUGAAAAGAUGUUCUUGUCCAAGAUUAUGUCACCCACCCUCAAACUUAGAUAAUACAUUGUCCUCAAUGUGAAGAUGAAAUAAAAGUGUAAGCAGACAUAAUUGAAGGAAAAUAAUAAACUAAAAGCACAAGAUGGGAUACGAGUACUCCCCUGAUCUAUAUGGAGAUGGUGAAUGAAAACUAGGACCCGCUGUGUUUUUCCUUUCCAUGUGACAUUCUUUUUGGUGGCAUCCUGUAAAAGUGCAAAGUAUGCGUAUUAGUUCACAUGUUGUAAACAGAUGCAAUUAAGGCAAGAAAUAACCUACGUAGUGCACAAAUUUUCCAAAAUUGCUUCAAGGUGCAUGUGUACAUUGUUGGUGUACAUAAUGCAUAAUUUAUGUCUCAACAUAGGGUUUAUAUCACAAAAAUGUGAAUCACCAAUGAAACUUCACUCAAAACAUGUACUUUGUUCAGUUUGACACAUGACUGACUAAAAUAGGACUUCAACCUCAUGACUCGUGCUCAGUGCAUUGGGACUUGUGUAGACCAUGCCUAGACUCCAUGUGAUAGGGAUGUAUGAUUGAUGAUCGAAAACUACUAAUAAUGCUAAAAAUGAAAAGUUCCUAAACUAUAGCAAAACGAAGUAAAUGAAAUGAUAGAAACGUUAUGUUGCCUCCCAACCAGCGCUAUUUUAUAGUCAAUAGCUCGACUUUUGGCAUAGGUGUGUUAUAGCACUUUAAAUAUGGCUUGGAAAGUCCUACGUAGUUUGUUCAAUAUGGUCUUGUUCCGCAUUGCAGUUAUCCUCCACACUUCAAAACUGUCCUUUUCCAAGUGGUGUGACUCUCCCUCAUCAUCCAUUUGAGACUCCACGGUGCAUAUCUCGAUCUCCUUUGAGUCAGUGAGAGUGGAUUGAGGGUACAUCAUAUCAACCUAUUGAAUGUCUAGCGGUUUCUUCAACUGGUAAUUGUAGAGGAUUUCUAUGUCAAUCACAUCAAUCUGGAAACAGGUGUUUGGCUUCGUGGGAUAUUUCAUUGAUUUGAAAACAUUAAAAGAGGUCUGCUCCUCUCCCAGUCUCAGAGUUAAUUGUCCUUGUUGCACAUCUAUGAGAGCUCUUACAAUUGCCAAAAAUUGUCACCCCAAUAUGAUAGGCACGUCCUUGUCUUCUUCCAUGUCCAGAAUUAAGAAAUCUGCUGGGAAUAUAAGUUUAUCCACUUUGAUUAAUACAUCUUCAAUAAUCCAUCGUGGAUGUAUAAGUGAUUGAUCAGCCAGCUGUAGAGUUACUGUAGUUGCUUUAAGUUCUCCCAAUCCUAGUUUCCUGAAAAUAGAGAGUGGCAUCAAGUUAAUACUCGCACUAAGAUCACACAAUGCUUUAUUAAAAUAUAAAUCACCAAUUGUGCAAGGGACAGUAAAACUCCAUGGAUCUUUCAAUUUUGGUGGGAGCUUUUUCUGGAUCCUGGCACUGCUCUCUUCAGUUAACAUCACUGUUUCAUGUUCCUUUAGCUUGCGUUUAUUUGUUAAGAUGUCCUUCAGGAACUUGGCAUAGCUGGGCAUUUGGAGUAGUAUAUCGGUGAAUGGGAUGUUGAUGUGGAGCUUUUUAAAGGUUUCAAGGAACUUCUUAUAUUGUUGCUCCAUCUUAUGCUUCCUUAACCUCUAGAGAAAUGGAAUGGGUAACUCAUAGGGGUUAACUGAAAUGGUGGCCUUACCCCGUGAUGUCUUUGAACUCUCCUUUGGUGUGGAUUCAUGUGUCUGCUCGUUUUACUGUACAAUCUCAGAGUGUUGUUUCAUUGUUUACACUCGACCUCUUAACGUGUCUUUCAGGUAGUUGCAUCCCAUUUCGAGUUGUGAUCGCUUGAACAUGCUCUCUGGGAUUCAACUCAGUAUUGCUUGGUAAAGUAUUUGGUGCCCUUUUUGUCAUAGCAAGUAUCAUCUGCUCCAUCUACGUCUCCAAGUUCUUAAUUGCAGUACCCUGAUUUUGGAGAGUAGUUUCAGUUUUCCUUAUGAACUGGUUAUUUGCUUCCAUAUAUUUCUCAGUCUUUUCCAUGAACUUUGCAAAUAUUUCAUCCAAUUGAAGUGUCUUCUCCUAUUGAAAUUGCCUCUGGGAUCUAUUCUGAUUCUGGGUACCCCAUGAGAUAUUUGUAUGUUCUUUCCAACUGAGAUCGUAAGUGUCUGAAUUUUGAUAGUUCUGUUGAUGUUGACCCCAUUGUGAGUACUUUAUUUGUUCCAUUUCUUGUGACAGAAUUGGGCAUUCUGUUGUACUAUGAUUCGCUCCACAUUCUUCACAAUUUGGUUUUCACACAUACGUUGCAUUCGCUGACUGUGAUAUGUUUUCUACCUUAUGAAAUAGUAAGUCAAUCUUUGCUGAUAAGGCAGAAUAUGCAUCUACCUCAUAAACACGCAGAGGCUCUUUUUGAAUCACUUGCUCAGAGGACCACAUGGCUGAAAUGGUAGCCAUUCUCUCAAACAAUUCCAAUGCUCCGUUGAUUGUUCGUGUGGAAAUUAAGCCGUCUGAUGAUGAGUCCACCAUGCUUUUGAAGUACGGGAGUAACCCUAUAUAGAAUAAUCGAAUUUGGGUCUUUUUGUUGAACCCAUGUUGAGGGCACCUCUAGAGCAUAUUCUUGAAUCUGUUCCAGGCUUCAUCAAAUGAUUCGGAUUCUCCCUAGCUAAAAAUGGAUAUUUCGUGUCUCAUUUUAGCUAUUUUGGCUGGUGAGAAGUACUUCGUGCAGAAUUUUUGAGCCAGGUCGUUCCAAGUAGUGAUGCUUACAAUAGGAAAUGAAUCCAACCAGUCAAGUGCCUUAUCCCGUAGUGUAUGUGGAAACAACCUUAGCCUAAUAGCAUUAUCCGAAAUUCCUUGAUACCUGAAGUGUUGUCACAUAUCCAAGAAUCGAGAUAUGUGUGUAUGUGGAUUUUCUUUGGCUUUGCCAUAAAAUUGGUGUCCAUUCUGGAACAGUUGUAUCACAUUAGUCUUCAAUUGAAUAUAAGGCUGCCCAAACGAUGGAUACACUAUGCUAGACUAGCUUUGAAUUUCUUGAGGAAUCAAGAAAUCUCCCAAAAUCUCAUUUCCUUCAUUAGUUGGGAUAACAUCGUUGUUAGGUUCAUUAGCCAUUUGCAACUGUGCUUCUCUAGUAUCUCUUUUUAGUCGAUGAAAAGUUCGCUCAAUUUCAAGAUCAGUUGGAAUAAUUCUCCUCCAAUCGAUCUUAGGAUGCAAUUCGACAAGAAAACCAGUAGUAGCACUCAGAUUCAAACAAUCUGAAAAACUAUAAUAAAAAUAAAAAUAAAAAUAAAAUAACCUAAACGAAAAUUAAUAAAAAUAGAAAUUUCAAGUUCGAGUUAGUGUCUAGAAAAAUAAAAUCAAACUAAUGCUCAAUCCCUAGUAACGACGCUAAAAACUUGUUCACGAAAUAUUUUCUUUCGAUUUAAAUCAUCACAAGUAUACAGUUCGUUAAUAAGUAAUAAAGUAGAUCAAUUGAGUCCGACUAUCGGCCCACAGAGAUUGAUUAGUUUAAUUUUACCUAACUUGGCCUUAAUCGAAACUGAUUUGUCAAACGUGAAUUGUAGUGACUUAAAUUAACCUUACUUGGACUAAAUAUGUAAAUAUGUAUGAUUUGAAUGAACUAAAAUGCAAAGUGAAUGUGUUGAUUGCAAGUUGGUGUACUCAAUCAAUGAAUAUAAAAGCGCAUUAGGAUCACGAAUCCCCAAGCAAUGCUCAAUUUAACCUUAAUUUCAUACUUUGACAACACGAUGGCAUUUUGAAGAAUCAAUACUCCUAAAUCUAUCCAAUACUCUCUCUCGAGAUGAAUUGAACAUAUUCUCAUUCAUCACUAGCCUAUAUCUCUAUGAUGGAUGCAAAUAUAUGAGAAUGCAUGUAGUUUUGUGAGUACUUAGAGAUUCACGCAAAGCAUAGGGGUGUAUUUCUAUCCACUAUCGGACCCUACGAUAAUUUAUACCUUGUCGAAUUUAUUCCUCUUCUUUCAAAUAGAUGAAACAAAUCAUCAAAACUCACACAAUUACGGGCCCAUAAUCAUGGAAGCAAUUAAAUGCAUAUAAAUCAUUCAAAACAAUCAAUACGUAUUUUAGUGUCAAAAUACGAAACAAAGAAUUAAAUAUCACAUUACAAGGUUCACCGAUCUCCUAGUAUAAAUUUUUCUAGCCGAACAUGAUGGGAAGAAGAACUUAACAACAAGAAUCAAGAAAAGACAUCACACAAUCGUCCUUUGAUUUGAAAUCUUGAAUCUUGGAAUGAAUCCUCUCGUUCUUACCUUCUUCUUGCUCUUCAAAUCCUCCCAAAAGUAAUGUAUAAUAGGUGAUAUCUAUUUUUGGAUGUCCCUAGGGCUUUAAAAGACUCCCAAGAUUUGUUUCCAAAAGAGUUUCAAUCAGAAAAGGAAACAAGAAAAUUUUCGCCGCGAUUGGCCUGGGCUGUCGCUUAGGCCAACAUUUUCUUCUCGGUAAUAAGAAAAACAUAUGGAGUGAUUGCCCCAUUUUUAUAACUGGGCUAUCGCCCGGGCAAAAUUUCUUCCAUAAAUUGCAUUUUAGCCCUCGAAGUCGAUUUUUUAUUAUUUCAAGCCAUUUUUCUUGUAAUUUCAAUUCUUUGACUUUCAUUUGCAUCAAAUUGAAUCCACAACAUCUUUUAUCUUCAUUUUGUGAUCCGAAUCAACUAUUGAAAUGUUGCAAUUUAGUCCUCAUACUUUAAAUUUUCUUCCUUUUUGGCUCCUUUUCGUUUCUUUUCUCUUGAAUUCCACCACAUUCAUCAAUAUAGUCAUACAAAACAUAAUUACAUAGAACUAAGUCAUAAUUAAAAUUUUUUGAUCAUAAUUAAGUCAUGUUUGUGAACUAAAUAAGUGUGUAAAAACACACUUAUCUCUUUUCCUUCAUCAUUUGACCCACAUUCACUUCUCAAGCUUUGGGCCUUUUCAGAUGCAGACUAGGGAGCUUGUCUUGAUGCAAGAAAAUUAGCUACUAGUUUUUUGCAUUUUCCUUGGAGACCCUUUAAUAUAUUGGAAAGCUAAGCGACAGUCCACUGUUUCUUGAUCUUCAACUGAAUCAGAAUAUAGGGCUCUAGCUACCACCAUUAGUGAAGUCAUCUGGAUUAGCCAAUUGCUCAAGGAUUUUCAGACGCUAUCUCCCCAGGUGCCUUAUUUUGUGAUAACCAAACUGCCAUUCAAAUAGCCACAAAUCCAGUUUUUCAUGAACGAACGAAACACAUCGAAAUCGAUUACCACUUCAUUCAGGAUAAAGUUGCAGCUACAAUUAUUAAGCUCCUUCCAAUCUGAUCUCAACAUCAACUAGCUGACGCAUUUACUAAGCCACUUUCUGCAUCUGUCCUUCUCCCUUUAACGUCCAAGAUGUCUGUAAAGAAUAUUUAUCAUACAUCUUGAGGGGGAGUAUUAGAAUUAAUUGUAGCUAUUGUAUGUAAUUGCACUCAGCUUAGUUUCUUUUCACUUCGUUAGUUGGCCAGCUGUGUUUUCUUUCUUUCAUUUUUGGCACCAAGCUCCAAUGUUAUUUAUGUAUCUCUGUACAUUCAUUUUCAAUUGAUUGAACGAUCAAUAGAGUUUCAAUUAAUUUUCUCUCUAUAAAUCUAAUAUAUUUUCUACAUUGAAUCAUAAAUUUCACUAAAGAAAUUGUCUUCUAUAUCCACCAUCUACAGUCAAGCCAAGGAUGACGGUAUGUACACACACACACAUAGUUGACAUGCAAGAAAUGGAAAUCUAAAAAAGCCCAAGGACCUUCUUAUAUGUAUAUUUGCUCUCUCAAUAUUGUUCCUUAUCAGAAAAAGGUAGUCAUUGAGAUCCCUCCAAAUGGCCAAAACUCUAUUGGUCAAGGAGGCAUCAUUUAGAAUAAAGGCCAAGAAGAUCACGAUGAGCAUCUCGGGUAAGUUAAAUCUUUAUAUGACUAAUAUAAACCGUUUCUUUGGUAUUGUGUACUGUACAUCAGUAUGUCUAGGAUACGAAACAAGAUUUUAGUUCUUUAUUUUCCUUUCUUCAAUACUUUCUAGAAUAAUGCUAUCUAUUUAUGACUACUAGUGAAUGUGAUGCAUUUUCACUCACAAAUUGGAUUGUAUGGCAAACAAUUUCACUGAUAUUAGGAUCUAUUAAGACUUAAAGUUGCAUAUUAAAAGGUCAAACUUGGUAAGAGAGGUAACCCAAGUCUUUAUAUGUUGGUCUAUAUGUCAUCAAUUUUUGAUGUGUAAUUUAUUCCUUAACAUAUAUCCGCACGAAGGUGGUUUGUUUGAGCAAACCAAUCUGAAAAUUCAUGUACUCUUUUAUGGGUCUUUAUCAAAUCAAAUUGCUCCUUGGGGUUUAAUAACCUUUGAUAUCAUAUUAGAAUUUAGGGUUCUAUCUUAAAAUGUCGACUUUGGUUAGAAGAGUGGCUCAAGUUUUUAAAUGUUGGCCUAUAUUUCUACAAUUAUUCGAUGUGGAUAAGGAUCUUGAAGCUGCAAAAAACAUUUUAUAUUUAUCAUUCUUCUCAUCUUCGAUGGACAUUGGAUUUACCAUUAAAAUCUUCCCUACUCUCAUGAACGUUAUUUGUAGAAGUUGAGUCGGUGGCAAUGGAGGGAAGCGGGAACAUUCUAACAGUGAUUGGUAAAGAAAUCGACUCGGUGAGUCUUGUCCAAUGCCUAUGGAAGAAGGUGUGUUUUGCUAAGGUAGUGAGCGUACCAAACUGAGAGGUGUUAGGUAAUUUGUUGUCAAACGACCCCCCGGGCUAUAAUGUAACCCCAUAUUUAUUUAUUAUAAAUUGGCUUUGGCUAUAUGAUUGAUUUAUAUGUCGACACUUUUAUCGAAACAACCCAACCCACAUCUCUGUGGACCGUUAGAAGCAACCUAUUUUUAAUAGUGUUGCUCAUGGUUCGUCCCACUUCCUUGGAGGGCUAUGGUUUUAAUUUGGAGCCCAUUACUUUGAUUUGAGCCUUGUUUGGUCCACUAAAUAAACCUAACCUAACUUACUAUUUUGGUCACUCAUUUGGCUUAUAUUCUCGGCUUCUCUUCACCUCCACUAUGAAGAAAUCUCUAUCUCUCUCUGUGACUUUGAUUCUCGGUUUUUUCUCUUCAUAUAACCUUUAUGGUUUCUUGUGGCAACCUAUUGUUCUUCAUCUUGGCCAACUCUUUGUGAGUAUAUUGUAACAACCAGAGGUGGGAACAAAGGCGGUGGUUUUGGGUGUUGUCUCAACCGGCGGUGUUGUCGAUAUAUGGUGGAAACUGAGCCCAGUUUACCUUGGUAAUUGCUGGAAUUUGACCCUACAACUGGUAUUAGAACAGCCGGUCAUCUCGUCCGGCCAAAAAUCCACCAAAAUGGCGGCGGGUCUCACGAUUUCUCAAAGGGACCGAAUCUGCAAUUGUCAAUUCUGACCAAACGUGACCUCUAUUGGACGAACGGAGGCCGGACCCAUAACCAGCAGGUGGAGGCACCUCCGGUGGUGAGGCGCGUGGGACAGCGACCGGCGGCGGGCGAGGGCGCGUGGAGGACUUCAUGCGUAGUUUUUUUGUGCCAUUUCACUCAUUUUGAUUUCUAGAACGUAUUAAUGUGUUUAGUUUAGUGUUUCAGGUUAUGCAGAAAAGAUUGGAUGAUUUUACCCCUACCUUCAAUCUGCAUUUGUUGCUUAUCAGAAUUGCUAUAUUUGCUUAAUCUUUAAGGCGAAUAGUGGUGGCCCUAAAGCAGCAAAUUCGCAUCUCUCCAUGUUACGGACUCAGACAGGUUUGCUCUGGUAAAUUGAUUGAAACCUUUAUAUUUCUGCAUUAGCAGAUCAUCAUGUGAGGUGAUCAUUAGGUUUGGGAGUUGCCAAUGCUUGGCAGCCAUUGUUUGUGCAAGAAUUAGGGUUACGUGAUCUUAAUUAUUUUGAUUGAGUAUUUAUUUUUGGGUUAAAAUUAGUUUGUAAUUCUUAGUGAUCGAAUUACUGUGAAACUAGUUAUCUACUAAACGUAUCAUUUUGCAUUGUUACUUCUGCUGCUUACUUAUUUCGUUGGAAAUAUCGUGACCUUACCCGUUCGAACAUUCCUUUGAUCUAAGACCACGAGACUUACAAAACUCUGGGAAUCUAGAAUGGUGUAUACUGUCUGUGACCCUAUGACUAGUUUGUGUAGUUUGAUUGUGGUUUGUACAUUCUUUGACUGUUGUGUAAAGAUGAUGACUCACAACUUUGAUUUGGGAGUUUUUAAUGGAAAGGGUGACUUUGCUAUUUGGCAACAAAAAAUGAAGGACAUUUUAGUCCAACAAAAAGUUUCAAAGCCAUUGAAGGCAAUUUUUCAACUGAUUUUUCAUAAGAACAAAGAGAAGAAGCCGAUGAGCUUGCUUAUACCUCAAUCAUUUUACACUUGUCUGACGUCAUUUUAAGAAAUGUGGGUAAACUAAAAACCAUUAAAGAACUUUGGAAAAAAUUAGAAAACUUAUAUUGCUCAAGUCUGCAUCGAAUAAACUUUACUUGCUCGAACGUUUUUUUAGUUAUAAAAUGGAUCCUUCAAAAGAUCUUGAUGACAAUUUAGAUGUAUUUAACAAAUUGGUGCAAGAUAUAGUUAAUUGUGAUGAUACUAUGUUCAAAACUUAUAAGGCUAUAAUUUUGCUCAAUGCAAUUCCUGAUUCCUAUAAGGAAGUUAAGAACGCCAUUAAGUAUGGUAGAGACACGUUGACACCUAAAAUUGUCAUAGAUUCCCUUAGAAGUAAAGAAAUGGAAAUUAGGGCUGAAAAAUACGAUAAGAGGAACGGUAAGGUACAUAUGAUGCGGGGUAGAACUCAAUUUAGGCAAAAUAGUCAUGAUGGAUAUCAAACUAGUGGCGACUCAAGUGGUAAUGGAUGGAAAAAGAAGAGCAACUGUAGGUCUAGAUCAAAAUCUAGGACUAAGGUGAGAAAAUGCUAUGGUUGUGGAAACACAAGGCAUUUUAUAAAGGAUUUCCAUAAGGAGAAGGGUAAGCUAAAAGUUAAGGAGAGAGAUGAGGUCAAUGUGUUAGCAUCUACUUCCAACAUAAAUGGUGGUGAGGUCUAUAUGAUUACAAGUCCCGUUGCAUAUACUGCUGAAUUAAAUCUAACUACUAAUUCCCACAUGCAUGAGUGGAUACUUGACUCUGGUGCAUCUUUUCAUGUGACGUCUAAAAAGAAUUGGUUUUAUAAGUUGCAUAAAUCUAAUGUUGGGUAUGUUAUGUUGUGUGAUAACUUCGCCUAUACUAUUGCUGGAAUUGGUGACAUAAAUGUAAAAUUUGACACAGGUUUUGUGUAUACGUUAAAGAAUGUUAGAUAUAUUCCUGAGUUGUCUAGGAAUCUGAUUUCAGUAGAGAGACUUGAAAAGGAUGACUUUACUUGUAAAAUUGAAAAUUGUAUGCUAAAAAUGAUCAAGGGUACUUUAAUUUCCAUUAAGGAAAUUAAGAAAAAUGAUAUAUAUAUAUUACUACUGGGGAAGUGAUUAGAGGUGUGAACCCCUCUAUCUCCUCUGCCAAGAUUGAUCACACACACACAUGGUAUAAUAGACUUGCUCACGUAGGGGUCAAGAGACUUAAGCUACUUAACGAAAAAGGUGCUUUUGGUAAUGACUAUGUGUCAAAUUUUUCAUUUUGUGAUCAUUGUGUGCUUGGUAAGCAUCAUAAAACUUCUUUCUCCACGAGUGUUAAUAGAGCUAAAAGCAUGCUCGAAUAAGUGCACUCUGAUCUGUAGGGUCCUGCUAGUAAUCCCACAUCGGGUGGAAAUAGGUAUUUCUUGUCUAUUAUCGAUGACUACACUAGGAAAGUGUGGGUCUAUCCUUUGAAUGAUAAAUCUGAGACCUUUAAUAGUUUUAACAGUUGGAAGAGAUAAGUGGAAAACCAAACUGGCAAGAGAAUCAAAAUUUUAAGGACAGAUAACGGCCUAGAAUUCUACAAUAAGGAAUUUGAUAGUAUGUCUAAAGAAAGAGACAUAACUAGACAUAAGACCGUUCCUUACACUCCUCAGCAAAAUGGGGUAGCAGAAAGGAUGAAUAGGACUAUACUUGAUAAAGUAUGUUGCAUGAUGAUAAGUUCUGGUGUUCCCAAGUCAUUUUGGGGUGAGGCUGUUAUUACUGCUUGUUAUUUGAUUAACCUGACUCCUUCUACUGCAUUGAAUGGUGACAUUUCGUAUGAGAGAUGGUCGGGUAAACUGAGUGAUUACUCGAUGCUUAGAACUUUUAGCUGUACAACUUUUUCCAUCAAAGUGAGGGUAAGCUGGAACCUAGAGCUAGGAAGUGUGUCUUUCUAGGAUACCCCAAGGGUGUUAAAGGUUAUAGGUUAUGUGAUAGAAGCCAAAAAGGAAUUAAGAUUAUCAUAAGUAGGGAUGUCACGUUUAACGAGAAUGAGAUGCCGUGUUUUAAAGGGAAAACUGAACUUGAGAGUAAAAUUGAACCAGGUGAAGAGAGAGGCCUGUUUAAGAUGGAGUUAGGAAAGCUCAGUACACCUAUCCCUACUGCUCCUAAUGAGAUGGAGAUUCAAGGUCAGGAACCUGAGGUGGAGAAUAGUAACGAAGUAAUGAUAGAAGAGCACUAUGAGGAAGAAAAUCAUUUAGCUAACUACAACUUAGUUAGGGAUAGAGAGAGGAGACAAACGAGAAAACCUAGAAGGUUCGGAUUUGAAUCUGAAUUAGCUUUCGCCCAGGCUAGUUAUGAAGAACUAGCUGAUAAAGAGCCAAAGACUUUUGAAGAGACAAUAGGCAGUGAUCAAUCAAUGAAUGGCUUAAGGAAAUGAAAGAAGAGAUGAGUUCUCUAGAAAAGAAUCAUACUUGGGAGCUAGUACCUAGGCCUAAGAACAAAUUGAUUGUUGAUUGCAAAUGGGUUUUUAAGGUUAAGGAAGGUACUAGUAACUCGGAACCCCUAAGGUUUAAAGCAAGGUUAGUAGCUAAAGGCUACAUAUAGAAGGAGGGCGUUGAUUAUAAUGAAAUUUUCUCACCAGUUGUUAAGUAUACCACUAUUAGGGUCAUGCUCGCAUUAGUUGCACACUUUGACUGGGAACUUGAACAACUUGAUGUAAAAACUGCUUUUUUACAUGGUGAGCUUGAUGAACAAAUCUUCAUGAAUCAACCAAAAUGUUUUAAGGAUAAGUCAAAACAUGAUUAUGUGUGUCUUCUGAGAAGAUCCUAGAAUGGGUUAAAGCAAUCUCUUUGACAGUGGUACAAGAGGUUUGAUUCCUUUGUACUCACUAUAGGGUUCCAAAAAAGUAAAUUUGAUCACUGUUUGUAUUUUCAACACAAUGAGACUGAUGAUAAUUAUCUAUUUUUGUGCUCUAUGUGGACGACGUGCUUUUGAUUGGAUCAUUUUCUAAGUGGAUAAAUUACAUAAAAGCAAAACUAAGUGGUGAAUUUGAUAUGAAAGACCUAGGUAAGGCUAAGAGAAUCUUAGGUAUGAAAAUCGAAAGAGAUAGGUCAAAUUCCUUUUUGUUUUUGCAUCAAUCUCCAUACAUAUCAAAGUAUUGAAGAAAUUUAAUAUGAGUGAUUGCAAACCUGUCACGUUGCCUCUUGCUAAUCAUUUUGUUUUAUCGAAGGAACAAUCCCCUUGCAAUGAGCGUGAAGUAGAGUACAUGAAUAGAGUGCCUUACUCUAAUGUGAUUGGUUCCAUAAUGUAUUUGAUGGUUUGCACUAGACCGGAUUUAGGUUUUGCUGUUAGUACUCUAAGCAGAUACAUGGCUAAUUCGGGACCUGAACAUUGGGAAGCGCUAAAGUGGCUAUUAAAGUACUUGAAGGGUACAAAUGAUGUUGGUUUAAAGUUUAGUGCUAAUAAAGAAGGUAUAAAAUUAAAGGGUUUUAUAGAUGCAGAUUACACGGGAGAUAGGGAUGGUAGGAAAUCCACUUCGUCUUACGUGUUUACCUUAUCUAAUUCAUGUGUUAGUUGGAAAUCACGGUUACAAUAUAUUGUUGCACUAUCCACUACAAAAUCAGAAUAUAUUACUACCACUGAAGCUAUUAAAGAAGCUUAUGACUUAGAGGCCUUCUUCAUGAACUAUGUGUUUUGAAUGAUUAUGUGGUAGUGUAUUCUGAUAGUCAGUCAUCUAUACAUUUAUGCAAGAACCCCAUUUUUUACAAGCGCACUAAACACAUUGAUGUUAGACUCCACUUCAUUAGAGAUAUAGUAUCUCAAAAGAUGGUAAGACUUGAAAAGGUCCACACCCACUAUAACCCUUCUGAUAUGGGGACGAAGGUACUGUCGCUGGCAAAGUUUAGAAGUUGCAAGGAACUUUUAAACAUUGGUACAGGUAAAUGAUUUCCAAUUUUAAUGGUUUUUAUUAGAGGUGUCACUAAUGGGAGACAUUUUCUUUUGCAGGUCCUUUGACACCAAGGUGGAGGUUGUUAGGCAAUUUGUUGUCAAACGACCCCCCGGGCUAUGAUGUAACCCUGGAUUUAUUUACUAUCAAUCGGUCUUGAUCAUAUGAUUGAUUUAUAUGUCGACACUAUUAUCGAGACAACCCAACCCACAUCCCUAUGGACCGUUAAAAACAACCUAUUUUUAAUAGUGUUACUCAUGGUUUGUCCCACUUCCUUAGAGGGCUAUGAUUUUAAUUUGGAGCCCAUUACUUUGAUUUGAGCCUUGUUUGGUCCACUAAAUAAACCUAACCUAACUUACCAUUUUUGGUUACUCAUUUGGCUUAUAUUCCCGGACUCUCUUCGCCUCCACUAUGAAGAAAUCUCUAUCUUUCUCUGUGACUUUGAUUCUCGAUUUUUUCUCUUCAAAUAGCCUUUGUGGUUUCUUGUGGGCAACCUAUUGUUCUUCAUCUUGGCCAACUCUUUGUGAGUAUAUUGUAGCAACCAGAGGUAGGAACAAAGGCAGUGGUUUUAGGUGUUGUCUCAACCGGCGGUGGUGUCGAUAUAUGGUGGAAAUUGAGCCUGGUUUACCUUGGAUUGCUGGAAUUUGACCCUACAAGAGGGUUGAAACUAAGCAACUGAAACUUGAGAACACGAAUCCGGCUACCUGUGUCUGUGCCUCACCGAUGCUGUAAUCACUCGCCUCACUGGAAAAUAUUGGAAAUCAGGGAACCCACAUCCUCCUGCUUCAACUUUUGAAUGCUUCUUAUGUUAAGUUGUCAAACAAGAAAAAAUGAAUUUUUGUUGUGAAGAAAAUUAAGCAACAUUAAUUCACAAUAGAUUUUGUUGCAAAUUCUGUUUGAGAUAAUGUUACAAGUGGAACAUUGUAGAAUAAUUUCAAGAGAUCAGAAGUAUAAGUUGAGAGAAAACUUUGUUUUCAUUUCUUGGAUCGGAUAGAUAGCAUCACUCUUAUUGAAUGGAGGUUUGCAAGAGUAUAUAUUGUAAUUUUAGCUUCCAUGAAGAGCAGUAGAAAGCUCAUUUUCUAGUUGUCAGAUGUCUCCGGUGAUUGAGUGUCAUUGGACUGAAUUGAUAGAUUCAUGUUUAAACUGGACUCAUUGAGUCUUAUUUGAUUUGUGUUUAUGCAUCGAAAAGACAAAAAAUAUUUUUUUAUCUUUUUAUACAGAAUUUUUAUACACAAAUUGAUUCCAUAAUCGUAUCUCAAGAAAAUGCGAGUUGCAAGUGUCAUUAUAAUAAAAGGGCAAAAUGGUCAUUUAAUCAUGAUUAAUUAUUCGAUGUUCGAUGGGGUAAUAAAUAUUGAUGAUAAGUCAAAAGAAUAUAAAUUAACUCCCUGCAUAUAGGGCUAGUUUCGGAUUGGCUUGAUUGGACGUAACUAUUGUAGUUUCAAUUAUAUUAGUCCGAUCAGGCCCUUUUGAUAGCUUUAGUAAAAGUUUUGAGCUUAAUUACAUUAAUAAUUCAAGUUCUUAGACCAUGUGUAAAAAGUCCAAAAUAGAACUUGCAGUUUAGUGAAAUUGGGGAACAGGUUGUGAUACAUGUACAGGUACGGGUUGACCUGUACUGAACACUCACAUACACUGGGUGGGUGAGUUUUUUUCUUCUUCUCUCUUUUUUUUUCUUUUUCAAUGCAAGUGGGGCCCAUUGUGUUGGUAGGGGUUCUGUUCCUGUACACCCAACACUUUCCUUGGGGACCAAGGUCCAAGCCUUAUUAGUAGGCCUAAGUGGAUGCCCUUGGCAUAAUUGAAUGCCCUAGUCGUCCAAUACACAUAAAGAGAUCAUUUUUCUAUUGUUUGAUUCCUCAACUUGAUUCUUGAUUGGCUUUCAAGUUCCACUCAUUAAUUGCAGUUCAUACUUUUGAAGAAUACUAAAGAAGAUAUGAGGUUGAAAGCUUGAAGAUUGAAUAUCAAUAUUAAAGAACAGAAUUGGAGCAUCUUCUAAGGAAUUCAGAACUAGUCACACACUCACACUUCAAGGGUGAUUCCAAAGUCCUUUAUAUGAUUAAUUCAACAUGUUAUAACCGAGUUUAAUUAUUUAGUUAAUAUUCUUGGGUUAAAACUUCUUAAGAAAAGAAAUUAUUAUCCAACAUUGCUGGACAGAGACUAAAUUGGUUCUUUCAUUUAGAAGGGGCUAAUCUCAUUUUUCACACGCAUUGUGCUCGUUUUCCUUUCUUUAGACAUUUUUUAUGUGUUCUAAAGAAUUCUGAGUGAUUUCUUCAAUCACUGUACUGAAUUUGUUCUUGAUUUUCAUUCUAAUAUGAAAGCCAUAUCUACUUUGGUAGAUUCUCAACGGACAAAUAAUGUAGCGCACAUGAACAUUUGGAUCCAUUAGUGAACAAAAAUUCUUGUGUUUAAAUUUCUUUAAUUUUUUACACAUUUAUUUCAAUCUUUUAUGGUUAAAACAUAUAUUUAGGACUAACAAGUGGCAUCAGAGUCAGAACUUAAUUUUGAUAUGGUUUCUGGCUUUAAAAUGGAAACCUAGUUUGUUCUUUUUGAAAAUUCUUUGUACUAUACUAGCUCUUGAUCUAGAAUUUUUUGUGGAAACCAACUUAUUUCCAAAUCUUUGUGACUUGAUGUAUCUUCGAUUCAACAUUCGAUGGCUCGUUUGCAUUCCCUGUUGGGGUGUGAUGACUUUACACAGUUUCUGGCGAUUCUCGGUGACUCCUUAUUCUUCUCAACUCAUUCAAUCUGUUACUGAUUCUUGGUGUUUCAGUUGGCAUUCUGGGAUAAAUUUUAGUAGAGCAGAGUUUAAAUAUAGAAAUUAAUUUGUUUUGUAUUGAAGACACAAACUGAACAUUAGACAAUUUAGAAGUUCUAAUGACAUAGGAAAGGAUGUUAUAACUAUUAGGUAGAGAAGAAAGUGGUGGAUUGUGCUAGCUAGCCAUGAAUAUGAUGUAUAUAAAGAGCUUUGUGGUAAACAUUGGCAAAGAUUGUACCAGAGGUUGGUUUGGCUUUGAAGUGUUGGAGAUUAGCCUCAAAGCUUAUUUGUUUCUUAUGGAGCUUCUCAAAGGUAAUGGGAUAUCGCGUGCACCAACAACAGAUGAGAUGUCCUUAUUGUUAGAAUUUUGAGGUGACCCAAAUUCUUUUGUCAAAAUAAUUGUAGAAUUCUAUUUGAAGUGCACAUAAAAAGGAAUUAUAGUUGGAAUGCUUUGAGAAAUCCUAUUUAAGUUUAAUUGUCAAAUUCUAUUUAAAGUUCUAUUUUGAAGCCCAUUGAGAGUUGAAACUUGAGUUGGACUUGAAGAGUUCAAAUAAUGAAACUUUUAGGCAUUUUAUUUUAUCUAUAACUCUACUUCUAGAUAAUGAUUUUUUUCUAUAAAUACGAGGCUCCUCUGUCAGUGUUGGAAGAAGCAAUUUUGCUAAGUUGUAUUUGUUUUCUCCAUAUUGUUCAGUAAUAAAUAUCGUUACUCUGCAUUUUACCCUUUUGGUUUUUCUUUACUUUAAAUCUUGUUUUCGUAGUGUAAUUUUGUUUACUUCAAUAUUAUCAUUAAAUCUCAUUCUUUACAAUCCGGUUUGGGAUCAACAAACGGUAUCGGAGCUUUCGUGCCCAACACUUAUGGUCACUGCGUAGGCCAUCAAGAAUUUUUAGAGUCAGGUCUUCAUAGUGAAUGGGAAAGUCCUUAAUAGAAAGUUCAACAAUCAUGCUUUUCUAAGAUUGUAGAAACUCGAUAAUGGUUAAAGAUCCUAUAGUAAGGUUGGGAAGUCGACUUUUUCAUUGCAUAAUGCAUCCUCCUGAGGGUUCGUCAUUUAUUUCAAAAAUAUUGUUCCCCACAUUAUGAGAUCUUUGGUAAGAAGUGAUGUAUGGAAUAAUAGUGGAAGAACGGAUCCAACAAUUGCAUUUAAUAGUAGUUGUUUUUGUCCAAUACCAUAAGCAAAUGAUUGAUUUAGUAAAGUAUUGGCAUUUUCUAUAAUAUGUAGCUCAUAGAGUGAAACACAUGUAUGCUAGAAAGCAGGCCGAUGCCAACAUGGAGCAAGGGGAGCACACCUAACGGAAUGGUACAAGGAUAUUUUUGGAUUUUUACAAUAUCUUGUACGAGCUAGGUUAGUAUAUAUGUUGUGACUCAAUUAUUUCCACAUUGUGAAAAUUAUAGUUGCCUCACUCUCGUAGAUAUAGGCUACUGUCAAACCAUGUAAAUCUCUCUCUCUCUUUCUCUUGAAUUUGUACUAUUCAUCAUAUCAUUAUUGUCGCACAUAACACAACACCAUUGAUAUAAGCUGGUUGUAAACCCAUGAGAUCAUACGUUAUGAGAAGGGUAUUAAAUUGUAAUUUCUAUAAGGACUAAUAUCCUACGUGCAAGAUACUCUAGCGUCCAAAGCUUCAGCCUUCUUCCUCCUGCUCAAGUGAGCUUUUCUUUUGUUUAAAUGAUCAAUGACUACACUUCUACAAUGUCAUCUAGUCAUCUUGUCCUACUCUCUCGCCUUCUCAUUGAUCCUGAUCAUGACCUAACUGCUUCCACCUCCACCUCACACGCUCAGUUCUCGCCCUAUGAAAACCCUUGACGAAGAUCAUAUUUCAAAACCAAUUCCAAAACUAAAUCUCAGCCCUUGAUCUUGAUUCCAUUAUUCUCACUCUUAGCCACAAGCCUUAAACGUCCACUUUGGUUCUAAUCCAUGUGUGAGGAUUUUGAUGGCCUAUUACGUGAUGCAUUUAAAAGCUAGCCUCUCCGCUUCAAUUCCAAAUUAUUUUCAUUUUUAAAUGGGCUUUUUGUGUUGAACGGAAACCUAAUGUUUACAUUUAUCGUGCCCGACGAAUGGUUUUCAUCAACGCUCACAGUAGACUAAAAUGAGAAUUUUAGCCUAGUUGUCAAUCCUACCACCAUCCGUCUCAUCCUUAAUCUUGCAUUGGUACGGUAUUGGUCUCUACGUUGUUCGAUGCCAGUAAAGCGUUUCCUCGGGAUUCACUAAUGAAAACUAUUUACGCGUCUCAUAUUCAAGAAUUUGACAAUAUAGAAACUUCCAUUAUGAUUGUCCAUUUCAUGAAGGUAUCUGUAAUCUCAAACAAGCUUGUCGAGCGUAGUACAAUGAAUUACGAAACUUCUUGCUUGCCCGUGGGUUUACCAAUUCCAAAUCUAACUAUAUUCAAUUGCAACUCCAACCAGUGUCGAAUCUUAGUUUUGGUUUAUGCUAAUGACAAGGGCUGGCCCCGAAAAUUUAGAGGCCCUAGCCGUCUAAUUAUUAUGGGCCCCUCAACACAAAAUUUACUUUUACAAAAGUAUAACAAUAUGUAAAUAUUUAAAUAAUUAAAAAAGUCGGACCUUAUAUCAGCUUCAAUAUCUUCCAUUACAGCCAUCUUUAUAAUUUAUAUGCCAACUUUUAUUUUCUGCCAUCCACCCAAAACACCUUUUUAAAAAUUCUAGGUUGUCAAGUUUUUGCCCUGAGCAAAAAGAAAGAACAAACAAACAAAAAAUUGGGAAAUAUAUAUUUUACACAAAAAUAAGUAUAUGUUUGCAAACUCUCUAUGUGUGAAAGCGAGCUGAAUUACUCUUUUUUUUCCCUCCAAUUUACCCAAAUGAGAUGCGAAUCAUUUCAGCGGAGAAGUCUUGAAAUUCUUGCAAUUUUAAUUCAGAUGUUUCCAAGGUGUGAUUGGGGAGGGGAGGCUCUCCAGGGUUAGAGUAAAAAAAGGGAGUCAGAAUGGGAGAGAGAGGUGGGCGGCUAAAAGUUUCACAAAACAUGGAUAGGUUACACAAGCAUAAGAAGAAGACGAAAAGGCCGAACUUGUUGUUGUGUAAUCGGAGUUCUCCAGAAUUUUUGCAACUUUGCUGGUACACUGGUAGUUUUUAGGGAUUUUCGAAUUGGGAUUGUUCUCUACUUCUCUUAAAAUUUAUCGCGUACACGUUCUUGAUAAAAAGGAUGGAGAUUUUUUUGGUGAAAAUGAUUGGAAUGGAAUGGAGAAGAAUCAUUGUCACGAGAGACUCUAGUUUUAAUAUCUUUGUUACUCAUUUGGCACUAUUUUCUCUAGAGAUGUCAAAAAUUCUAAUCGAACACAAUCCCCAUAGGGACAUAUCCCAAAUAGGACAAGAGUUUCUGGCUUUAAUCGAGUUUGCAUCCGUUUAUAUUUUAACAAUAUUAAUAAAAAUUUGCCCAAUUUCUAUUAUAAUUUUUUUUUUAAAAAUGAAUAAAUAAAUUUACGUAUCAUGCAAUCCAAUCUAACAUCACAUUCCAUUCGAGAGAAAAUGAAAAAAUAGAAAAUUGAUUUAAAAAAAAAAAAAGCAAAAUAAAAUAUAAUGGCCCUGUAAAGUGGAUCCCGCUCUAUUGUCAUCCCUAGAUUUGGAUACUUGUUUCUUGGGGAUAUAAGUUAUUUUUCUCUCCUUUUUCUCUCACGACAUUUGUUUGUGUCUCAGUAAUCUUCUACGCAACAUAAUUUGCAUGAGUACAAGUCAGUGUCUAUUUCUAUGUACAUGACAACUACCUUCAGCUUGAUAGAUGUCACAACUCUUCUUGAAAACUACCUUCAGCUUCUAAAUAUAGGCAAAGUUCUUGGCAACUUGCAAUAUUCUUUACUCACUCGCCAGGGCAUUGUUAUUUAGUUAACCAUCUGUAUCAAUAUAUCACUAAUCCAUUUCUAACCCCUGGAUGGCUGUUAAACUUAUGUUUCUUGACUUUUUUGGCACUUUGGGCUCUUUCUUCGUCGCCAUUCUCCUAUCGUGUCGUAUGCCUUCUCUAAAUCUGAUUGAGAAGAAAAUGGUAAUGAUCCCACAUCCAUCCUUGCCAAUCUAGUGAUUCUUGAACGGAACCUAAUUGUUUCUCUUUUUUUUUUUUUUUUUAUUGAAAUCGACUAUCAUAUGGCUUAAAUAUUUAGUAAUUGAAUUCAGCGAACCAAUUUCCACCAAUCGAGUAAUCUAAUUUCAUACUAUUAGCACCACAUGCUUAAUGACCUAACACUAUUUCUCACCUGUAAUGGAAUACAUUAAGAUUCAUGUGCACUUUGUUCAUGACAAGAUUUAGACCAGUGAACUCUGGAUUUCUUGUGUUGUCUUGUCCAAUCAAUUUGUUAAUGUUCAAACUAAACAUUAAUCAUAUGCGUUCGCAUCUACUCCUAUCUGAUAUAUGUGUCACUAAUAAGACCGCUUUCUUGUGCGGGGCAUAUUAUAGAUAUUAAAGUAAUUAGAGAUAGCAUAGUACGAUAAUUAGAGCUUCAUCUUGUGAAAUAAUAUUAAAGUAGUUAUAGAUAGUGUUACACAAUAGUUAGAACUUGUCAUUACUGAACGUGCAUCAUAUAUUUCUGUUACAGAAUGUAUACAUAUAUAUAGCACAUACAAGGAGAUAUUUUAGACUAUGCACUAAUUUAGGCUAUGAUUGAGAUUGACCCUCAUUAUAUGUGGAGUCAGAUGACAAACUAUACUUCCCUAUAAUUAUUGAAUAAUGUUAUUUAAUAUUAGUAGAAUUAGAGUGCUAGUCUAAGUUGACAUACUUGAUAAGUUCAAUUAAAUUAAUCGUGUGGUAUUGCAUUUAAAUGAAUUUAUUGCUUAGUGUCACGAAAUUAGGGUGGCAACAGUUCGGUUCAGGGUCGGUUCGGCCAAAACCAUCACCGAAUCACCAAAUUUUUUUGUCAUACCAUAACCACGUAAGUUGGUUCGGAUCGGCUCAGUUAGGACGAUUAAUAACUACAAAAAUAAAUUAUUUUUUAUAAGUUCAGCUAUCAAAUUGGGAAAAAAAAUUAUGAUAAAAAAAGUCAAUGAAAACAAAAACACAAUACCAAGUCAAUUUAACAAACAAUAUCCCAAUUUCCAAAGGCAAAACACAAUACCAAGUCAAUUUAACAAACAAUAUCCCAAUUUCCAAAGGCAAAAUCCGAAUUUAACAAACAAUAUCCAUAAAUGUUUAAUAUUUGUGUAGUAGAGCGUAGGGUUAUCGGGUUCAGUUAGUUGGACUUAACGGGUUUGUAAUGGGCCAAAAAUUUGAACUGAACAGAAUCAUAGAAAGACUAAUGGAAAGCCUAAUUGCCCAAUUAGUUUUUUUUUAACGGGUAAUCGGUUCGGAGUUGGACGACGGUGUAAAUAUCAUACUCGUCCCGCUCCAAAUCGGGGCAUUAAAAUCAAAUACCAUAUCCACUCCAUUGCGCCAUUGGUUUGGUUAAUCGCGAUUUUCGAUUUUGAUAGUUCGAAUUGCCAUCCUUACAUGAAAUUGCAUCUAAACUAAAGUUUAACACUAAUGGUGCUAAAGUGCAUUACUCAUAGUUAUUAUAUGAGUAAUGCCAUUUACCACUAUUAGUUAAGCACCGUUUAGGUGGCAUGCAAUAAUCAUUAAUUGAAAGAUCGCCUUAAAAGUAGAAAAAUGAGUCACAUUUAAAAUGUUCUAUCACUUGCAUGCCAUCUAAGUUGGUGCUAUGUAACAUUAUUCUUAUUACUUUUCUUGAUUGACAACUUGCACCAAUAGUCAUCUUGCAACUUAUUGAUAUACUAAAAUCAAUGUGAGAUAGAGUUUAUGUAUUUGAGUUGGAGUCGAUCAAGUUUUUAUAGAACCUAAAUAAUCUUCAAAUGAAUCAUAGUUACUCAAGUUGUUUCUUACCGCUCUAAGCAUCAAUCCAAACACAUUCUUAUGUCAAUCAAUAUGUCAAUUUUUACAUGAAUCAAUUCAUCCUUUGUUGUUAGAGUUACUUUAGUUAGCUACUUUAGCAGAGAUAUCAAGUUAUACAAAAGCUCAUUAGAAACAUCAAAGUUAGAUAUAAACUGUAAGGCUUAAUUAUAGUUUUGUGUACUGUUACAGAAACAUUCAAAGUUUUUCGAGUAAUAUAGAUCAUUUCACUAAUCCUUUUUAUUUUUAUUUUUUUUAUAUACCAUUGUAUGAUUAAAUAAAAUUAGUAUAAAACAUCAAUACUUCAUCUACAAUGUACAUAGUUUAGCAACAAUGUUAAUAGCAUUGAGUUUAUAUUUCAUCAUAAUUCUCUAGACCAAUUAGAAAUAUUAGGAAGUCUCUAGUAUUUGAUCUUGUCUUCCCAUUUCUUUUAAUCGAUACAUAUAAUUAAUCAAGCAACCAAAAUAAAAUUUUUAACACCAUAAUACCAAUAUAAAAGUUACAAAUCUAGAAUAAAUCACUAUUACUCAUAGGAGUUACUUUGUAGAGCCCAUAUAGAAAACCUUGAAGGCAUGUCGAUUAAUACAUGUACUAUGCUGUUUCAAUUAUAAGUUAAUGUAACUCAUUUUCUUUCUUACACCAUAUAAAUACUUUAUCAACUAGGCCAACACUCAUCAUAAUUUAGCAAAUAAGACUUAGAAAAUGCACCGUUUUUUAUCCAUAACUCUUCGACUUUAAUCUAUCAUGAUAUCGUCAUGCCAUUACAGAAGCAAAGAGAAUCUGGCAUAUAUAAUUAUUAAUAGGGUAAGGAUGCUUUAGCAGAUUUCGUCUAAUCUGCAAUUUAGGAAAAAUUGCAUCAUACAACCAUUUGUUAAGGGGAUGCCCAUGGCAUAAGUGAAUGCCCUAGUCGUCCAAUACACAUAAAGAGAUCGCUUUUUAUUGUUUGAUUCCUCAACUUGAUUCUUGAUUUGGCUUUCAGGUUUCCACUCAUUAAUUGCUGUUCAUACUUCUGGAGAAUACCAAAGAAGAUAGGGGUUGAAAGCUUGAAGAUUGAAUAUCAAUAUUUGAAGAAAAGAAUUGGAGCAGCUUCUAAAGAAUUCAGAUCUAAUCACACUUCAAGUGUGACUCCACAAUCCUUUAUAUGAUUAAUUCAACAUGUUAUAAUACGAAUUUAACUAUAUAUUAUUGGGUCAAAACUUAUUAAGAACAAAAUUUAUUGCCUAUGUUUUUACUUAUUGUCUAACAUUAUUCUUAUCUUUACUUUGGCUUUGUGAACAUACAUUUUCAGUUCAGUGGUUAUGAGUUAACUUUGUAUCUAAUAACGCUAAAAGAUAAGGUUCUUUAAUACAUUAACAUUGUUCAUGUACCAUAAAAAGCCUCCUUGUGCAUAAAGAAAUAUACAACUCUAUUAUGGGUCUUUCCUAUAUUUUAUGUACUUUAUAUAAUAAGUACUUAGAGUGGGAGAAGAAGAUUGAGUUGAUAUUCGAUUGUCACAAUUACUCGGGAGAGAAAAAGGUGAAAAUUGCGGUUCUUGAGUUUUUCGACUAUGCAAUAACUUGGUGGGAUCAAGUAGUGACGACGAGGUGGAGGAUUGGGGCACAACCUAUAAAUACUUGGGAGGAGUUGAAGAUGUUAAUGCGAAAAUAGUUUGUACCUAAUCACUAUUACCGGAAGCUUCAUCAACGGUUACAAAAUCUAUAUCAAGACACUAGGAACGUAGAGGAUUACCAUAAGAAGAUGGAGAUGCUUAUGAUUAGGGCGAACGUGGAAGAGGAUAGGGAAGCCACUAUGGCUUGAUUUUUGAGGGGGGGAAUAAAGACAUUGCCAAUGUAGUGGAAUUGCAACAUUAGGUGGAGAUUGAAGCAUGCUACAUGUGGCCAUGAAGGUGGAAAAGCAAUUGAAGUGAAAGGGAACAGCAAGGUAUUAAGGUGGAUCUUCGAUUUCUAAUCCUUCUUGGAAGCCGAGGUAGGAAAAUAAUAAAGGAGAUGGAGCUAAUACAAGAGCAAGACCGGAGCCACUGAGAGGAAAGGAGGAAGGAGCUAGCAAGACUACACCAAAGGUAGAAUCCCAGCCGUCAAGGAAUCGAGACAUCAAGUGUUUUCGUUGCUUAGGAGUUGGACACAUUGCUUCACAAUGUCCAAAUAAAAGAACCAUGAUUUUGCAAGACAGCGGGGAAGUGGAGACCGAGAGUGAAGGUGAUUAUGAAGACAUGCCGGAGUUGGAGGACACUGAGGAGGAAAACACCACUGAGUAUGCAGUUGGGGAGUUGUUGGUCACGAGGCGAGCACUUAGUGCUCAAAUCAAGGUAGUUGACUUGGAGCAGCAGUGAGAAAAUAUAUUCCACACACGGUGUCACAUCAACCGGAAGGUAUGCAGUGUAAUAAUUGAUGGUGGAAGUUGUACAAAUGUAGCUAGCACUAAUGUAGUGGGAAAAUUGGGAUUAACACUAUUAAAAUAUCCUAGAUCCUAUAGGGUGCAAUGGUUAAAUGAAUGUGGGUAGGUUGAUGUGACAAAAAAGGUGUUGAUUAAUUUUUCCAUUGGGAAGUAUUAUGAUGAGAUAUUAUGUGAUGUUGUACCUAAGCACGCGGGACAUAUUUUGUUGGGGCAACAUUGGCAAUAUGAUAGGAAAACAAUGCAUGAUGAGUAUAAAAAUAAAUAUAGUUUUGUGAAAGAGGGAAAGUCUAUCACUCUACACCAUUAACACUGGUACAAGUGUAUGACGACCAAAUCAAAUUGAAAAAUGAGAAAGAAAAGAGAGUGAGAGAGUUAGAGAAAAAGAGAGAAAAUAGUAAGAUGGCCGGUGAGGAAGAAAAAAGAGUGGGGCCACAUGAGAGAAAGAAAGAGAGUUUUCCGAGAGGAGAGAAAAGCCGAAAGUGAAUUUCUUUGCAAAAGGGAGUGAAGUGAAAAAGGCGAUAGUGGAGAGACAACCAAUGAUUCUUUUGGUAUAUAAGGAAUCACUCCUCAAUUUUGAGGAGUCUAACACAUCCUUCCCUAAUUUGGCUACUUCUUUAUUGCAGGAACUUGUCGAUGUGUUUCCGGAAGAUGUGCCUAGUGGAUUGCCACCCAUUAGGGGGAUGGAACAUCAAAUUAAUUUCAUACCUGGAGCUGUCAUUCCAAACCGACCAGCUUAUCGAAGUAAUCCGGAGGAGACAAAGAAGCUUCAAAGGCAAGUGGAGGAGUUGAUGAGCAAGUGUUAUGUAAAGGAGAGCAUGAGUCCAUGUGCCGUACCCAUAUUGUUGGUGCCAAAGAAAGAUGGAACUUGGAGGAUGUGCGUGGAUUGCCGAGCUAUCAACAACAUUAUGGUAAAGUAUGGUCACCCAAUUCCUAGGUUAGAUGACAUGUUAGAUGAAUUAUAUGGUGCUUGCAUCUUUUCUAAAAUUGACCUUAAGAGCGGGUAUCAUGAAAUUCGUAUACGGGAGGGUGUUGAAUGGAAAAAAACAUUUAAAACGAAAUAUGGGUUGUAUGAAUGGCUAGUUAUACCCUUUGGACUCAUAAAUGCACCAAGCAUGUUUAUGCGAUUAAUGAAUCAUGUUUUGCGUGCUUUCAUUGAAAAAUUUGUUGUAGUUUACUUUGAUGACAUUCUAAUCUAUAGCAAGGACCUAGUAGAGCAUUUAGAACAUCUUAAAUUUGUGCUUAGGAUUUUAAGAAAUGAACGACUUUAUGCGAAUUUCAAGAAGUACACAUUUUGCAUGGAUAGAAUCAUAUUUCUAGGAUUUGUGGUGAGUGCUAAUGGGGUUGAAGUUGAUGAAGAAAAUGUAAAAGCUAUUAAGGAUUGGCCAACACCUAAAAACAUAACCGAGGUUAGGAGUUUUCAUGGGUUAGCUAGUUUUUAUAGGCGAUUUGUUAGGGAUUUUAGCACACUUGCCACACCACUUACAAAAAUUGUCAAAAAGAGUGUUGGGUUUCAAUGGGGUGUAGAAUAAGAACAUGCAUUUAACACCAUCAAAGAAUUUUUAUGUAAAGCACCUGUUUUAGCACUUCCUAAUUUUGACAAAACUUUCGAGAUUGUGUGUGAUGCAUCAGGAAUAGGUAUUAGAGCAGUUUUGAUACAGGAAAAGAGGUCGAUAGCAUACUUUAGUGAGAAACUAAGUGGGGCAGCUCUUAACUAUCCUACUUAUGGCAGGAGCUUUAUUCUCUAGUUCGAGCCUUGGAGACAUGGCAACACUACCUAUGGCCAAAGGAGUUUGUUAUUCACACCGACCAUGAAUCAUUGAAACAUUUGCGGGGUCAAGGUAAGUUGAACAAACGACAUGCACGUUGGAUGGAAUUCAUAGAGACUUUUCCAUAUGUCAUUCGAUACAAACAAGGUAAGAAAAACAUAGUAGCCGAUGCAUUGUCGCGAAAGUAUGUGCUUCUCACUUCUUUAAGUGCAAAAUUACUUGGUUUUGAGUAUGUUAAGGACAUGUGUAAAAACGAUAUUGAUUUUUCUAACAUCUAUAAUUCAUGUAUUGAGAGGGCUAUUGACAAGUUCUUUAAGUAUGAGGGGUAUUUGUUUUGAGAAAACAAAUUAUGUGUUCCUAAUUGCUCAAUGCGUGAAUUGUUGGUUAGGGAGGCACAUAGUGGGGGUUUAAUGGGUCACUUUAGGGGUAGCAAAGAGUUUAGACAUGUUAAAUGAACACUUUUAUUCGCCUAAAAUGAAGAUUGACGUAAAAUGAAUUUGUAGUCGUUGCAUAACUUUUAAAAAGGCUAAAUCAAAGGUUUUACCCCAUGGACUUUAUACACCUUUACCGGUACCUAGCGAACCUUGGGUUGACAUUUCAAUUGAUUUUGUGUUAGUUUUGCCUAGGACUAAAAAGAGGCGUGAUUCAAUUUUUGUUUUUGGUGGAUAGGUCUAGUAAAAUGGCACACUUUAUACCAUGUCACAAAAUUGAUGAUGUCACUAACAUUGCGGGACAUGUUUUUCAAAGAAGUAGUGUGUUUGCAUGGUGUUCCCAAAAGUAUUGUGUCCGAUAGGGAUAUUAAGUUUCUUAGUCACUUUUGGCGGGUCUUGUGGAAUAAGUUAGGCACGACAACUCGUCACCUACAAAUCGAUGGUCAAACUGAAGUAGUGAAUAGAACAAUAACACAACUAUUGCGCACUGUGGUUAAUAAAAAUCUAAAGAAUUGGGAAGAAUGUUUGCCUUUCAUUGAGUUUGCAUAUAAUAGAGCCACGCAUUCUACUACAUCGUUUUCACCAUUUGAAAUUGUUUAUGGUUUUAAUCCUUAAACACCUAUGGAUUUAGUACCUUUGCGUGUGAAUGAACGAGGUAGUUUGAAUGGGAAAAAGAAAGCCUAAUUGGUAAAGACACUCCGUGAAAAGGUAAGGGAGCAAAUAGAGAGGAAGAACAAUCAACGAACAACACAAGCAAACAAAGGCCGAAAAUAUGUCACUUUCGAACCGGGAGAUUGGGUUUGGGUGCAUUUCAGGAAAGAGCGAUUCCCAGAGCAAAGAAAGUCAAAGUUAUUGCCACGAGGAGAUGGAUCGUUCCAAGUAAUUGAGAAGAUCAACGACAACGCUUAUAAGAUAGAUCUUCCAGGUGAGUAUAGUAUUUCUGCAACUUUCAAUGUCUCUGACUUAUCUCUUUUCAAUGCAGGUACAGAUUUGAGGUCGAAUCCUUUCGAAGAGGGAGGGGAUGAUGCGAUCCAGGAAGCACAAGUAUCAAAGUCAAGUCCAGAGUCGAGCCCGAGGAAAGAUCCGUUGAUAGUCGAGAGGCCGAUGACAUGAUCGAGGGCCAAGCGCAUGAAAGAGGCGAUGGGAUUGCUUGUCAAAGUAACGGUUGAUGAAACAAUGUUCGGGAUACAAAAUGGAGCAAGUUUCAUGUUGGGGACGAAGGCCGAAGAGUAUUGGAUCAACGUGUUUAAAGUUGAAGAAAAUGGAGCUGGAGCAUUAAAUCAUGCGGCCGCAUAGGUCUAAAGUCCUGCAGUCGCAUACACUCAGUAGAAGUUCCAAAGUCGCGGACCAAUUACACUAUGCGACCGCAUGCUCUAAAGCUAUGCGGCUGCAUAGGCCAAGUCCGAGGCGAAUUUUUUCAAAUUUCGCAUUUUUUCCUUAUUUUAAUAGAAUUUCAUUAUUAGUAGAUUUUUAGCUAUUGUGGACGAAUUUUGCAUUAUUCUUAGAUAUUUUUCCUAGUUUACUUAGGUUCUCUAUAAUAGUAUAAAUACUUUAUUCAUUAUUGUAAAACAUUACAACUCUCAUAUUAUUGAAUAUUAUUCGUGAGGCAUUAAUUGCUUUCUCUAGUUUUUCGUUGAACAGCUUGUGAACUUAUCAAGAUUAAUCUUGUGGCGUUCAAAUUAAUCGGGUAAGAUUCAUUUAAAUUUCGUAAUCAAGAGGUCCACGUAUUGUCGGCGAUUCGAAUUGCUUGGUUCCAGUUUAUUGGGUUUAAUAAAAAAUCUUGUCUUUGGCUUUCUUGGGUUUGAUUCUCAAUUUGUUGUGAGUUUGGUAGUGAUCGUGCUAUGCGGGUUCGCAUCAGAUUUCUUCAAACAUUUUACUGAAUUUGUUCUUGAUUUUCAUUCUAAAAUUAAAGUCAUAUCUACUUUGAUAGAUGCUCAACGGAAGAAUAAUGUUGGAGCACGUGAACAUUCAGAUCCAUUAGUGGAUGAAAAUUCUUAUGUUAGAAUUUCUUUAAUUUUUUACACAUUUAUUUCAAUAUUUUAGGGUUAAAACAUAUAUUUGGGACUAACAAGUGGCAUCAGAGUUGGAACCUUAAUUUUUAUAUGGUUUCUGGCUUUAAAAUGGAAAUCUACUUUGUUCUUUUUGAAAAAUCUUUGUACUAUACCAGUUCUCGAUCUACAAUAUUUUUAUUUUUAUUUUUAUUUUUUGGAAACCAAUUUAUUUCCAAGUCUCUGUGACAAAUAUGUAUCUUCGAUUCAACAUUUGGUUAAAUUUUUUGAUGAACUCGUUUUGGUUUCUAGCGAUUCUUGAUGGCUCGUUCGUAUUCCUUGUUGGGGUGUGAUGACUUUACGCAGUUUCUGGCAAUUCUCGGUGACUCCUUAUUAUUUGUUGAGUUGAGGUGACUCAUUCAAUCUACUACUGAUUCUUGGUGUUUCAGUUGGCAUUCUGGGAUAAAUUUUAUUAGAGCAGAGUUUAAAUAUAGAAAUUAAUUUGUUUUGUGAUGAAGACACAAAUUGAACAUUAGACAAUUUAAAAGUUCAAUGACACAGGAAAGGAUGUUAGGACUACUAGGUAGAGAAGAGGGUAGUGGAUUGUGCUAGCCAUGAAUAUGAUGUAUAUUAAGAGCUUUGUGGGGGAACAUUGGCAGAGAUGGUACCAGAGGUUGGUUUGGCUUCGAAGUGUCGGAGCUUAUUUGUUUCAUAUGGAGCUUAUCGAAGGUAAUGGGAUAUCGCGAGCACUAACAACAGAUGAGAUGUCCUUAUGGGCACUACGUAGGCCUUCGAGAAUUUUUAGAGUCAGAUCUUCAUGGUGGAUGGGAUAGUCCUUGAUAGCAAGUUCGACAAUCAUGCUUUUCUAAGAUUGUAGAAACUCGAUAAUAGUUAUAGAUCCUAUAGUAAGGUUGGGAAGUCGACUUCUUCAUUGUAUAACGCAUCCUCCUGAGGGUUCGUCAUAUAUUGCAAAAAUAUUGUUCCACACAUUAUGAGAUCUUUGAAAAGAAGCGAUGCAUGGAAUAAUAGUGGAAGAACGGAUCCGAGAAUUGCACUUAAUAGUAGUUGGUUUUGUCCGAUACCUUAAGCAAAUGAUCGAUUUAGUAAAUCAUUGGCAUUUUUUAUAAUAUGUAGCUCAUAGAGUAAAGCACAUGUAUGCUAGAAAGCAGGUUGAUGCCGACGUGGAGCAAGGGGAGCACACCUAACAGAAUGGUACUAGUAUAUUUUUGGAUUUUUACAAUAUCUUGUGCGAGCUACGUUAGUAUAUACAUUGUAACUCUAUUAUUUUCACAUUGUGAAAAUUAUAGCUGCUUCACUCUCGUAGAUGUAAGCUACUGUCAAACCACAUAAAUCUCUCUCUCUCUCUCUCUUGAAUUUGUACUAUUCAUCAUUAUCAUUAUUGUCGUACAUAACACAGCACUAUUGAUAUAAGCUCGUCGUAAACCCAUGAGAUCAUACCUUAUGAGUAGGGUAUUAAAUUGUGAUUUCUAUAAGGACUAAUUUCCUACGUGCAAGAUACUCCAACAUCCAGAGCUUCGGCCUUCUUCCUCCUGCUCGAGUGAGCCCUUCUUUCGUUUAAAUGAUCAAUGGCGACACUUCUACAAUGUCAUCUAGUCAUCUUGUCCUACUCUCUCACCUUCUCAUUGAUCCCGAUCAUGACCUAACUGCCUCUACCUCUACCUCACACGCUUAGUUCUCGCCCUAUGAAAACCCAUGACGAAGAUCAUAUUCCAAAACCAAUUCCAAAACUAAAUCUCAGCCCUUGAUCUUGAUUCCAUUAUUCUACACUCUUUAGCCACAAGCCUUAAACAUCCACUUUGGUUCUAAUCCAUGUGUGAGGAUUUUGAUGGCCUAUUAGGUGAUGCAUUUAGAAGAUAGCCUCUCCGUUCCAAUUCCAAAUUAUUUUCAUUUGUAAAUGGGCUUUUUGUGUUAAACGGAAACCUAAUGUUUACAUUCAUCGUGCCCGACCAAUGGUUUUCAUCAACGCUCACGGUAGACUAAAAUGAGAAUUUUAGCCUAGUUGUCAAUCCCACCACCAUCCAUCUCAUCCUUAAUCUUACAUUGGUAAGGCAUUCGUCUCUACGUUGUUCGAUGUUAGUAAUGCAUUUCCUCGGGAUGCACUAAUGAAAACUAUUUACAUGUCUCAUCAUCAGGAAUUUGUCAAUAUAGAAACUUCCAUUAUGAUUGUCCAAUUGCCAGUGGGUUUACCAAUUCCAAAUCUAACAUGUAAGUCUAUAUUCAAUUGCAACUCCAACCAGUGUCGAAUCUUAGUUCUGGUUUAUGCUAACUACAUCAUUGUCACGAGAAACUCAAGUUUUAAUAUCUUUGUUACUCAUUUGGCACCAUUUUUUUCUAGAGAUAUCAAAAAUCCUAACUGAACCAGUCCCCAUAGGGACAUAUCCCAAAGAGAACGAGAAUUUCUGGCUUUAAUCGAGUUUGCAUCCAUUUAUAUUUUAACAAUAUUAAUAAAAAAUUGCCCACUUUUUAUUAUAAAAAUUUUAAAAAAUGAAUAAAUAAAUUUACCUAUAUUAAAAAAAAUGAAUAAAUAAAAAUUGAUUAAAAUAAAAUAGAACGGCACUGUAAAGUGGAUCCCGCUUUAUUGUCAUCCCCAGAUUUGGAUACUUUAUACUUGUUUCUUGGGGAUUAAGUUAUUUUUCUCUACAAGGCCUUUUUCUCUCACAACAUUAGUUUGUAUUUCAAUAAUCUUCUACACAACAUAAUUUGCAUAAGUACGAGUCAGUGUCUAUUUCUAUGUACAUGACAACUACCUUUAGCUUGAUUUGAUGUCACUACUCUUCAUGAUGCUUCUAAAUAUAGGCAAGUUCUUGGCAACUUGCAAUAUUCUUUACUCACUCGCCAAGACAUUGUUAUUCAGUUAACCAUCUGUACCAAUAUAUCACCGAUCCAUUUCUUACCCUUGGAUGGCUGUUAAGCUUAUGUUUCUCGACUUUUUUGGCACUCUGCACUUUGGGCUCUUUCUUCGUCGCCAUUUUCUUGGCUUGUUGCAUGCCUUCUCUAAAUCUGAUUGAGAAGAAAAUGGUAAUGAUCCCACAUCCAUCCAUGCCGAUCUAGUGAUUCUUGAAUGGAACCUAAUUGUUGGUUUUUUUUUCUUUUUUUUUUUUUAAAUCGAGUAUCAUAUGGCUUAAAUAUUUAGUACUUGAAUUCAGCGAAUCAAUUUCCACCAAUCGAGUAAUCUAAUUUCAUACUAUUAGCACCACAUACUUGAUGACCUAACACUAUUUCUCAGCUUGAAUGAAAUAAAUGAAGGCUAUUUUGAUUGGUUCAAAUUCCAUGGAAAAUGGAAUUCUAAUUUCACUUUCUUCCAAUUUUGUUUGUUUGAUAGGUUUUGAAUUCCAUGGAAUUUGGUUUCUUGAUUUUCUUGGAACUUGAAAUUUUCUUGAUUUUCCUUAAAAACCAAUUCUCACCAACAUGGUGGGAACUAGCUUUCUAGUUCCUUGUUACGUAUUUUUUUUUAUUAUAUCUAUAUCUUUUAAGGUAAUGGAAAUAAAUUCUAAGAAAUAUUGUACAAAAAUAUUUCAUUUUAAUUGGCAAUUUCCAUGUAAAACAAAGUCAAACGAACACCAAAAGAUAGAUGAUUUUCUUGAUCUUUUUAUUUUUUUGUUGGCAAUGGAAACAAACUUCAUUCCCAAAACUAGUAAAAUAUAUCAUUUUAAUUGAAAAUUUUCAUGUAAAAUAAAGCCAAAUGAACACCAAAAACACUUUUAUUUUAAUAUUUUCCACGAGGAAAAUUAUACCAAUCAAAUACAAUAAUUUACAAUUCUCAUGAAAAUAAUUUAUAGGCAAUUCAAUUAUCUAGAAUUCGUUUUCAAUUUAAUUCAAUUCCAUCUUUGCAAUCUUGUGAAAUAAUAUUAGAGUAGUUAUAGAUAGUGUUACACAAUAGUUAGAACUUGUCAUUACCGAACGUGUAUCAUAUAUUUCUGUUACAGAAUGUAUACAUAUAUGGAAAAUUCUAUUUGUAUAUAAUUAUUGUACAUAAUAGUGUCCAUAAUGUGAUGUGGCAAUCAUCCGCAUGUUGAUAUGUAAGUGUGAGAUUUGAAUUAAAGGUUGAAUCCAGUGCCAUAUGUAAUUAUGGACACUAUUAUGUAGACAAUUAUGUACAUGUAGCACUUCCCUACAUAUAUAUAGCACAUACAAGGAGAUAUUCUAGUCUAUGCACUAAUUUUAUUCUAUGAUUGAGAUUGACCCACAAUAUAUGUGGAGUUAGAUGACGAACUAUAGUUCCUUAUAAUUAUUAAAUAAUGCUGUUUAGCAUUUGUGGAAUUAGAGUACCAAAUCAAAGUUGACAUACUUGAUAGGUUCAAUUAAAUUAAUCAUUUGACAUUGCAUUUAAGUGAAUUUAUCGUUUAAUGUCAUGAAAUUGCAUCUAAUAUGAUGCUUAACACUUAUGGUGCUAAAGUGUAUUACACAUAAUUAUUACAUGAGUAAUGCAAUUCAGCACUAUUAAGCACCAUUUAGGUGGCAUGCAAAGACCAUCUUAAAAGGAUGGAAAUGAGCCACAUUUAAUUUCUUCUAUCACAUGCAUGCCAUCUAAGUUAGUGCUAUGUAACAUUAUUCUUAUUACAUUUUAUUUUUGACUGACAACUUGUACCCAUGGUCAUCUCUUAACUUAUUGAUAUACUAAAAUCAAUGUGAGCUAGAGUUUAUGAAUUUGAGUUGGAGUCUAUCAAGUUUUUAUAGAACCUGAAUAAUCUUCAAAUGAAUCAUAAUAACUCAGGUUGUUUCUUACCGCUCUAAGCGUUGAUCUAAGCACAAUCUUAUGUCAAUCGAUUAAUCAAUUUUUUACAUGUAUCAAUUCAUCCUUUGUAGUUAGAGAUACCUUAGUUAGCUAUGAUGCCCGGUCAUUGCAUAAACUAAAACAAAGCAUUAAAAGCCUAACAUAUUAAGAAGGAAAUGAAUUUUAUAAAAAAAUGAAAAAAAAAAAUCCAACUAUUCGAUUUUCCCACUAUAAUAUUACUUAGUCCUUGUGGGGGUGGUCCAUCGUUUUUGUGGUGAAAAUAAGGUCCAACAUUUUAACUUUCCGUCGAAGUUAAAUUUUAGACCAACUCAAUAGAAAUUUAGGAGUGAUUGUUGGAAUUGCCAGAAUUUCAGAAAAUUAAAGAAUAAUUUCACUAAUUAAAGUUUGAAAUGUUUUGGAGUGAAUAUAGUUAGUUCAGGAGAGAAUUUGUUCCUAUUCUAGACCAAAAGAUCAAGCCACUUGCCCGCUCAACGUCAUUUUAGUCAGAGUACUGACCUAAAGUUUGUGCCAUCGUGUCCAAGAUGUUGUACUCCUGAUUGGUUGUUGAGAUCGGCCAUACAGGUCAUCAUGGCUCCUAGGUUGCAGCUGUGGCUUAGGCAAUGAUUACUUGAUUUUAGUGAUCAUUGCUAGCUUAUGAUUAAUUGAAAAUAAGGUGCUAACGUCGCAGAUGCCACAUGUCUUUCUAGGAGAGGUGGAUCGAUAGGUGAAGACCGAUUGUCAAUAAUUGUGAAUCACAAUGUUUCUUCAAAUUACGAUAGCCAUUUCUCGAAAUGUGCUCAUACUUCGAGAAUCUAACAUAUCAGCAGUAUAGAAAUCGUAUUUUAACCUAUUUUUUACUUUACGUGCAAAAUAUUUUAUUGUGUGGAUGUAUGAUCAAAAAUGUGUAUGAAAAAUAAAGAGAUUUAACACAAAGAGAGUCGAAUAGGGGCUAAGAUCUCAAUCUCGCUUGCACGCAAUAUAUGUAUAAGCUAAAAUAUAGUCAUAAAAAACGUUAUUAUACCUAUAUGUACUUGUUCUAAGUUAUUUGUAUGAAUGUUAGAAUUGAAAUAAGAAAAAUGUCCGUCUCAUUACAAUAAUUUGUUCUAUUAAAUACUCUUACCGUUUCAUAAAGAUAAACUUUUUUUUCAUUCUCGCACAUGCUAAGAAAAUAUAAUUUUCGCUUAUUUUUUUCCGGAACAACCAAUGUUUGAAAAAUGGAACUUGUCCAAUCAGUUCAACUGGGAAUCAGGAUCGAAAUCGGUCCAAUUAGGCUUAUAAAACCCCCAAUUAAAAACCCGUCCCAAAGUCAAGUAAAUCGUUUAAUUUUUAGAAAAAUCGUGGCCCUUUGUCUAUUUAACCGAUUCAAUCUAUGUAAAUAUAUAUUUUUUGAAAUUUUUAAAUGUAUGUGUGCAUACAAGUUUCGUAAAAUGUAUAUUUUUAAGUCUAAAAAAUCACGGUUAGAUCUCGGAUCAACUUUUUGACCUCGGUUAGAUCUCGGUUCCACUUAAAAAUCCUUUUCUUGUCCGAGUCGAUGAUCGGGUCAUUUUUUAAAAACAAUGGAUACAACCCCAUGUUAAUAAUCAUUUAAAUAGGAAUAGUUCAUAUUCAUUAAUAACAAAUUAUAUAAAAUCAUGGUAUAUAAAAAAAAAUUAAAAAUCAACUAUACUCUGAACAAAGAAAAUAACCUAUAAUUUGGAACAUACGAAAAAGGAAAGCUAAGAUACUUUUCAAGAAAUAGAGAGAUCAAACUUGCCCUUAUUUAAAGCAAAUUCUCAAUAAAUUUUACUUUUUAAUCACACAUUCUCUACAAAAUUAUUAUUACAAAACAAUAUUUUUUACAAAUAUGGAAUCAAACAGAUCCUAACAUCAACAGUUCUAUAUGUACAGGCUCAGUAAUAUAAAUACUUUUGCAAACAACACGGGGCGACAUUUGAUUGGAAGUUGCCAAAAAAAAAAAGAUCAUAUAGUGUAGCACCUAUAAAAGAUGUGCAUUAUUCUCUCGAUUGUGUUACAUGUACAUAAUUGAUUUACAUAAUGAUUUCCAUAGACAUAACGUAAUGAGAUAUGAUUAUGUCAGAAUUUAAUUAUUUUUUAAUUACAUAUUCUCUUAAUAAAAUAAUUUUAUAAGUAAAUAUAAAAUAUUUUCUUACCUUUUAAUCACAUUUUUCAAAAAAAUCACUAUCACAAAAUAUCUUUUUUUUUUUUUUUCAAAAAAUGGGGCUCAAAUAUAGUUCACCAUCAUCUUUUAUGUUAGUUGCAUAUUAACAUAACUUACAUUCAUAUUUUGUAACAUGAUUAAAUUGUAAAAGCUUUUCCAAAGGGCAAGCUAAAAUUCAGAGAAAAAAAAUGCGCACACAAAAAGGGAAAAAAAAAUACCAAUAAAGCGUAUCUUCGGUACUCCAAGAUCUCAAUUUUGAUCGAGACUUGAACAAUUCAGAAAAUUUCAAUACAUUCUUUAAUUUUGUAGAACACUAUUCAGUAUUUGGUGUUGUUAAAAAUUAUAUUUUUAAUAGAUUUUGAUAAAAAAUUAAUGAAAUAUAUAAUUGAAUUUAUCAUUAAUUGUUGAAUUUAAUUUAAAUUUUUUUUUAUCAACUUUUAAAGGUGAAUACUGAAAAGAAAUUAUAAAUAACAGUGCACAAAAUUUUGUCCUUUAAAUGGCCCCCUUAACAUAUAUUUUCACCAUUUGCAUGAUCAGUCAGUCAGAAGUUCAAUUAUUCUUCACUUGUUCGAGUCUCUGAGUUCUGACCACUUCACAAUGAGAAAACGAUACAAAAGACAGAACCCAUUACCUCAAUUAUUAUUUCACUUGUUAUUUGCAAAUCGGCAACGGAAGAAAGGCCAGAGACUGAACUAAUAUCAAUACCUGCCACCCCACGUGCGUCGACGCCGGAGAUACAGACGCCGUCCUGUCAAAGGUCGCCGAGGAAGGAAUCCAGCACAGCCAAGUCAUGGACUCCAACUUCGUUCAUUUCGCCGAGGUUUUUGAGCCCCAUUGGGACACCCAUGAAGAGGUUUUUGACUAAUAUGAAGGGGUAUUUGGAGGAGGUGGGGCAUUUGACGAAGCUGAAUCCUCAAGAUGCUUGGCUUCCCAUUACAGAAUCACGAAAUGGGAAUGCCAAUUAUGCAGCUUUUCAUAAUCUGAAUGCUGGUGUGGGAUUCCAGGGAGAACGUUGGUGGGAAAUGCAGCUUUUAUUUUAUUUUUUUUUUUUUUUUAAAUAUCAAAUUGGUAUGAACGUUGGUGGAAAUAUCAGCUAGACGUGAAGAAGAGAAUAACUUACACCAUUCGGACACAGGGAGAAACACGUGUCAAAAAAAAAAAAAAAAUAAAUUUUAUGUGACAUACCCAUACUUCUUAUAUUCAUAUGUCGAGUAAAGUAUACAUCUUUCCAUCUUAUAGUCCCUUUCAAACACAUUGCAUGAAGGAAAUUGAGUAAAUUUACUAUGAUACGUAAUUUCAAAGAAUUUUUAGCUUUCAAUAAUCCCUACUUUACUUGGUCCUCAUCCAAAUACAAAAGGUGUCAAACUUGGGUUUUUCCAAGUUCCCCUCAUCAUUAUCUUACGGCCAACUUUUCAUCACCAUUGGAAUAUUAUUUUCAUGUGUUAGGAGAACACAAAUUUAAAUAAACGCACUCCGUAACUGAAUUAGCCUUGCAUUGUACAUAAUGACAGAAUUAUGAUAUAUUUAACAUCGCGCACCCAGACACACACAUGAACUGCCGGUAAGUAUUAUAAAGCAUGCAAUAGUACGAUCAUUUAGCUUAGACAAAAGAAAAUUGUAUUAUAAUUAAGGAGGGUAUCAUGACGAAAUUAAGUUCGAUUUGAUACAAUUUCUUUAAAACUUAAUUUUAACCAUAUUCUCUCAAUAAAAUAAUUUUGUAUAUAAACUCAUAAAUUUUAAUCUACUUUUUAAUUAUACAUUCUUCAAAAAUAUUAUUUUUGAAAAAGUUAUUCUCAAAAAAUCUAAACUUGAAGAAUGUUUAAUUUAAAAUAAAGAAGUAAUUGUACUUGAUCCCCAACCUAUUCUUUGUGAAGCAAGUUGGUACUCAUUCUUUGAGAACGAGACUUUGUCCUCGUCCUUCCAUUCAAUUGCACAUAAUAAUAAAAUUUAUAUAUAUAUAUAUAUAUAUAUGUUAAACUAGCCUAUCAAGAAUAAUUUGGCUCCUUCCAAUCCGGAGGGAGAAAAUAAUAAUUAUGUGUUUCUCGUAAAAGGAGUGCUACUUGGACAGGGAAUUGUCCAAGAAGAAAAAUUCUUCUCAUAUACGAAGUUACUGGAAAUGGACCACUGGGAAAAUGACAAGUGUCAUCCAGCUGGCUCAGAUUGCGAAAACCAUCGUUUAUAUUCAAAAUGGCAUAAUAAUAAUUGAAAAUGGGUCCAUGAUUAUGAGCAUACCACGUAUGUGUUAGUUGCCAUACUGUUUAUAUACAGAAAUUUUAAUUUAAAUCAAAGUUAACAAUUCAUUUCAAUCACAUAUUUCAUGAAAUUCACAAUUUUUCAAUCACAUAUUUCAUCAGUUUCUAUCAAAAUCAACUAAAAGUAGAUUUUAAUUUCGAUACGUGGGGCCCAUAACACUAUCCAAUCUGGAGACAUGGAAAUCUUAUGAUAUCGGACGUGCUGAGCUGUAUAGCACCGCCGGAUUCUUGUGGGGCAUUCCUUACUUAUUCCACGCACCAAUACAUUUUUGACCAAUAACAAAUUGGAAAACCACACGGACAACCACCUAAGCUUAAAAAUAUGAAAUUUCACUUUUUUAUUUUUAAGUAAAUAAAUUUAAUAUUUUCAAAAGUAAAUUUUUUACUUUGUAAUUCAUACAAGUAAACUUUUUUUUUUUAAUUACUUUGUUAUUCACACAAGUAAAUUAUUAUUUUCAUUUCAUAAAUAUUUCAGAACUUAUUUAUUAUAACAUAAGUUUUUUAAGGGUAAAUUAGGGCUGAGCUUCCCAUCCUUUUAUGUGGUGAGAUUACGUAUCUUCAACCUUUAAAAUUGAGAUUUUGGGUUUUCAACUUAUUUGAAUUUGUGAAUUUUUUAGCCUAACUUGAUGAAAAUUGUUUUUUAGAUGAUUUGAAUUGAAUUGAAUAUAAAUAUUAAGUUGUUUGAUGAUUUUUUCCUCCAUUCGUGAGUCAUAUAAAUUUCACAUGUAAUUUUAAACAUUACGUUGAUGGUUUCGAUCAAUUGAAGAUCCAAAUAAAUAAAUUUAAAUGGAUUGAGGAUUCAUAGCCUCAGUUUUGAGGGUUGGAGGAUUUAUAACCUCAUUCAGUAAAUGGUUGGCAAUUCUAAUCCUAACUUAACCCUUUCUAAGCCUAGCCAAAGUAAUGUCUACUAGAUUCAUAAGCCACAUGUUCGAGUGUCAAAAAUAAUUAAGAAGUUUAUUUGUGUACAUCAUGGUUGCCUCGCUGUGCGAUGACCUACGGUCGACUGAUUUGGUGUAACACAUCAAGUUAUUAUAAAAAAGAUGUACUUUUUUGUAAGUUAUGAGCAAUUUAUAUUUACUUGAUUGAUGAGCAAGUCUCGAAAUACUAUUAUGUCAACAUUAUCAAAAGAGAAAAGAAAAAUAAAAGAUUAAAUUUGUUGGGUUAAUUGGUCGAACCGAAUUUAUUUACUGUAGCCAAUGCUUCAGGAAGAUAAACGAUGGAUUUGAAUUUAUAUUGUAACAAUAAUCAAGAUAGACAAAUAAUAUUUUUAUUCUCAAUUUAUAGUUAGUGCAUACAAAAAUGUGAUAAUCAUAUCAUUGAUUUAAUUGUAAGUGCAAGUUAAUAUGUUCAAAUAUUGAAUAUUGGUAUAAAAACAAGAGAAACCUGUUAGAUUGAAACAUCAUCAAAUUUUUAUUCCGUCCAUUUUCUCAUUACCAAAUGACCCACGUGCACAAAAUUGAGUCAAAGUUUUAACAUAGUGGAAGGUACUGGUUUUUUCUUGACAAUGAAUCAAGAAUUCAGUGACAUUUCUCUGAUUACAUGCCCUCAUUAUGAGCAAGACAAAGAUUGAGUAAUAAAUCGAUUAACAAGAAAACUCUCGAAAAGUUCAAUUGCUUAUAUUAGAUCAACGACUAAAUUUUCAGUGGGACAGGCAUACUAUCCACGUUGUGCACCUCAGCAUUGGAUGGUGUGCCCGCCCAAUGCUGAGACACUACCUUGAUGGGUGGCCCACACACUUGGGGGUGUGUGGUGGGCCACCCGCCGAGGUGACGCACAGGACCGCCCCGUUGAAGUUUCACUCUAGAUGAAACACUAGUACAAUCAAGAAACUUUGUAAAUCUUCUUGGCAAUAAAGAAUCAUGUAAACAUAUAUAUGUGUGUAAACUUAUGUGAUGUGGAUCCUGUUAUGCAAGAAAAUUAUGUAUUUGUUUUUCAGGGAAAAUGGAAAUUAAUUUUUUUUUUGGAAUGUUAUACCUUAUAUAGAAACUGUUUUCAUCUAGUCUAAAUUAUACGUAAAAUGCUAUGAUAAAUUAAAAAUGAUAGGAACACUAUGUCAGUAGAAGCAAUGAUUUUGAAAACAAAAAGGAGAUAUGAGAUAGACAAAUGAAUAAUUCGCAUGAUUCAAUUUCUUAAUCGAGUUAUUCACGUCUUUCUCAACAUACCAAUUUUCUUUAUUGAACAUAUUACUAAAUUUUGUAAGGUAACAAAUGUAGAUGAAAUAAAUGAAUGGUCAAGUUAGCGAUGUAAAUCCAAUACGGGUUGGGCAGGUGUGGGCAAAUUCAUGAGCUAUUUUUUUCAAUUCUUUUCAUAAAAAGAAAUGUGUUCGGGGUCUUGUGGAAAAAUGAGAACUGUGUAAGGAUAAAGUCACUCUUAGAGAAAUUGAACACUUCCCACAUAACGCCUACAACGUAGUAACAUGAAGGGUCUUCAUUAAAGGUUUUACAAACUUAAAACUAUUAGGAAUAGAUGUCAAUAGCUUAUGAAAUUACAAUAAGCUUCCCUAAGAAAAAGGUAAUCUCUAUAAUAAGUGAUAAAUUUUAAAUUAUACAGAAAUUUUGUCUUUUAACUUUUUCUGUAUCCACCUUUCUGAUUCUAUAUAAACGAGCAGACCUCCAUUUCUCAGCGACUCAAUUAUCAACACAGUAUACAAAGGCAGAGAGAGAGAGAGAGAGAGAGAGAGAGAGAGAGAGANNNNNNNNNNNNNNNNNNNNNNNUGUUGCGUGUUGUCACACCUGUCCUACCCACCUGGGCCAGUGGCCCACUCAUCCUGAUCCACGUGGCAUUCCUGCCGAGGUGGCCCAUAUUGCCGAGAUGGGUUAUAUCCGAACUGCUUCUAACCGAGGCCCAUGGCCCGAGGUGUGGAAGCCUUUGGUUGUAGCUGAGGUCCUCAAAUGGACGAAACCCCGAAGUUGAUGCGCGAGCCUCAACCACAAGGAAACAUCCUCCAUGGUCAUUUCUCCCAAGAGAUCGCCUGCACGGAUCUUAUUCGAAUGAUUGAUGGAAUGUCUGUCAUAAGCAUAAAGGUCAAGUCUUGUCACUAGCAUGGAGGCCCUGCACAAGCAAUAAAUGCGCCUUAAGCUAGCAAGUCAAAUCCCAUGCCUAAGAAUAGACGUUUAAACCAAGGAGAUGAGGCCACGUGCCAUUUCAUCCAAGGGCUCCCAUUCCAUAUGUAUCACUAUAAAUACCCCCAUUGUAUAAUGUAAAAGGCUAAUGCAAGAAUCAAUACAAAAAACUACAUUUUACUCAACUCUCUCCAUUUACUUGCACACAUUUUAUACACUUUUACACAUAUAUUCAAGAGCACCGGUUGGUAAUUAUUGUACAAUCGGAUUACGAACAACCCGCCGGAUCCCGAACGUUACCGUCCCGCGUCGUUGGGCUACUCCCACGCCCCUUUGAACCGCUCGUUUAGACCGUCCACGUGUCUUAGCGUGUUGGACAUUCGCCCACGCAAGCGCGGGUGGGACCGGCAUCUGUUGGCGCACUUUUUGGGGUCAACAGAUUGGCGCCGUCUGUGGGAAUCCAUACCAUAACCACGAGCAACCUUGUGGUAAAAGCUUGCUGGAAAAACAUUUGGGCAACCCCCCUUGAAAAAGGAUUUGUUCUUGAAAGAGAACAGGAAGAACCCCUACCACUGGGAGGAAACUAAGAUUGGCAUAAAAGAAAAAUGAGUUCUAACGAAGAUACUCCCCCAAGGAGGGUAAGAGAAAAUACGAAUGUGCCUCCCCAGCCUGCUGUCCCAGCAGCUCGGCAGAGGCUCCACCACCACCAGAGGAGAGGUGGGAUGCGUGCGACGGCACGACUGUCAAGAGAAAUGGCUACUAUGACAGCCAACAUGAGGGAUAUAGCCAACCAAAACAUGCAAGGCCAAGGAGGUUUCCCCAUUCCUCCAUAUGCCCCCCAUGGGCACUAUCAGCAAGAGGACGAGGUCCAAAGUCAUAGGGCUGCCUCGCCAGACUAUGACCGAGGUGAAAGUCCAUUCGAGAGGGAAGUGGAAGUUGACAUUUCCUCCAAUUAUGCAUCUGGCCGACCCUCUGAGGUCCAAAUGAGCCAUGAUAACUUUCCACCUCCGUAUGAGCAAGACCCAAGACAAAGGAGAGCAGGAAGUGUUUUUGACAGAAUCAGCCCUGCCGAACCAAGGCCCAGUCAACAGCGAGCUCAGCAGCCUCGGACGAGGCCACAGCCCCCACCUCCGAUGCCCCAACAGCCGGAGAAAAGGCAUGAAAAUGCCCCCCACGCUGUCCCGCCUAGAAGUAGGCCGCCAAGGAGGGAGGAAGAGGCUAGGAACCGACCAGGACCUUCUCACCAACAACCUAGGUACGAGGCCGAAGAUUACGAUUCUGAUGAGCAGCAGAGGUCCUGUGACUUGGACGAUGACGAUGAGAACCUGCCAUUCUCAAGGGAACUAAGAGAUGCCUAGGUCCCGAGCCAUUAUGUUAUGCCGAAAAUACCAAAGUAUGACGGGAGAGGUGACCCAGAAAAGCACCUCAAUGCUUACAAAACUCACAUGAGCCUGAGGAGCGCCACCCCAGCUGUAAAGUGCAGAGCAUUCCAUUUAACCCUCAGUGGAGCGGCUGAAAUCUGGUAUAGUAGACUACCAUCUGGGAGCAUCCGAAGCUGGCCCGAGUUCAAAACUACUUUCUUGAAGAGGUUCGCAAUGAGCAAGGAAGGAGAGGCCCCCAUCCAGCGUCUUCAAGACAUGAGACAGGCGCAUGGCGACUCCUUGAAAAGCUUCCUAUCCCGCUUCACCGACGAGAUGACCUACUGUGUGCAAGUCACCGACAGGGAAGCACUAUCUGCAUUAAGAGGAGGAUUGAACAUGAACACCAUAUUCUGAAGGGAUGUGCAGAAUAAGGACCCAACCACCUAUGACGCCCUACUAGAAAUGAUGAGAAGAGAGAUAAUCAAUGAAGAAUUGAUUGAGCAUAGAAACAGGGCAAGCAGGGGCCUCCCACCUCCACAGAGACAGCGAGGUAGGGGCCCGACCUCCCACCUCAUGGACUACCAGAUGAACCGAUCUGGAAAUGAGAACUCCGGCCAAGCCCUGGCCACCACAACUCUGAACGCGGUACCAACCUUGGCGUAUGAGGAUGUCAACCCAACCGCUGACCCAUAUCAGCUACAGGCGCAUCAGGGACCCCGUAGAGGGAGAGGCCGAGGUCGAGGUCUAGGUUUUGCACCUAGAAAUAGGUCUAAUCCGAACCUCCCUGGAUACUGUUUGCACCAUAGGUCCUACGGACAUGACACCGCGGAUUGCAGAGACUAUGCACACCGCUCGCGGCAGGAACCCGCCAGGGAAAGACAUAACUCGCCCCAAGCCAACAGGCCCCCGCCCAGGCAAGACAACCGACAUGGGCGUGAGGCGGCCGCUCCUCGCCAAAGGGAUGUUUCCCCAAGGCGAAGAGAGCAAGACACGGAGAGGCCCAGGGAAGGGCGUAGACACCGAAGGAACAGGCAAGCUCAAGAUGAGGCCCCUAUCCACGAGAUAGAUACCAUAUUUGGAGGCCCUUACGUUGGCGGUGAAACGCGAAACGCCAAAAGAAACUAUGCUAGGGAGGCUAAGCACCCCCUCUGACAAGUUACAUUGUAGAUAAUAGCUCCCGAAGAAAUCAAGCACCACCCAUUGUCUUCACCCAGGAAGACGCCGAAGGAGUUCAUUACCCCCACUGCAAUGCGCUGGUAGUGAGGGCGGUCAUAGCCCGAAAUGGGCUCAAACGAAUGCUGGUCGACAACGGCAGCUCCGUCAACAUCUUAUUCGGGUCCGCCUUUGAUAAAAUGAUAUUGGACCAUCAGUUGACACCCACCACCACUCCAUUGUACGGAUUUACCGGAGAUAGCAUUACUCCGAGAGGAAAGAUAACACUGGCGGUGGAGAUGGGAGAAUCUCCUCAAACUACGAUGAACUUUAUGGAGUUCCUCGUAGUCGACAGCCGGUCGGCUUACCACGGAGUCUUGGGCAGACCGGUCCUAAAGGAAUUGGGAGCAGUCACCUCCAUCCACCACCUAUGCAUGAAAUUCCCAACAGAAAAUGGGGUGGCAAUGGUGAGAGGCGACCAGAGAGGUUCGCGAGAGUGCUAUCAGAGCUCCAUUAAGAAGGUGGAGCCCCGAGACAUCCAUGUGAUCGUGGCUGAUGUGGUUAUGACGGAUGUCCCAGGUGACGCUCCCAUUGACCAGGAAGAUGUUGAUAUGAUUGACGCACUCCUCGUUCAGGAGGCGCUGAUCGAUGAGAUCGACCCCCGCAUAAUGGAACAUGAGCCCCAAGCAUCCCCUGUAGAGGAACUUGAGAGCUUCUCAGCCGGCCCUCAAGAUCCGUCCAAGGUGCUGAAAGUAGGCAGGGGGUUAUCCGACAUUUUGAGAGAAAAGAUUAAGGAUUUUCUAGGUAAGAACCUGGACGUCUUCGCCUGGAGACAUGAGGACAUGGUUGGCAUAGACCCCAAGGUCAGCUGUCACCACUUGAAAAUCAACCCUAAUUUUACCCCGCAUAGACAAAAAAGGAGAGCCCUCAACCCAGAGAGGUAUGAGGCCCUGAAGGAAGAGGUUCAGAAGCUAAUCCAAAAUGGCUUCAUCAGGGAGGCCACCUACCCGAAGUGGGUGUCCAACCCGGUCUUGGUUAAGAAACCCAAUGGCAAAUGGCGAGUGUGCAUCGACUUCAUCAACCUUAAUAGAGCUUGCCCGAAAGACAGCUUUCCGCUUCUAAGGAUUGACCAAUUGGUGGACUCCACGGCUGGGCAUGAGUUAUUGAGCUUCAUGGAUGCAUACUCCGGAUACAACCAGAUCCCCAUGCACCCGGCUGAUGAGGAGCACUCCUCUUUCAUCACGGAUCGAGGCCUCUAUUGCUAUAGAAUGAUGCCUUUCGGGUUGAAGAACGCCGGAGCAACUUACCAAAGACUCGUGAACAAAAUGUUCACCGACCUCAUCGGCAAGACAAUGGAGGCCUACGUGGAUGAUAUGCUAGUGAAAAGCUUAGAGGCAGAAAGCCACGUAUCGCACCUCAACAACACCUUCCAAAUCCUGAGAAGGUAUAGGAUGAGGCUCAACCCCUUGAAAUGUGCCUUCGGGGUGGCUUCCGGCAAGUUCUUCGGGUACAUGGUCAACCAGCGAGGAAUUGAAGCAAAUCCCGAGAAGAUUGAGGCUCUGUGCCAGAUGAGGUCCCCCCAAAAGCCAAAGGAGGUGCAAAGCUUAACUGGGCGAGUGGCAGCACUUAGUCGCUUCGUCUCCAAAGCAACUGACAAGUGCCUCCCAUUUUUCAAAGUGCUCAAGGCUGGGAAGAAAUUCCAAUGGACUGAGGAAUGCGAAGAAGCCUUCCAAGGAUUAAAAAGGCACUUGGGGCAGGCCCCCCUCCUCUCCAAGCCGAAGCCCGGCGAUAUCUUGCAACUAUAUCUCGCGGUCUCUAAUGACGCCAUCAGUUCGGUUUUGAUUCGGGAAGAAGGGUCCACCCAACUUCCCAUCUACUACACGAGUAAAGCGCUCCUAUCGCCGGAGACCCGAUACCCCGAUAUGGAGAAGCUUGCUUUGGCCUUAAUCACGGCCUCUAGGAAAUUGAGACCUUACUUCCAAGCUCAUACCAUCCAUGUACUUACAAAUUUUCCCCUGAGGCAAGUACUCCAGAAGCCCGAUGCCUCGGGAAGAUUGUUGAAAUGGGCAGUGGAACUAAGNNNNNNNNNNNNNNNNNNNNNNNNNNNNNNNNNNNNNNNNNNNNNNNNNNNNNNNNNNNNNNNNNNNNNNNNNNNNNNNNNNNNNNNNNNNNNNNNNNNNNNNNNNNNNNNNNNNNNNNNNNNNNNNNNNNNNNNNNNNNNNNNNNNNNNNNNNNNNNNNNNNNNNNNNNNNNNNNNNNNNNNNNNNNNNNNNNNNNNNNNNNNNNNNNNNNNNNNNNNNNNNNNNNNNNNNNNNNNNNNNNNNNNNNNNNNNNNNNNNNNNNNNNNNNNNNNNNNNNNNNNNNNNNNNNNNGCCUCAUCCCAUCCUUUGAAAAGUUCGAGUUAAUCCAGAUUCCCCGCAUCGAAAAUGCUCAUGUGGACGCACUCUCGAAGCUGGCUAGUAGCAAGGACUCAGAACUACUCACUGUAGUACCUAUCGAGCACCUCCUACGGCCUUCAACCGGGGCCCCUAAUGUCAUGUGGGUCGGUGGAAUUCCCACCUGGAUGCAACCAAUUAUAGCAUACCUGAAAGACCAGGUGCUACCCACCGACAAAAAUGAGGCUUACAAGCUAAGAAGGAGGUCAGCCCAUUUCCUCUUCAUCGACGACAUUCUCUACAAGAGAAGUUUCUCCUCUCUACUCUUACGAUGUGUCGGAGGGGAGGAGGCUACAUACAUACUAAGAGAAGUCCACGAGGGAGUGUGCGGCAACCACUCUGGAGGCCUAUCUCUAUCACAAAAAAUACUGAGACAAGGAUACUACUGGCCUACCCUGAAACGGGAUGCCCUCGAAUUUGUGCGAAAAUGUGAUAAGUGCNNNNNNNNNNNNNNNNNNNNNNNNNNNNNNNNNNNNNNNNNNNNNNNNNNNNNNNNNNNNNNNNNNNNNNNNNNNNNNNNNNNNNNNNNNNNNNNNNNNNNNNNNNNNNNNNNNNNNNNNNNNNNNNNNNNNNNNNNNNNNNNNNNNNNNNNNNNNNNNNNNNNNNNNNNNNNNNNNNNNNNNNNNNNNNNNNNNNNNNNNNNNNNNNNNNNNNNNNNNNNNNNNNNNNNNNNNNNNNNNNNNNNNNNNNNNNNNNNNNNNNNNNNNNNNNNNNNNNNNNNNNNNNNNNNNNNNNNNNNNNNNNNNNNNNNNNNNNNNNNNNNNNNNNNNNNNNNNNNNNNNNNNNNNNNNNNNNNNNNNNNNNNNNNNNNNNNNNNNNNNNNNNNNNNNNNNNNNNNNNNNNNNNNNNNNNNNNNNNNNNUUGAAGCCGUAAACAAGACAAUCAAGCACGUCCUGAAAAGAAGGCUUGAUGUGUCCAAAGGAGCUUAGGUUGAUGAGCUGCCCCAAGUACUUUGGGCAAUCCGAACCACCACCAGGACCCCAACCGGGGAGAUCCCUUUCCUCAUGGCUUUUGGGACUGAGGCGAUGAGCCCCGUGGAGGUCGGACUCCCAUCUCCACGACGUCUGCACUUUAGUGAAGUGACCAACGACGAGCUCCGGAGGCUAGACCUCGAUUUCAUUGAGGAGAGGAGGGAUGACUCCCAGCUGAGGUUAGGCACCUACCAAAGGAAGAUGACAAGGUACUUCAACUCCAAAGUGAAGAAGAGGUCUUUCCGAAUCAACGAUCUUGUGCUCAGGAGGGUCUUUCCAUCUUCAAAAGAACCCGGUUCCGGCUCCCUGGGACCGAACUGGGAAGGUCCAUACAAGAUCAGAGAAGAAAUCCGACCUGGAACCUAUUGGAUUGAAGACAUGGACGGCAAGGCACAACCCCGUCCAUGGAACAUUGAACACCUCAGAAUCUUUUAUCAGUGAAUUGUAUCAUGCUGGAUGACUUUCCCAGCCUUUGUAAUAUUUCUAUGGCUCAAUAAAAUGCGUUGAUUAAAUCGCCAUACUACUUCAAUAACCUCGGAGGAGAGGCUCGGGACCCACCACUGGGCCACAUCGCUUGGACUCCGAGGCUCUAGCACAUGCCUCCCUUUUGGCCUUGCUGAACGCCAAGGGGAGAAGCCUCAACAUGGCUGCACCAUCCACCAUGUCUGGGAUGCGUCGUAACCUCGAAGGAGAGGCUCGGGACCCACCACUGGGCCACCUCGCUUGGACUCCGAGGCUCUAGCACAUGCCUCCCUUUUGGCCUUGCUGAACGCCAAGGGGAGAAGCCUCAACAUGGCUGCACCAUCCACCAUGUAUGGGAUGCGUCGUAACCUCGGAGGAGAGGCUCGAGACCCACCACCGAGGCACCUCGCUUGCACUUCGAGGCUCUAGCACAUGCCUCCCUUUUUGGCCUUGCCGAACGCCAAGGGGAGAAGCCACAACCUUAAACCCGAGGCCCCAACAGUUCAUCUUAAGUUAUGUUCAUUUUCUUAAGUCCGAGGCUCCAACAGUUCAUCUUCUUAAGUUAUGUUCAUUUUCUUAAGUCCGAGGCUCCAACAGUUCAUCUUAAGUUAUGUUCAUUUUCUUAAGUCCGAGGCUCCAACAGUUCAUCUCCUUAAGUUAUGUUCAUUUGCUUAAGUCCGAGGCCCAUACAGUUGACUGAAGUCAAAGUUAUUUAGUUCGUGCGCUUAUCAACUUCCAGUUCGUUUGUUUAAACGAGGCACAAAAACUUGGAUAAAGAACAAUCAUGAAUGAAGAAAAACAUUAUAUUAAUAUUUAAAAAGGAUCACAACGGAGGGCCUCUGGCCAUUACACAAAGUACUGAAAAGGAAAACCUAAUCUAAACCUGGCUGGAUGAAGGAGGUGCCUCAGCACUUGGGGGUUCGGCAACCUGAGCAUCAGUAGUUGCUUCCCCUGCCUCAGCAUUUGGGGCUUCGGCAUCAGCUGCCUCGUCACCCUGCACCUCCUCAGCUGGGGUCUGAGGAACCUCAUCCACAAAUUCGGACCUAAGUUGUGCCAGGUCCAAGUUUGGAUAAAGCUCCUCUGCCCUCUCCAGCACUUCGGCAUAGGCGAAGUUCCUCCAAUACGCGCUGAAACUUUUAUACUCCUCUGUAGUAUGGAAAUUGGCGAUGUAUGCCCUCACCGCCUCUUCCGCUGCAUCCCGAGCCUCUUCUCUGGCAAUCGAGGCGUCGUUCAUGUACCACUUCGCCUGGCCUUCGAGAAACUGAUUGGCAUCAUGAGCGCCGGCCAAGGCGAGAUUCGCCUGCUCCAGAGCCUCGGCAGUCACCUUUUGGUGCUCAUUGGAGACCUCCACCUUCUUCGUCAGGGAGGCCACCUCGCACUGAGACUCAUAUACUUCCCUCUUUAGGGCCUCAAUUUGGGUCAGGGCAGACUCGAGCUUCGCCGCUUCUUCAACCCUCUGUGCUUUGGCUUCUUCGGCCUCGGCCUUAGCAGCUUUGACCUCCUCAACGAGCGAAGCAGCUUUCCCCUCCGAGGCGUGAGUCCUUGUUUGGAAUUCACUUAAUGCCUCCCUGCAUUCUAGUGCGAGGCCAAAGGUCCGGGCGCUUUGGCUCACCAGUGCCCUCGUGAGGUCGGUGGCAUCACAAGACGAGGCAUGAAGCUGCCACCUCUCCGUCCAGAACUUGUAAAAGCUCUCAGUGGCACCUCUGAUCUCCUCAGGGAGAGCCUCCACCAAGGCUGGGGCCAGCUCAUCCUCCCUCCCAGCUAGGAAGUUUGGAGACUUUCCCUUCUCCCGAACUGGUUUCUCCUUCGCCGCCUCCUCUUCGGCUGCUUCAGCAGCUAGCCUGGCAGCCUCUUCCCUGGCCUCUUCAGCCUCCACCUCUCUUACCAUCUCCAUUUUGAUGGCUUUAGAGGCUGCAGCGAGAAGCUUCGGCUCUCCAGUUUGUUCUGCCCUAUGGGACACUGAAGUCCCAAACUUGCCAGCUGAGCUGGAGAUGUGCACCAGCUUCCUCUUCUUAGUCUCCUCAGAGACUUUCUCCUUGCCCCGAGGCUCCUUGGACUUCUCUGGCCUCUGAGUAGAUGCCUCUUCCGAGGCCCUGGGAGUGCAGUCCUUGGACAGGCGCUCAACCCUGCCACGGACCUCCUUUGCCCCACUAGACCCGGGUUUCAGAGGCCUUGCCUUCGCAGUAAAAGUGGCCUUCAAGAUGGAGGCCAUAUUCGGAGCCGGGUAUUCCCUCUUCUUGAAUUUGUCUGCAACACGUCAGAUUAGCAUCAGCACAAUAAACAUUGAAAUUAAACAUCAAGUGUUGGAGCCCCAUACCUCUGGACGCCAUAAGCCCGAAGUCCAAGAAGUAUCUGCUUCCAUCAAUCAGGUGAUCGAAGUGCCGAAGCUUUAGAGGCCUCUUGUAAAUGUCCUCUAUCACCUCGAAUUCCUCCCUGCUGAGCUCGAACCUCGUACUACUAUCUACAAAGACGAACCUUCAACAGUUAGACGAGUAAAUACUCUGAUUUCAAAACACAAGCAGAGGUUGGGAGACUCACGAGCUUCGUAGUACUGGGUCGGCACUGUGCAUGACAGGGCUUUGUCACCCUCUACUGCCUGCCAUUUACCUCGUACCCAGAACCAGGACUCCUUCCACCCCUUGAUAGAGGAAGGAAGUCCCACCACAAAGGGUGCGUGAGCCCCUCAAGGCGUGAGGUAGUACCACCCCCUUAACUCCUUCCCAAUUACCCGGGGCUGGUACAGGGUCAUAAAGACAUGAAGGGGCAUGUCCUCCCCAAGUGAAACUUCCUUCCACAGGAAGUAAGAGCCGACCAGCUGGCUCCACCCAUUCGGCAGAACCUGGGUCGGCGACAGCAUAAAUUUCCUAAGCACCGCCCUAAAGAAGGGGUGCAAAGGAAGACGCAUACCUGCUUUGAACAGGUAUUCACUCACGGCCACGCAGCCGGGCCUCGGAUAGCAGGCCCGCUCGUUCGGUUCAGGGACUAACAUCUCUAUGUUAUGAGGCACACUGUACCUCUCCCUAAGCUCCCCCAACCUCUUCCCCGUCAUGUUUGAGGGCACUCUAGAAGCCCCCCACUCCUGGGUAUAAUCCACGUCCUCCUCGGCCAUGGCAUACCUAUCCACCUCGGACGUCCCCCCAUGACCUACCCCGUGGUCUAAAGACGCUACAGUGACAAGUUCCCUACCCGAAGUGGACUCCAUUGUUUGAGGACAAAGAAUAACAACGGUUUUUUUUAUGCAAACAAUACCUAAAAGAGUUCAACACAAACGGAGACCGGUCGGAAUCUAAUCGCAGACAACCUCAACGCCGGAAAAUGGGAGAUUUGAGAGAGUUUGAGAAUGCAAAGUGCUUAAAAUUUCUGGAAAGUAGAAUUUUCUCGCCUUUUAUAAAGAUCCAAGGCGAACCCCACCCGUCAGAUCAAAUCUCAGUCAAUCCGAGCCCUCCGUUUCAGAUCCAAUCCGAGGCGUUGAAUUCAAAUAGUCUUUGAAAUCCUACGCCUCCUAUCUAUGCGUACCUCACACGCACCUCUCCAGCGCGUCUGCUUCUGGAAACGCCAGCUGCCCUCAUAAUUGCAUUUUUAAUUCGUUGGCGCUAGCACAUUGGAAGCCGUAACGGUUCAGCUACCUUUUCUCGAAAACAAGCACAAAACAUCAAAUCAUUGGCACAGAGACCAAAGCAUAAUCAUUACAUUGGACCUCGGCUUCUUCACGUGCCAGUCAGCAUUUCAGCCUCGCAGGCUUGGUUUCACACCACCUCGGCUCCUCAUAUGUCAUUCAGCAUUUAAGCCUCGCAGGUUCGGUUUCCCAACCACCUCGGCUUCUUCACGUGCCAUUCAGCAUUUAAGCCUCGCAGGCUCGAUUUCACACCACCUCGGCUCCUCAUAUGCCAUUCAGCAUUUAAGCCUCGCAGGUUCGGUUUCCCAACCACCUCGACUUCUUCACGGCCAUUCAGCAUUUAAGCCUCGCAGGUUCGGUUUCCCAACCACCUCGGCUUCUUCAUAUGCCAUUCAGCAUUUAAGCCUCCCAGGUUCGGUUUCCCAACCACCUCGGCUCCUCAUAUGCCAUUCAGCAUUUAAGCCUCGCAGGUUCGGUUUCCCAACCACCUCGGCUUCUUCACGUGCCAUUCAGCAUUUAAGCCUCGCAGGUUCGAUUUCCCAACUACCUCGACUUCUUCAGACGCAAUCAGCAUUCAAAUCAUGCAGGUUUCGGUCCCCCAACCACCUCGGCUUCUUCAGCAUAAACCUACACCAAAACUUCUCUAACUCCAAUCAUGAUAUAAAUUUUGUAAGGUAACAAAUGUAGAUGAAAUAAAUGAAUGGUCAAGUUAGCGAUGUAAAUCUAAUACGGGUUGGGCAGGUGUGGGCAAAUUCAUGAGCUAUUUUUUUCAAUUCUUUUCAUAAAAAGAAAUGUGUUCGGGGUCUUGUGGAAAAAUGAGAACUGUGUAAGGAUAAAGUCACUCUUAGAGAAAUUGAACACUUCCCACAUAACGCCUACAACGUAGUAACAUGAAGGGUCUUCAAUAAAGGUUUUACAAACUUAAAACUACUAGGAAUAGAUGUCAAUAGCUUAUGAAAUUACAAUAAGCUUCCCUAAGAAAAAGGUAAUCUCUAUAAUAAGUGAUAAAUUUUAAAUUAUACAGAAAUUUUGUCUUUUAACUUUUUCUGUAUCCACCUUUCUGAUUCUAUAUAAACGAGCAGACCUCCAUUUCUCAGCGACUCAAUUAUCAACACAGUAUACAAAGGCAGAGAGAGAGAGAGAGAGAGAGAGAGAGAGAGAGAGAGAAUGUUGCGUGUUGUCACACCUGUCCUACCCACCUGGGCCAGUGGCCCACUCAUCCUGAUCCACGUGACAUUCCUGCCGAGGUGGCCCAUAUUGCCGAGGUGGGUUAUAUCCGAACUGCUUCUAACCGAGGCCCAUGGCCCGAGGCGUGGAAGCCUUUGGUUGUAGCUGAGGUCCUCAAAUGGACGAANNNNNNNNNNNNNNNNNNNNNNNNNNNNNNNNNNNNNNNNNNNNNNNNNNNNNNNNNNNNNNNNNNNNNNNNNNNNNNNNNNNNNNNNNNNNNNNNNNNNNNNNNNNNNNNNNNNNNNNNNNNNNNNNNNNNNNNNNNNNNNNNNNNNNNNNNNNNNNNNNNNNNNNNNNNNNNNNNNNNNNNNNNNNNNNNNNNNNNNNNNNNNNNNNNNNNNNNNNNNNNNNNNNNNNUUUUAACUUUUUCUGUAUCCACCUUUCUGAUUCUAUAUAAACGAGCAGACCUCCAUUUCUCAGGGACUCAAUUAUCAACACAGGAUACCAAGGCACAGAGAGAGAGAGAGAGGGGGAUGGAGAAGAUUAUUGCAUUCUUUGUGCCUAUUUUUACCUUUCCAUUUACUGUAUUUUUAUAUGUAAUUUCACUGAGAAUGAAAAGAAAACAUUCAGAGAGGAAAACUAAGCUCCCUCCAGGCUCCAUGGGGUGGCCUUAUAUUGGAGAAACUCUUCAGCUCUACUCCCAAGAUCCAAAUGUCUUUUUUUCUGACAAAGUAAAAAGGUUUCUUGCUUUCAUUCUCAAUUACUUACCGUCCAAUUCUGUCUAAUACUAAAUACCUGAGAUUCCCUGAUAGAAUUUUUCUAACAAUAAUUCUAAACGGGGCAGGCACCCUACCAAUAGGGGGACACGUGUCCCCCCGGACAAACAGGGCCCUGUUUGCCAAGCAAAUCUCUUUUUCUAAACUGUAUGUUCUUAUGCAGAUAUGGAGAAAUCUUCAAGACUCAUGUACUUGGUUGCCCUUGUAUAAUGUUGGAAAGCCCAGAAGCAGCCCGAAUCGUGCUAGUCACCCAGGCACAUUUGUUCAAGCCAACGUAUCCAAAGAGCAAGGAAAAUUUCAUCGGCCAGUCUGCGCUGUUUUUUCACCAGGGAGAGUACCAUAUGCGGCUUAGGAAGCUCGUCCUUGGAGCAUUAUACCCAGAAGCAAUCCAAAACCUAGUAGCAGAUAUUGAAGCCAUAGCAGUGUCUGCAAUGGAUUCGUGGGACGGUGGCCGUGUCAUCAACAUUUUCCAUGAGAUGAAAAAGGUUCGUCUCUUUGAAUUCAUGCUAACACCCAUUUAUAAAAAUUGUGCACCUGUCACCUCUUUAAUGAAAAAAUAUCGUUGGCAUGCACACAGGGACGUGUUGAAAACUUCAAUUUAAAUGAACAAAUCUGUCUCUUUUAAGAUUCUAGAUGAGAAAUCUAAUUUGUCAUCUACCAUUGAUUACCUGCAGUUCUCAUUUGAAGUAGGUAUACUCUCCAUUUUUGGUCAUUUGGAGCCCUAUUAUAAAGAAGAACUGAAGAAGAACUAUAGCAUACUCGAUAGAGGGUACAAUUCUUUUCCAACAAAGUUACCUGGAACUCCAUACCAAAAGGCAAUGAAGGUAAAGUAACGAUAAUUGUACUCUGUUACAUAGUACUAUAAACGAGAUUUUAACUUCCUUUUUUAUUUUUAUUUUUAUUUUUUUUUUCUUUUUUGUUUAGACUGUCUAGUCUACCUUAAUACACGUGUUGAAAAUGGACUCUCAUUUUGAUUAGUCAUAUUUACCAUUUUAAUGUAUGAAGGCAAGGAAGAGGCUGGGUGAAAUAUUAAAUAACAUUAUGAGAGAAAGAAAGGAAAAGAGGAUUACGAAGGACCUGUUGAGUUGUCUGCUAGUUUCGAAAGAUGAGAACGGUGUAACUCUAAACGAGGAUCAGAUUGCUGACAACAUCAUCGGAGUACUUUUUGCAGCACAAGACACGACUGCGAGUGCCAUGACAUGGAUUCUCAAGUACCUUCACGAUUACCCAAAAAUUCUCGAGGCUGUCAAGGUAAAAUCUAGAAGGCAUUUUCUAGUUGCUCUGGAAUAAUACAAGGUUCUCUAAGAAAAACGUAGCUCUAUUUUCUGUUUGUGGGGUCAAAUCAAUAUAUUGUAAGAUUCUCGUGUCUCUAGAUCAUUCUCAUUUCUUGACCUUAUUCUUAAAUUUGCUUUGUAAUCGUCGUAGAUAAUAUGUUUCUGAUUUGCAUGCAGGCUGAACAGAAGGCAAUAUACCAAUCAAAUGGAAAUGGAAAUAGUCAUUUAACAUGGAAUCAAACAAGAAAUAUGCCAUUUACUUACAAGGUAUUUGACUACCAUAAAUAAUAUAUUUGGUAUAUUUCGUUUCAAUUAGGUCGGUUAACACCAUUUUUAUUUUUUUUACAAAAUCAUUUACAAGUAGUAUCAAUUCACUUUCAUUCUCUAACGUCUAACUUGCUUCCAUCAUCCACACGCAAUAUUUUGACCUGUAUUUUUGUUUUCAGGUGAUUUUAGAGAGUUUGAGAAUGGCAAGCAUUAUAUCAUUCACAUUUCGAGAGGCAGUGACAGGUGUGGAAUAUAAAGGUCGGCUUUCUUGUAAGGGAUAUGCACCCUUUUCGGGGGCAUCCUAAUUCUUGUAAUAUUAUCAAAUAAUCCACUGAAUUUUGCUAUUUGUAUGCCGACAUUCACACUCCCCUUACAUGAGGGAGGGGCCCACACCCAAUAAAAAAAGUGUGGACCCCUUGUGUGAGGAACGUGUACACUGUCGUGCCGUUGUACGUGUAGGCGUGUACUUAUCUGAAAUAAAUGUUUUUUGGUCACUGACAGGGUACCUAAUUCCAAAGGGAUGGAAGGUCAUGCCUUUAUUUAGGAAUAUUCACCACAAUCCUGAUUUCUUUGUUGAUCCUCAGAAGUUUGAUCCUUCCAGAUUUGAGGUACGAGUUAAUAUUAUACUUUUAAUGGUUGACGUUAAGUGCAUAUUUAGCCCCUAUCUUACAGUCAUGAUCAUAAAAUUUAUAUUUUUUUCUACGUGCUGAUUUCAACCACACAUUCAUACAAUAAAAUAUUCUGCACGUAAACUCAAAAUUUUCUCGUACUUUUUAACCACAUAUUUUCUAAAAAUUCACUAUUCAAAACUUUAGUUUUGCCUUAGUGCUUGUUUGAUACUUUUCAACUUAUCAAACUUAAACUUUUAGCUACAAAUUGGAUCCACAACUUUUUAUCAAUUUUUUUUGUCAAAAGUUUUGUUAAACAAUCCCAUGGUACUUAGAACUAAAUCUAAGAAUCUUUUGUUAGGGCAUAUGAAAAUAGAUUAAGUAUUAAUGCCAAGCAAUUAAACUUCAUUUUCACCAUAUAUUGACCUAAAUAAAAAAUUGAGUUCGACUAAAAAUUUAAUGACCACCAUGAUUUUAAUCCGAUGAAAGUAUGGUACGAAAAAUCUUUUUUUCCUCAAAAUAUAAAGAUUAAAGAGACUUAUUAAGGAGAAAAAAAUUGUAGGAUGAAGUAACGAAUAUUAAUUUAUGGUUUCUUGUAGGAUGUGGUGAAACCCAAUACGUUUAUGCCAUUUGGCAGUGGAGUACAUGCCUGCCUCGGUAACGAACUUGCUAAGCUAGAAAUGCUCGUUAUGAUCCACCAUCUAAGUUCUCAGUUCAGGUACUUUAUCAAACUACAACAAGUAUUUUUGGAAAUGCGUUUUUUAGAUAAAUUAAAUCAUAAAUAACCAAUUCUAUUUUAUACUGCUCGGUUCCUCGUAUGUUCAGUUGAAUUCACCAAACAUGUCAUACAUGUAUUUUAUGCACCAUAUAUCACAAGAUUCGAUUAAAAUAAUGUAACUUUUUUUUUUCCUCUCAAUUUUGUGUUAUACUAUACAGUUUAUCUUACUAACUAUGUGACGACGUUGGUGAGUGGUAUGUGAAAUUAGGUAUUAUUUGACAAUUGUGUUUGUAGGUAUGAAGUGGUGGGAUCCCAAAGUGGGAUUGAACACACGCCAUUCCCCAUCCCUUUCCAAGGACUCCCUGCCAGAUUUUGGAAACAAGAACCAACCAAUUAAGUAGGACAUACCAAGACAAUUGUUCCUUAACCAAUUUUCACUUUUCCUUUCUGUUCCCAUAAUCCAAUUUAAUAUGGAGAUGGCUUUUUUUCCUCAAAGUGAAUUAAUAUAAGUUCAUAAUCAAUGAACUAAUAAUCAAUGAAGAAUUUAGAAUUUAUUCAGAUAUCUCAUUGGUUAAAUAUAGCAAAAUUUGUACUAUUUUUAUUGCAAGGUUGGUAUUGAAAUUGAAAUAUUAAUGAAACAAAAAGACAAUAGAUUUGAUUCAAUCGAAUUAUCUUGUUUCUUGGCUUUGUUGACUUGAAAAAUCGUUUUAUUUUCUUGAUUGUUAUUGAAAAUCAAUUAUUACUUUUUCUCAAGAAAAUUUGCUUGAUAGAGGUCAUAUGUCGCGAGAAAAUGGAAAAUAGUCACUUUUUAUUUUCAUUAAAAUCAUGAGUAGAAAUUAAGGCUUCGAGCAGUCUUGAGCCACACAUUGUGAAAUUAAUUAAAUAAAAAAAAAAAGGAGAGUUUUUAUUAAUUCCAUUCUUUCAUUUCAAUUCCGACAUCUCUGCCCUUAUGUUUUUGUUUAUGAUGUUUGUGAUGCCACUGUUAGUUUACUUAAUGAAAUGUUGAACUAUUGCAAUGUUUAAAAUUUGUUUAUCAUUUUUUUUAUAAACUAGUCGAGUAAAAUUCAAUCAUUUGGUCAAAAUGAUCGAUUUAAGUUCCUAGUUGGUUCUAUAUUGGAGGAAUCGAGUUUGGGAACUUCUAAUUUAUGUAGAAUUAAAUUAUCACGCAAUUUGCAUCCGCUUUUCACAAAUUUUCCCUCGAGUAAUGCAAUUCAACAUUACUGAUAUCAAGCACUAAUUGAAGAGGCAACUUCAUGACAUUAAAUAAUUGAUUCAAAUAAAUGUAAUGUCAUAUGAUUCAUAUAAUUAAAUCUAUUAAAUGUGACCAUCUAAAUCGGCAUUUCAGUACAGUUGGUGCUUGACAACAUUAUUCGAUGUGAAAUGUGAUGUUGGGUGAUAUUUGUUGAUGCCACGUUUUGAAAUGUUUCAUAAAGUUCUAGUUGUGAUGAGAGGCCAUAUUAGAACCAGAUGGUAAGAAUAUGAUUGGUCAAGUGAAGAUGGGUUUGGUCCAUAAGAGCAAUCUCUAAAAGAAUACUAUUGCUUUUGUCGACUACAUUUGACGUUACAUUUCACAAUACGUAGUGAAUUAUUUCAUUUCCUAACAUAUUUUAGUGGAAUUGUAUUUCUUUUUUAUGAAUGAGAGCUCUCUUAAUGAAUAAUGAUAUAUGACGGGUAUUUUAAAAUCAGUCUAAAUAACAAUGUAUGAUAUUAAAAAAAAGGGCUCAAUAUAGGACCAUAUUAAAUUUAAUAUUGAACUUAUCAUGCAUGGCUACAUAAAUUAAUUUGAAAACAUCAACUAGAAUAUAUAGAAUUACCUUUCUUAAAAUUUUAUUUAACUAUGUAAGUCGUCAUUACUAUAAUUUAUUUUCAAUUUGUGCUAUGUUGACAUGUUUAACUGUAUCAAAUUCUCGAAAAAUUGGAUUAAAUGGUCUCAAACCUUUGCUCUUCUUGCAUUUCUUGGUCCCAGAACUUUAAACCUUGACAAUCAUGUCACAAACCUAUGUAUUUUGGCAUAGUUAUUCCUUUUAGAUGGAUUCGGUUUAAAAUGGUGGUUAAUUUUGUGCGUAGAUUGUAAUUUUCUUAUUUUAUUUUUGUCUGAAGAGGCAAAUCUGUCAUAUCAAUAUCAACUUAAGUAAAAAAUAAAAAUAAAUUUAAAAAGAAAAUAGUUUUAAAGAAAAAAUUAUAAUCAUAUUCUUCUUCCACCCACGCUAUAUUUCAUACAUACAAAGACAUGGGAACGGGAAUUGUGACGAGCAGAGUAAUGAUUCGCUUGUACAAGCCACUCGUGAAAAAUGUCAUUUCGAUAAUAAUAAAAAUGUUGACGUGCCACGAGCGGCUCAACUUCUCCCACUUCCCAUCCCUACAUAGACAUUUAGAGAGAGAAAUACAUGUACAAACGUUUACAUUUAGAGCAGUAGAAGGAUAUUUGCAUAUAACAUCCACAUUUUCUGGUGGAUAAACAAACAGAGCUGGUUAGCUAACAUAAUGGUUGUCAAAUCGUAUCUCAUUCAGAUUAAUGCUAAAAAAUUUACAGGCUAUAAUGUUUUAUGUAAUUUGAUCCCGAAACCAAGUAAAUCUUCAAAAUUUUUACCAUAAAAUAGUAAGGCAAACCAAAAACUAGGAACCGGAAUUGAGAACCGGCAAGAUCUGGUUCUUGGUUCUUGAAUUGGAACCGUUGGUACCCAAAUUGAGCCCUUUUAAUAAUACUUUGUUCUCACAAUUUAUAGGCUGAAAAAAAUAAAUAAAUAAUAGGGAAAAUUUCACAUAGAAGAUAUUAAGUAUAGGGCAUUUCAAAAAUAAGAAAAUAAGUAUCAUAUUUCAAAAAUCAGAAAUUAGCCUAAAAAUAAAUACAAAUAUUAAUAUAAUUUAAUAUGGAAAACAAUCCCGAGCAAAGAGCCGUAAUAUCAGGAUUCUCCUAAAAAAAAUUAAUUCAUCUUUCAAUCUGAUUUCAAUAGCCAGAAGAUCUGAAAAUACAUCCAAUUACGACCGGCUCUUGCGGAAUUGAUGGUGAAACCGAAUUCUGGUCACAAAUUGCAGUCGCGGGUCGUAUGAGAUCGGCUCAAACAGUCACUGAAAACAUUAUUCAGGCAUGUAAUUAAAUUGAUCAGGUGUGUAAUUGCGAUUUAUUCAUUAUAAUUUGUCGUUUUUUCACGCUAGACAAGCUUCGAUUGAUCAGAAAUAUGAUUCAUUGUAAUUGCGAAUAACGGACAUUGCCGUUCGAAACUGUUGUGACCGUUAUGGAAAACAUGUGACCCUGGAUGCAAGAUAUAACCUCAUGCAUUCAGUAUGUAUGGGUGUUUGUGUCUCGAAAUGUGUGAAAUGUUUUAAUCUGUGUAUUAUGAUACUGAUGCUCUUGUUCGAAUCUAAUCAUAUGCGACAGACCUAUACUUAGUUACUGUGACCGAUUAUUGCAUGUAAUUGUAACACAUUGAAUACAUGUGACCUGCAUGUAUUCAAUGUGUGACCAUGACAUUCAAGAUACCACAUGCGUUCGCUUUGACCUGUGAUCAUUUAACAGUAUUGUGACCGACAUGCAAUUAACUGUGACCAGUAUACAAAGACUUAAAUGUCACAUAUGACCUAUGCAAUGAUCUGUGACCUCUCGUAAAAAAAAUCUGGGAAAUAAAACUAUGUGACCUGCAUGUUUUCAAUACGUGACAAUGAUACUUGAGAUUCGAUAUAUGUUUAUUGUGACAUUUGACCAUUAAUUUAAUUUUGACCCAUUUGCAAUUAGAUUUAACAUAUAUUUGGAUGUUAGGCUGAUCAUGUAUUUGCAAAUUUUGCAGAAAAUGGGGUUAAUUCACGUGUGUCUGUUGAAUGGAUCACAAGUGUCACUGGUUUUAAUUGAUCGUAGUUGCGGGUAUUUGAGGCUUGUCGACACAGUUAUGAAAGAGUUUAGCUUUGACCCUGCAAAAGUUGUUGUGACAAUGAAGUAUGUCUUGAACAGUGAUCUGUCUCCAGUAGCAAUCAAAAGUGAUGAGAACGUCUUGUCUUACAUGGUUUUAAAGGAUAUGAGUCGUGACCCUGCGAAAUAUCCAAUUCACAUCGAGGUGACAACUGCGGAUAUCGAAAAAUAGCCUAUUGUGCUAUCAGUUGAUGUUAAUCGAACGAGCAUGGGUUUUCAUUAACAGAUAUGUCAUCAGACAUAUGUCGAGCAAUAAUGGAUCCAUCUAGUGACAAUCUUGAGCAUGAGGUCACAGUUGUGGCGGUGGCAGAUGCUAGGGAGGUAGAGGAAGGAAGAGUCUUCCGUAACAAGGAGAUAAUGAAAUUGAGCUUGUCGUUUUAUGCAAUCCAGAACAUGUUUGAGUACGUGGUUGUUCGGUUCGAUAAGAAAGACUAUCUUGUAAAAUGUACACGUGAUGAGUGUAAUUGGAUAUGUAGAGCAUCGAAGCUAGCCAAAACAGAUAUGUUUAAAAUCAGACACAUUGCAGAAGGUCACAUAUGUGCUUCAAACAUCGUACUCAGUACUCAUAGGCAAGUAGCAAAGACGGUUGUGUCAACUUGCAUUAAGUAUAAGUACACAUCAUCGCGCACAAUAUACACACCGAAUGAUAUACGCAACGACAUGCUGCAUACAUACGGAGUAUCUUUGAAUUAUGUCCAAGCUUGGCGAUCUCGAGAAGAAACUCUGAAAGUGCUUAGGGGUGAUCCAACCGAUUCAUUCAAUAAGAUACCAGCCUUUUUUUUUGUGAUACAACAAACAAAUCCUGGAUCAGUGACAUGUCUAGAAAUUGAUGGUCACAAUAGGUUUAAAUAUUACUUCAUGGCACUAGGUGCAUCUAUACGGGGAUGGAAACAUUGUAGGCCAGUUGUUGUGGUUGAUAGCACCUAUCUAAAUGGACACUAUGGUGACACCUUAUUCACGGCAUGUACACAAUAUGCAAAUAACAGCAUUUAUGUACUUGCUUUCGGGAUUGGGGAUAACGAGAAUGACAGCUCCUGGACAUGGUUUUUUAGACAGUUGAGAAAAGCAUAUGGGGAUAGAGACAGUUUGUGCUUCGUGUCGGAUCGUCACAACAGCAUCAAAAAGGCGAUUGAAAACGUGUAUCUGGGAGCAUGUCACAGGAUAUGUUCUUACCAUCUACUACAAAAUCUAAAAUCACGGUACGGGAGAUCAGGACAAAACAUAACACAAGCAUUCAAUGCAGCUGUUCGCACCUACACACUAUUGGAAUAUGAAUAUUACAUGCAACAACUUGGGUCGAUUAAUCAGAAGAUAAGGGGUUAUCUGGUACUAUACUAUAUGUUGUCCUAUGAUGAUAUUCACAUAAAUACGUUUAACAUGGUACUGUACGCUAUAUGAUACACAUUUCCAUGGUUUUGUUUUGUAGGACAAAGUUGGACCUGAGAGAUGGUCACGUAUCCACAUGCCUUCAAACCGGUAUUCUACAAUGACAUCGAAUAUUGUGGAGUCGAUUAAUGCGGUCACAAAGUCUGCCAAGAACUACCCUAUUCUAGCUUUGUUGGAGUCAUUGAGACAAAUUCUACAAUCUUGGUUCUGUAGACACAAGGAGGAUGCCCAAGGCACUUUUACAACCUUGUCAAUCAAGUAUGAGAAGAAGAUGAGGGAAAUGAGUACAGAUAUAAGAAACUUGAGGGUAAGCUUGAUUACUGUAACCUAAUCUAUAAUCUGUGACUUACCGGAUCUGAUCUGUGACAUGUGCUGUGACUUCUGCUGUGAUCUGUACCGUUGUGUUUCAGUAAUAUUUGUACAAUAUUAUAUAGAACUACAUGACUUGCAAUUUCGUCUGUGUCCUACUUUUUAAUUACGUGACUUGUUAUGCCUAUAACUUGAGUCUAUAUCUGUAGGUUUCACCCAUUAAUCAGGCAAUGUUCUCAGUUAGCGGUGAAAGUUCCUCCUUCGUUGUUGAUAUAGAAAAUCGGACAUGCAUAUGUAGGAUGCUUCAAGUUGAUCAACUACCUUGUCCACAUGCUUUGGCUGUGUUUGCGAGUAUGAAGAUGGAUCCAUAUGAAUACUGCUCCUACUACUACACAAGUGAAGCGUUCAGAAAUACAUACCAAGAAACCAUUUUUUCGGUAGGAAAUCCAGCUGAAUGGACAGUGCCAAAUGAUGUCCAUGACAUAGUUGUAAUUGCACCUAAUCAAAAGCGAAGUUGUGGAAGGCCUACUGAGAAGAGAUUCAGAGCAGCGUACGAGGAAAACAUAACCGUCAAAUGUGGUCGGUGUGGUGAAAGUGGUCACAAUCGUAGAACAUGCAGCAGCUUAGUUCCGUUGAGUCAAAGCAACAAGAAUAAAGAGAGGAGGAUGAUGAAGGACUGGAAAUGCACAUUGAUAAAAUUUUUAUAAUUCCAUUGUUUUUUUUAUUCAUUAAUUUUUUGUAAACGUAGGAUGCAAAACAUUGGAUGACACAAAUUAAUGAUCUGUGAUCAUUCUACAAUAACAUGUGACUAGUAUGCGUUAACUAUGAUCAUUAUUAAUGACAUGUGAUCAGAAUGCAGUGACUUGUGACCAAUAUAAAUGAUCUGUGACCAGAAUUCAGUGACCAGUGACCCCUGUGCAAUCAACUGUGAAUAUAUGAAAUCAUCUGUGACUAGAUGUCAUUGAGCUGUGACCAAUAUGCAGAAAUCUGUGACCAUUUAUUGUGACCAACAAAAGAUGACCAGUGACAUAUUGCAAAAACUCUGCAAAAUGGAAGUGGUUCAGCUGUGACAAAUGUAUGAAAUGAUCUGUAACAAAUCUUCAAUGACCUGUGACCAGAUUGGAUUGACUUUUAAUAAUUCUUUAUGACCUGUGACCAAUAUACUGUGACCUGUGACCAGGGUGCAGUGACCUGUGACAAUGGGAAUUGACCUGUGACCAAAUUACACAAACCAGUGACCUGUGAUAAUCCUAGAAACUAGUGACCUGUGAUAAUCCUAAAAAUUGCAGGUAACCUGUGACCUGUGACAAUGGGAAUUGACCUGUGACCAAAUUACACAAACCAGUGACCUUGGAACUGCAGAUAAUCCUAGAAACUGGUGACCUGUGAUAAUCCUAAAAAUUGCAGGUAACCUGUGACCUGUGACCUGUGACCAGGUUGCAGUGACCUGUGACAAUGGGAAUUGACCUGUGACCAAAUUACACAAACCAGUGACCUUGGAACUGCAGAUAAUCCUAGAAACUGGUGACAUGUGAUAAUCCGAAUAACUGCAGGUAACCAUUAAAUUUUGAGACUUUGCCCUCGAUACGGUGUCAAUAUAGCAAAAUAUGAUAUAUAGUGAAACUUGUAGUAAAGUCCCCAAACAUUAAUGAACUUUUUGAUAUAAACAGACAAAAGUAAUAACUGCGUUGUCAUUACAAACGAAUUUCCAAAACAUUGAGACAAUGUUUCCUGCUAUUACAACAUGUUACUUCUAAAUUGCACUAUCACUCUAAAACAAUGCUUUCCCCACCAGUAGGCUGCACCGGCUUUCUAGUCUUCCCGAUUUCACGAUGUUUGAACAACAGUGAAGCUACAUCCAACCGAGCUCUCCCCGCAUCAAACUUCAUUGGCAUGGAUCCUAUAUCGUCAUGUAGCAUGUACUCCGCGUACUUGACCACGUAAAUGCCACAAUCAUGUCUAAGAACACAAAAAACAAAAUAUUAGCUAUGAAAUCAAGCAAGUUAUAAUAUGUUUAACUGUUAGUGGAGGGAAAAAAACUUGCCCAUUUUUCUGUUGGGGAAGAGAGAAAUCAAAAUCCACAUUCAACUCCAUGGAAUCUUUUUUCCAUAUUCCAACAGAUUUCAUAAGAUGCGGAAGCAUGCUGACAAAGGGAUCAAUUCCAGUACGAACUUUGAUAUCAUUGUAUGUCUUCCUAGACGAAUUCAAUAAACGCAACGUAUGUGCCUUUAUGUCCAACACUCCAAGCAUCCAAUGUGCUUUGUUGGUAGGCAGAAGUGGGAUAAACACAAGGUCAACUUCAGCCCAUGGAGUGCUCAAUGGAAUUCGCGCACCGGUAAUAUCGUUAAUCAGUUUAUCAUCCGUGACAAGAACAUUUGCAUCAUCCUUGAAAUUAGGAUACAUGUGCUUUAGGUUGGCCUGGAACAACGAGUCCGUUGUGGUAGCUACAAACUUGAAAUCUCUUGCACUUCUUGCCAGUUGACGUAUAUAAUAGAAGCACACGUCCAUAUGCUAUAGAGAUGAAAGUACAAUAAACAAUUUAGAAACCAUGUAUACACCAGAAAACACGAUGCAAUAAGCUGUUAAUUUGAUGUGUGACUCGGCUAGAAUGUGAUCACUACAAUCUGUAGUUAGUGACCACUCCAUAACUGAACCGGACGUAAUAAAGACAUGUGUGCUAUACUGAUGCAACUGCAGAUAUGUGUUCUCCUGUGCAGCGCGGAUUGUGACCUACUGUUCGUGUGAUUUGUGACCCAGGCAUCAGCUGUGACCUACUGUUCGCGUGAUCUGUGACCUACUGCUCGUGUGAUCUGUGACCCAUGCUCUGUGUGACUAGUAUACAAAAAACUGUGACUAAUGUGACAUGUACUGUAACAUACCCUUUAGAACUGUUACUUUUGUGUAGUGACUUACCGAACUAGUCAACGACACCUCCCUAGAUACAAAUUCGUACCACCGUGUCUUGUUUCCCGCCAAGUACUGACCGAUUGAAAAAGGUGGACGGAUGACAUCAUCUUUAUCAUUGAACUUCUUCCUGCAAAUGAGAAGAACGGAUCAUUAUUUGGAACAUUGUGAAAAUAGGACAACAAUUUCGUACUUGUUAUGCGGUUUGUAUCCUCUUUGAAACCAAUUUUGAAAGUCAGCAACAUCUGCAUCUUGUACAUUCUGAUUGUAGUGUUCAAAGACCACUACAUUUCCUGAAAAUUUCAUUUGUUUCAUUUUGUCGGCAACAUAAGGGGACUGAAGGGCUUUAGCUGGCUUUGGAGCCCUCUUCACCGGCAAUCCAGAACUUGGUGCAGCCUCAGGUGAGUGCUGCGUAAUAAAAUGUGUUCUUUAAUAUGUGACAUGCAUUAAUCACCAAAAAUACAUCGAUGUUUGGAUACCUCUUGCUGAAAACAUUCCGUGUCCUUCAAAACAUCGGCUAUGACCGAUUCAACUUGCCUGUCAACGUCCUUUGAUGCUUUUGCAACAAUCUGGCUUGGUUGUGUGAAUCCAAGACCAAGAUCAAAAGAUGGAGGUUCAAUAGAACAUGGGAAUUCAACUGCACACACAAAAUCAACCUUUGCCUUGCCUUUCGAAUCAACACUUCGUUCGACUUUUGCAGCCUGAAAAUUAGAACAAAAAUGCAUUUGAUGAGAAGUGUAUAUCAAACGGUUUAUGGUAAACAGACAAGUAAGAGGCAGUCACAGUUGGGGUACUUACUUCGCAUGUUGGUCCAGAUCCUACAACAAUUUCUGGUCCUGCGUUCUCUCUGAAUUUUUUCAUAAUUUCUUCCAUUGAACUAGUAUCAAUUUAGUCACAGAAUCAGACAUACACUGCAUGUGUGCUUUGAUGUCCAACAUGUCAGUACGAAUUUCACCUUGCAUACGAACUAGCAGAUUCAGUUUCCUUUGCUGAUCAGACUUUAAAGAAGACACCUGUAACUGCAUUGACUUGAGCUGUUUGCUUAGCAACCGAUUCUCAGAAUUAAGAUCAGAUAUCUGCCCUUUGAAAUAAUUAUUCAAUUCAUCGACAACCUGCAUCACAUGAAUACCUAUAAUCAGUAAAAUUAUGAUGAUGAAAUAUGACAUUGAUCUGUGAUCAGCAGUGACAUGUGUAUUGGUAUGUGACCCAAUCACCGAAACCUGUGACCUGAAUUUUUAUGUGACCAAAUGGACUUGUUACAUGAUAGAUGAAAUUGGAAGAGCUUACAUUUUUUGAUGGCAUAUCCUCUGAAUCAGUGGUGCCAUCUGACUUAAACUCCCCAGUUGGAGAAUCUUCAUGGAUUGAUGUCCCCUUCCAACUGGGUGGUGCGUCAACAAAGUCAUUAUCAUCAAUGGGGAGAUCAGAGUGUCCCAAUCGUCCAUCGGUUAUCAAAAGCAUGGGAGUAGAUUGUUUCAUUCCUGGAUUACUUGGUUUUGAACUAGUCCCAGCACGAUGAUCUGAUCGGUGUAUGCUACCACCCUUUCUCUUUUCCCCAUGUGACCGAUUGGGUAGGAUAGGUUUCUCAUACUGCACCUGACUCAUGUAUGGCAUUGCCAUUUCAGCUGGUGGGGGGUCCAGGUCACAUAUUACCAACUGCCAUUCAUAUCACAACAAAAAGUGCAAUGUCAACAACCAAAAAUUAUGUAUGAACAAACAGAUAUAGCUUUGCACAUCACACAUAUUCAAUUUGUUUGCAUUAAUUGUGAUAUAACAAGGGCAAAUGGCGCCGAGAAAAUGUCAGUGACCUAGUAUGAAAUGAUCUGUGACAUAAUGAGUAAAUCUGUGACUUCGAGAAUGCAAUUUGUGAUUUGACGAAAAUAUAUUUGUGACCUAAGAAAUAUGAUCUGGAACAUGAGAAAAAUGUGCCAGUUUAAUAUUUUGAAACCAGAACUGCUGCAUCGGUGGUCACUUACGUCGGGAUUGGAGAAGCAUUCAGGUCCCUCAAACUUCGCAGCCGAAGGGUGAUCAUCAGCCGUCCAGUUCAUUAUCCUGGGGUACACUCUCGAAAUCCCUCUCGCAGUGUAUCCAUCGAGACUGGGUAUUGUCUCGUAAAUCCACACUUGAAAGGCUACAAGCAACCCUCUGAGUCUGUAAUGUGUUGAUCUCUUACUCAACCCCUCCCUCAAUGAAUUUACUAGUUUGUCAAACAGCGACUUACCCCAUGGAAACACAUUCAUCGCACUAAAAUCUUCAACUAGUAUAAAUAAGAAGUGCUCCACAGCCUUCUUGUAGUCUCUCGGAUGUAGAUAAGAUGUUAUGAAAUACAAUGCACCUAGCAUGGCAACAUCCUCAUCCGGAAUGUCAGUAGAACCAAAAAAUGCGUCCUUGAUAUUUUCAUGAGUAACAUUUUUCAACCUUGAAAAAUACAAAUUUUUUAAUCGUGAUGGAGUAUUUUCCAUCCUACUUGUGUCAUCAUCGCCGACAUAUCUCAAACCAGUCACCAAACAAAAUUCUGAAAUUGAGAACCGCACGAAUCUCCCAGCUAUGUUGAACCACAACUCACUCUUGUUAGGUUGUUGCACUUGUCUCAGAAGAAAAUAGUGUAUCAGCUGCGAUUGGAUAACAAUUUCCUCGCAUUGCAGGAAGUGAGCAAAACACGUAUUCUGAAGGAUUCGGCGUUGGGCUUCAUUGAGAUUGUUUUUGAAGUUCGACACCACACCUUUGACGGGGGUAAUUGUAAUUUUACCCGGAAACCAACUCUUCUCGGGUAUAAUGUAUCUCCACGCCUGCAACAACGAUCACAAUAAAACUCAUUAUUUUGGUCACAGGUGAAAAUCCAGGUAGUCUCAAACAUCAACAUAUAGGUCACAGAUCCCCUUCAGCAAAAAAGAAAUCAACAACACCUAUACAGAAUGACACAAUAGCGUUCCAUAAUUCACAAAUGAACAACCACUUUUGAAAAAAACAUUAAAAACCCUUACUACAAUCAGGCAUUUCGAUUACAAAUUCAACACAACAUACAUCACAAAUUCAAAAAUACUUCAUCAAUACACAUUACCCAUCGAUUAAAAUGAAGCUAGGUAUACUCGAAAUAAGUGAACAAUUGAAAAAUAUCAAAAAAUCACCUUCUUCGACGACUGUUUUCCGACCGAACUUCUGGAUUUUUGUCUUUUAGAGGAUGAUUCCUUCUGCACUUCAUCCAACUUCCUUUUAACUCUUCUUCCUGACUCGUCGAUUCCAGUUUUCUCCCCACGUUUCCCACUGCUUGAACGAGUCAUCGUUGAAGUUUUAGAAUACUUCGGGUAAACUGUGAACACAGCUUUGGGAAGGAAUGUAAAAAUUAUGUGACCGACAGUGAAAGAAGUUGAUCGGGGAAUCGCCGGAGAACGACAGUGAUGAACGACCGAAUGGAUGAACACGGUUAGGAUGAACACGGUUUAAUCGAAAAAUGGGAUACGUGAGGGACGUGGUUAUGGAAAUGACGGUUUUAUGGAAAUGACGUGUUUAAAGAAAAUACAGUUUCAAAAGUUUUGAAUUACGUGAUUUUAGGUAGAGAUAGCUAUUAAAUAAUUUUAAAUUAAUUAGAAAAUGAAAAAAAAAAUCUGAUUACAGAAAUGUGAAACUUCCACUCUUAUUUAGGAAAUAUGAAUUUAUAAAAUAUGGAUUUGUGUAAUUACCACUAAAUAAUACAAUAUAAAUUUACUUGUAUAGUAAAUAGGCUUCCCAAUUCAGCCCAUGAAAAAACCCGAUCCAAAGCCUUUGGGCCAUUUGUCAAAUAAGUAUAUCCAGCCCAAAAGCAAUCUAGGCCUAGACUUGAGACCAAAAUGGAGAAGAUAAAAUAUGUGGAAAAUUUCAUAAAUAAAAGAACAAGUUUCAAAUUUUAAUUUUUAUUAAAAUUUAUUUUUGAUUUAAUUAAUUAAUUUAUUAAUUAAAAAUAUUUAGGUCACAAAUCUAUAUAAUUUGAUCACAAAUUAACAAUUUAAUUAGUCACUUAUUAGUUUUUUGUUACAAAUCAAAAAUUUUAUGUCACAAAUUAUUUUACGGUUACAAUUCAAAAAUUUUAUAGAUCACAACUUGUUUAUCAGUCACAAAUCAAAAAAUGUAAAAGUCACGAUUUAUUUAUUGAUCACAAAUCACAAAUAUUAGAAUUCACAAGUUAUUAUACAGUUACAAAUUAUCAAUAAUAAAUUAACAAUUUUUUUUGUCACAAUUUAUAUUUUUUAUUGAUUACAGUUUAACCAAUUUAAUGGUCACGAUCAAUCAAAUAAUUCAUGACCACCAACACUUGCGAACACCAUAUCACCACUUCUUCCAGCACCACCACCACCUCCACCUCCACCUCAAACAAAUCAACCCAUUGCAGAAAACACAACCACAUUGUCGAUGCCAAAUCCACCACCAAGAAAAAAAAUUAUUUACAUUAACUGCCACCAUUACUACCACAGAUCAAACCCAAAUUUCCUAGAUCUCCUGUCAUCCACCACCACCUGCACCAUCUAGAUUGUGACAACCAUUGCCAAUGCCAAGCUGUGACUACCAAAAACUACAGCUACUUCACCACCACUGUGACAGCACUGCAAAAUAAAUCCAAAAUCAAAGCCGUAAUGGAAGCGACAACCACUGACACGACCAUCACCAAAGCCUACAUCACAACCGCCAUACCCGCAGUAUCACAGUUGCACCACCACCACCGCCACACCCAAAGGAUCACAGUUUCCAUUUACCUCCCUCUUUAUGGUGGUGUAAAACGUAGAGGAAAUUUUAUAUUGCUGUAAAUUAAGAUGCCUACUUUUACCGUUAUUGCCUAGGAGAAUUUGUUGGAACCUCGAGUUCGAGACUCUUGCAAAAGCCCUCGAAGCCUAACCAGAGAGUGUCGAACGAUGAUGGCGAAGCAACUAAAGAGAUAGAGGAUUCGAGCACGAAUCCGAGAGUUGGAGGCUCCAGGCACAUAUAUAUCGCCGGCUCUCUACGUGACGCCGGAACUGGCUACGAUACCAUGAAUUCUUCCUCGCCUUCGCCGUAUGUCGUCAACCAAAAGAGAUGCGGCGUUGGCAAGAAUAGUAGGCAGACAGUUGAGAAAUGUGAAUCUAAACCCUAGAAAAAAGAGGGAAAUGAUUUGAAUUUGGAGGGGAUGGUGGGCGAUUUUGUAAAUGAAGGUGAAAUAUAGAAAGAGAAUGAAAGGGAUGAAGAUGGCUGGCGAGGUGAAAUAUAGAGUGAGAAAAUGAAAGGGCUGAAUGAAAAUAAAUUUUGGGUUUGGUAGGAUGAAUAUGUAAAUUUGAUUUUGUACUAUAAUUAUUAAUAUUUAAAAUAUAAUAAUUAAUUAAUAAAAUAUCUUAUUUUUGAAAUAGUAAACUUUACCUAUGAUUUAUGAAAUGAGAUCUCUAAAUCUAUUAGAGUGUGUUUGAUUACAUUUAUUUUUCAUGGAAAAUAUCAAUUUUCUACCCAAAUUCCUACUUGGAGUAUUUGAUUGCUAUUUUUUUCCGUGAAAAACAUUUUCCAACUAAAAUUAAGCCUUAUACGGCCCCAAAAUGAAGCAGUUGAAAAAUACUUCCUCCAAGUUGAAAAUUUGAAAUUUACAUCAUUCCAUAUAAAUUUCUUUGGGGUCGAAAGGGUAAAAUCAUUUGACAAGACCUUCUCUAUUUUUGGCGAUUAAGAUUCAAUUUUCAGCUUCACUUCGUAGUUCUGCAAUUUUGGGUGAAUUAUGUUCAAUAAUUGUUUUUUCCCCAUUUAUAAAUUGAAGUGUCAAUUUUUAGCUUCACUUCAUAACUCUGCAAUUUUGGGUGAAUUAUUUUCAAUAAAUUGUUUUGCCAUUAUAUAAUCAGAUUUAUGGUGUUGUAUUAAAGUGUCAAAUUCAAGUUUAACAUAUAUAAAUAUACACACACACACACACUUAGCUAGCAAAUCACCUGAAGAUAUGUUAAGUAGCAUGUCGGUUUCAUUGAAGUGUCAAACUUACUAUUUUUUUUUUUUUUUUUUUUUUUUUUUUGUUUUUUGUAUCAAAAUUUAGGUUGUUUCACACUAUACUUUUCAAUGCAAGUACCCAACUUAUAUUAUAUCAAAUGAUCAUAUGUACUUUAAUUUUCAUGCUCAAUAAUAAAUGAAUGUAAUAAAUAAAUAAAGUCACAAUUUAUUUAUUAUAAAUUAUUAUUUUAUCAUAAUAAAAUAUACUAUAUGGACACACAAUCCAACAACUAACUCCGUCACACCACCUUGAUCGACCUGCCAAUAUUCUAUAAACCUCAAGAAAUUCUCCAUGUGAGUGCUCCAAUGAUUAUAAUGACCAUCAAAGCGUGCAGUUGCAAGUUGAACAAAACUUUCAGAAGCAAUUUGGAAACGACUGCUGCAAAGAAAGAAAAAUCUAAUGCCACAACACACUUUCUUCCUCACUUUUCCAUAACUAGGCUCUGAUACCACUAUUAUAAAUUGAAAACUAAAAACUAAAUGUGAAUGGAGGGGUAAAAAAAAAAAUAAAAAUAAAAAAAUAAAAAACUUCCAUACUAUAGGCUUAUUCGAUUAACCAAAUGGCCCUUUAAAUAGACAAUACGUCAUAAAAAAAUAAGCUGAAAAAGCGCAACUGACGCUCUAGGAUGUGAUAUAAAACUAGCAAAAAUGAUUAUAACUAGGACAACAUAACACAAUAUGACAAACCACGUGAACGACAACUUUGACAAUCCAUAACAAAUACGAAUAAUAAUCCACUGAAGCCCCUUUGUUGGAAAAUUGAAAUGUCAUAUAAUUAAGACCAAUUAACAUAUGCAUUAUUGUUAUAUUGAUUAAUAAUAUUGUACUUUGUACUUUGAAACCGUUCCGUCCAUACCCACCACAAAUAAAGGACCUUAAUCAUUUGAUACCAUCAAUGUUCCAACUUUAAAAGCCUUAAUUUUUUGCGUUAUAUUUGAUCUUCGAACCUAAAAUUCGACAAGAUUAAAGAAGAAAGAGACUUAAGAUUGCUUGUCAAUUGUUUUAUUUAUGCAGGGCAACCCAUGUGAAUUAAUAAAUUAAAGAAUAAACUCAAACAAUCUUCUAAUUUUAUCUUUGUUUGUAAGAUUUAACAGAAAAUUAAAUUUGAGAACCGUCGACUCAAACGAAUUUCAAAAGCAAAAAUGUGGAGAGGCUCAAAUUUAUUCAAUAAUCCAAGAUUGAGUCGACCCUAGUGGACCUCAUUUUUAUAGUUCAAAAUUUAGUCUUCAUGAGGGCUAGGGACCUUGCUUGGGUGAAGCUCAGUUUUUGUUAGAAAAAUAUAGUUCUUUGUCUAAAUCCAACUAUGUUUAUCAAGCACUUAGCAGUUGAUCUAAAACCGAAUAAGAAUUUGUUUUAAACUUAAAAUGUUCUCUAGAUUAGUAGAAGGCAUAUCCAACUCAAGUGUGCACACGAAAAACAAGAAGAAUAGGUUUUUUAGAAUAGUUAUGCUUGUGAGCAUUGAAAGUAACACUCCAUCACAUGCUCUACAUGGUUUUCCAUUAAUUUUGUAGACGGGUCUCGAGAUGGUCCCAAGUUUCUUUGAGGUUCACGUGUGGUCUUACUUGGAAUGUUUCGUUAUUCAUCUAUUGUUCUUUUUUAAGGAUGGGGACGGAGUUGUACUGUUCUUUGGUAGUUUUCAGUAGUAAAUCAUGUAUAAUUUUAAAUUACUUAUAUAAUCAAAAAUAAUUUUUUAAGUUGUUCUAUGUGCUAACAAAAGUUAUUGUCUUGGAGGGAAAUUUUCAACAUUGAUACUACUGAAUCUAGAGACUCGAAAAAUAAAAUGAAAAGCUAUUAUAAAUGUACUCCAUGGGAAACUAUAUGUUCUGAGUUCCUUCCAUUUUAUAUUUCCUAUCCUGGAAUUGUGCAUGUAUGCGUAGUGUGCUACUAAAUUUGACUUAAGGUCGCAUUUCUAGAAAUGCGACUUUGCAAAUGGAGGCCUUUUCUGAGAUCUUGGCACCUGGCGUAAUCCUAACUGUUUGAUGACGUUUUAGGAUGGUUUUAGGGUUUGUCUAUAUGUACAUCGGGGUUGACGUGCACCGACCCCCCCCCCCACAAGAGGAGGGAGGCCACAUAUAUUUAUUCGUCAUGGGCCCCCCUCUUGUGAGGGGGUCUGUGCACCGGGGUAUCAAACCUGGUGUACAAAUAGAAAAACUCGUGGUUUUAUUGCCAUUAUCUCUGCCGUUUCACUUGAAAUACUUCAUUCUAGCUUUUCAAAUUUCUGUGACGAGAGAGUUUACGCUAGUUUGGUUAGGGUUUCAUCUUGAAUCAUCUUCUCUCUUGAAAAUCUCAUUCGCAAUUGAGAUCAAUGUUUUACUUCCUUUGAUUCUUGUAUUUUCCGAGUGGUUCUUAUACUUUGUUGAUCAAAGUAUUGUUUAGAGGCUUCUUUCGUGAUUCCUUGAGUAGACUUGCAGUUUUAUCUUUGAAAAGAUAACUAUUGUGACUUUAUCUUGUAUUGGUUCAACGUUUAUAAACUUUGUUGUCUUUUGCGGCUAAAUAGUGCAAUCGAGCAUUAUCCAUUUUAUAUGGAUAAUCAACAGGGAAUUACGUAUUAGAAGUAAUCAUCGAACCCUCGGAGUUUCAGCCGAAACAAUUCUUUGUGUUGGUUUUCAUUUCUUGCAAGUUUAUUUUCUAUAUUAUUUUUGAGUUCGACAAAUCACUCAUACCUUGCGUUUUUUGGGCAUUUGAGUAGUAUCAAAGCUUGGAUCUUGAAUUGCGAAACCAAUUCUUCAAGGAAACUAAAGAUCUUAGAGGGACCUCAAAUUUUUGUGCACUGUUUUGAAGGAAUUUGAGUUUUUCUUAUAAAACUCACUUGAUGAGAUUUUUUAAUAUUAUGCAACAUACAAUUUUAAAAAAUUAGAGUUUCUAGAUUUUUUCCUUGAUUUACGAUACCAUUACAAAAUAUCCGCCGGAUACUAAUAUGUGUCCAAAGUCUCUUAUAAGGUUUUGGAAAUUUAAGAUAAAUCGAGUACACGUGUAUAACGGGAGGAAUAAAAAUUUGUGAUCUCUAUUUGCGAUUCUUGUGAUAUUUUUUGUUGCAUGUCCACUAUUAAGUACAUAUUCUUUGAUUAAGUAAAAACUCUUGUGUAUAACUCGAAAUAUUAUACCAUUACGUGCACUGCUGUGAUUUAAACUGAUCUUGUUGAAGUGUUGGUUCUUUACCGUGUGUCUUUCACAGUCUCUAGUCAGACUUGCUUGUCAGUCUCUUACGAAACAAUAUGAUGGGAAGGGGAUUUUAAUAUGUGGAGUCAGAAAAGGAAAGGUACCUUGAUGCAAAUGAGAUAUGCUAAGGCCUUAGAUAAUACUUGGCCUGCUGAUAUGGUCCCUACUAAAAGAGCUGAAAAAGAAGACAUUGCUUAGAGUACUAUGUUUUGUUCCUUUCUAAAAUGUGAUUAGAACCAUUGGUGAAACUAAAACAGUUAUUGAACUUUGAAUCAAUUGCAGGCUCAGUAUAUUACCAAAACUUUUCCAAAUGUGUGUUAUUUGUUGAAACAGUUCUUUUCUUCUAAAAUGGAUCCUUCUAUUGACUUGGAAUAAAACUUGAAUAGAUUUAUAAAACUUACCAAGAUUUAGCCUACUGUGAUGAAAAACUUUCAAAAGAUCAAUUGGUUAUGGUCUUGUUAAACUCCAUUAGUGACAGUCAUAGAAACCUCAAUAAUACCCUUAAAUAUGGUACAGAUGAGAUCACUAUUGAUAUUAUAAUCGGUGCCCUUAGAAAUAGAAUUCUUGAAAUAAAUUCUGAAUUUAAAGAUGGUCAAAAAGGAGAAAAUUCAUUGGUUAAGGAUAGGAGCAUUGGAAAAUCUAAUCAUCACUCUAUAGGCAAUAAUGAGUAUAAAAAGAAAUAGAGUGAUGAGAAUAAACUCUAAAAAUGUUUGACAUGUAUGAUUUCAAACUUGUAACUUUGCCAUUAAUCAAUCAUUUUAAGCUUUCCUCCAACUGCCGCCCAAGGAAGAGCAUGAUUACUUAUGCAAAUGUUAUUGGAUCUAUCAUGUACUCGAUGAUAUACACUAGACCUGAUCUUGUUCAUAGCAUUAGUGUACCUAGCAAAUUUAUGAGUAACCCUGGGCAAGAACAUUGGGAUGGAUUGAAAUAGCUUUUGAAAUAUCAUAAAAGAACUUUUGAUUUAGGAUUUAUGUUUAAAAUGAAGUGGUAACUUCCAAAGGUUGUACUGAUUUUUACUUUACUGGAGAUAGGGAUAAUAGGAGAUUAACUUCAUCCUAUUGAUUGCGUGGACGCUUCAAGAGAUCUUAAAUUCAAGCUCAGAAAAACAACCAAACGAAUACCUCCCAACCUCGGCUCAACCCACACCCUUCCUUCACUUUGAUUGCUUCAAGAUUUCUUACCGUCAAAGGAUGAUGGUGGUGGUGACUAUAAUAUAGAGGAAAGAAUGAAGCAACAAUGGUUGAGUUUCUCAAAACUCACACCAAAAAUUGGUUGUCUCCUUCACUCUUUUCUCCAUUUUUUCACAUACGCGCAAACGCCAAUAUAUAUAUACGUUAAUGCUAGUUUGGUCAAGACUCACUUAAAUAGGCCACCUUAAUAACAAGGUAAAUGGGCUCACACACAUUAUCUCGAACUCAAACUUGGGUCCUUCAUAAGUGUAGGCUAUUUUCGGUCAAGCCUAGUGUAUGUUGAUGUUCAUUUAAUGGUUUAUUGAGCCCGAAUUAAAGAUUUCUCAAAGUUUCGUAUAAUAAAUGGUAUUAGAGCUUAUGUUAUUGAGAAAUUUGUGAAUUUUUCAGCCAAAAUCGAUUGUAAGGCUAAAAAUGAAGCUGGAAAAUGGAAGAAAAUAGGAAAUAAUCUGGAUACAUUGGAAAUCAUCUCUUUCAGUUUUUUUUCUUUUUUUUUUUUUGGUAAUUCUCGGCUAGACAACUCACGGUUUGGAGAAACCAACGCCACAUGAAGACUAUGCAAGUGGAGGAGCACAUGGGAGACUUGCCCGUGAAGCUCUGGCAUGACGGCAGUGAAGCCACCUGGAAAGAAAGAAGUCUGACGUGAUAGAAGUCUGGCAGGGUUUGGUAACAACACUUGAAGACAAAAAUAUUGCUGACAGCGAAGUGGAUCCUGCGAUGGUGCUUAUUUUCUAUUUGGGAGCAAAAUAGUUAAAUCUAGACUAUUUUACCCUUGGACGUUGUGGUGUCGGAUUUUUUUUUUUUUGUUUGUCGAAGUUUUUGGAGGCUUUAAAGCGAAUAGUGGUGGCCUAAAGUGAUGAAUUGUGCAUAUUUCAAUUACGUCUAUCAUAGGGAUAACCAUUUACUUUUCACAUUAGAAGUCAUUGUGUGGGGUGACAUUAGGUUUGGGGUUAUUGGGUGGGGGUAACCAUUGCUUGUUGCUAAACCUAAGAAUUAUUUUUUUUAAUUAUUUCUAAAUUUUUCUACAUUGCUAGAAUUGCAUGUGACCUUAGGGAAGUUUGUUUGACUAUUGCGUGUGAAUUGUGUCUUUACUUUGCUUGUGGUUAAUAUUUGGUGUUGAUGGCAAAUGUAGGUCUGAGACAAGUACGAAAAGUAAGGUGAUUUUUAACAUCAAUAUUUCAGACAUGUUGAAAGAGAUUGUCGUAUGAAGGAUAAUAGAAGGAAAAAUAAAGAGAGAGGUGAGGUAAAUGUUGCCACUCAGUUUGGUUAUAACUCGAGUGACGUUUAUUGAGAGUAAACUUGGAUACUGUAUGUUCAUUUGUGUAUAAUCAUUUCUUCAUGUAUGGUCGCUUAAUUUUAUUACAAUGUUAUAUAUUACAUUUUCAAUCUGUUUGAUGUGUUUAAUCGCAUGAAUUAAGAGUAAUCUUAAUGUGUAUGUAUACAUAGUGUGUUGAGAUCUAUGACAUAUUCUUUUUGCUCUGUGGGUGGUACAAGAAAGUGUGGUAGUGAAAAGAAAAAGGGGUAGCUAUUUUCUCCUUUACAUUUGUGGGCCUAUGUCGUUUGUGAGAUUAUAUGAGGUAGCCAUGUGUGGGUUAUCAUCUUUCUCUUUGUGAGCCUUUUAGUAAUUGUAGCGAAGAACCAACUGUUUCUUAUAUUUUCCUUGUGAGUGCCACAUACAUCCUUCUUUUUGUGGACUUCUUGAGCUUUGAUGAGGAAGAAAUCUUUUCAUGCGUUGGUCAAUUUAAACUGAGCCCUAACCUUUGUGGUCACCAAAGGUGUCAAUUUUGUCAUAGUGGCGUUGAUAGUAAGCGUGCUGUGUUUCAUUUGGUAAUGUGAAGUAUAGAUGCCUGAGGGUGCAUUGGUGAUAUACAUGGAUAUGUGGAUAGUGAAAUUUGGAUCAUGAGUAGAGAUGUGAUUAAAUGUCCAGACUCCUCUAUCUAUGAAAGACCUUGUACAGUUAAAGUGUGAGAGAGACAUUUUUAUCGCUUCUGUUAGGUAGAGACACAUUGUCCACUUAGAUUGAGACAAGUGAGGUACUGACAGAAAUAUUAUCUCGUGGACUUAAAAUCUAUUGUGGUUUACCAAUUAGACAUGAAUUUAGUGAUCAAUCUAGUGAGCAUGGUGGACGGUGAGAGAGAUAUAUGUUCUCAAAGUACAAGCAAUACGGAAUGAGAUAGGAUAAGUGUGAUGAGAUCUUUUUACGGGUUUAUUUAAGCACUUGUUGUAUAUGUGUUAGUCGUUUGAUUGAUUAACGUGAUAUUAGUUUACUGUUUUGUGUGAACAUAUUUGAAUGGACCUAUAUGUUAUCCUAUUUUAUAUCUUCAUCGUAUGUUUAUAUGUUUUUAAUUUAUUACUGUGAUUAUUUGUUCCUAUUUAGGUAAUUUUGACAUUAGCCCUGAUUAGUGCAUUGAAUAGGUAUGGUAUGUCUUUGGGGUCGAAAACACGAGUUAAGGUCUGUGGUUUUGAUUAUGGUGUCCUUAGAUCCUUGUGUGGAAGCUUCGAGAAAUCUUUAGUACGGGCUCAGAAAAACCAUCAAAUGAACACCACCUCUGGCUUGCUUGACCCACAACUUUACACUUGGUUGUCUUCUUUCCAACACCCACAAAGCAUAGAACUUCGGUGAUUAAUGUGUGCCAACAAAGGAGGAAGAGAAUAAAUAAAGGAAUGGUUGAACUCAAAUUAUACCUAAGUUGGUUACCGCACAUUUUCUCUGCACAAUUGCACAUUAACUCACGGCUGCCAAAAAUGAAGAGAUAAUGGAUGUAUACAGUAUUAGGUUAGAUUCCAAACUUGGCCAAAUACUUUAAAUGGGCCAAGACAAAUAACAACUAGGAAAAAUUCAUAAAUAAGAUGUUAACAAUCACCUAUUUCAAAAUUAAGAACAAAGGUUUCAAAUUUCAAAAAUCAGAUAUUUAUUACAAUUUAUUUACGAUUUAAUUAAUUAAUUAUAUAUUUUAUUAAUUAAACAUAUUAAAGUCAUAGAUGUAUGCAAUUUGGUCACAAAUUCACAAAUUUAAUUGUUUACAUAUUAUUUUUCGAUCACAGAUCAAAAUUUUUAUAUGUCAAAAAUUAUUUUACAAUCACAAUUCAAAAAUUUUAUAGGCCAUAAUUCAUACAUCGAUCACAAAUAAUGAACAUUAUAAGUCACAACUUAUUGGUCACUUACAAAUUAUCAUAGUAUCAGCCACAAAUUAACAAUUUUUUAGGUCACACAUAUUUCUUGGUCAUAGUUCAUCUCUUUCAUUGAUCACAUAUUAUUUAUUGGUCACUGAUUAACCAAUUUAAUUGUCACAAUCAACUGAAUAAUUUGUGACUACCAUUAAUGCGUCUAACCAUCACGUCACCACUGCCUCCGAUAGCACCAUCUCGCGGCCUGAAACUCCAUCACCUACAACAAAUCUAACAUAUUGCAAAAAAAACCAACAAUUCGUCGAGCCAAAUCCAUCGCUACCUCACGACCACAAACACCGACAAACCACCAUUUUCAACUACAAAACUACCACCCGUCAACACAUCCAUGCCACAUUUACCAACACCAUCACCUCCACCAACAAAAGUCACCCCACCACCGAUCUGACACUAUCGCACCCAAAUAAUUGGUCACAACCCGGCUCCAAAACCACUGCCUGGCUACCACAGUACCCGCAAAACCACCACACCAGCACCGUGCAUAUAGCACACAACCACUGCCACCGUUAUAGCCAUCUCCUCUAUCUCAAUCUACACCAAAUCACUACCACAUCCCUGCCAAAAAAUCCUCAAACUCGCAGCCACCACCAAAUAUAAUACCACCUACACUACUAUAGGCAAAAGCAUCGCAAAACUCACGUAAUAAGAUAAAAUAAGUAGCCCAAAAACCUCCAUCGUCGAUUGCCACACUGCAGCAGCAGCAAGUGGUGCUAUAAUCUCAACAUAGAACUGACGCAAAUGAUGUCCGAAGCGUGAGGGUUGAAGCCCAUCGCUCACACAGCACCAGUAGCGUCGUGUGAGUACAGCACCGACAACGUGAGGAUAAAGAGAGAGAAAGGGGAAAAGUGAGAUAUAGAGAGAAAAAUGAUGUGAAAAUUGAUUAGGUUUUAGUAUGAAAAUUGUAUAUUUAAUAUUUAAAUAUGAAAUAUCUAAUUUGUGAAAUGUGAAACGUCCAACUUGAUUUUUGAACAUCGAUCUUUAAAGGUGGAGUGGGGUGUAAUUUCCUCUAACCCUCUAACAACCAACCAUUAGUUGGGUUUACACACAUAUCACUCUCCAAACCUAAACAACAAAUGGGAUAACUCACAAAUGUGCCAUCCUAAAUGAAUUGGUAGUUUUUGAGUCAAGCCAAGCACUAUGGUGUCGAUGAAUUAUCCAACAUAUAUUUUAAAUCAUAGCCGGAAAUUUAUUUGGUAUAAAAAAUUCAACACUAUUUUUAUGCACUCUGCAGUACUAUUGUAAUUUGGAAAUCACAACUUCAAAAGGUUGUGUCUCUAUCUUCAACAAAGGCAGAAUAUAUUGUUUCCACCGAUGCCAUUAAAGAAGGUAUUUGGUUAAGUGAUUUGUUAGGUGAACUUGAUUUUGUUGAUGAAAAUACAAUACUAUUUUUACAUAACCAAAGUGUCAUACAUUUGAGUAUAAAAUCCCAUGUUUCAUGAUAGAACUAAGCACAUGUAUAUUAAAUAUAAUUUCAUAAAAAACUUUAUUUCAAAAGGGAUACUUAAUGGUAAAUUGUUACUCAAUUUAAUCAUUUAGAUAUGGGUACCAAAGUAAUACCUUUAUGUAAGUUUCAAAAUUGCUUGAAGUUAUUAUUCGUUGAUACUAUGUGUUAAAUGUGCAAGUACACUGACCAAUGAAAUAUAAAAAUGUUGGUAAUGCUCUUGGUUGCACUAUUAACUCCAAAUUCUAGAUAGCAAGGUAUAAGCUUGCUGGAAUUGUACAUGUGUUUGCAGUGUGCUCCCGAAUUUGACAUAAAGUCGCAAUUUUGGAAAUGCAACUUUGCAAGUGGAGGCCCUUUAUGAGAUCUUAAUGUUAAGUGAAUAAAUCCCACAUCGGUUAAAUACCGAAAUAUUGACCAACUUAAAUAGAUCUUGGGUCACUCCUCUUAAUAAGGUUGACCUUAUUAAGAUGGACUUCAAAUCUUAACAUGGUAUCAGAGCCCAAUAAGCUCCAACGAGCUAUUCAAUCCGAUUAAGUCUCAAAAAUGAGCACAUGAAUUUCAAAAUUAGUCUGCUAAAAAAGAAUCACCAUCUUGUGGUGCAUGUUAAGGGAAUAAAUCCCACAUCGAUUAAAUAUUGAAAUAUUGAUCAACUUAAAUAGAUCUUGGGCCACUUCUCUUAACAAGGUUGACCUUAUUAAGAUGGACCUCAAAUAUUAACAUGGUAUCAGAGUUCAGUAAGCUCCAACGAGCUAUUCAAUCCGAUUAAGUCUCAAAAUGAGCACACGGAUUCCAAGAUUGGUCUGCUCAAAAAGAGCUAACAUCUUGUGGGGGCAUGUUAAGGGAAUAAAUCCCACAUUGUUAAAAUUUCGAAAUAUUGACCAACUUAAAUAGAUCCUGGGACACUCAUCUUAAUAAGGUUGACCUUAUUAAGAUGGAUCUUAAAUCUGAACACUUAACGCCUGAUGCAAUCUUGGUCAUUUGAUGAUGAUUCUCGAUGGUUCAAUUUCCUUUACUAUGUGUCGUUUCACUUGGGAGACUUCAUUAUGGCUUUGGAGAUUUUUUUGAAGAUAGAGUUUACUCUCUUUUGGUUAGGGUUUCAUCUUGUAUCGUCUUCUGUCUUGAAAAUUUCAAUCGAGACUGAGAUUAGUGUUUUACUUUCUCUAAUUAUUGUAUUUUCUGAGUGGAAUUUUGAAAAAUCAAUAGGGUGCUUAUGUUGUGCCAUUCAAAGUGUUGGUUUGAGGGGUUAUUUUGUGAUUUCUUGAGUGGAUCUAUUGUUUCAUCUUUGAGAAGAUUAGUAUUGUGACUUUAUCUUGUAUUAGUUGAAUUAUUGUAAUCUUCGUUACCCUUUUCGGUAAAUAGUGCAAUCGAGUAUUAUCCAUUUCAUAUGGAUGUUCAACAAAGAUUAGGUGUUAGAAGUGGUCACCGAACUUUUGGGGCUUCACCUGAAACAAUUCUUCAUGUUGAUUUUCAUUUCAUGCAAUUUUACUUUCUGUACUUAGUUUUUGAGUUUGACAAAUCACUUAUAGUUUGUGUUUUUUGGGCAUUUCAUCCUCUAACAUGCAUUAGCUGUAUACUUUGGAUUCACUUAUCAUAUCCAAAAAAGGAAAGAAACUUGCAUGUAUACGUUUGGUACGCUUGGCUAUGAAGUAAGAAAGAAAUAACAAUCAAAGUGUAUAGACACGGAAGAGGAUGCGGUCAUCCAUCCUUCUUAUUGUCAGAGUCUAUCUCAUUUCUAGAAUGGAUUGACGAACUAAAGUAUUGCCCAAAUGAAAUUCUAUUAUAAUUGCCAAUUAUCCCGUCCAGCCCACAUAGGAUGAUUGAGGACAAAAAUGCAAAAUAUGAUGAACUUAUUGUCUUGUCCAAAUGGUCAUUGAACUUUGCAUUGGGUUUCUAAGAAGUCGUUGAACUUUAAAAAUCACUUAAAUAAUCAUUGAACUUUACAAAAGAUUUCUACAAGGUCACUGAAUUUUAAAAAUCAUUCAAAUAGUUACUGAACUUUGCAAAAGGUUUCUCAGGGGUCACUAAAUUCAGUGAUCAUUUAGGUGAUUUUUAAAAUUCAGUGACCCCGUAAAAACCUUUUGCAAAGUUCAGUAACCAUUUAGGUGAUUUUUAAAGUUCAACGAUCCCUUAAAAACGUUUUGCAAAGCUCAGUGACCAUUUGGGCAAUUCACUCGAACUUGGCAGCUUUGAGAUGAAUCAUCAAUAUAUUUAUUUGUUCAUACUCUCUACAUUGUACAAUGGAAUUUUAAAUCAAUAUAAAUAUGUUGGUCGAGUCAAAUAAACAAUAUAUCAAGCAUGCCCAUAAAAGUAAAAGUGAAAUUACUAAAAAUAUGAAUCUCCAAACUUAUUCAAGGGAUUUUAUUUUCUCGUCCAUGGCAAUGGAUUUCUUGCAAUGAGCAAUCGCUGUCUGAAUUGCACUCUGCAACUCUUCCAUAUUACUAUCACGUGCUGUAGUAGGAGUAAGAGUUCCAUUUGCUACUAAUAGACCAAUGUUUGUUUGAGAUGUUCUCAUUGAACUUGGUGCAGAAAACUCCCCUCUUCUUCCUCUCAACUCUGGCUUCCCUCUAUUGCGUAAAUUUCCCGAACAUGAAUAGGAUUGCUUGUGUAAUUUAUCCCCUCUUCUGCAGAUCAGAAAGGGCCGAGCCAUUCUCACGUAUCUUUUCAAAACCUGACUUACAUGGAAUUUUAACUUCUUUUUCUUCCUUUCUUUAUAUUUCUUUUCUCCUUUUCGCCAUUUCAAUAAGCUAAACAAGGAAAAAGGCUUGAAAUUUGCUCUUCCUUUGGCAUCAAAGUUGUGAUCAAUAUUGCUGUCAGUACUGUUGAUUGUCUGAAUGGAUUCUAAUUCUUUAAUGGAUAGGGUAAAACUGUCCAAAGAGUUGUUCGAAGAACGAGGGGAUACUGGAAGGUGGGAGAGUAGAUGGAGAGGAAGCAAAUGGCCAUGGAAAAAUAUAUCAUCUGCUGGAGAUAAAUCUAUGGCGAAUGAAGAAGUGUUCUUAUUAUUUUCUGGGGAUUUUGCAGUUGUUGAAGGAUGAAGAGAAAUGGUGAAGGAGAAUUCAUGAGAAGGAGAUGAACUGAAGGUGGUAAGGGUGCUGCAAUUGGUUGCAGCUGAUUAUUCUCUCUCUGCAGAUUUUCUUCAUGCUUCUCUCUCAUCUUAUGAUGAUGUUUGUCUAUGCUUCAAUGCUAAAAGAUAUGUCGGAUCUGAAGUUUUUCUUGACUUGCUUUGAUAUGAUAUUCUCUGGUUAGAAAUGUGAGGAAAUAUUUUUGAGGGGAUAAGGAUGUUAGGAAGCA